UCCCAUCACAUUUCAUUUCUACGUGCAUGUGCUUCCCGUGCAUCAAUGUUUUCGAUGUUUUCUCUUGUUUGCAGGUAAGCUAGAUACUGGAGAUCAAGUUGUGGCAUCUCAACAAGAGAUCUACGAUCAAACUAUCACUAUCUACUGAAUGUGUGUGCUACUUGAUGCUAUUUUUGAAACCAGCAAUAUAUGAAACUGGAUGAGUUUAUGUGUAACCUAAUUACUUACGCUGAAUUAUCACUGGCUUCCUCUCUUUAGGAGACCAGUUACUAUGCAGAAACUUAAUACGUUUAUAACUGAUGCUGUAUGAUGUUGGAGGAUUUGCUCUAUCUAUAAGGUAUAAAUAAAGAUUAUGACAUAUAUGUAUAAAUGAAUAUUGUACUUGAUAAGUUUGGUGUGAAUCAAACAAGGGUCAUACGUUUGGUGGUUUUAUUGAGAGUCUCUUGGAUAUUAGGAUUACUCUAUUAGUCUGUUUGAAUUUUUGGGAAAAGUCAUGGUUGUUAGAAGGGCAUAUCUUGGGUUGUAUCUGUUACAAAUGUGGUGUAGCGUUCGUUAAGAGCUCCAUGAGGAGAAAAAGAAUCAGAUCUCUUUGGAUCCACUGUGUAAGAAAAGAUUCUAGACGGCUCCAUAAAAGAAACUUCAUUUGAUGUCAAUACAAAUUUUCCAUACAAUACUAUCUUAAGACCAUACUGGAGAUUGGACUGUGAACAUUUACAUAAUAGAAGAUAUAAGCGUCUUGACUGUAGUAAAACACUGAGAAUAAAUACAGUAUGAACUUCAGAUAUCAUCUGAAAAGGAAGGGGAGACAGAAAAAAUAUACUUUAGGUGAUUUUUCGCCAAUGGCAUAUAGUGCCUGCAGGUGACUAGGUCAAAGAAUGGCACACCAACUAUUUUCAUAUUCCUCACGGAGCUCCGCAGUCUCCCUCUGAGCACUUUCAACAUCCUUCCUAAUCUUACAAAUUUCGUCAUUUGACUUCCCUUGAGCUAAUUGUGCAGCCUCUUCUGCCUUUAACCGAGCAGUUUGCUCCUCUGCCAAUCGCUGUUCGAGCCUAGACUCAACCUAUCAAAAAAGCAUCAAUAUCAGUCAGAAAACAUGCCACUAAGCCCUAGAGUACAGCAUAAUACCCAAAAAAUUGGGUAUUGGUAAUAUAAAACUCCAACUUAAGAGAAGAAAAUUCUUAAGUAUUAAGUUAGUUUAAUUCAAUUGCAAAGGGAGUUGCUAAGUUCAUCAUACUUGGCAGAACUUGCUUACUUCAAUCAAUUCCACUCUCUCAAUCAUUGAUAAAUGGUAGAAACAAAAGCUUAAAAAAAUAAUCACAUAAAUCCAAAAUAUAAAGUGUUAAAGAAUCUACUAACUUUUUCAUUUUGCCAUACUCUAGGAGUGUGGAGACAAAUUUAUUAGCACCUCAGAUAUAUAGUCAUUACACAGAAUAUUACAGCAAAUCUAGAUUAUUGUUGAAUAGGACCUGGCUUAAUGCCGGAUCAUUCUACUGCCUUGCUAUAAAUUAAAACCGUGGAAAGGAAAAUCAAAACUACGCAACUAUUUGAUUAGGUUCCGUGUACCUAACUGUAUUUUCAAAAAAGCUUAUUUUGAAUGUGGCUAUUCUGUUUUUAAAAAAAUUAGAAUAUGACAAUACUUGCUUAUAACAUUUCAAAUGUUCCCACAGAUUCAGGGCUGCAAAAUUCCUAGCAACAAAACAGGAUCUACAGUAUUAAAAGAAAUGUUCUUAUGAUUCACGACUAAACAAGGGCAGAAUCCAUUCCUAAAUGCAAGUCAUGAUGAGCAAACCACCUAUAGCAACUAUUAUAGAGUAACCCACUUAAUUUCAUCAAGAAACAAUCUAGGGGUAAGAACACAGCGGCAGUCUUUACCACCUCCAAGUCUCACAAUUUAGAAUAUCAUUAUAGGUACUGGCACGCUUUAUAGGCAUUUUUUAAUUACACAGUUUUAGAAAUGAUUACCAGAUCUGAGAUAUGAACACAUAUGCAUGUCAUAUUUUGAUGUCAAUACCAUCUCAGUAGCUCGUUUGAGUUGAUCUUCAUAUGAAUUUUGCAUCUGCUCCUUCAGCUCUGAAAUUUCUUGUUUUGAAUAUCCCUUGAGAGAAUCAACCUCAACUUGUUGAUCACGUAGUUUAGCAGCCCUUCCUGAGUAGAAAAAAAGAAAAAGAAAAAGAGACAUUGUCUUGACAUAUUCAGAAAGAAGCAGCACAGAAAUCUAUCACGAUAGUAAUGAAGUCACCUUCAACCCAGCAAAGAUUUCGUCUGUAUAUGGUUGCCCACCAUUCUGCACGAUCACAGAGUUAACCACUUCUUCCCAACUUGCUCAGUUCUCAUGGCCGCAUCCUUAGUCUUGUUAUCAAAAGGCACGCACCUAUUAUCACAUAGUUCAAGGAUUUCCUAAAAUAAUGGGAAAAUGAUCAGGAAAUGUUAGCCCCUUUCGUAAGCAUUGAUAAACCCAUCAAACACUUGUAGUCUCUAAAAGUUGAAAGAUAUUCAGCUGACAAAAUUUGUUUUUAUUGUGAUCAUUGGUACUUAAUAUCAUGCAUCCCCAAAAACUGUUUAAGGGCAAGCAAUAAUCAAAUUUUAAUAAUUACCAACAAAGUGUUGGCUCCACUGGCAAUGGAGUCCCCUUAAGUGGCUUGACUGAGUUUGCUCCUCAGUUCGAGUCGCAGGGAAGUCGCCUUUGUUGGGAGAACCUGUGCCUCUCGGUUCGAGCGGAGACUUCUAGUCUGGGUUGUGGUACGGGCUUAAAGGUGCCUCCCACAGUUGGGGCCCUCCCCAGGAUACCUCAUGGUAAAAAAAAAAAAAAAAAAUUUUGAUAAUUAAUUCGAUUCUCCUUGUGGUUUGACCACUUACAAUAAACUUUUAAGCCCAUCAAAUUUAAAGAUCUUAAAAGGUGAUCAGCAUUCCAUAUAACAGAAAUAAUAAUAAUAAUAAUAAUCAACAUAUUCCAGUGAAAAGAAUUGACCCAAUCAAAAUUAUUAACUACAAAGCAGUGCCUCUUCACUAGGCAAAUUCUUACAUUAUAGAACAAAGCAUGAAAGACUAUUAUCAUAAACAAACUCAAGUGACCAAACCUCCAAACUGCCAAAAGAUAUUAUCACAUUUUCUGUGGCAUCUACAUAAUUAACCUAAUUUUGCGGCAUUAUAAUUAAAAAAUUUUGAUUCCUUCAAACUACAAAAGUUAGUACAAUAAGUAAAACAAAGUUCCCUUUAACUGUAAAAUAACCCGAUUUUGUUAAUUGCAAAGCUACAACUUGAAGGGGUCUUUAUUUUCAUUUUUGUUAUUUUUCUUCCUACUCCUCAUAGGUUAAAUCAAAUAUGCAAUAAAAUAGAGGAACUUGAUAUAAAUCUUUCUCAACUUAAAAUGUUUUAGGAACCAAAUUCAUCAAGUAAAUACUGACAAUAAGAGAUUUCCAUGUUGAAACUAAAAAAAGAUCGCACAUUGAAAUUUUAGACACCAAUUCUGAAGCUUACACUUGAUAUUUUAUUCAAACAACGCCUAAUAAAAUGGACCUGUAUAGCAAGUCAUAUCCUCCUUGGCACACUUUUAAAAUCUUAAAAGUAGGAUAAUUUUAAGCAUAUAAAUGAAAGAGGUGCAUAUUUUAAGAAACAAACAAAUGAACACGCAUUAAUAGAAUAAGAACCAAGAUUAAAUAGUAGAUGAAAUCAAAGAAUAAAAAUAAGAAAAGCAUAAAUGUUUAGCAAAUGAAUGAAUGACAUCUCAUUCGAAGACAUUAAAAUAUGACUAAAAUUAAGUAAUGCCAGCAGAAAAUUACCAACCAAUCACCUCUCCGGCCAAUCCCGCUUGGCAGAAGAAAACCAUUCAGGAAAUGAAGCACUAUUGAAAAUGGAAUUUUAAGAUAGCUGGACUACUAGAAACCUAUCUAGUAUUUUCAGCAUGCAUAUAUUUAUAUUAAACCUCCAAUAGUCCAACCGUAAAGUAGUCUAAAACUUCACAAAAGAACCAACCAAAGACAACUUGAUCAAAAUGACUAAUGAAAUUAUCAAACACUAUUGCCGUUCAGAAACAAACCUUUAAAGGCUUUGGACACUCACGACCCAAAUAAUCUUCUAACGUUUCGUCAUUAUGUUCAAGUUCAUCCCCUCCAGUGAAAACAACAAUCAUAUAGUCAAAAAAAUUUUUCCCGAACAAGGACUGCAUGGAUCCCAUCCUUGGCCAUACCAAUACAUUUGACAAUUUCCUUGCUGACAAACUCAGCGCCAGCCGAAGAAUCAAAAAGUCCUGCAAUGGCUCAUAACAUCAAUCUAUUUACCACCACAACAUCAACAUAUAUUUAUAUUAGUAAAUUACCAGGGGUAUCAAUGACAUUAACAACUUGGCCAUCUUUGAGCUUGGUUCUCUGCAUUUCACAAGUUUUAGUAACACCAGACGAGCCAGGCCUCGACUUGAAGGCUCUUCUUCCGAGAAUACUGUUGGCCGUCGCACUUUUGCCAUUGCCAGUACGGCCAACUAAAACCAAAGUGCGCUCUAUAUUAGAUGGAGAAGUAGGCUUCGAAUUGACAUCAAUCACUCUUCCUCCCAUCAUAAAAAAAAUUUCAAUUUACCUGCAAUGCGUUUACAAUAUCAAACCACUUCACAUUGAAUUCAGUUUUUACCAUUAAACAAUAAGAAAGAAAAUUUAGUUAGCAUACCCUUACAAUUUCACUCCAUUAAAACCUGUAUUUGUUAUUACUUUAAAUAUUAUCCAACCGAACAUGGAUAAAUUCAUAAAAAUAUUAAAAAUAAAAAUCAUUCAGACGCCGACAGUAUAGUUAAAUGCAUGAAAGUAUCAUUUUUUUUUAAAUAGUUAUGAAAAAAUAUUUUUAAAAAAUAAAAUAAUGUGGCUAUUGAGAUUUUAACCAAGACUUUAAAACCAUCAAAUAACACUCUUGUCAUUGAACUAUAGUUCUUUUGUUACAUGAAAAAUGUGUUCAAUUUUUUUAUUUAAUUCUUUUAGAACGGGCUUAGGGAACAUUUAAAAGAUAAAAUGUGUCCGUGUAACGCCCACUUUUGUUUAUUUAUUUUUUUCCUCUUUCACCCUUAUUAAAUUGAGUAGGAUAUUAUUGAGUGUUUGUGUGUGAGUAAAAUUUAUCAAAUUGCUUUAAAUAAGUUAUGUAAGUUAUUAGUUUUUUUUUUAAAAAAUAUUUAUUAAUUACUAAGUAUUUAAUAGGAAGCCAUCUUGUUAAGAGGAAGACGUCUUUUUAUUUUCUACGCCGUUACAAGCUCUAGAAAAAAAGAAGAAGAAAGAAAUAUAAGCCUUUGGAGAAGAAAAAGAAAGCUUUAUAACUUCUUUGCUUGGUGUUUUCCUUAAGGUAUUAAGUAUUUUUUUGACUUAUAUGAUUUAUUUUUGUUAGUUGUUUGCGUUUAAUUACUUAUGGUAUGAUCAAGGUAAUAUAUGUGUGUUUGUAAUGUUGUGAUGAUACGAACAGUCUGUAUUCUUUGCUCGAAAUCGUUUUCUUUAUUUAGAAUCACGUGAAUAUGCUUACAUAUCAUGGAACUAGACAUCCUAAGCUUUCCAUUGAUAGGUCUUGUGUUAAAAUCCUCUGAGUAUGCAAAUUGUUAUGGUUUUUCCGAAGUUGGGUUACUGGUGCUGGAAAAUUCAGAUUUUCAGCAGCGGUUCUCACUUCUGGAAAUUCUUCCGUAAAGUUACACAUCCUUAAAAAUUAUGGUGAUUUUUUUAUCAACUUAUCUAUGUAUAAUAUGAUUUCAUGUUUAAUUUCGUAAUUUUAUUCGUUAUGGUUAAAUUAUUAACAAUUGUAACAUGCGACUGCUGCAGACCUGGAAACUGUUUUCCAGAAAUUGCAGAAGCUGAUACGUGUAACAGUUUGGGCUAAUUUAUGAAAUACUACAGGCCGUGUUAGGAUUUUAUAAUGAAAUUUCAAUCUUUCCUCUGUCUUUAAAAACUGCAAUUGCGAUUUUUGGGCAUGUAAUCUAAAAGAUAUGAAUUUUUGAAAUUCUGUUUUCAAAUCUGGAAUUUUCUGGACAGGUUAGAUGUUCUCGGAAAUAAAACACUUUUAAAAUAGUUUCAGACGUCCAAAAAUUAUGAAUUUCAAUUACAUGCUUUCUGGAUGUGUCUACUGUAAUUAGAAAAAAGAAACAGAUUAUUUCGAGAACUAAAGAAUAGUUGAUGAAUUUCCUAAGUGAUAAAGGUCUGACUUGGUCAAUGCUGGACAGUUUUGUUACUUUGGUGAAAGGUCAAUAUUCUGACUUGAUUUUCACUUGUGCUGAUUUUUGUGAAUUUUUGUAUGCAAUGCUCUGCAUGUUCACAGUGUCUUUGUAAAUUUUGCAUGGUUUUCCGACAUGUCUAUAGGUUAUUAAAAAUCAGCAUGUGUAAGAUACUCAUACUUAUGUCUAGAAUAUGUAUAAAUAUUGAGCUAAUAUAAGUGCUUAUGAAUUAAGGAUGAUUGAGAUUAUAUUUAAGGUUAGAGAUGAUAUUGAUAAGGAUAUUUUUAUAAUGAUUAUAGCACGUGGGUGAGCUCGUUGGUUUGUUCUUAAGGUAUUGAGUUGAUUACUGCGGAUCGAGGUCAGUAGAUUCAUGCAUGACGUGCUUUAUAAUAAAUGUAAUUUAUGUUAUAAGAAUUAUGUUUAAAUGGAAAUUUUUACAAAAUUGAUUUCUAAAAUAUCUAAAUGAAUUUUGUAAAAUAAAAACACUUUUAAAUGAAUUUAUAAAAAAUGUAUUUUAAAAUAAAUUUUUCUUAAGAAAUUAUUUUUCUUAAACAAAAUAUUUUCUUAAAGAAUUUUCUAAAAUGUUUUAGAAAAUGUUCUUAAAUGUUUUAGAAGACUUUAAAUGAUAUUUAUGAAAGGAUGUAAGGUGGAUUCAAAAAUAUUUUGGCUCAUAGUCCAUAGAAUGUAUACAAUGCAAAUGUUAUGAUGUUAUGUAAUGCUAGGGUGUUAGAGUGCAAUUUAUGCACUAGUUUUGCAUUGUUUACUUCCCUUAAUAUCGAUGUUUUGCACUUAAUAAUAGUGAUUUACUUGUGUUUUACUUUUGUAGGUGCAAUUCUAUUGAUUGGUGAUAAAAUUGAGUUACAAGAUGAUGUUUAAGGAUGAUUGUUCUCUUGGAGAAAUUAUGAGCGUCAGAAGACACUACUAGAAAAAUGAGUUUUACUGACACUAAUUUAGCGUCAGUAAUUACUUUUAUUGACACUUGUUAAUUGUGUCAGUGUUGCUCAAGCCAGAACACACUGACACUAAUUUUUAGUGUCAGUAAUUUUUGUGUCAGUAAUUUGUUUCACUAUAGUAUCACUAAAAUAAUGACACGAUGAUGUUGGUAUUUAAUGAUACUAUUUACACGUCAGUGAUUUAUGUGACUAUAGUAUCAAUAAUAAGCUAGCUCGAUAAUAUAAAAAAUUAUUAAUGUCAAUUUAAAUAUUUAGUGUCAGUAUUUAAUAAUGUUAUGCAGGAUUGGUUAAUAAAUUUUUUUUAUUCUAAUUAUAUUUUUCCUGAAUGUUUUACAACCAAAAGAAAGCUCAAAAUAUAUUAAAUAUAUAAAAUGUCACAAUAUAAUUCACAUAAUAAACAUCCCAAAUACAUCACUCAAAUUCACAUGAUUCAACUACACCACUAUCUGGAAAAGAAAAAUAUAAGUACUAAAUUAAGUUUUCAACAACCACAAAGUACUAAUUUAGUUUCCACCAAAAAGAAGCACAAGAACAUCACUCAACAUCCAUCUGCAGCUUCAUUUUUUUCCCACCUACAACAACAUAAAAUCAAUUAGUAUGGAAAUAGAUUAUCGAAAACAAAUUGAUUGUGAGUAGUUAAACAGAGCAAUUGAAGGAUGUUUCAACAACUAAUAAAACAAUAAGAAAUAAGAUUACAAUAAUACUGAAAGUUAUAGAAAUAAAGAACCUUAGCUUAAGUUGUCUGAAGAAACCAUGUUGGAUAACCUGCUACAAGUCACAGAAAACAAAACAUCUAAGUCAAUCUAAUUAAAAACUUCCUAUUUUUUAUAAUCAAACAACAGAAAUCUGCAAUCAAAACAUCCAUUUGCCCACUCAAACUUUCAGCCUUAGCAUAAACUUCUUUCACUUUAAUCUCAUAAAACUUGUCAAAUUUAUGAAACUCUCAUCAAGCCUUCUAAAAAACUACCGCUCUCAUUCCCCUCCUUCCUCAACAAUCCUCAAAAGUAUUUUCAUUGCAAAAUAGCCCAAAAAAAUUAUAGGAGUUGUUUUGACUUUAGAAUAGCAACAAAACAGCCCCGGGAAAUCUGUAGGGGCUGUUGUGCAGUGAAAACAGCCACUAGAAAUUUACAGGGGCUGUCUUGUUGCUGUUCUAUAGUAGAAACAGCCCCUGCAAAUUAACACUUUCAAAUGAAUUAGAAAAGAAAAUAAUGUUACCUAUGAUAGUCAUCAUUGUUGAAGUCAUAGCAGAUAGCCUGCAAAUUAACAAUAAUAACAGCAUUUACAUCAGUUUAUGAAACUGCUUUUAUUGGUUUUUUUUUUUGCAAGGAUAUGUAUAUAAAUAAUAGUGCAUUUAAACUUACAUAUAUAAUGCAUCUUAGACCAGCCAUUAAUGUGGUAUAGUUUUUGUAAAGUACCCUAUUUACCUCAGAAACUUCAUUUUCCUCUAUGCCAAGAUUUUGAAUUAUCUAUUAUACACAAAGUAAAUUUGUAGAAACUAGUUAUACAUUUGUUAAACAAAUAAACAACUUAAAUGACAAAAGUUUACUAACUGAAUAGAAAUGCACCAAGGUCAUUAUAAAUUGGCACUACUUACUGAAAUGAUCAACAACAUUGACACUAACACCUCAUACAUAAAUUCAGAUUUUAAGCGUAUAAAGAGAGUUCAAAUGAAUGAUUGCUUAUACAUUUUAUAACAGAUUUUACAACAAUAAAGUAGAUAAAUGGCAACUCUACUAGAGGUAUGUUUCUAGUAUAAGGAAUCAAGCAUAAGUAAAGGAGCAAGGUAGUAUCUUAUCAUCCGCAUAAUCAACACACCAUGACAGAAAUCGAAUCAAAUAAAUACUACGAGUGCCGAAUGGAAGAAAGAAAUUAAAACAUUUUCUGUAAAAUAUUAUUAUUAAUCAAUAACAUGUCUUAAUAUAAAGCGAAAAGUUUCCGAUGAUAAUAUAAAUAUCCAAAACUAUAUAGUCAAAUACUCAAAAGCUGAAACCAAAAUAUCAGAAAAAAAUUUAUAAAAGCAAUAACAUGUGAUGUCUUAUCAUUUACAUUUUUCGAUAAACAUACUUGCCGCAUGCGAAGCACGGGACAUCCUCAAGCCUGGCAAGUCAUUGACGACAUGGUUUCCCUUAUUUGCCGCUUAUGCAAAGGUGAAACGCUACCUCAUUCUUUAAAACACAUCAAAGUUUGCUGUCUUCUCCAGCCAUAUUUCAAUCUGAAAAGGAGCAUUACAAGAGCAACAAUCAGCUCCUGAAUGUGAUAUUAUAAAAAGAAUUCUGUAUCACAUAUAUCCAAAUGACCUGAACAUCAACACAAAAUAUUAAUCAUCCUAGAGGGAAAUCAACAUUGCUGACAAAACCACGUCUACCAAAUAUAAUGUACACAGAAUUAUCCAAAAAUAUGAUGACCUAAGAUCCUCCAAAUCACCAGCUUUAAAUAAAAAAGUCCCCCCAAAUCACCAUCAAAAUUUGACUACACUGGGAGAAUGACGAAGAAGCAGAAAAUCAAAAAGAAAAAGCUAUAUCGUCCAUUCUUGCAAUUUCUGAAAAUGAAGGAAUAUGAAGAGGACCAUCCACAGCAGGUUUUUAUGUUGCACGUAUGAUACAUUAGUAAACCAUGCAGAAAUUGAAAGAAAGCACAAAAAGAUAAAGCAUCCAUUUACCUUGGCUUUCUGGACGGGUCGUCCUCGAGAUUCAUCCCUCAUAUCAACUGUCGAGGUCAUGAUCUCUGCAAGAGUACAUGUUAAUUACUGAACAAAUUGAAACUUCAUGGGUGGGGUAAAAGAUGUCUUAACUGGAAAUUAGAAAAUCUUACUCUUCUCAACAGCCAAACCAUUGUUUUUCAGAAUUUCAGCAACUGUGACAACUGUGGCAAUAGCUGCAGAAAUAACGAGAAAAAAGAAGCUUUAAGCGCAGAAUAAGCCAUCAUAAACAUUAUGUCAGAACAAAGUAAGAAAGACUUGUUUGAGCCCAGUAAUGGCAUUGGCAUGGACUAGAUGGAAUAAAAUGCAUUCAAAUGAAAGCUAAUUCGAGCACAAGUAUGUUUAUCGAAAAAUGUAAAUGAUAAGACAUCACAUGAUAUUGAAGAAAUCAGGAGCAAUAAAAACUGUUCACAGGAUAAAUUAAAAAGUGGAAUCUCAACUCACUGUCUCAGGCGGCCGGCGCGAUGGCGACGGCUGAACGCGGCUGCAAAAGCAAUAAUUUAGACUGGAGGGUGAGAUGGUGACCAGAGACGGAGAAAGUGAGAGCGACUAAACGAGCGUGAAAGAGAGGGGUUGUUGCUGCUGUGUGUGCCUUCAGAGAGAGAGUGAAAGCGAGCGAGCUACUGCAGUGUGUGGUGCGACCCGCUGGGCUGCCGCCGCCGCCGCCGCCGCGUGGGCUGCGUGUGCCGUUGUCAUCGUGCGUGCUACUAAGGCCUUAGAGAGGGGCUGCCGCUGGUUAGCGCUUAGGGAGAGUUAGGGAUUUAGGCACUUGGAAUUUUAGGGAUUUGGAUUUUAGUUUGUUUGAGAGGGAACAAAUUUUGGUGGAGGGAGAUCGAAAAUUUUGUGUUAAAUUAUAGCAAAGGGUUUGUAGUUAAUUAUAUACGGUUUAACCAAACAAAGAAAAUAUGCACACAAGUGGUUUGUAGUUUGAAAUUAAAAUUUUAACUUCGGACAUAUUGAGUUCGAGUCCAAGUAAAAACAUAAUUAGAAUUAUAUUUGUUUUUAUCACUGAUACUAAAGUAUCAGUAAUUACUGAGUUUUAUGCUACUGACACUUUAGUACCAGUGAUUUAUGAUACAUAUUUGUUAAAUGGAAAAAAUGAUCCAAAUGUAUAACAUUACUGACACUUUUUACGAAGUGUCAGAAACGAAGUGUCAGUAAAGGUCAUUUUUGUAGUAGUGAGAACUUUGUUGAUAAGGCGUGGGCGCGUGCUGUCAACUACGGACCUACAGUUUUUAGUUUAACGUGUUUUGUAUUUUUAGUUAUUUUUGUAAUUACGCAUUUAAAAUUUCAUAUAUUAGUAUUUUAUUUUAAAUAGAACUCUAGAGGAGAAGAGAGAGAGAGUAUUUAAGGGAGGAAUCUAUUGUGAAAAAGGGAGAUUUUUUAGAAAAGAAAGAAACCCUAGAUCUAAUUUUUUCUAUUCUCUCUAUGAAGAACUAAAUCUAUUAUUCUGGUUGAAGGUUAAUGAAGCUUUGAUUCAUCACUACUGUGAGAUCUUUCUUAUGCUUUAAUUGUUUUAUUACUUUUUGGGUAUUUGUUUAUUCUCUGAAUUGUUAUCAUGAUUAUGUUUGUUAAUUAGAUAAUUGACCACUAUUUAAUUAUCAACUUAAUCUAUUGUCAAUUAAAGGAUUCAUCGUAUGAAGAUUUUAAUGUUUGUGACAAAUAACAUAGCAGUGAGUUGUGUUGUGAGAAUAAACAAUCUAAUUUAAAUGAACAAUCGUAUGUGUUUGUUGAUUAGGAUUUGGGUCUCUAUGGUUUUUCAGGCUGUCAAUUGAUUAAAUCCUAUGAUCGUAUCUAGGGUUGUCUAUUGAUUAGGGAAAUAACCAACGGUCGUACUGUGAUUAUCGACUAGUUAAGGAGAGAUUGACUAUUAGAGGGUCUCAGUAGCUAUAACCGUUCUAUUCAUAAGUAAUAAUAAUUUAUAUUUGAAUCAAUGAUCAGUAGUCGAAUCAAGCUGAGUUAAUUCCUUCAACCAAAGCUUUCUCCAAUUUGAAUUACAACUUUAAUUUGCAUUCUUGUUAUUUUAAUUUGAUUUUUAUUAUUGUCAACAAUUCCCCUAUUUUACAUUUUACAUUUUAAAAGGAUUUAAUUAAUUACUGAUCUCUGUGGACACGACCCUGCUCAAUCACUAUACACAAUUUAUUUAGAGUAGAUAUUUAUUUUUGUUGGCUUUGACAACCAUCAUAUGGCCAGCUUGCUGAUAUGAUGAUGAUCUUGUGCACAAGGAUGUUAUGAACAAUGUGGGGUAUAGUACCCUAAAUGAGAAACAAUGCGGGGUAUAAUACCCUAAAUGAUGAAUGAUGAAUGAUGAAUGAUGAAUGAUGAUGACUACGAGGCAUGAGCUACCAAUGUUUAUGUUCUAAUGUUUUUAUGAAUAUUUUAAUGUUUUUAAUGCUUUUACAUGAAUCCACCCCUUAUGCUAAAUGAAGAUGUUGUUAUAAAAUGUUUAAAGGUAAAAUGACAAAGGUUUUCAAAUAUUGUGCAUGGAUCUGCUUACUAUGUUGACGGCUUACCCCUCGUCUCCAAUAUUUUGCAGAUUGAUUAGAGAUGUGGCUUGCGUUCUUAGAUGGAGAAAUUUCUUAGUGGAUCUUUGGAGUUGCUUUAAAGAUUAAAUUUGGCUAGACUUUUUAUUUUGAAUUAGAGACUUUUUUUGGAGACUUUUUCUCAAAUGUUUUUUUGUAAGGAUUCAGUUGAAGUAUGAAUAAUGAUUGUCUAUCUUGAGAUUUAUUAAUAAGAAUAAAUGAUGUGAGGUUUCAUUUCAAUUUUACCCCUGUGUUUUCAUGGGUAAUUUUUGGGGUGUUACAGUCUGCCCAUAAUUAUGCAUUACAUCCCAUAAAAUUUACAAACUGAGAUAAAGAAAAUUGAGUCUAUAAUCGAAAAAAAAAACCUGAAAUUGAGAUUGAGAGGAAAUGGCGAGGGCAAUUUGGAGAAAGCAAAGUAUGAAAACAAAUCGUGAGAUGAUGUGAUGAACUGAGAUUUUACUUACUUGCAAAUAGAGGAGAGCUAAAAAGAUUGUGUUGCGUAUGAAGAGAUGAGAAAGGGGAAGAGACUUGACUUAAAUGUAUUUAAGGUAUGCAAAUUAUAAAUUGAAUAAUGAAUGUAAUAGAAAGUUUAAAUUGAAGGCUGAGAAGUAAAGAAUGUAAGAGAGUUUAAAUAGAAAGUUGAGAAGUAAAGAAUCUAAAAGAGUUUAAAUAAGAAGUUGACAAGAAAAGAAUUUAAAAGAGUUUAAAUAGAAAGUUGAAAAGAAAUGAAUUUAAAAGAGGAAUGAACAUGCAAUUUCUCUCUUUUGCCUUUUAUUAUUUUGUCACUUUUAUUAUUAAGGAGGUUGUUAAUUUUUUUUAUUCGAACUAAUAUAUAUCACUUAUUUCUUACUAAUUUUAUAAUAUCUAAAAACUCUCUCGUCGCCAAAAAAUUUAAAAUAAAAAAGAGGUAAAUGAGUUUGAAACGACCCGCCCCGAAUCUUCGGGACGAGUCUAUCUAAUCUCGCCUAACCAAAUUGAUAAUAAUUCUUAUAUCUCAUAAUUUUACCAAAAUUUCGGUAGAGUCUCCUAUAUAAUUUUGAAAUUCUCAAACCUACAAUUUAUGAAAUUAAUACUUCCAAAAUAAUUCAAUAUUCAACCAAUGUCCACAACCAACUUUCUCAAUCAACAUACCAAAUAUCACCCAAACAUUAUAAUAUGAAAUACAGUAAAGUAUUCUUAAUCACAAAUAUGUAAUAAAUUAUACAAUCCAAACAUCCCAAUAAAAUAUCUAUGAUUCAUAGCACCAUCAUGUGGCUAUAAUCUUAAAUCUAACUACCGUUGCUGGGUCGACCGAUGUACCUGCAAAUCUCCUGUUGGGACGGGGGGGGGGGGGAGAAUAUAAUAAAAAUGGAAUGAGUAUAAAACUCAAUGAACUCAUUUGAAAAAUAAAUUUAUUUAAAAUUAUUUAAUCUUUCCCAAAUCAAUUUCAUCAAAAUAUCAUAAGAACUUACAUAAACUUAUUUAAUUCAAAUCAUGCACUGAAAUAACAAUAUCAUAUAAAUCUGCAUAAAAUCAAUGAAAUCAUAACACUUAUAUCAUCAAACACUGAAUACCGGAUCUAUCACCAAACAAGUACCUAAGGGAAUAAUCUCAUCAUAUCUGGACUUCGACGGACGAGCAAUUAGGGAACCAUUAUGCCCCGAAGCUACAACGGAUAGACAAGGAAAUAUCAUCUCAUAUCUCAUAUAUCUCAUCAUAUCUGUGCAUGCAUAAUUGGUCCCCAAAGGACAAAGCGCCGAAGCACACGGCCCAAAGCCUCCGUGUGUACUCAGACGGGCCCCAAAGGCCUAUAUCACAUCUGUAUCACCAUAUCUCAUCUGUAUCAUCAUAUCUCAUCUGUAUCAUUUAUAUUUCAAUAUAUGUAUCUCUGUAAUCAUCAUAUUGCAUGCAUACACCCCUAAAAGGCAAAAGCGUCCAAACAUAUGGCCCAAAGCCUCUAUGUGUGUUCAGACGGGCCCCAAAGGUCUCUCAUAUGAUAUCAUAUGUAUCACUGUAUUCAUCUCAUAUCAUCUGUAUCACUGUAUUAAUCUCAUAUCAUCUGUUUCUUCUUCAAGUCUUUUAAAUUCUACUUCUGCGCCGCAGUUAAAGUGGCUUCAUUUUCUGGCACAAUAAAACCUUUCUCCACGACAUCCUAUACGUCAUAUGCACCUAAUAGAGCCUUCAUUUUAAUACUCAAAUUAUCAAACUUACUUCCCUUUAAUUGUGGAAUCAUACCACCAUUUGCCAUAACUCACAAAUUGAGUGAGAAUUUUGAGAUUGUGAAUGCACGGAUGGAUCCUGCACGUCAAAAAACUUUGGGAGGGACUCGAGUCAACUUUCUGUCAACAGUCAACGGCAUUGUAAUUGACUUGGUUCGGUCCGGCUUGGUUCCGUUCGAGUUGGCUCAGUUCGAAUUGAUUCAGUUUAGCUCGGCUCGGCUUGGUUCAGUUCGGCUUAGCUUGGUUGGGUUCGGUUCAGCUUGGUUCAACUUGGUGAGUCGACUCAGCUUCAGGACAAAAAAAUUUUGGCGGCGAGUGUGGGUGCGUCCGGCCUUCAAUCGGGCUGAUUUUUAUGACGUCACGUUCCUCUCGUUGAGAUCUUCAAUUUGAUAUGUUAUAUGACUAUAUAUAACAUCGAACACUAGCUCUGAUACCACUUUGUUGGAGAAUCAACAUAUUAAACACAAAAAAAAACACACUAUUUAAUUUCUUCAACAAUACUCCUCACCAACUAAAACUCUUAUUUUUCACUCUUUACACCUUAGAGAUUUUUGUUACUUCACUUUAUUCUUAAACAAAAGGGGAGAGGGGGUAUUUAUACAUGAAACAAAUUAAUCACAACCAUUCAUUUAUUCAACAACUACAUAAACCCUCACAAUUCAUUAAAACUUACCACUAACCUACUACACCGACCACACCUAAUAUAAACAAUUCAAACCUCACCUACCAUACCUACUUAUGGAACCUUCCAUGAGUUGGGCUUGAAUUUAUUCAUCUUGGAUCAAGUUUAUGAUCCAACACAAUAUAUGUAAUUUAUGUCAUUUUGAAAAUAAUUUGUUGCUUUAUCUAUUUCCUGUUCUGUUCAAUAGCAUGAAUUGCUGUAAGCUGAAAUUGAGUUCUUGCAAAAAAGGGUAAUAAUUAAAAUUCAUUAAAUCCUGUUUAGCCUUUUUUUCGUUUUCUUCCAAGCUUUUAUGGAACUCUUUAACAUUUUCAUUUUCAUAGGAGAUUGAGCUAGAAAAUGAAAGCGUGUGUCCCCGAUCUAAGGUAUGCAAGCCAGUCCGUUGUAUGCAUAAUGCAUUUGUUCUCGCCCUCUUCCAAAAUUUCAGCAUGUUAUUAAAAUUUCAUUGUUUCUGAAACUCAGAUAGCAGAAGUGGGAGAGGUUUCAACAAGCAAACAUGGUGACUGGGCAAGAGCUGAAUGCAAUCCGAGCAUUAGCUUCUCGGAAUUUCUUUAGUCCUGCUAUUAUCGAGGGUGGCGGCACUACUUACUCUCACCCGGACAAGAAGAUACUCCAUCUCGGGUAAUUAAUUCUCCCAUCACAUUUCAUUUCUACGCGCUCAUAUUGCACGUGCAUCAAUGUUUUCUCCCGUUUGCAGGUAAGCUAGAUGUUGGAGAUCAAGCUUGUGGCAUCUCAGUGCGAGAUAUACGAUCAGACUAUCAUUAUCUACUGAAUGUGUAUUCUACUUGAUACCUAUUUUUGAAACCAGCAAUAUAUCAAACUGGAUGAGUUUGUGUGUAACCUAAUUACUUACGCUGACUUAUCAUUGGCUUUUUCUCCUUGGGAGACCAGUUAUUAUGCUGCAACUUAAUAUCUAUAAAACUGAUGUUGUAUGAUGUCGAAGGAUUUGCAUUACGUAAAAAGUAAAUAAAGAAUGUGUUAUACAUGCAUAAAUAAAUAUUGUACUUGAUAAACCUAGACUAUGAGCUAGUUGAAGUUUGGUGUGAGUUAAAGAAGGGUCAUAGGCUUGAUGGUUUUAUUGUAAGUCUCUUGGAUAUUAAGAUUACUCUAUUAUACGAAAGGAGUAAAUACUAUACAAGCAAACUAUUAAUACAAAUUGAUAUGACAUUAGAAGAGUGAAAACAAAAAAGUGAAGGUACAAGAAAACUCGAGUGUAUGUUCGAGUUUUUUGGAAAGUCAUUGAUUGUUAAAAGCGCAAAUUUUGGGUUGUAUAUGUUACAAAUGUGGAAACAAGAUAGCGUGAGGAGAAAAAGGAAUCAGAACUCUUUGGAUUCACCGUGUAAGAAAAGAUUCUAAACGGCUCCAUAAAAAAAAAAACUUCAUUUGAUGUAAAUAUAAUUUUUUCCAUAUAAUAUAUACUAUCCUAAGACCGCAUUUCCAGAUGGGACUGGGAACAUUUACAUAAUACAGAAUGCAAGCUUCUCGACUGUAGUAAAACACUGAUAAUAAAUACAGUAUUAACUUCAAAUAUUAUCUGAAAAUGUAUACUUUAGGUGAUUUUCACGCCAAUGGCAUAGAGUGCCUGCAGGUGAUUAGGUCAAAGAAUGGCACACCCUUCUUUUUCAGCUCGCUUACGGAGCUCCUCAGCCUCCCACUCAGCUCUUUCAAGAUUCUCUCUAAGCUUACGAAUUUCAUCAUUUGACUUCAUUUGAGCUAAUUGUGUAGCCCCAUCUGCCUUUAAUCGUGCAGCAUGCUCCUCUUCCAAUUGCUGUUCGAGCCUAAUUGUUGUCUCUUUGAGCUUAGACUCAACCUAUCCAAAAAGCAUCAAUAUACAUCAUAAAACAUACCACUAAGCCUUAGAGUACCAACAUAAUACAAAUAAAAUUGGGUAUUGGUAAUAUAAAACUCCAACUUAAGAGAAGAAAAUUCCUAAGUAUUAAUUUAGUUUAAUUCAAUUGCAAAAGGAGUUGCUAAGUUCACCAUACUCCGCAUAACAUUCUUACUUUAAUCAAUUCCAAUCUCUCAAUCAUGAUAAAUGAUAGAAACAAAAGCUUAAAAAAAAACAGACAAUACAAUAUCCAUACUAUUACAAGAAGUGUUCUUGUGAUUGAUGACUAAACAAGUGCAUAAUCCAUUCCUAAGUGUAAGUCAUGAUGAGGAAACCACCUAUAAUCUACUUAAUUUCACCAAAAGAAGAAACAAAACAUAACAAAAUAGUCAAACAAUCUUUAAGGUAAGAACAACAUGUUUCAACCUUCAAAACACAAUAAGUGAACAGAUAACUUAAUAACAAAUUUGUCCUUAUUAACUAACAAGAUAAAGCGUCUUUUUAGAUGGCAAUCUAUAACAAUUUAGGGGUAAGGACAGAGUGGCAAUCUUUACCACCUCCAAGUCUUAUAAUUUAGAAUAGGGAUAUUAUCAUUUUACUACUAAAGUUUUACUGACAUAUCAUGUCAGUACCAAGGUUUGUCAAAAAGUGCAUUUUACUACCAAAGGUUUGCGCCGAUAUCAAUUCACUACCGUUCCGUUAACAACGUUAAAAAUUUGCUGAUGUCAUAAAGGCAUCAAAGACAUUUCUAGUUGUAAGAGUAAAAUUGUCUGUUAUGUCAUAGAUAAAUUAUCAUUUCACUACAAGGUUUUUAGGGGAUUUAUCAUUUUACUACCGAAUUUUUAGGGGAAUUAUCAUUUUACUACCAAACUCUUAAGGGUAAAAUCGACUUUUAACUCAAUUUUCGUUAAACAUUAACUUUUUCUUAACGGAAUGGUAGUGAAUUGAUAGUGGCACAAAACUUUGGUAGUAAAAUACACUUUUCGGCAAACCUUAGUACUGACAUGGUAUGUCAGUAAAACUUUGGUAGUAAAAUGAUAAUUUCCCUUUAGAAUAUCGUUACAGAUACCUACACACUUUAUAGGCAUUUGUUAAUUACAUAGUUUUAAAAAUGAUUACCCGAUCUUAGAGAUGAACACAUAUGCAUGUCAUAUUUUGAUGUCAAAAAAAGGAGCAUAAAAAGUACCAUCUCAGUAAUUCGUUUGAUUUGAUCUUCAUAUGAUUCAUGCAUCUGGUCUUCAGUCUCCCUCUGAGCCCUUUCAAGAUUCUCUCUAAGCUUAUGAAUUUCAACAUUUGACUUCCUUUGAGCUAAUUGUGCAAACUCUUCUCCCUUUAACCGAGCAGUUUGCUCCUCUGCCAAUUGUUGUUCGAGCCUAGUUGUUGUCUGUUUGAGCUUAGACUCAACCUAUCAAAAAAGCAUCAAUAUCAAUCAUAAAACAUGCCACUAAGCCCUAGAGUAGCAGCAUGAUACAAAUGAAGAUUAGGUAUUGGUAAUAUAAAACUCAAACAUAAGAAAAGAAAAAUCUUAAGUAUUAAUUUAGUUUAAUCCAAAUGCAAAGGGAGUUGCUAAGUUCACCAUACUUGGCAAACCUUUCUUACUUCAAUCAAUUCCACUCCCUCAAUCAUGAUAAAUGAUAAAACAAAAGCUUAAAAAAUAAACAUAUAAUACAGUAUCCAUAGUAUAAGAAGAAAUGUUCUUAUGAUUGAUGACUAAAUAAGUGCAGAAUGCAUUCCUAAGUGUAAGUCAUGAUGACAAACCACCUAUAGCUACUACCAGAGAGUAAUCAACCGAAUUUCAUCAAGAGAAGAAACAAAACAAAACAAGAUAGUCAUAUCAUCUUCAAGGUAAGAACAACAUGCUAAAGCCUUGAAAACACAAUAAGUUAACAGAUAACUUAAUAACAGAUUUGUCCCCAUCAACUAGCGAGGUUAAACGUCUUUUCAUAUUGCAAUCUCUAGCAAUUUAGGCGAAAGGACAAAGUGGCAAUUUUUACCACCUCCAAGUCUUACAAUUAAGAAUAUCAUUAUAGGUACCUGAACACCUUAUAAGCAUUUUUUAAUUACACAGAUUUAGAAAUGAUUACCCGAUCUGAGAGAUGAACACAUAUGCAUAUUAUAUUUUGAUGUCAAAACAAGGAUCAUAAAAAGUACCAUCUCAGUAAUUCGUUUGAUUUGAUCUUCAUAUGAUUCAUGCAUCUGGUCUUCAGUCUCCCUCUGAGCUCUUUCAAGAUUCUCUCUAAGCUUAUGAAUUUCAUCAUUUGACUUCCUUUGAGCUAAUUGUGCAGCCUCUUCUCCCUUUAACCGAGCAGCUUGCUCCUUAGCCAAUUGUUGUUCGAGCCUAGUUGUCAUAUCUUUGAGCUUAGACUCAACCUAUCAAAAAUGCAUCAACAUCAGUCAUAAAACAUGCCACUAAGCCCUAGACUUGCAGCAUAAUACGAAUAAAGAUUGGGUAUUGGUAAUAUAAAACUCCAACUUAAGAAAAGAAAAAUUUUAAAUAUCAAUUUAGUUUAAUCCAAUUGCAAAGGGAGUUGCUAAGUUCUCCAUACUCGGCACAACUUUCUUACUUUUAUUAAUUCCACUCUCUCAAUCAUUGAUAAAUGAUAGAAACAAAAGCUUAAAACAUAAACAGAUAAUAUAAUAUCUACAGUAUUAGAAGAAAUGUUCUUAUGAUUGGUGACUAAACAAGUGCAGAAUCGAUUUUUAAGUGCAAGUCAUGAUGAGCAAACCACCAAUAGCAACUACCAUAGGGUAAUCUACUUAAUUUCCUUAAGAGAAGAAACAAAAAAGAGCAAGAUAGUCAAACAAUCUUUAAGGUCAGAACAACAUGUUACAGUCUUCAAAACACAAUCAGUGAACAUAUAACUUAAUAACAGACUUAUCCCCAUCAACUAGCCAGAUGAAGCGUCUUUUCAUAUGGUAAUCUCCAACAAGUUAGGGGUAAGGAAAAAGUGGCAGUCUUUACCACCUCCAAGUCUUACAAUUUAGAAUAUCUUUACAGGUACCUGCACACUUUAUAGGCAUUUUUUAAUUACACAGUUUUAGAAAUGAUUACCCGAUUUGAGAGAUGAACACAUAUGCCUGUCAUAUUUUGAUGUCAAAACAAAGAGCAUAAAAAGUACCGUCUCAGUAAUUUGUUUGAUUUGAUCUUUAUAUGAUUCUUGCAUCUGGUCCUCAGUAUCCCUCUGAGCUCUUUCAAGAUUCUCUCUAAGCUUAUGAAUUUCGUCAUUUGACUUCCUUUGAGCUAAUUGUGCAACCCCUUCUACUUUUAACCGAGUAGCUUGCUCUUCUGCCAAUUGUUGUUCGAGCCUAGUUGUUGUCUCUUUGAGCCUGGACUCAACCUAUCAAAAAAGCAUCAAUAUCAGUCAUAAAACAUGCCACUAAGCCCUAAAGUAGCAGAUAAUACAAAUAAAGAUUGGGUAUUUGUAAUAUCAAACUCCAACUUAAGAAAAGAAAAUUCAUAAGUAUUAAUAUAGUUUAAUCCAAUCGCAAAGGGAGUUGCUAAGUUCACCAUACGCGGCACAACUUUCUUACUUCAAUAAAUUCUACUAUCUCAAUCAUUGAUAAAUGAUAGAAACAAAAGCUUAAAAAAAUAAAUAGAUAAUGGAGUAUCCACAGUAUUACAAGAAAUGUUCUUAUGAUUGAUGACUAAACAAGUGCAUAAUCCUAAGUGUAAGUCAUGAUGAGCAAACCACCUAUAGCUACUACCAUAGACUAAUCUACUUAAUUUCACCAAGAGAAGAAACAAAACAGAACAAACUAGUCAAACAAUGUUCAAGGUCAAAACAACAUGUUACAGCCUUAGAAACACAAUAAGUGAAUAAAUAACUUAAUAACAUAUUUGUCCCCAUCAACUAGCAAGAUGAAGCAUGUUUUUAGAUGGCAAUCUCCAACAAGUUAGGGAUAGGGAUAGAGUGGCAGUCUUUACCAUCUCUAAGUCUUACAAUUUAGAGUAUCAUUACAGGUACCUGUACACUUUAUAGGCCUUUUUUAAUUACACAAUUUGAGAAACGAUUACACGAUCUAAGAGAUGAACACAUACGCAUGUCUUUUUUUAAUGUAAAAACAAAGAGCAUAAAAAAUACCAUCUCAGUAAUUCGUUUGAUUCGAUCUUCAUAUGAUUUAUGUAGCUGGUCCUCAGUCUCUCUCUGAGCUCUUUCAAGAUUCUCUCUAAGCCUAUGAAUUUCUUCAUUUGACUUCCUCUGUGCUAAUUGUGCAACCUCUUCUUCCUUUAACCGAGUAGCUUGCUCUUCUGCAAACUGUUGUUCGACCCUAGUUAUUGUCUCUUCGAGCUUAGACUCAACCUAUCAAAAAAGCAUCAACAUCAGUUAUUAAACAUGCCACUAAGCCGUAGAGUAGCAGCAUUAUACAAAUAAAGAUUAGGUAUUGGUAAUAUAAAACUCCAACUUAAGAGAAGAAAAUUCUUAAGUAUUAAUUUAGUUUAAUCCAAUUGCAAAGGGAGUUGUUAAGUUUACUAUACUCGACAAACCUUUCCUACUUCAAUAAAUUCCAGUCUCAUAAUCAUUGAUAAAUGAUAGAAAUAAAAGCUUAAAAAAUAAACAGAUAACACAGUAUCCAAAACAUUACUCUUAUGAUUGAUGACAAAACAAGUGCAGAAUUCAUUCGUAAGUGUAGGUCAUGAUGAGCAAACCACCUAUAGCUACUACCAUAGAGUAAUCUACUUAAUUUCCUUAAGAGAAGAAACAAAAAAGAGCAAGAUAGUCAAACAAUCUUUAAGGUCAGAACAACAUGUUACAGUCUUCAAAACACAAUCAGUGAACAGAUAACUUAAUAACAGGCUUAUCCCCAUCAACUAGCCAGAUGAAGCGUCUUUUCAUAUGGUAAUCUCCAACAAGUUAGGGGUAAGUAAACAGUGUCAGUCUUUACCACCUCCAAGUCUUACAAUUUAGAAUAUCUUUACAGGUACCUGCACACUUUAUAGGCAUUUUUUAAUUACACAGUUUUAGAAAUGAUUACCCGAUUUGAGAGAUGAACACAUAUGCAUGUCAUAUUUUGAUGUCAAAACAAGGAGCAUAAAAAGUACCAUCUCAGUAAUUUGUUUGAUUUGAUCUUUAUAUGAUUCUUGCAUCUGGUCCUCAGUAUCCCUCUGAGCUCUUUCAAGAUUCUCUCUAAGCUUAUGAAUUUCGUCAUUUGACUUCCUUUGAGCUAAUUGUGCAACCCCUUCUACUUUUAACCGAGUAGCUUGCUCUUCUGCCAAUUGUUGUUCGAGCCUAGUUGUUGUCUCUUUGAGCCUGGACUCAACCUAUCAAAAAAGCAUCAAUAUCAGUCAUAAAACAUGCCACUAAGCCCUAAAGUAGCAGAUAAUACAAAUAAAGAUUGGGUAUUUGUAAUAUCAAACUCCAACUUAAGAAAAGAAAAUUCAUAAGUAUUAAUAUAGUUUAAUCCAAUCGCAAAGGGAGUUGCUAAGUUCACCAUACGCGGCACAACUUUCUUACUUCAAUCAAUUCUACUAUCUUAAUCAUUGAUAAAUGAUAGAAACAAAAGCUUAAAAAAAUAAACAGAUAAUGGAGUAUCCAAAGUAUUACAAGAAAUGUUCUUAUGAUUGAUGACUAAACAAGUGCAUAAUCCUAAGUGUAAGUCAUGAUGAGCAAACCACCUAUAGCUACUACUAUAGACUAAUCUACUUAAUUUCACCAAGAGAAGAAACAAAACAGAACAAACUAGUCAAACAAUGUUCAAGGUCAAAACAACAUGUUACAGCCUUAGAAACACAAUAAGUUAAUAAAUAACUUAAUAACAUAUUUGUCCCCAUCAACUAGCGAGAUGAAGCAUGUUUUUAGAUGGCAAUCUCCAACAAGUUAGGGAUAGGGAUAGAGUGGCAGUCUUUACCAUCUCUAAGUCUUACAAUUUAAAAUAUCAUGACAGGUACCUGUACACUUUAUAGGCCUUUUUUAAUUACACAAUUUGAGAAACGAUUACACGAUCUAAGAGAUGAACACAUACGCAUGUCUUUUUUUAAUGUCAAAACAAGGAGCAUAAAAAAUACCAUCUCAGUAAUUCGUUUGAUUCGAUCUUCAUAUGAUUUAUGUAGCUGGUCCUCAGUCUCUCUCUGAGCUCUUUCAAGAUUCUCUCUAAGCCUAUGAAUUUCUUCAUUUGACUUCCUCUGCGCUAAUUGUGCAACCUCUUCUUCCUUUAACCGAGUAGCUUGCUCCUCUGCCAACUGUUGUUCGACCCUAGUUAUUGUCUCUUCGAGCUUAGACUCAACCUAUCAAAAAAGCAUCAACAUCAGUUAUAAAACAUGCCACUAAGCCAUAGAGUAGCAGCAUUAUACAAAUAAAGAUUAGGUAUUAGUAAUAUAAAACUCCAACUUAAGAGAAGAAAAUUCUUAAGUAUUAAUUUAGUUUAAUCCAAAUUCAAAGGGAGUUGUUAAGUUUACUAUACUCGACAAACCUUUCUUACUUCAAUAAAUUCCAGUCUCAUAAUCAUUGAUAAAUGAUAGAAACAAAAGCUUAAAAAAGUAAACAAAUAAUACAAUAUCCACAAUAUUACAAGAAAUGUUCUUAUGAUUGAUGACUAAACAAGUGCAGAAUCCAUUUCUAAGUGUAAGUCAUGAUGAACAAACCGCCGAUAGGUACUACCAUAAAGUAAUUUACUUAAUUUCAUCAAGAGAAGAAACAAAACAGAACAAGAUGGUCAAACAAUCUUCAAGGUAAGAACAACAUGGUACAGCCUUCAAAGCACAACCAGUGAACAGAUAACUUAAAAACAAAUGUUUCCCCAUCAACUAGCGAGAUGAAGCGUUUUGUCAGAUGACAAUCUCUAACAAGUUAUGGGUAAGGAAAAAGUGGCAGUCUUUACCACCUCCAAGUCUUACAAUUUAUAAUAUCAUUCCAGGUACUUGCACACUUUAUAGGCAUUUUUUAAUUACACACUUUUAGAAAUGAUUACCUACUCUUAGAGAUGGACACAUAUGCAUGUCAUAUUUUGAUGUCAAAAGCAGGAGCAUAAAAAAUACCAUCUCAAUAAUUCGUUUGAUUUUAUUUUCAUUUGAUUCAUGCAUCUGGUCCUCAAUCUCCCUUCGAGCUCUUUCAAGAUUCUCUCUAAGCUUACGAAUUUCGUCAUUUGACUUCCUUUGAGCUACUUGUGCAACCUCUUCUCCCUUUAACCGAGCAGCUUGCUCCUUUGCCAACUGUUGUUCGAGCCAAGUUGUUGUCUGUUUGAGCUUAGACUCAACCUAUCAAAAAAGCAUCAAUAUCAGUUAUAAAACAUGCCACUAAGCCCUAGAGUAGCAACAUUAUACAAAAAAGAAAAAGUGACAUUGUGAUGACAUAUUUAGAAAGAAGCAGCACAGAAGUCUAUCACGAUAGUAAUGAAGUCACCUUCAGCUCAGCAAAACACUCGUUCGUGUAUGGUUGCCCACCAUUCUUAACGUUCACAGCGUUAACCAAAGAAAGAAGCUGUUGAACCUGUUCAGUUCUCUUGGCCUCAUACUUGGUCUUGUUAUCAAAAAGCACCCACCUAUUAUCACAUAGUUGAAGGAUUUCCUAAAAUGAUGGAAAAAUGAUAAGAAAUAAAGCAAAUGUUAGCUCCUUUCGUAAGCACUAAUGAACCAAUCAAACACUUGUAGUUUCUAAAAGUUUCCAGAUAUUGAGCUAACAAAAUUUGUUUUUAUUGUGAUCAUUGGUAUUUAAUAUCAUGCAUCUGCGCAAAAACUAUUUAAGGGCAAGCAAUAACAAAAAAAAAAAAAAUUAACAAUCAUCAUCAUCAUUUGCAUAUAUUCUAGUGAAAAGCAUUGACCCAAUCAAAAUUAGUGGCUACAAAUUAGUACCUGCCUCUUCAAUAGGCAAAAGACUGUACUAUUGUCAUAAACAAACUCAAGUGACCAAACCUCAAAACUGCCAAAAGGCAUGAUAAUAUUUUCUGUGGCAUCUACAUAGUUGACCUAAUUUUGCGGCAUUAUAAUUAAAAAAAUUUGAUUCCUUAAAACUACAAAAAUUAGUGCAAUAAAAAAAAAGUUCACUUUAACUGUAAAACAACUCCUUUUUUUUAAUUGCAGAGCUACAACUUGAAUGGGUCUUUAUCUUCAUUUUUCUUAUUUUUCUUCCUACUUCUCAUAGGUUAAAUCAAGUUUAUCUUCAUUUUUCUUAUUUUUCUUCCUACUUCUCAUAGGUUAAAUCAAGUAUGCAGUAAAAUAGAGGAACUUGAUAUAAAUCUUUCUCAACUUAAAAUGUUUUAGGAACCAAAUUCAUCAAGUAAGUUAUGAGAAUAAGAGAUUUGCGUGUUGAAACUGAAAAAAGAUCUCACAUUGAAAUUUUAGGCACCAAUUCUAAGGCUUAGACUUGAUAUUUUAUUCUAACAACGCCUAAUAAAAUGGACUUGUAUAGGAAGUCAUAUCCUCCUUGGCACACUUUUAAAAUCUUAAAAGUAGGUUAAUUUUAAGCGUUUAAAUCAAAGAGGCAUAUAUUUUAAGAAACAAACAAAUGAACACAAAUUAAUCAAAUAAGAACCAAGAUUAAAUAGCAGAUAGAGGGUGCGUUUGGGAUUGAGCUGCUGUAGUUUUUAAGCUACAACUGUUGUGGCGAAAAAGAUGUAACUAUGAAACAAAAGUUAAUAAUAUGUAGUAAAUAUAAAUUAUAAAUAAUAAUUUUAACAAAAUUGUUAAAAAUAUAAUAGAAUCUCCAUUAUACAAGUAAAAAAUCAUAUUAAUAUAGUUUUUACGUUACAACAGUUAGUAUUUACCAAACACUUUACUGCUAUAGCUUUUAAGCUACAAUUGUCCAACCUCAAUUCCAAACACACUCGAAAUCAAAGAAUACAAAUAAGAAAAGAAUAAAUGUUUAGCAAAUGAAUUAAUGACAUCUCAUUCGAAGACAUUAAAAUAUGACUAAAAUUAAGUAAUGCCAGCAGAAAAUUACCAACCAAUCACCUCUCCGGCCAAUCCCGCUUGGCAGAAGAAAACCAUUCAGGAAAUGAAGCACUAUUGAAAAUGGAACUUUAAGACGGUUGGCCUACUAUAAACGUAUCUAGUAUUUUUCAGCUUGCAUAUAUUCAUAUUAAACUUCCCAUAGUCCAACAGUAAAGGAGUCUAAAACUUCACAAAAGAACCAAAGAAAGACAACUUGAUCAAAAUGACUAAUGAAAUUAUCGAAAACUAUUGUCGUUCAGAAACAAACCUUUAAAGACUUUGGACACUCAAGACCCAAGUAAUCUUCUAAUGUUUUCUCAUUAUCUUCAAGAUCAUCCCCUCCAGUGAAAACAACAAUCAUAUAGUCAAAAAUUUUUUUCCCAAACAAGGUCUGUAAACGGUGUACUGCAGCUUCUUCCUCUUGAGAAAAACGACUUCUAACAGAGAAAACUAGAAGGACUGCUUGGAUCCCAUCCUUGGCCAUACCAAUACAUUUGGCAAUUUCCUUGCUAACAUACUCAGAUUCAGCAGAAGAAUCAAAAAGUCCUGCAAUCGCUCAUAACAUCAAUCUACUUACCAGCACAACAUCAACAAGCAUGGAAUGGAAUAUCUAGGCACCAACAUUAGUAAAUUACCGGGGGUAUCAAUGACAUUAACAACUUGGCCAUCUUUGAGUACGGUUGUCUUCAUUUCACAAGUUUUAGUGAUAGCAGAUGAGCCAGCACUCGCCUUGAAGGCUCUUCUUCCGAGAAUACUAUUGCCCGUCGCACUUUUGCCAUUGCCAGUACGACCAAGUAAAACCACAGUGCGCUCCCCAUUAGAUGAAGAAGUAGGCUUCCAAUCACCAUUAAUCACUCUUUCUCCCAUCCUUAAAAAAAUUUCAAUUUACUGGCAAUGCAUUUACAAUAUCAAACCACUUCACAUUGAAUUCAUUUUUUAUCGUUAAACAAUUAGAAAGAAAAUUUAGUUACCAUACCCUGACAAUUUCACUCCAUUAAAACUUAUAUAUGUUAUUACUUUAAAUAUUAUCCAAUCGAACAUGAAUAAAUUCAUAAAAAAUUAUUAAAAAUAAAAAUCAUUCAGACCCCAACGAUAUAGUGUAAAUUCAUAAUCUUAAUAAAAAUAUGAUGAAUCGAUAUAUAAUCAGGCACAAAAUCUAAACAGCAUCAGUUAAUUAAUUAAUUGUCCCGGUAUAUAUUUUAAUUUAAUUAUGCUUGUUUUAUGAAAUUGUUGAAAAAAAAAUGACGACGAUCAAUUAUGCACGGUGGCGAACCUAGACACUUCAAUUAGGGGGACUUAGUCAAAAAACUUUUAUUUAAUUUGGUUUUUUUUUUAAUGUUCACACCAAUACAUUUUAAGUCUCAUAAACUCAAAUUUCGUUACUUUCUUUUAAAUUCUAAAUAAUAAUAGUAAAAAACUAUUUAUUUCAAAUGCAUGAAAGUAUAAUUUUUCUAAGUAGUUUCCACAAAAUAAAAAAAAAUAAUGUAGCUAUUGGGAUUUGAAUCAGGACUUUAAAACCAUCAAAUAAACUCUUACCAUUGAAUCAAAAGUCUUUUGUUACAUGAAAAAUGUGUCCAAUUUUUUAUUUAUUUAAUUCUUUUAGAAAUGGCUUGAAGUACAUUUAAAAGAAAAAUUAAUGGCCCUGAAGGGGCUGAACCCCCUCCUAAGCCUUAAUUGGGUCACCCAUGAUUAUGCAUUACAUCCCAUAAAAUUUACAAACCGAGGUAAAGAAAAUCGAGUCUAUAAUAAAAAAACAAAAAUUGAGAUUGAGAGGAAAAGGCGAGGGCAAUUUGGAGAAAGCAAAGUAUGAAAACAAACCGUGAGAUGAUGCGAUGAACUGAGAUUUUUCUUGCGAAGAGAGGAGAGCUAAAAAGAUUGUGUUGCGUAUGAAGAGAUGAGAAAUGGGAAGAGACUUGACUUAAAUUUUAGGAUUUAAGGUAUGAAAAUUAUAAAUUGAAUAAUGAAUGUAAUAGAAAGUUGAGAAGUAAAGAAUCUAAAUGAGUUUGAAGAAAAGAAUUUAAAAGAGUUUAAAUAGAAAGUUGAGAAGUAAAGAAUGUAAGAAAGUUUAAAUAGAAAGUUGAGAAGAAAAGAAUUUAAAAGGGUUUAAAUAGAAAUUUGAGAAGAAAAGAAUCUAAAAGAUGAAUGAACAUGCAAUUUCUCUCUUUUACCUUUGAUUAUUUCGUCAUCACUUUUAUUAUUAAGGAGGUUUUUAAUUUUUUUUUCCUAUUUGAACUAAUACAUAUCACUUAUUUUUUACUGGUUUUAUUUAUAUUGAAGCAUAUAUUUUUAUUUUUAGUAUUUAAAAUUUUUAUUCUAAUUUGUAUUUGCAUUAUUCAUUUAAUUUAUAAUAAAUAUGAAUAAAAGUUUAUUUAAAAAUAGAAAUAAUACUAUAAAAUUAUACUAUUAAAAAAUUAUUAAAUAUUUUAUAAACAAUACUAAAGUAAUUAGUAUAUAUUGAUUUGAAUAGAGGAAUACCGGCGAUCUCCCAUUAUUAUUAUUAUUAUGGAUGUAUCAUCUAUAUCAUCAUAUCUCAUUUGUAUCAUUUGUAUCUCAAUAUAUGUAUCUCUGUAAUCAUCAUAUUGCAUUCAUACGCCCCCAAAAAGCAAAAGUGCCCAAACACAUGGCCUAAAGCCUCUAUAUGUGUUCAAACGGGCCCCAAAGGCCUCUCAUCUCAUAUCAUCUGUAUCACUGUAUUCAUCUCAUAUCAUCUGUAUCACUGUAUCUAAAGGGGAAGGGUACUGUCCAUUGAUUUUCCAAAUAACCUUUUAUACACAUGUAUAUAUAAACACAUAAUCACAUCUGAAAUCUCAUUUCCUUUUUAGUUAACAUAUCUCAAGUCUACUGAAUUAUAUUAUCAUGCAUUUUCUCAAAAACGAUAAUAAAAUCAUUAAUCAAACUCAUUUUUAAUAGUAAUAAAUAACAACACAUAGAUAAAAAUCAAUUUUCUGGGAAAUCAUCCAAUCGGAGCAUUAAAUACUUAUUUAUCAAAACAUACUGUACUAUAUCAUAAAAUGAAGAUAGUAUGUGGCUAUUGGGAUUUGAAUCAAGACUUUAAAACCAUCAAAUAAACUCUUACCAUUGAAUUAAAAGUCUUUUGUUACAUGAAAAAUGUUUCGAAAUUUUGUUUAUUUAAUUAUUUUAGAAAUGGCUUGAAGUACAUUUAAAAGAAAAAUUAAUGGUCCAGGAGGGGGUGGGGUUCAAAGGGGCUGAACCGCCUCCUUGGCCUUGGGUCACCCAUGAUUAUGCAUUACAUCCCAUAAAAUUUACAAACUGAGGUAAAGAAAAUCGAGUCUAUAAUAAAAAAAAACAAAAAUUGUGAUUGAGAGGAAAAGGCGAGGGCAAUUUGGAGAAAGCAAAGUAUGAAAACAAACCGUGAGAUGAUGCGAUGAACUGAGAUUUUACUUACUUGCAAAGAGAGGAGAGCUAAAAAGAUUGUGUUGCGUAUGAAGAGAUAAGAAAUGGGAAGGGACUUGACUUAAAUUUUAGGAUUUAAGGUAUGAAAAUUAUAAAUUGAAUAAUGAAUGUAAUAGAAAGUUGAGAAGUAAAGAAUCUAAAAGAGUUUGAUGAAAAGAAUUUAAAAGAGUUUAAAUAGAAAGUUGAGAAGCAAAGAAUGUAAGAAAGUUUAAAUAGAAAGUUGAGAAGAAAAUAAUUUAAAGGGUUUAAAUAGAAAUUUGAGAAGAAAAUAAUCUAAAAGAUGAAUAAACAUGCAAUUUCUCUCUUUUGCCUUUCAUUAUUUCGUCACUUCUAUUAUAGGAGGUUUUUAAUUUUUUUUUUUCUAUUUGAACUAAUACAUAUCACUUAUUUUUUUAGUGAUUUUAUAAUAUAUAAAAACUCUCUCGUCCCCAAAAAAAUUAAAACAGAAAGGGAAAAUGAGUAAUUUUUUUAAUAACUUAUCUUGGAGUCAUAAUAUAUGCAUUCAUUAUAAGAAAAAUAUUUAAAAAUAACAAAAAGUACAAGAAAAUAUUUUAUAAUUAAUUUUAUUUAUAUUGAAGCAUAUAUUUUUAUUUUUAGCAUUUAAAAUUUUAAUUCUAAUUUGUAUUUGCAUUAUUCAUUUAAUUUAUAAUAAAUAUGAAUAACAAUUUAUUUAAAAAUAGAAAUAAUACUAUAAAAUUAUCCUAUUAAAAAAUUAUUAAAUAUUUUAUAAACAAUACUUAAGUAAUCAGUAUAUAUUGAUUUGAAUGGAGGAAUAUCGACGAUCCCCCAUUAUUAUUAUUAUUAUGGAUGCUCCUUUAUUAAAUUAGUGUAUUCAUACUUUAUAGGGGUUUUUUGGUCAUUUACACGUCAAGACCCCCAGAUUCCCCAGAAGUAAUAUUAAGAGAAGUAGGGAAGAAUAUCAAUCGCCCUUGCCCUGGGCAAUGAAAUAUUAAUCUUGUUAACUUAUCGACUCGUGUUUCCUGCAAAGGGAAUGUCCACACGACAACAUUUCCCAAGGGUAAAUCUCCCCUUUGAGAGUGCUCAGAGGCCUUCUAGAGGAAAACAUGAUGGUUACGUGCGUCUAAAACUUUCCAAUAAAUGAUAUUCCAAUUUCCUUCUCGACCCAAAUUGAAAAUUAGGGUACGAAAUAAUCAAAACUCUUUUUUGAUUUUCGAUUUCAAUACAAUCGGGACAAAUUGAAUGCAAUGAAAUGAAGAAGCCAUUGCAGAGAACCAAAGUAGUGAUUCGUCAUUUGCCUCCUUCCCUUUCUCAAAAUGACUUUUAUAAUUGAUUGAUUUUAGGGCUUUUUUUUUUUAAAUUACAUUUUAACUUGGAUUUUAGUUUUUUAACAGUUACAAGCAUUAGACGUAUUCACGAGCAUAUGAAGAAUUGAAGAAGCCUGCGGAUGUGUUUGAGUUUGCUGAGUUGUUGAAUGGACAUGUGUUUGUUAAUGAAAAGGGUAAUUUUGCUUUCCCUUUUGCUUUUACUUAUCAAUCUUAAUUUGGUAAGAAUGAGUUUAUGUUGUUUUAAAUGAAAAGGGCACUUUCUGUUUGGUUAAUUAUAUGUGUUAUUGGGUUCUCGAUUAGGUGCUUAGUUUAGGGCUAUUGUUGAAUAUGCUCCAUCUCAACAUGUUCUUACAUGCCUUAUUCUAGAGAGGAUAGUCGUGAAGGCACCAUUUUUAAAGGUAAUUUUUUAUUUAAAAAAACUUAGGGUAAUUUUGGGGUGGAAGUGCUGUGGCUUUUACCAAUACACUUAAGUUGCUAAAUUUCAAAGUUAAGUAAAAGCACAACAAUUACAAAGCAUACCUUUAUUUUCUUUAUCUUCUUAUUGUUUUUAGAAGUACUGUAGCAAUAAGCUGUUUUUUGUUUUGAUGUGGACAAUAAAGACCCGGAUUAUUUGGAGUUCCUGAAGGUUAUUGCUAAACCUGCUGAGAAUCUACCAAGUGCAGAAAUUUAGUUGGAAAGAAAAGAAGCAGAGCUAUCUGGUUGGUUAGUUAUUUUUAGAUGAAUUUGAUGAAUACAACCUGUUGUUCCUAGUGUGUGUGUGUGUGUGUAAAUGUAUGUAAUUUAAGCUAUAAAAUAAAUAAAUUCUAGCACUGUUACUGAGAUCAAUGCUCAGGUACAUAAUUCAUUAUUUAGGCUAUAAAUUCAGGCGUUGGUAGGAAUAUAUAUUAUUAUGAAAAGGUGAAAAAAAACCAACUUAUUAUCAUUUAUUACCACAUAGCUAGCAUUGAAAUAUAAAGUUCCCAAUAAAAUUUUAACUUCUCCCAUUACAUGUGACCCAUGGAAACGAUACUAUCAGCAGGUGUCAGCAAAGUUGCGGUAGCAAAUUUAAAUGUCACAUAAUUCUAACAGGUAUUUUCAAUUAUUUCAUCAACAAUCAUUUUCAUAUUAAGCAUAGUUAGUUAAUUAUGCCAAAAUAUACAAUUUCAAUUGAAUUUGCAAUUGGUUAUCUCACUCUUGACUCUUCAUAUAGGCAUUUUGUUAAGUCCAAUAUUUAUAGAGUUGGCAUUUUAUGGCAAGUCUAGUUAAAUUAGAAAUUUAUUUAUUGGAUAUCUUGUAAUAGGGAUUAUUUUAUUAAUUCCCUAAUUUAGUGAGAUUCCAAUUUAUUAGGAAUAUUUGUUUCUUAAUUUAAUUAGAUGUCUAAUUUAGCAAGUCAAUUAAUGGUGGGAUUUUAUAAUUGGCGCAUGAGAUUUAUUUAGAGCAAGAAGUUGUUUCAAACAAGAAGUUUAUUAAAUGCUCUAGAUAUUUCUUGAGAGACAAGCAAGGUAAGAAGAUUAUAUUUAUUCCUAUUUAGAUUCAUGGGAAUUAUAAGAGGAAGGAAACUCUUAUUUGGAAAGAAUCCAAGUCUUUUAAGACUUGCUAUUUUGGUGAAAUCCUAGUGCCUAUAUAAAGAGAGGUAUUUCACAAUUGAAGAGUACACAACACAGAGCAUAAAGUAGAGAAGCAAAAUUCGGCCUCCUCCCCAGAGAAUCCAGAUUUGGCGCAGCAUGUUGUGUUGAUUUGUUUUCUUAUCUUCUGUUCAUCUCUGCGGAGAGUCUAUGUGGAUUUUGGAUCACUAGACAUUGAAGAAUUGAAGAAUUGCUAUUGAUCACUUUGAGAAGUGCCUUGAGGAUCGUGGAUCAAGAGGGGUAGCGAUUAUUCAAGAGAAGCAGAUUCAGUCUAAGUUUGAGUAAACUGUAUGGUGAUAAACUAUAAGUGAGAGUCUUAAGUUUGGUAAAUCCAUAGGUUGUAACAUUUAAAUUUAGUGAAUUGCUUUUCAUCUGGCCAUGGCCUCGUGGAUGUAAGAUUGGUUAAUCCGAACCACGUAAAAAUCUCCGUGUAAUUUAUUUUCUGCAUUUUAUUAUGUUUUUGAAAAUUAAUAUUUUUGAUGCAAAUGAAUAGUAUUCGUGAACAGUAAUAGUAAACAGUCGUGGUGAACCGUAGUCGUGAACAGUAGUCAUAAACAGUAACAAUGAACAGUACUUUCGAAAAAAAUUAAGUUGUUAAUUUUUUUGGUUUUUAAUUACCUAUAUCUAUUUCUAAUAGAGCUAAAUUCCUAACACAUUUGAUGGGUGAUUCUUUGAGUUCUUUAACUGUAAAGGAGCUUAAGCAACUGGAGAACAGGCUUGAGUGUGGCAUCACUAGGAUUAGCUCCAAGAAGGUACCUAAUUAAUUGCACUAUGCAUGCAUGAAAUCGACAAAAAAAAUAAUUGAAUUUGAGCAAUACACCAUUGUUUUGCAAUAAUACAUUUGCAUAAACUUUAUCGAUAUACGUUCGGUAUAUGUAAUUUAUGUCAUUUUGAAAAUAAUUUGUUGCUUUGUUUGUUUCUUGUUCUGUGCAACAGCAUGAAAUACUGCUAGCUGAAGUUGAGUUCUUGUAGAAAAGGGUAAUAAUUAAAAUUCAUUAAAUUCUCUUUAGCCUUUUUUUCGUUUUCUUCCAAGCUUUUAUGGAACUCUUUAACAUUUUCAAACUAUGAUUAUCUAAUGAAUUUGUGUGCUACUUGAUACCUAUUUUUGAAACCAGCAAAUAUAUGAAACUAGAUCAGUUUAUGUGUAACCUAAUUACUUACGAUGAAUUAAAAUUGGCUACUUCUCUUUGAGGGACAAUUAUUACGCUAAAACUUAAUAUCUAUACAACUGAUUAUGUAUGAUGUUGAAGGAUUUGCAUUACCUAUAAAGUAAAUAAAGAUUGUGUCAUGUAUGUAUAAAUAAAUAUUGUACUUGAUAAGUUUAGGCUAUGGAGCUAGUUGAAGUGUGGUGUGAAUCAAAGAAGGGUCAUAAGUUUGGUGAUUUAUUGCAAGUCUCUUGGACACUAGGAUUACUCUAUUAGUCUGUUUGAAUUUUUGGAAAAGUCAUGAUUGAUAGAAGGGCAUAUCUUGGGUUGUAUAUGCUACAAAUGUGAAAACAAUAUAGCGUUCGUUAAGAGCUCAAUGAAGAGAAAAUGAAUCAGAUCUCUUUGGAUCCACCGUGUAAGAAAAGAUUCUAGACGGCUCCAUAAAAGAAAUUUCAUUUGGUGUCAAUACAGUUUUUUCCGUAUAAUACUAUCUUCAGACCGCACUCCGGACUGGACUGUGAAGAUUUACAUAACCCAGGAUAUAAGCUUCUUGACUGUAGUAAAACACCGAGAAAAAUGCGGCAUGAACUUCAAAUAUUAUCUGAAAAGGAAGAGGAGACAAAAAAAAUAUACUUUAGCUGAUUUUCACGCCAAUGGCAUAUAAUCCCUGCCGGUGACUAGGUCAAAGAAUGGCACAAUCUCAAAUUUCAACUCCCUUAUGGAGCCCCUCAUUCUCCCUCUGAGCUCUCUCAAGAUCCUCUCUAAGCUUAUGAAUUUUGUCAUCUGACUUCAUUUGAGUUGAUUUUGCAGUCGCUUCCACCUUUAAUCGAGCAGCAUGCUCCCUUGCCAAUUGCUAUUCGAGCCUAGUUGUUGUCUCUUUGAGCUUAGACUCAAACUAUCAAAAAAGCAUCGAUAUCAGUUAGAAAACAUGCCACUAAGCCCUAGAGUAGUAGAAUAAUACAAAAAAAAUUGGGUAUUGGUAAUAUAAAACUCCAACUUAAGAGAAGAAAAUUCUUGAGUACUAAUUUAGUUUAAUCCAAUUGCAAAGGGAGUUGCUAAGUUCACCAUACUCGGCGAAACAUUCUUACUUCAAUCAAUUCCACUCUCUCAAUCAUUGAUAAAUGGUAGAAACAAAAGCUAAAGAAAACAAACAGAUAAAUCUAAAAUAUAAAGUAUUAAAGAAUCUACCAACUUUUUCAUUUUGCCACACUCCAGGAAUGUGGAGAGUAAAACUUAUUAGCAUCUCAGGGAUGUAGUCAUCCCACAGAAUGUUACAGCAAAUCCAGAUUAUUGUUGAAUAGGAUUUGGCUUAAUGCCGGAUCAUUCUACUGCCUUUCUAUAAAUUGAAACCGUCGAAAGGAAAAUCAAAACUAUGUAGCUAUUCGAUUAGGUUUCAUGUGCCUAACUAUAUUUUCAUAAAAAUUUAUUUUGAAUGUGGCUAUUCUAUUUUUUAAAAAAUGAGAAUAUGACAUAACUUGCUUAUAACACGUUAAUUGUUCCCACAGGAUCUACAUUAUUACAAGAAAUGUUCUCAUGAUUGAUGACUAAACAAGUGCAGAAUCCAUUCCUAAGUGCAAGUCAUGAUGAGCAAACCACCUAUAGCUACUACCAUAAAGUAAUCUACUUAAUUUCAUCAAGAAACAAAACAGAACAAGACAAUCAAACAAUCAUCAAGAUAAGAACAACAUAUUACAACCUUCAAAACACAAUAAGUGAGUAGAUAACUUAAUAACAAAAUUGUCCCCAUCAACUAGCAAGAUAAAGUAUGUUUUCAAAUGGCAAUCUCCAAAAAUCUAGGGGUAAGGAAAGAGCGGCAGUCUUUACCACCUCCAAGUAUCACAAUUUAGAAUAUCAUUACAGGUACCUGAACACUUUAUAGGCAUUUUUUAAUUACACAGUUUUGGAAAUGAUUACCAGAUCCGUGAAAUGAACACAUAUGCAUGCCAUAUCUUGAUGCCAAAACAAGGAGCAUAAAAAAUAUCAUCUCAGUAAUUCGUUUGAGUUGAUCUUCAUAUGAUUUUUGCAUCUGCUCCUCCAGAUCUGAAAUUUCUCGUUCUUAAUAUUUCUUGAGAGAAAAAAAGAAAUAAAAACACAAUCAGUGAACAUAUAACUUAAUAACUUGUUGAUCAUGGAGUUUAAUAGCCCCUGUCUGAGUAGAAAAAAAGAAAAAGAGACAUUAUCGUGACAUAUUAAAAAAGAAGCAGCACAUAAUUCUAUCACGAUAGUAAUGAAGUCACCUUCAACUCAGCAAAGAUUUCGUUUGUAUAUGGUUACCCACCAUUCUACAUGAUCAGAGAGUUAACCAGAGAACGAAGCUUCCCAAUUUGCUCAGUUCUCUUGGCCGCAUCCUUGGUCUUGUUAUCAAAAAGCACGCACCUAUUAUCAAAUAGAUGAAGGAUCUCCUAAAAUAAUGGAAAAAUGAUCUGGAAUAAAGCAAAUGUUAGCCCCUUUCAUAAACAUUGAUAAACCAAUCAAUCACUUGUAGUCUCUAAACGUUUGAAGAUAUUUAGCUGACAAAAUUUGUUUUUAUUGUGAUCAUCGGUACUUAAUAUCAUGCAUCCCCUAAAACUAUUUAAGGGCAAGCAAUAAUCAAAUUUUAAUAAUUAAUUCCAUUCUCCUUAUGGUUUGACCGCUUACAAUGACAUUUUAUGUCCAUCAAAUUUUAAGACAUUAAAGGGUGAUUAGCAUUCCAUAUAACUGAAAUAAUAAUAAUAAUAAUCUGCAUAUAUUCCAGUGAAAAGCAUUGACCCAAUCAAAAUUGGUGGCUACAAAUCAGUAGCGGCCUCUUCACUAGGUAAAUUUUUACAUUUGGAAAAAAGAAUGAAAGGCUGUACUAUUAUCGUAAACAAACUCAAGUGAGCAAACCUCCAAACUACCAAAAGAUAUUAUCACAUUUUCUGUGGCAUCUACAUAAUUGACCUAAUUUUGCGGCAUUAUAAUUAAAAAAUUCUGAUUCCUUCAACCUACAAAAAUUAGUACAAUAAGUAAAACAAAGUUCCCUUUAACUGUAAAAUAACUCGAUUUUGUUAAUUGCAAAGCUACAACUUGAAGGGGUCUUUAUUUUCAUUUUUGUUAUUUUUCUUCCUACUCCUUAUAGGUUAAAUCCAGUAUGCAGUAAAAUAGAGGAACUUGAUAUAAAUCUUUCUCAACUUAAAAAGUUUUAGGAACUAAAUUCAUCAAGUAAAUUCUGAAAAUAAGAGAUUUCCAUGUUGAAAAUGAAAAAGAUCGCACAUUGAAAUUUUAGACACCAAUUCUGAGGCUUAGACUUGAUAUUUUAUUCAAACAACGCCUAAUAAAAUGGACCUGUAUAGCAAGUCAUAUCCUCCUUGGCACACUUUUAAAAUCUUAAAAGUAGGAUAAUUUUAAGCAUAUAAAUCAACGAGGUGCAUAUUUUAAGAAACAAACAAACGAACACGCAUUAAUAGAAUAAGAACCAAGAUUAAAUAGUAGAUGAAAUCAAAAAAUACAAAUAAGAAAAGCAUAAAUGUUUAGCAAAUGAAUGAAUGACAUCUCAUUCAAAGACAUUAAAAUAUAAAUAAAAUUGAGUAAUGCCAGUAGAGAAAAUUACCAACCAAUCACCUCUCCAGCCAAUCCCGCUUGGCAAAAGAAAACCAUUCAGGAAAUGAAGCACUAUUGAAAAUGGAACUUUAAGAUGGCUGGACUACUAGAAACCUAUCUAGUAUUUUCAGCAUGCAUAUAUUUAUAUUAAACCUCCAAUAGUCCAACCAUAAAGGAGUCUAAAACUUCACAAAAGAACCAACCAAAGACAACUUGAUCAAAAUGACUAAUGAAAUUAUCAAACACUAUUGCCGUUCAGAAACAAACCUUUAAAGGCUUUGGACACUCACGACCCAAAUAAUCUUCUAACGUUUCGUCAUUAUCUUCAAGUUCAUCCCCUCCAGUGAAAACAACAAUCAUAUAGUAAAAAAAAAAUUUCCCCAACAAGGACUGCAUGGAUCCCAUCCUUGGCCAUACCGAGACAGUUGACAAUUUCCUUGCCGACAAACUCAGAGCCAGCCAAAGAAUCAAAAAGUCCUGCAAUGGCUAAUAACAUCAAUCUACUUAACCACCACAACAUCAACAAGCAAGGAAUGGAAUAUCUAGGCACCACCAUUAGUAAAUGAUCAGGGGUAUCAAUGACAUUAACAACUUGGCCAUCUUUGAGCUUGGUUCUCUGCAUUUCACAAGUUUUAGUAACCCUGACGAGCCAGGCCUCGAGUUCUCGACUUGAAGGCUCUUCUUCCGAGAAUACUAUUGGCCAUCGCACUUUUGCCAUUGCCAGUACGACCAACUAAAACCAAAGUGCGCUCUACAUUAGAUGGAGAAGUAGGCUUCGAAUCGACAUCAAUCACUCUUCCUCCCAUCAUAAAAGAAAUUUCAAUUUACCUGCAAUGCAUUUACAAUAUCAAACCACUUCACAUUGAAUUCAGUUUUUACCAUUAAACAAUAAGAAACAAAAUUUAGUUACCAUACCCUUACAAUUUCACUCCAUUAAAACCUAUAUUUGUUAUUACUUUAAAUAUUAUCCAACCGAACAUGGAUAAAUUCAUAAAAAAAUAUUAAAAAUAAAAAUCAUUCAGACCCCAACAGUAUAGUUAAAUGUAUGAAAGUAUCAUUUUUUUAAAUAGUUAUGACAAAAUAUUUAAAAACAAUAAACAAAAUAAUGUGGCUAUUGAUAUUUGAACCAAGACUUUAAAACUAUCAAAUAACACUAUUGUCGUUAAACUAUAGUUCUUUUGUUACAUAAAAAAUGUGUUCAAAUUUUGUAUCUAAUUCUUUUAGAACGGACUUAGGGAACAUUUGAAAGAUAAAAUGUGUCCGCCCAUGAUUAUGCAUCACAUCCCAUAAAAUUUACAAAACGAGAUAAAGAAAAUAGAGUCUAUAAUCGAAAAAAAACUAAAAUUGAGAUUGAGAGGAAAAGGCGCACUACAAGAAAACUGUGAAUAGAUGACAGACAACUUAUGAUAGAUUCUGAAUAUAUCACAAAAUUAUGAUAGAUUUGUGACAUAAUUUUCAAUCUAUCAUAAAUUAAUGAUGAUCUUGUGAUAGAAAUAUUUUCUAUUAUGAAUUUAUGAUAGCUUUAUGAUAGGAUUAUCAUUUAUCACGAACUUAUGAUAGAAUCGUGAUAGAAAUUUAAUCUAUCAAGAAAUUGUGAUAGAAAAAUUACUUUAACCAUAUUUGACCCAAAUUUUAUAUAUUAUUUUAUUUUAAAAAAACAACAGGUGCGUUUUAAAAAUUAAAAAAAAAAAAGAAAAUGCUAGCAAAAUUGUACCGUUUUGGUGCUUUAAACUUUCUUUCUUCCUUUUUUUUUCCCCCUAAGUGUUAAACAUUCACACACUUAGAAAAUAAAACACGACUUCUCUCGUCACUCUCUCAUUUUUUUCGUUCUUUUGUUUUCUUUCAUUCUCGAGAAACCUUAACGAAAUUUUCUCGGGAACCAAACAGUUUAAAAAUCCUUCGACAAACAGUUUAAAAAUCCUUCGAUUCUGAAGGAAAAUGCAGCACAAGAGUUUGAAGCAGCAUCAGCAAUAGCAACAAGCACUGGUGCAACCAGCGCUUCUUUAACAACAGUCUCUCAACCAUCCCGGCUUCUUAGCCACUACUCAGGUCCAAUUUCAUGUUCGCAUGUUGUUUCUCGUCGUUUAUGUGAAUCCAUUAUGCCGUGAUUUCGAUUGUGUUUUCAUCAUUUCAAGCUUUGAUUUGUUCGCGCUAUUUAGGGUUAGCUUGUGUGAUUUCGAUGUUCUUGUUUGUUUUGGUUUUUAAUUUUCAAGCUUUGCUAGAGUUAGGUUUUGAUGAUUCUUGUUUGGUAAAAAUUGUUUAAAUUUCUGGGUGUAAAGGGUGCACUCAGAUUGUCUAAACUUCAUGUUUUCUUUGCAUUUAUAAUAUCUUGCUGUAAAAUUGAAGGAUGUAAAGGGUGCUGAGAAUUUACAAUAAGUUCAAAACAGAGACUGUUGUGUGCAAUGGUUAAUGAGUUCGUUCUCUUUCUUCUUUCUUUAUUGACUUUUUAUAUUCUACGGUUAAUCUUCUCACAGCUUCUUUUGUUGAAUGAGCAAGCACCCAGCACCCAAUACCAAACACCAAACCAAACGGAACCUUAAAAAAAGAAAAAAAUUGAAUUCUUUCUUUUUCACUUUUUGUUGUUGGUUUAGUCAGUUUUAGAACCCCAUUAAACUCCACAAUAAUCUCACCAGUUUUGAACCUAACUUACUGUACAUGUGCAAAUUCUUUUGCAUCAUGUUUAUCCUGUAAGUCUUUUUACAUGGGUUUCUCUCUUUCAUUUCUUUUUUCUUUUUCUUGCUUAUUGUUUUUACGAGUACAUUUGGUUGGUGGGAAAGUGUGGGAAAUGAGUAAUGGCCUAAUGAGCAUUUUUAGUUUCUGAAAAUUUGAGUUUUCUUAGCAGCCAGACGCAGUUCUAUAGUAUUUAUGACAUUUUUGAUGUUUUGGAAGAGAAAAAUUCUCUGAGACUUAUCAAAUAGCUCGAUAUAAGGUCGAUUUCUGGAUCAUUUUUUGUUUUUGGUUUGGUAUCAGUUAGACUUCUUUCAGGUAACAUUUUUAUUUUUAUUAUUUAACUCUCUAUUUCUCUCUUUGCCUUUCAUAUCUAUUAUGCAUGUUUAUUUAUUUAUGAAUGAGUGUUUAUAUGCAUAUAUGUUGGAAAUUGGAAACUUAAGAUCCGGGGCCUGAUAUGUACUUGUAACUCUUUUACGUAUUCAAGUUGCUUCCUUUCUGUAGAGUUAUGGGAAAGAAAUUAUCUCUUUCUUUUUAGAAUAUUUGGUAAUUGGCAUUAUCUUUUAAAGCUGAGCCUUGUAACAAAUGGAAGUUUAAUAAGCACUAGCCUCUGUAUGACUCCAUUUUUUAUUUUGUUUUUCAAAAAUGAUCAUGUUUUUGUAAACAACAUCAAAUUAUUUAUUUUUUUAAGUAAUAAAAAUAUCUGUAAGUUCAUUUUAUUCAUAUUGUAUUGCAAGUCAUUAACUCAUUUUGUGCUUCUGAGCUGAUGAAGCAGUUGAUGAGUCAUUAAAAUCAUAAUUCGUGACUGUAUGUAGCCUAUUGACCUUGAGUAAAUGUGUCAAGACGACUUCUUUUAAUCUGCAUUCUCUAAUAGAAAUUUCUUGGGAUGGACAGAAUGUGUUAUACAAACAUAAAUUAUGUAACGUAAUUAUACUGUUCCUGAUAAUUUAUCGACACACUGACUGAUACAAAUAAAAAUUUCUUGACAAAUUUGGAAAAAUAAGGUAAAAUGAAUGAAUUAAUGAUAAUGAUAUAAAGUUCUCUGCUAGAAUUUGCUUAUUUGGUAUGCUGAGUUAGGAUUUCACAUAUUGUGCAAGGUAAAAAUGCAGCCGACAAAUAGCCAUGUGGACCUGAGUUUGCUUUAAAGAAGUUCUCCAUUGUUAAUUUAAUUAUUAGUUUACAUAUUAGUAGACUUCAAAAUAAAGCAACUGAUUUUUUUGAAGCCAAAGAAGUUUUCUGAAAAAUAUUUAGAGAGAAAACUGCUUUGGUGUGUAAAUAUUUUCAUUUUAAAAAUUUUAAUUGUUAAUCGUUAUAAGAGUGAAACACGUGUUCUUCCACAUUCAAUUCGUUAAUAUAAUAAUUUCAUGUUGUCUGUAUUAAGAAGCCAGAUAAUGCAGUUUAAUGACUUUGUUGGAAGUGAAUGGUAUGAAUGGGAUGCAUGGGAAAGCAUAGGUUGUAUUGAUAAAUAUAACAAUGAUUACCUUAAAAGAACAUUUGUUUUAUUCUACUGUCUCUUGAGGGUUUUGCGUAUAAAAAGGGCAUAAAUGUUAAAAUUCAAUAUAGUAGAAACUAAGGCAUGCUUCUGAGGCAACAGUGUUAGGUGUGUAUGUACAUGCCUUCGUGCUUGUUUCGUAUGUUUCUUUUAUCUUUAUCAUUCAGUUGUAUUCCAUCUUUUAUGACGUUGUCUAAUCCAUUCGUUGAUAGAUUAGCAUUAUCAACAAUUGUCUAGUAUUACACUACUCAUAUAAAUUCCUUUGUCAAAGUAUUUGAGUUGAAAAUAGAUUCUAGAUCAUUAUUCGUUUAUAGGGACUAUGCUACUAAAUAGAUUUUUAUUCUUUUCCUAGUUUAUUACUUUCGUUGGCUAGCUGAAUGCAUGAAGUACAUUUUGUAACUAGGUCUUUCAUUUUUGAAAAUUUUAUAUUGCAAUUUGUUAAAAUUAAAGUUGUAGUGUCAAAUUAUAGUAGUUGCUGUUAAUGGUUGUAAUGUGCAUGUUAUCAAAAACUUGUUGUGCAAAUUUUAUUGAACUCGCAAGUGCACGAAUCUAUUGUAGUGUAGAUCAAUGGUGACGAGUGUCGAUCCCACGAGAAGGUGGAUUUUAAUUGUGUGUAGAAUUAAUUUUCUAAAUAAGUGGUUGGAUUUGUGGUGAAAAUGAUUUAGAUUAUCCUAAAAUUAGAAUUAAAAUGACGAAAAUAAAUUGAAUAGAAAUUUAUUGAAAUGACGUACUUGGGUAUCUGGAUCCGUAUCAACAUGGACCAUAAAUAUUCCUUAUUAAUGCCAAUUAAAUCAUGAGGGGGGAAUCCACACCUCAUGAACCACACUCUAAUCAAUAUGGUGCUAAGGGUUUAUCGUGCCAAAUAAUAAUAACCUUGUACUAGAGAGCCGGUGAAACAAAGGCGGUAUCUAGACAAGAUUAUUAUUAUUUAUCGACGAGAAGUCAAAACAUCCACAAAAAUUAGAGGCGAAGAGAAAAUAAAUUUACCAAAUAAAGCCCAUGAUACAUGUUGAGACUUCACCUUCAACCCAAGCUUGAAAGAAAAUUAGCUACUCAUAAUUGAACUAAGGGCAAAAUGGGAAGUUAUUAAAAUACGUAGAAAAUACAAGAUAGAGAAGGAAUUAUAGAAAAUGGAGUCCAAAAAUGGAUUCAGAGAUAUCAAAUUUGGGGGGAAAGGCCCCCUUUUUAUAGAUACAUUGAGUAAAUCAUGGUCAUCGGAUUAAAAAUAGUUUGGACGCUCAGUAUUGCGCCACGUCAUCAGUCAACAGCACGCGGUUUGACCACGUGGGUGAACAGUAACACGGUUUGACCCGGCUUUGAACAGUAACACGGUUUGGUUGAAAAUAAUCCUGUGUAAUGCAUGUACCGUACGCGCAAGUUUUGGUCCACUAAUAUGCUGCCACGUCACCAUCAACAGUUCAUAAGAAUUUUAGACCAACAGGAUCAUGACACCUCAUUAGUCAAUGCCACAUCAUCGGUCAAUACCACAUCAUCGAUCCGUCUAUGUGAACAGUGUCGUGAACAGUAACGUAGACAGUACCGUACAUGUGAACAAUGCCAUUUUUCCUUUUAUGCUCCUCUUAAGGUUUUCGACCGUCCUAAGUUAAAAAAUGAUGUCCGUUUUGCCGUUUGAUCUCUCGUUUAUUGUGAAAUGACUAUGAUGCCCCUAAAAUACACAAAAUACUUAAUUAAAAUAAAACACACAUAAUUAAAUUACAAGAACCUUAAAUACAUAAAAGUAAGGGUUGUUAGUAAGACUUGAAAUGUAAAAUGACGAUUUUCUCCUUUAUAAAUAUGCAUUUUCUAACACUCAACACACCCCCCAACCAGCUUAUUGCUAGUCCCUAGCAAAUAAAGUGAAAACAAAAUUCAAAUCCAAAAUGAUUUUUUUUUAACAAUCAUGUUUAUUCAAUCAGACUAAUGAUAGUAAUCAAAUAAAAGUAUAAGCAUUAUCUCCAAUCUAAAAAAACAUCGUACCCACAUCAACCAUCCACAUGAAUCAGCCCAGUAGACUUUAUCAUAGGUACUUUCAAGAAUGACAUGUCAAACCCCAAAAUCUCACUGGAAGUAGUGACACUCUCACAAAGAAAUUAAACCCAAUAAAAAUAGUCACUCCAAUGAAUGGUAAUUAAGAGAAAAUAAUCAAGAAGUGAUAUCACAUGCUCUCACCAAGAUGAAAGAAAUAUGCCCUCAGCUUAGAAAUAAUACGAUCUCAAGUCAAAUAAAAAUGCUAGUUAACCCAAUUUAUUUAUUUUUAUUUAUUAUUUUUUUAAUGCACCACAACAUCUUUUUAGCCCAUAUAACUAGUUUCUACUUCAGAUUAUAGUUCCCUAAAAUCAAGAAGGACUUUUAUUAGGACGUAACGUAGGUUAGAGACAUGGCUAAUAAAGGAAGGGAAAUAAGGAAAACAAAGUGUAUGUUUGAGAAAUAUGUAGAGAUUUUUUUUUUUGAAGUUGCAAGGUGGAUUUCACCUAUUAUUGUUUUUUUUUAAAUAACAAUUUUUUUCUCUUUUUUUUUUUGUUUGGCACAACUUCACUGAACAAAAUAAUUAUUUACAUUUUUUUCAAAUAUAAAUAGGUGAUGAAACAUGUAAGAUAUUGGGUAAUACUCCAAAUCGGAGUGGGUCAAGAUGAUAAGUUUGACAAAGAAAAUAUAUAUAUAUAUAUUUAAAGGCUCAAAAGGGUUAACUAUGGAUAUUUCAUAAAAGGGAUGACUAGAAAGGCUCAAACGGAUCAAAGAUGGCCUUUCCAUAAUCUUUUAGGGCUCUAAAUAAUCUUCCAUAUCUACUAGUUAGAUGGGCCUCCAAAUGUAGCAACACACUUUUUUUUCUCUUUUUUUUUAAUUUUAUAUAUAUAUAUUUUUUAGGGUUAACUCAAAAGAAAUCUAAAGAUCGUGUAUAAAAUAAUAAACUGCUAAGCUGUAUAAAGAAUGGGAAAAAGGGUUACUCUCCAAGAAAAAUAAUAGGCUAAAAAACUCACUUGGUACUUAUUAUGACAUGUUCAUUCCUUCAAGUAACUCAUAUUUGUCUCUGACAUCAACAUGUAAAGUAACAAACAUAGCAUAACAUCAUUUAAGACCAAAGAGAAUACAAAUACUAAAAUUUGAAAUUAAUCAUGUCAUCCAAUGUUAAAACAAAUCACACAAUUUUUUUUUUUUUAAACAACAUCCUACCCCCCAACCUAUUCUAAACAUGAAAGGAAAAUAUGCAUGCAGAAAUGUGAAAAGGAUGCAUAAAAACUAAUUAGAAAAGUUACACUUAAAAUGAUAGAAAAAGAAAAUGGUUUUUUUUUUUUUUUUUACUAAGAAGAUGCGUUUCUAGAGUCACUACACUCCAUAUUCAGCCAUCUUCGACUCAAAAAUUUGAAAAUAUAUAUUUAUAGAGGAGAAAUUAAAAAGAAGAAGAAAAAUAAACAUCAAAACUUAAUAAAGAAAAAGAAAAUGUCGGAAUUUUUUUAUGUUUUUUUUUAAACGAUGAAGAUGCGUUUCUAGAGUCACUACACUCCAUAUUCAGCUAUCUUCAACACAAAAAAUUAGCAACGGUUAGUUUCUACAACAAAAAACAGUAAAAACUUAACCAAGAUUCUACAAUUGUCGACUAUUCCCUCCCCCCAACCAGAACGAAACAUUGUCCUCAAUGUUGUAAAGGAAAGAAGUAGAGUUUAGAAGACAUCACCUAGGUGGUGCAACACAGAAGAAAAUAUUUACAGGCGGAGAGUUAAAUCUAAUUUGUACUUCUUACUGCGGCUACUGUUACCGUCAUUAUUUGGACGCUCCAACACAAAGGUCCAGGGGUCUGGCUCCGGUUUAUAAGCUUGUAACAUAUCAAGUAGUUCAUUAGCAGUGUGAGAACAAAUAAAAAGCUUUUUGGCAUUGGAAGGAACGAAAUAGUUUUUUAUUACAUGGUUAAGAAAUGCAAUAAAGCCAUCAUAAAAAUUAUUGACAUUUAAUAAACCGAUGAGUUUCUGGUGAAUGUGCAGAUGGGCCCAAGAUGCUAGUGUGAUAAGUGCCUCUAGUGUUGCAAGAUCUCCUGAAAGGAAAAUAAAAGCAUCAGCAUGAUUAAGCAUUUCAGUUAUUCUUUCUUGCAUACCUGAGACGACUAACUCUUCUCCAGUCGGUGAGUCAGAAAAAUUGCCCAAAGGUUUUAGGACUCUUGGGAUGAUGCCUAACACUUGGCUUCCUUUGACAAAAGCAGCUUCUGAAACCAAUUUUGAUAACCCUCGGUUACCUCCUUCAUACACCAAGUGUAAUUUUCUCUCUGCUAUGCUUCGACCAAGAUCUACAGCUGCCUCAAUGAACUCUUUAUGUUUGCCAUAGUUAAAUCCAGAAAGCACACAAAUGUUCUUGAAUUGUCUAUUGGGAGUAGCUGCCAUCAGAAUAUUUCUCAAAAAUAAUUUGUGAGUGCUUAACAAAAAGUCAUAUUUAAGAAUCUUGGUGACAGUGGAUCACAACUGUGUAUGAGGUGGCAUGUCAGUGUCAAAUAACGCGUAAAGCACAUGGCUCGUGAGUCAAAAAGGAAACAGUAAAAAGAAAACAAAAUAAUGAUAAAAUAAAAUUGUUAAAGACAAUAAUGCAAAAGAUAAAAUAACAGUGAAAUAAAAUAACAGUGAAGUAAAAGGAUAUUUACAGGUAGUUGCGGCUGUGGCUCACAUCUUUCUUUGGUUUUACGUCCAGAAACAGCUUGAACGCCCUCUAUGGGUCGAGGAUAGGCUUCCCAUCCAGUUUUCUUAUAAAUUGGCAAAUAGGGUCGUUUAUAGUCAGAUUCCCGAGACUAUAUUGUGCAUGCUCUUUAUGGAAUAAUGGCCAUAACUGGAGAAUCGCUCCUUGCACAUAUCCACUGGGAUGCGUUUCAAGAGACAAAAGGAUAUCAUCCAAUGACUCCUUAUUCAAGCCAUCCCUAAUGAAUUGAAUCUUAUCUUCCCUGUUAUCAGACACCAUUCCUAAAGAACAUAAUUUUUUAUCGCAAGUAAUUCUGGCACACUUAUGACAAGCAACAUAAAUUCUUUGAGCUCUUCGUUUUCUUGCAUAAUUUCCUUUACCACAACCAGGCAUGUAUGCAAUAACUUUUGGAGGUAACUCACCUGCCAAUCGUACUUUAGCCUCGAUUAACCAACGGAUGUCAGUAGGUAUGUUAUUCCUCAUGAGCAAUCGCAUGUGUUCGGACCGGGCUUUAUAGAUCGUAAGGAGGGCAUUCUGAGGGAGUGAAGGGAAUCGCUUGUGAAGCUUCGGUAAAAUCUCGUUUCUGUCCAUACCUUCGCCUCAGAAUGUCAGUUAUUAUGGGAAACUGAAGUAACCGACUUGAUUGUCACGGAGUACCGUUAUCCGCCACUUCACCGGGGUAACAAACUAAAGCACACAAACAAAAAAACAAAUUAAAACACACAAAGAAAAUUAAAAUCGUCCUCUUAUUGAAUUUACCUCAAGCUCCAACUAGAUGUCGUAAACACUUCUCUCAAUGUCUCUGAGUUGGCUUUCUAAACCCUCAACAUAGGCUACUAACUCUGGUGGUUGUAGAGCCCAAAUGUGAUGUGUUUUAUAAAAUCGAAUAUGCCUUUUGAGAUGAGAUUUUACACGUUGAAGUGGUUUAAGAAUGUUCAGGAGGAACGGUUUAAGUAUGGUACUCAUGAUUAACAAUGAUAAGAGAAAACUUAAUGGUUAAACAAACACACUUAUGCAAAAAUAAUUUCAAUUAGCAAAAGAAUAAUAAAAAGAAAGAAAGAAAAAAAAUCAAAUCACCAAAAAGAGAAAAAAAAAAUCAAUUCAAAUCUGGUGGGUCACUCAAAUUUAUUUCAGUGUCUUUUCCAUGUGGUUGGUACUCUAGAUAUGACUUUAAUCUUUGACCAUUAACUUUAAACGUGACACCGUUCUUUGGGUCCUUAAUUUCAAUUGCCCCAUGUGGAAAAACAGUAUGAACAAUAAAUGGACCAGACCAUCGAGAGCGUAACUUACCUGGGAAUAAGUGCAAGCGAGAAUUGAAUAAAAGCACUUUCUGACCUGGAGUGAAAUAUUUUCUCAUAAUUUUCUUAUCAUGGAAGACUUUCAUUCGUUGCUUGUAAAUCUUGGCAUUUUCGUAUGCAUCAUUGUGAAUUUCUUCAAGUUCUGCCAGCUGUAAUCUUCUUUCUGAGCUGGCUUGCUGCAUGUCAAAAUUGAAUUUCUUGAUGGCCUAAUAUGCACGAUGCUCGAGUUCCACAGGUAGGUGGCAAGCUUUUCCAUACACUAGCCUGUAGGGUGACAUCCCAAUCGGGGUCUUGAAAGCCGUUUUAUAUGCCCAUAAUGCAUCAUCAAGUCUUAAUGACCAAUCUUUUCUGUCUGACUUCACCGUCUUUUCUAAUAUGUGCUUUAUUUCUCAAUUGGAGAUCUCAACUUGGCCACUGGUUUGCGGAUGAUAUGGGGUCGCCACUUUGUGAGUGAUUGAAUACUUUGUCAAAAGAGCUUUGAAUGCUUUGUUACAAAAGUGGGCACCACCAUCAUUGAUUAUCGCUCGAGGGAAUCCAAAGCGUGAAACAAUGUUGCUUUUAAAAAAUCCUAUCACCACCUUAUGAUCAUUGGUUCUACAUGGAAUUGCUUCUACCCAUUUCGAUACGUAGUCAACAGCAACCAAUAUGUAUUGAUGGCCAAAAGAAGAGGGAAAGGGUCCCAUGAAGUCGAUACCCCAUACGUAAAAAAUCUCAACCACUAAAAUUGGAUUUAGUGGCAUCAUGUUCCUUCGUGUAAUGCUCCCCAUUCGUUGACACCUAUCACAUGAAGAAUAGAAAGUGUAAGCGUCUCGAAAUAAAGUUGGCCAAUAGAAACCACAUUAUAAAACUUUAGUAGCUAUUUUCUUAGCACUGAAAUGGCCCCCACAAGCUUGUUCAUGGCAGAAUGAAAGGAUAUUCUGAAUUUCAUUUUCUGGGACACAUUGUCUAACUAUUUGAUCUGCACAAUACUUGAACAAAUACGAGUCAUCCCAAAAGAAAUUCUUUAUUUCUGCAAAGAAUUUAGCCUUGUCUUACUUGGUCUAAUGCUCUGGAAGUUGACCUGUAACAAGAUAAUUAAUGAUAUCAGCAUACCACGGUAAUACUUCCACACUCAUCAAUUGUUCAUCUGGAAAUGACUCAUUCAAUGGUAAUUUUUCCAUAAUUGUGUCAAAAUGAAGAGGAGAGAGAUGGUCAGCUAUAACAUUCUCUGUGCCUUUCUUAUCUUUAAAUUCCAAGUCGAAUUCCUGCAAAAGUAACACCCAACGAAUUAGUCUAGCUUUUGCAUCUUUCUUUGUGAGAAGAUAUUUAAGAGUACCAUGAUCAGUGAACACAAUUAUUUUACAACCAAUGAGAUAAGAUCAAAAUUUCUCUAAUGCAAACACUACUGCUAGCAUUUCUUUUUCAGUAGUUGAAUAGUUCAACUGUGCAUCAUUCAAUGUCAUACUAGCAUAGUAAAUAACAUGGGGAAUUCGAUCAACUCUUUGUCCUAAAACUGCUCCUACUGCAUAAUCAGAUGCAUCACACAUGAGCUCAAAUGGUAAGCUCCAGUUUGGGGGCUGGAUAAUGGGUGAUGAUGUCAACAAUUGCUUUAAUUUUUCAAAAGCCACAAGACAUGAAUUAUUAAAGAUAAAAGGUACAUCCUUAGCAAGUAGAUUGCAUAAGGGUCUAGAAACUUUGCUAAAAUCUUUAAUGAAACGUUUAUAAAAACCAGUAUGCCCAAGGAAAGAUCUUACUUCUCUAACUGUUUUGGGUGGAGGAAGAUUAGAAAUGAGAUCCACCUUAGCUUUGUCAACCUCAAUACCUUUACUCGAAAUGAUGUGACCAAGAAAAAUACCUUGUUUUAUCAUAAAAUGGCACUUCUCCUAAUUCAAGACUAAGUUCUUCUCGGUACGUCUCUGCAGAACUAGUGUUAGAUGAUGUAAACAUUGAUCAAACGAGUCACCAAAGACAGAAAAAUCAUCCAUAAAGACUUCAAGGAAUCGUUCAACCAUAUCAGAAAAAAUGAUCAACAUGCAUCGUUGAAAUGUAGCAGGUGCAUUACAUAAUCCAAAUGGCAUUCUCCUAUAUGCAAAUGUGCCAAAAGGGCAAGUGAAAGUAGUUUUCUCUUGAUCUUUUGGUGCUAUGGGAAUCUGAUUAUAACCUGAGUAACCAUCUAGAAAGCAAUAAAAUUCAUGGCCUGUUAAUCUAUCAAGCAUUUGAUCGAUAAAUGGUAAAGGAAAAUGGUCUUUACGUGUGACAUAAUUCAACUUUCUAUAAUCAAUGCAUACACGACAUCCUGUAGUCACUCUAGUGGGUAUCAAUUCAUUAUCGGCAUUCGUAACUACUGUAACUCCUGACUUUUUGGGGACAACUUGCACAGGACUGACCCAUGAACUAUCAGAAAUUGGGUAAAUGAUACAUGCGUCUAAUAGCUUAAGGACUUCAGUUCUAACAACUUCUUUCAUAUUAGGAUUUAACUGACGUUGCAUUUCCCUAGUAGGUUUAGCAUUCAGAUGAUUAUAUGGGUCCUCAUUUUCUAGGCCAUAGAAUGUUGGGAGACAAUUUAACACACUAGGUUUUAGUUCAACAUUCCUAGCAGCUACAUUUGGGUAUCUUAUGCAUGAUGUGCUCAAAUUAGCUAAAGGAAUGAAGUAGUCCUUAAAUGGUCUCUCAUGUGGUUGCAAAUCCAUUUUAUUUUUAACUUGUUUGUGUGUGCGAAGUGUUUUCUCAAGUUCAAGGUCUAUAGGUUCAAGAUUAGGUAAUAAUGACCUUCGACCAUGCAUGCAAAACAAAUAAAAUAAAAAUAAAGAUGGGAACAAAACAAAUAAAAAUAAAGAAGAGGGAGAAAUUACGAUACUAACCUUAUCACGAUGUUACAACCUUUCUAUAAAAAACACACUUAAAAAAAAAAUUCGUGAAAUAAAUUGACUAAAAAUUAAAUUAAUAAGAUAAACAAAAUUUACAAAGAAAAAUAACUUAAAAAUUAAAUUGCAGAAUUGUAAAGAAUAGAGAAAGAAAAGAAAUUAUUACCUCUAAAUGUAGAUUCACUUUUUUUUUUUUUUUAUAAAAAAAUUACAAGAAAACAACUAAAAGAAAUUAUUCACAAAAAUUAAUUCUACGAAUUAAAAUAACUUACCUCCCCGGCAACGGCGCCAAAAACUUGUUGUACAAAUUUUAUUGAACUCGCAAGUGCACGAAUCUAUUGUAGUGUAGAUCAAUGGUGACGAGUGUCGAUCCCACGAUGAGGUGGAUUUUAAUUAUGUGUAGAAUUAAUUUUCUAAAUAGGUGGUUGGAUUUGUGGUGAAAAUGAUUUAGAUUAUCCUAAAAUUGGAAUUAAAAUGACGAGAAUAAAUUGAAUAGAAAUUUAUUGAAAUGACGUACUUGGGUAUCUGGAUCCGUAUCAACAUGCACCAUGGGCUAAAUAUUCCUUAUUAAUGCCAAUUAAAUCAUGAGGGAGGAAUCCACACCUCAUGAACCACACUCUAAUCAAUAUGGUGCUAAGGGCUUAUCGUGCCAAAUAAUAAUAACCUUGUACUAAAGAGCCGGUGAAACUAAGGCGGUAUCUAGACAAGAUUAUUAUUAUUUGUCGAUGAGAAGUCAAAACAUCCACAAAAAUUAGAGGUGAAGAGAAAAUAAAUUUACCAAAUAAAGCCCAUGACACAUGUUGAGACUUCACCUACAACCCAAGCUUGCAAGAAAAUUAACUACUCAUAAUUGAACUAAGGGCAAAAUGGAAAUUUAUUAAAAUACAUAGAAAAUACAAGAUAGAGAAGGAAUUACAGAAAAUAGAGUCCAAAAAUGGAUUCAGAGAUAUCAAAUUAGGGGGGAGAGGCCCCCUUUUUAUAGAUACAUUGAGUAAAUCAUGGCCAUCGGAUUAAAAACAGUUUGGACGCUCAGGAUUGCGCCACGUCAUCAGUCAACAGUACGCGGUUUGACCACGCGAGUGAACAGUAACACGGUUUGACCCGGCUUUGAACAGUAACGCGGUUUGGUUGAAAAUAAUCCUUUGUAAUGCAUGUACCGUACGCGCAAGUUUUGGUCCACUAAUAUGCUGCCACGUCACCAUCAACAGUUCAUAAGAAUUUUAGACCAACAGGAUCAUGACACCUCAUCAGUCAAUGCCACAUCAUUGGUCAAUGCCACGUCAUCGAUCCAUCUAUGUGAACAGUGUCGUGAACAGUAUCGUGAACAGUGUCGUGAACAGUAUCGUGAACAGUAACAUAGACAGUACCGUACAUGUGAACAGUGUCAUUUUUCCUUUUAUGCUCCUCCUAAGGUUUUCGACCGUCCUGAGUUCAAAAGUGAUGUCUGUUUUGCUGUUUGAUCUCUCGCUUAUUGUGAAAUGACUAUGAUGCCCCUAAAAUACACAAAACACUUAAUUAAAAUAAAACACACAUAAUUAAAUUACAAGAACCUUAAAUACAUAAAAGUAAGGGUUGUUAGUAAGACUUGAAAUGUAAAAUGUUGAUUUUCUCCUUUAUAAAUAUGCAUUUUCUAACACUCAACAUUAUGCAUUCGAUAACACUAGGUAUUUUGAUUGAUUUUAAAUAGAUUGGUUUGCUGGGUUUGGUUUGGAAUGCUGUCGGGUAUAUGGCUGGAAUUACAGUGGUGUUGGAAGAUGGUGGGUAUGUGGUUGGGUGCGUGGCUAUUGGAGUAUUGCUGUGGGAAGAAGGUAUUGUUGCUGGAAGCCUUGCUGCUAGAAUAUUUCCAUUAAUCUUUGAAAGCUUUGUUGGGUAACUUGGCUUAGUGGCUGGAAUUUGAAUUUUUCUUGAAGUUUAAUUGGAAUUUAACUAUUGUUUUAUAUUUUGGUUUGAUAUCCUUUUUAAUUUAGGAUGUUUUAUUAUCUAUUGGUGGUGAUGAUAUGGAUACUAGAUGUAUUUAUUUUGAAAUUAAUUUGUUGGAUUUAAUGGAUGAUAAUUAAUAUUAAUUGUUUUUAGUUUUUUUUAUGAUAUCCAUUUUUAUUAAUUAAUUUAAUUUGUAAACCAGAAUUCACAAAUAAAUUAUAAUCAUAAUAUAAUUUUAUUUUUAAAAAAUAUAACUUUAUGACGGGAAAUACCCGUCAUAAAAUCUGUCAUAAAAAAUUUCCCCAAAAUUGAAUAAUGAAUUUACAAAUGACAAUUUAAUUUCCCACGAAAAAUAAAAAAAGGCGCAAAAAUUUAAAUAAAUUUAAAUUUAAAUUUAAUUAUUUUUAUAUUAAAAUAUUGUGUGACGGAUAUAUGAUUGUGAAAUAACAUCAUGAAUUCAUGACGGAAAAUAUUCUGUCAUAAAUUAAUGACCGUGACAUAGAUGACAGAUGAACUGUCUGUCAUGCACCACCUUUUAUGACGGUUAUUUCCCGUCAUCUAUUACUUAUUUUUCUUGUAGCGGCGAGGACAAUUUGGAGAAAGCAAAGUAUGAAAACUGUUGGAGAUUUUAUUUAUUUAAUCUUUGUUGCAGAGAAUAAGUUUUUGUUAUGGGAAAAGGAAGAGUUUCUAUCCAAACUAAGGGAAGCUCAACACAGACCAUCUCCAAUGUUCUUUUUGUUCCAGAGUUAAAGACUAAUCUACUCAAUGUGGGUCAAUUGCAAGAGAAGGGGUACAGGUUACUCAUUAAAGAUGGCGUCUGUCGAAUUCGAAAUGAAAAAUUGGGCUUAAUUGCUCAAGUUAGCAUGACAGGAAACCGGAUGUUUCCACUUUAUUUGCAUAACACCACUUAUUCAUGUUUCUCAGUAAGACUGAAGGAGGCUGCUUAGCUUUGGCAUUAUCGUUAUGGACAUCUAAAUUUUGGUGGUUUAAAGACUCUACAAUAAAAGAACAUGGUUGCUAGUCUUCCACAAUUUGAUCGUCCCUCAGAUGUCUGUGGAGAUUGCAUUGUUGGCAAACAACAUCGCGAUCCCUUUCCCAAAGGAAAAUCAUGGAGAGCAAAAAAGUUGUUAGAGCUAGUUCAUUCUUAUAUUUGCGGGCCAAUAAAACCAGCAUCUAAUGGAGGUAAAUGUUAUUUCAUUACUUUCAUUGAUGAUUGUAGUCGCAAAACAUGGGUUUAUUUUCUACAAGAAAAAUCUGAUGCUCUCAUGGCUUUUAAGAAUUACAAAGUUCUUGUUGAAAAAGAAAGUAGCAGCCAAAUAAAAUUACUUCGCACUGAUUGUGGAGGAGAAUACAACUCACAUGGCAUCAAAAGACAACUUACAGCAGCCUAUACACCACAGCAAAACGGUGUAUGUGAAAGAAAAAAUCGGACGAUCCUAAAUAUGGUGAGAAGCAUGUUGGCAACAAGUCGAGUUCCAAAAACAUUUUGGCCUAAAGUUGUUAACUGGAUCAUUCAUAUUUUGAACAGAAGCCCCACUUUUGCCAUUCAAAUAUGACCCUUGAAGAAGCUUGGAGUGGAAACAAACCUGCUGUUGAUCAUUUCAGAAUUUUUGGGAGUAUUAUUUAUGCCCAUGUUUUGUAUCCAAAGAGAAGAAAACUAGAUGACAAAGGAGAAAAAUGCAUUUUUCUUGGUGUUAGUGAUAAGUCAAAAGCCUACAAAUUAUAUAAUCCUAUCACCAAGAAAAUUGUUGUCAGUCGUGAUGUCAUAUUUGAUGAAGAAACUUUCUGGUCAUGGAAUAAUAACACUAUUGGGCAAUAAAUUUCUACUGAUUUUGAUGUAGAAAAUGAAGCUGAGCAGCAGUACGAUGUCAUUGAGCAUCAACAAAAUGAGAUUGAGCAACAACUAACACCAACAGUCCCUAUAGUUCCUCCAAGUCCAGCCAUUGUUGAGACCAAUAAAGAAAGACCUCAACGAGCUAAAAGACGGCCAGCAUGGAUGUCAGAUUAUGAGGUAACUGGGGCUGACCAUUUAGAGGAUCCACUUGCACAUUUUGCUCUUUUUUCAUAUUGUGAUCCAGUAGUUUUUGAAUAUGCUGUCAAAGAAUCAAAGUGGCAGAAGGCCAUGGAAGCUGAAAUUACAGCUAUUCAGAAAAAUAACACUUGGAAGUUGGUGGAGCUUCCUAAAGGGCAAAAGACCAUUGGCGUGAAAUGGGUAUAUAAGACAAAACUAAAAGAAAAUGGUGAAGUUGACAAAUACAAAGUGCGGUUGGUAGCCAAAGGCUAUAAACAAGAGUAUGGUGUUGAUUACAAGGAAGUUUUUGCUCCUGUCGCAAGGCAUGAUACAAUCAGACUAAUUAUAUCACUGGCAGCACAAAGUUCAUGGCCUAUCUUUCACCUGGAUGUAAAGUCAGCAUUUUUACAUGGCAAUUUGGAGGAACGUAAUUGUAAUUCGGUUAGCACUCCAACAAAAAUGGGGCUGAAACUUAUUAAAAAUCCAGGAGGAAAAAAGGUUGCCAGGACUCUUUACAAGAAGAUUGUGGGUAGUUUGAUGUAUUUAACAGCAACAAGACCAGAUAUAAUGUAUUCUAUAAGCCUUAUCAACAGAUACAUGGAGUGCCCAACGGAGACACAUUUGUUGGCAGCCAAAGAAUUCUUCGAUACUUACAAGGUACAACUAAUUAUGGUUUGCUCCACAAGAAAGGGAAAAAGACAGAGUGGUUUGGCUAUACAGACAGUGAUUAUGCAGGAGAUCCAGAUGAUAGAAAAAGUACAUCAGGGUAUGUUUUUAUGAUGGGUUCAGCUGCGAUUUCAUAGUCCUCAAAGAAGCAAUCAACUGUAACUUUAUCAACUACAGAAGCGGAGUUCGUAGCUCCAACAACAUGUGCUUGUCAAGCAAUUUCGUUACGGAAUAUACUUGAAGAGCUUCUUUUCAAGUAAGAAGGUUCCACUGCCAUUUACUGUGAUAGCAAUUCAACAAUAAUGCUCUCUAAGAAUCCUGUUCUAAAUGGAAAAAGCAAACACAUUGAUGUAAAAUACCACUUCUUGCAAGACCUUACAAAAGAUGGAAUGGUAGAUCUCAUUUACUGUAAGAGUGAAGACCAAGUUGCUGACAUAUUCACAAAACCUCUCAAAUUGGCAGCAUUCCAAAAGCUUAGAAGUUUACUUGGUGUUUGUGCUUUGGAGAACUCAAUUUGAGGGAGGGUUUAUGUUACAGGGCUGUUACAGUUAAACUCGAUGUUUACAGCAUCAAUUUAAGGGAGGUAUUGUUGGAGAUUUUUAUUUAUUUAAUCUUUGUUGCAGAGAAUAAGUCUUGUAUUGUCCUAGUCUUUAGGUGUUAGUUGUUAAAUAUGAUUUGAUUACAUAGUUUUUAGCUUAGUAGUGCAGAGUCCUAUUUUUUUUGCUAAUGUUUGUUGAUUGUGCUCUAUAUAAAGAGCAGAAGUUGUAAGCUUAAAGAGCAGUGUGUGAACAAUAAAAGUCAUUAUUUCAGCAUAGUUUAGCCUUUUGUUUUUUUAUAUAAAAAAAAAAUCGUGAGAUGAUGCGAUGAAUUGAGAUUUUACUUGCAAAUAGAGGAGAGCUAAAAAGAUUGCGUUGCGUAUAAAAAGAUGAGAAAGGGGAAGAGACUUGACUUAAAUUUUAGGAUUUAAGGUAUGCAAAUUAUAAAUUGAUAAUGAAUGUAAUAAAAAGUUUAAAUAGAAAGUUGAGAAGUAAAGAAUGUAAGAGAGUUUAAAUAGAAAGUUGAGAAGAAAAGAAUGUAAAAGAGUUUGAGUAGAAAGUUGAGAAGUAAAGAAUGUAAAAGAGUUUAAAUAGAAAGUUGAGAAGUAAAGAAUCUAAGAGAGUUUAAAUAGAAAAUUGAGAAGUAAAGAAUCUAAAAGAGUUUAAAUAAGAAGUUGACAAGAAAAUAAUUUAAAAGAGUUUAAAUAGAAAGUUGAAAAGAAAUGAAUGUAAAAGUAGAAUGAAUAUGCAAUUUCUCACUUUUAUUAUUAAGGAGGUUGUUAAUUUUUUUUCUAUUCGAACUAAUAUAUAUCACUUAUUUCUUACUAAUUUUAUAAUAUCUAAAAACUCUACCGUCGCCAAAAAAAUUAAAAUAAAAAAGGGGUAAAUGAGUUUGAAACGAUCCGCCCUGAAUCCCCAGGACGAGUCUAUCUAAUCUUGCCUAAUCAAAUUAAUAAUAAUUCUUAUAUCUCAUAAUUUUACCAAAAUUUCGACAGAGUCUCCUAUAUAAUUUUGAAAUUCUCAAACCUACAAUUUGUAAAAUUAACACUUCCAAAAUAAUUCAAUAUUCAACCAAUCUCUACAACCAACUUUCUCAAUCAACAUACCAAAUAUCACCAAAACAUUAUAAUAUUAAAUGCAGUAAAGUAUUCUUAGUCACAAAAAUGUAAUAAAUUAUACAAUCCAAACAUCCCAGUAAAAUAUCUAUGAUUCCUAGAACCAUCACGUGGCUAUGAUUUUAAAUCUAACUAUUGUUGCUGGGUCGACUGAUGUACCUGCAAAUCUCCUGUGGGGGGGGGGGGGAAUAUAAUAAAAACAGAGUGAGUACAAAACUCAGUGAGUUCAGUGAGUGGAUAAUGGUUUUUGAAAAAUAAAUUUAGUUAAAAUGAUGUAAUCUUUCCCAAAUCAAUUUCAUCAAAAUAUCAUAAGAAAUUACAUUAACUUAUUUAAUUCAAAUCAUGCACUGAAAUAAAAAAAUCACAUAAAUCUACUUAAAAUCAAUGAAAUCAUAACACUUAUAACAUCAAACACUGAAUACUGGAUCUAUCACCAAACAAGUACCAAGGGAAUAAUCUCAUCAUAUCCAAACCUCGAUGGACGGGCAAUCAAGGAACCAUCAUGCCCGGAGCUACAACGGAUAGACGGGGAAAUAUCAUCUCAUUAUAUAUGUGCAUGCAAAACUGGUCCCCAAAGGACAAAGCACCCAAGCACACGGCCCAAAGCCUUUGUCUGUACUCAGACGGGCUCCAAAGGCCUAUAUCACAUCUGUAUCAUUAUAUCUCAUCUUUAUCAGCAUAUCUCAUAUGUAUCUCAAUAUAUGUAUCUCUGUAAUCAUCAUAUUGCAUGCAUGCGCCCCCAAAAGGAAAAAGUGCCCAAACACAUGGCCCAAAACCUCUAUGUGUGUUCAGACGGGCCCCAAAGGCCUCUCAUCUCAUAUCAUAUGUAUCACUGUAUUCAUCUCAUAUCAUCUAUAUCAUUGUAUCUGAACGGGAAGGGUACUGUCCAAUGAUUUUCCAAACAACCUUUUAUACACAUGUAUAUAAAUGCAUAAUCACAUCUGAAAUCUCAUUUCCUUUUUAUUUAACAUAUCUCAAGCCCACUCAAUUCUAUUAUCAUGCAUUUACUCAAAAAACGAUAAUAAAACCAUUAAUCAAACUCAUUUUUAAUAAAAAUAAAUAACAGCACGUAGAUAAAAAUUCAUUUUCUAGGAAAUCAUCAAUUCGGAGCAUUAAAUACUCAUUUAUCAAAAUAUGUUGUAUUGUAUCAUAAAAUCAGGAUAUACUAUGACAAUAGAUUUUGUAUAUUCCACUCACAAUGACAAUGUCCAGACUCGGUAUCAACAACGUUCGCGGGUUAAUUCUCAUUCGCGGAUCCUCCUAAUUUAAGGAAACGACAUAAUCGUUUUCCAUAAAUGUGAAAUACAACUAAUCUUAUGCAAUGGAGCUCGAAACAACUAUUCAUUCACGAUCAAUUAUUCCCGUAUGCAUAAAAUUAGCAAAAUACCCCUACAGUCCAAAUUACCAAAAUACCCCUUAGAAUCCUUAAUUAUCAAACUAUCUUCAAUUCAAAUCACAAAAAUAGCCGCAAUGUCUGAAAAUACGAAAUUACCCUCAAAGUAACAUUACCAAAAUGCCCUUAACAACAUAAAUUACCAAAUUAUCCUUGAAAUCUCAAAUUACCUCACUGCCCUAAUAUAAAAUUACUAAAUUAUCCAUAAUUUUUUAAAAUUACAAAUUUACCCCAAAGUCUUGUGAAAUAAGCGAAUUGCCCCUCCCGGUCAACGAUGACUGGACUUUAGUCAACGGGGACGAGGAGCUCAGGUUUGAUAGUUCUAACCACGCUGAGCCUAUUGGUGGUGGCCGUGAGCUCCCAUGCACGGUGACGAUGGUAGAUCGUGCUCCCAAAGGUGUGAGCUUUCCGGCAGUCGUUCACGGCCAAAAAAGGAAGCUGGUGGCGUGAGAAGUAGAACCCAACCAGUGGCGCGGCCAAACUCCAGCGAAAUUGAAGGUGAUGGAGAUAGGCUGAGCCGCGUUUUCUUUCGAGCUAAAUUGUUGGCGUUCUCGCCGUUUUUCGGCGACAAGGAUGGCAGGGGUUUAACCAGCAUCUCACGAGCUUCAAAUCGAUACCUAGCUUAGUCGGAACAGUGGGCGGAAUCGUGAGUUCCAUCCGGGUCACAAACACAGGUCGCGGGUUGCGGGUCGGGUCCAACCCGGUCAACUUCUCUCUUUCUCUUUCUCUCUCCCUCAUCUCUCUAUCCCCAUCUCCAAUUUAUAGAAUGCAUCCUUUUUUUUUAAAGCUUAAUACAGAUUAAACUAAUACUGGACCCGUGACGAAAAUAAAAUUCGACUACAUGACCCCAUAAUCGUGUUCGAUUUGCCUCGAUUUAUGUCGUGACAAAUUUAAAUUUAAUCAAAACAUGAUCAUUUAUUAACCCUACCCAAAUCCAUUAAUUCAUCCAUAAUAAUUUGUAACCAAUAUGACGACUUUUAAUAUUUAUACUGAAAAGAGAAACUACAUAAUACACUUAAUUAGGGAAAAUUAAGGUGUAUAUGUUACAGAGUUAUUUUCUUAAUAACUUAUCUUGGGGCUUUAAUAUAUGUAUUCAUUAUAAGAAAAAUAAUUUAAAAUAACAAAAAGUAAAAGAAAAUAUUUUAUAAUUAAAUUUUUAUGUAUAUUGAAACAUAUAUUUUUUAUUUUUAGUACUUAAAUUUUUAUUUUAAUUUGUAUUUAUAUAAUUCAUUUAAUUUAUAAUAAAUACAAUUAAAAUUUUAUAUAAAAAUAAGAAUAAUACUAUAAAAUUACAUUAUUAAAAAAUUAUUGAUUAUCAUUAAAAGGAAUACUAAAAUAAUUAGUAUUUAUUAAUUUAAAGAGAGAAAAAUUGACGACCUCCAUUAUUAUUAUUAUUGUUGUUGUUGUUAUUGUUGUUGUUGUUAUUAUGGAUUCUCCUUUAUUAAAUUAGCGUAUUCAUACUUUAUAGGGCUUUUUGGUCAUUUUGUACAUCGAGGCCCUUCGACUCCCCAAAAGUAAUACGAAGGGAAAUAGGGAAUAUCAAUUGCCCUUUGCCCUGAGCACUGGAAUAUGAAUCUUGUUAACUUAUCGACACGUGUUACCUGCAUAGGGAAUGCCCACACGACGGCGUUUCCUGAGUGUAAAUCUCCCCUUUGGGAGUGCUCAGAGGCCCCUCUAGAGGAAAACACAACGAUUACGUGCAUCUAAACUUUUCCAGUAAACAAUAUUCCAAUUUCAUUCUCAACCCAUAUUGCUAAUUAGGGUACAAAAUAUUCAAAACUCUUUUUAGAUUUUUCAAAUUCAAUACAAUCGGAACAAAUUGAAUGCGAUGAAAUGAAGGAGCCAUUGCAGAGAAACAAAGUAGUGAUUUGUCAUCUUUUAGCCGUUUUCCACGAUCACUUCAAUGGCCGUUACAAUUGGUUUUGCUUUCGCCCUGGAAAAUCUAGGUAUUGUUAUAAUUUUUUUAACAUUUUAUAAUUGAUUAUUUUUGGGCUUUUAUUUUGAAAUUUUAUUUUAACUUGGAUUUUAGUUUUUUUACAGUUACAAGCAUAAGAGGUAUUCACGAGCAUAUGCAUAAGAAGAAUUGAAGAAGCCUGCAGAUGUGUUUGAGUUUGCUGAGUUGUUGAAUGGACAUGUGUUUGUUAAUAAAAAAGGUAGUUUUCCUUACCCUUUUGCUUUUACUUAUCAAUUUAAUUUAGUAUGAAUGAAUGUAUGUUGUUGUAAAUGAAAAGGGCACUUUCUGUUUGGUUAAUUAUAUGUGUUAUUUAGGUGUUUAGUUUAAGGCUAUUGUUGAAUAUGCUCCAUCUCAACGUGUUCCCAAGCCUUGUUCUAGAAAGGAUAGCCGUGAAGGCACCAUUUUUAAAGGUAUUUUUUCUUUAAAAAAAAACUAAGGGUACUUUUGGGGUUCAAGUUCUGUGGCUUUUACCGUACACUGAAGCUGCUAAAUUUCAAAGUUAAGUAAAAGAACAACAAUUACAAGUAUACCUUUAUUUUCUUUAUCUUCUUAUUAGUUUUAGAAGUACGGCAGUAAUAAGCUGCAUUUGGUUUUGAUGUGGACAAUAAAGACUUAGAUUAUCUGGAGUUCCUGAAGGUUAUUGCUAAACCUGCUGAGAAUUUACCAAGUGCAGAAAUUCUGUUGGAAAGAAAAGAAGCUGAGGUAUCUGGUUAGUUAGUUAUUUUAGAUGAAUUUGAUGAAUAUAAGCCGUUGUUCUCUCUGUGUGUGUGUGUGUGUGCAUAAAGGUAUGUAAUCUAAGCUAUAAAAUAAAUAAAUUCUGGCACUGUUACUGAGAUCAAUGCUCAGCUAAGUAAUUCAUUAAUUUAAGCUAUAAAUUGAAAUGACCCGCCCCGAACCCCCAGGACGAUCUAUCUAAUCUCGCCUAAACGAAUUAAUAAUAAUAUCUAUGAAUUCUACAAAAAAAUUCAACAAAGUCUCAUAUAUAAUUAUGACAUCCCCAAACCUGCAAUUUAUACAAUUAACACUCCAAAAAAUGAUACAAUAUUCAAUUUCAAUCAACCUCCACAACCAACUUCCUCAAUCAAAUACCAGUAUUCUUCAAACACAUAAUGUCAAGAAUACAAUAAUUUAUCCUUAAUCACAAAUAAGUAAAAAAUUAUACAAUUCAAAAUGUCCCAACAAAACAUAUAUGAUUCCUAACACCAUCACAUGGCCAUAAUUUCAAAUCUAACUAUCAUUGUUGGGUCGACUGAUGUACCUGUAAAUCUCUUAUAGGGGGAAAAAUAUAGUAAAAAUAGGGUGAGUAUAAAACUUAGUGAGCUCAGUGAGUGGAUAAUAGUUUUUAGAAAAAUAAACUUAUUUAAAAUGAUUUAAUCUUUCCCAAAUCAAUUUCAUCAAAGUAUCAUAAGAACUUACAUAAACUUAUUUAAUUUAAAUCAUGAACUGAAAUAACAAUUUUACAUAAAUCUGCAUAAAAUCAAUGAAAUCAUAAUACUUAAAUUUCAAAUACUGAAUACCAAAAACUAUCACCAAACAAGUACCCAGGGGAAUAAUCUCAUCGUAUCCAGACCUCGACGAACGGUCAAUCAGGGAACCAUCAUGCCUCGAAGCUACAACGGAUAGACGGGGAAAUAUCAUCUCAUAUCUCAUAUAUCUCAUCAUAUUUGUGCAUGCAUAAUCUGGUCCCCAAAGGACUAGGCGCCCAUGUACACGACCUAAAGCCUCCGUGUGUACUCAGACGGGCCCCAAAGGCCUAUAUCUCAUAUGUAUCAUCAUAUCUCAUUUGUAUCAUCAUAUCUCAUCUAUAUUGUCUGUAUCUCAAUAUCCAUAUCUCUGUAAUCAUCAUACUGCAUGCAUAUGCCCCCAAAAGGCAAAAGUGCCUAAACACACGGCCCAAAACCUCAAUGUGUGUUCAGACGGUCCCCAAAGGCCGCUCAUCUCAUAUCAUAUGUAUCACUGUACCUGGAGAGGAUGGGUAUUGUCCAAUUAUUUUUUAAACAACCUUUUACACAUAUACAUAAACAUAUAAUCACAUCUUAAUUCUCAUUUCUUUUUUAUUCAACAUAUCUCAAUUCCACUCAAUUCUCUUUCAAACUAUUAUCAUGCAUUUACUCAAAAGCGAUAAUAAAAUCAUUAAUCAAACUCAUUCUCAAUAAUAAUAAAUAUCAGCACGCAGAUAACAAUCCAUUUUCUAGAAAAUCAUUAAAUCAAAGCAUCAAAUACUUAUUAAUAAAACAUUUUGUAUUGUAUUAUAAAAUCAAAAUAUAUUAUGAAAAUAGGUUUUGUAUAUUCCACUCACAGUGAUGAUGUCUAGACUCGGUAUCAACAAUGCCCACAGGUUGAUUCUCAUUCGCGGGUCUUUCGAAUUGCCCCCAUCGGUCAACGGUGACCAGAUUUCAAUCAACAGCGACAUGAAGCUCAAGUCUGAUAGUUUUGACCUCGGUAAGUACAAUGGUGCUGGCAGUGACCUCCCAUGCGCGGCGAUGGUGGCGGAUCAUGCUUCCAAAGUUGUGAGCUUUCCGACAGUCGUUCACAGCUAAAAUAGAGGUUUCAGGUGGUGGGGUUGGUCAAAAAACGAUAAGAGUGAGUUGAAGAACAAGAUCCAAGUGGUGAUACAGCCUAAUUUCGGUGAAAUCGACGACAACUAAAACGAGUGGAGCCGCGAUCUUUUCGGGCUAAAUCGCUGGUAAUUUGGCCUUUAUCCGAUGACAAGGAUGGCAGGGAUACGUUGCUCGUCUUUCAAGCUUCAAAUCGGUACCUGGAUCGGCCGGAGUGGUGGCCGGAAUCAACGAUUGGAGCUGGGUCAAAGUCGCAGGUCGGGUCGGGUCGGGUCAAACGGGUCUCUCUCUUUCUAUUUUUGGAAACCAACUCUUCUUCUCUCUUUACAUUUAUAAUAAUAGUUCCCUCUCUUUCGUUUUUUUUUAAUACAAAUUAAGUUAAUACCGGACCCGUGAUGAAGAUAAAAAUUUGACUAUAUAACCCUUUUAUCGCGUUCGAUUUGUCUCGAUUUUAUGUCGUGACUAAUUUAAAAUAAUCUAAACACGAUUUAUUUAAUAAACGCGUAACAUCUAACAAUCACCACUCGUAAUGUUGGAUAAUGGUGUUGUAUCAACUUCACCGUAAUAAUUUAGAAUUAAUGUCGAAGGAGAAAAAUUAAAUAAUACACUUAAUUAGGAAAAAUAAUGGUGUAUAUAUUACAAUCAUCCCCCUAUAAAAAUUUCAUCCUCAAAAUUUACACAUCUGAUGAGAAUAGGUGAGGGUAUUGGGCUCGUAUUAAGUCUUCGCGUUCCCAAGUAGCCUAUUCCCUUGUGCGAUUCCUCCACAACACUUUUACUAACGAAAUGGUUUUAGAAUGCAAAACUUGGUGCUUCUAUUCCAAUAUUUCCACUAGCUCCUCUUCAUAAGUCAAGUCUUCAUUCAACUUAAUUGGCUGUCUUGAUAACACAUGAUUGGGAUCAUACACAUACUUUUGGAGCAUCGAGACAUGAAACACAUCGUAGAUUUUGGAUAACUCAGGUGGUAGAGCUAAUUGGUACAUCAACAGACCAAUACGCUCCACGAUCUCAUAUGGUCCAAUGUAACGUGGGCUUAGCUUUCCAUGCUUCCUUAAUCGAAGUACCGUUUUGCAAGGAGAUAUCCGUAUGAAAACCUUAUCACUCACUUUAAGUUCAAGUUCCCGCCUACGCUUAUCUGCAUAGCUCUUUUGUCUAUUUUAGACUGCCUUAAAUCUAUCCCAAAUAAGUUGUAUAUUCUCAUUAGUAUUCUAAACUAAUUCAGGACCAAAAAGAUUUCACUUGCCAACCUCAUCCCAACAUACGGGAGGUCUACAUUUCCUGUCAUACAAAGCCUUAUAAGGUGCCAUCUCGAUGCUAGCUUGAUAAUUGUUAUUAUAAGCAAACUCCAUCAAGGGUAAAUAAAUGUCCGAACUACCCUUAAACUCCAAAACACAAGCUCGCAACAUGUUCUGCAGGGUUUGAAUAGUACGCUCUGACUGACUAUCAGUCUGUGGAUGAAAAGCUAUACGAAAAUUCAACUUGGUGCUUAAUGCCUUUUGCAAGCUUGUCCAGAACUUAAAAAUGAAUCGGGAAUCUCUAUCUGAAACAAUAGAUACAAGUACUCCGUGAAGUCGAACUAUCUCAGCUACAAAAAUAUUCCCUAACUUGUCCAUCGAAUAAGUGGUCUUAAAUGGUAAAAAGUGAGCAGAUUUUGUAAGUCGAUUAACAACCACCGAAACACUAUCAUGACCACUCUAGGUAUGUGGAAGUCCAGUUACAAAAUCCAUGGUGAUGUGCUGCCACUUCCACUCAGGGAUAAGAAUCGGCUGCGAAAACCCUGCAGGUCUUUGAUGUUAAGCUUUAAUCGGCUGACAAACUAAACACUAAGAUACAAUUCUGCUAUCUUUCUCUUCAUACCUUGCCACCAGUAAUGAUCCCUCAAGGUAUGGUACAUCUUCGUACCACCAGGAUGCAUUGCAUAAGCUGAACAAUGAGUUUUUUUCCAUGAUCUCCUUUUUCAACUCCUUAAUAUCGGGUAUGCAAAGUCGAUUACCCAUAACUAAAACUCCAUCAUCUCUCACCGCAAAAUCAUUUCAUUUUUGCACAUCCUCUCUCAACUUCAGUAAUUGUAUAUCCUGAUCUUACAUUUGAUGGACUUUGUCAAUUAAAGGUCUGCAAUUUUCAACUUCCAACUCAACUCCCAAAGAUCCCAACUCGAUCAAUAAAGGCAUAUAUGUCAUUCGCAAGUGAGCUAUAGAGCUGGAAGAAUUCCUACUUAGCACAUCAGCUACCACAUUCGCUUUGCCCGAAUGAUAAUCAAUAGUGUAAUCGUAGUCCUUAAUCAGCUCAAUCCAUCUCCUCUGUCUAAACCUUUCUGAGUAAAUAAAUACUUCAGGCUCCUAUGAUUAGUGAAAAUCUAACACGUUGCCCUGUAUAAAUAAUGCCUCCAUAUCUUAAGUGCAAAUACCAUUGCGGCUAGCGCUAAAUCAUGAGUUUGGUAGUUUUGUUCAUGCUUUUUAAGUUGUCUAGAAGCAUAAGCCACUACUUUCCCAUGUUGCAUUAGCAAACAACCCAAUCCUUGCCUAGAGGCAUCAGUGUAUACUACAAACCCUUCAUUACUAGAAGGAAGUGUAAGAACUGGUGCUGAAGUAAGACGUGUCUUGAGUUCUUGAAAACUCUUUUCAUAGUCAUCAUUCCACUGGAACUUAGUAUUCUUUCUAGUUAAUCGUGUUAGAAGAGUAGCAAUCUUGGAGAAUCCUUCCACAAAUCUACGACAAUAACCAACAUAUCUAAGAAAACUCCGAACCUCUAUGAUAUUUUAUAGGUCGUUACCAAUUCACAAUUGCUUUGAUCUUUUGAGGAUCGACAUAAAUUCCUUUAGCCGAUAUCACAUGGCCCAUAAAUACUAUUUUAUCCAACCAGAACUCACACUUGUUGAACCUUGCGUACAAUUACUUUUGCCUUAAAGUCUGCAAAACAAUUUGCAAAUGUUCUGUAUGUUCCUCUUGGUUUCGAGAAUACACCAAAAUAUCAUCAAUGAAUACAAUUGUUGAGUGUUAGAAAAUGCAUAUUUAUAAAGGAGAAAAUCAUCAUUUUACAUUUCACGUCUUACUAACAACCCUUACUUUUAUGUGUUUAAGCUUCUUGUAAUUUAAUUAUGUGUUUUAUUUUAAUUAAGUAUUUUAUGUAUUUUAGGGGCGUCAUAGUCAUUUCACAAUAAACGAUAGAUCAGACGGCAAAACAAACAUCACUUUUGAACUCAGGACGGUCGAAAACCUUAGGAGGAGCAUAAAAGGAAAAAUAGCACUAUUCACAUGCACGAUACUGUCUAUGUUACUGUUCACGACACUGUUUACAUAGACGGGUCGAUGACGUGGCAUUGACCGAUGAUGUGGCAUUGAUUGAUGAGGUGUCACGAUCCUGUUGGACUAAAAUUCUUAUGCACUGUUGAUCGAUGACGUGGCAGCAUAUCAGUGGACCAAAAAUCUCACGUACAGUACAUGCAACACACAAGAUUAUUUUUAACCAAACCGCGUCACUGUUCACUCGGGUCAAACCGUGUUACUGUUCAUCCACGUGGUCAAACCGUGUACUAUUCACGCGUACUGUUGACUGAUGACGUGGCGCAAUCCUGAGCGUCCAAACAGUUUUUAAUCCGAUGGCCAUGAUUUACUCGAUGUAUCUAUAAAAAGGGGGCCUCCUCCCCUAAUUUGAUACCUCUGAAUCCAUUUUUGGACUCUAUUUUCUGUAAUUCCUUCUCCAUCUUCUAUUUUCUAUGUAUUUUAAUAAAUUUCCAUUUUACCCUUAGUUCAAUUAUGAGUAGCUAAUUUUCUUUCAAGCUUGGGUUGAAGGUGAAGUCUCAACAUGUAUCAUGGGCUUUAUUUGGUAAAUUUAUUUUCUCUUCCCCUCUAGUUUUUGUGGAUGUUUUGACUUCUCGUCGACAAAUAAUAAUAAGCUUGUCUAGAUACCGCCCUGGUUACACCGGCUCCCUAGUACAAGGUUAUUAUUAUUUGGCACGAUAAGCCCUUAGCACCAUAUUGAUUAGAGCGUGGUUCAUGAGGUGUGGAUUCCCCCCUCGUGAUUUAAUUAGCAUUAAUAAGGAUUAUUUAGCCCAUGAUGCAUGUUGAUACGGAUCUAGAUACCCAAGUACGUCAUUUCAAUAGAUUUCUUUUCAAUUUAUUCUCGCCAUUACAAUUCCAAUUUUAGAAUUUAUUCUCGCCAUUUCAAUUCCAAUUUUAGGAUAACUUAAAUCACUUCCACCACAAAUCCAACCACCCAUUUACAAAAUUAAUUCUACACAUAAUUAAAAUCCAUUUCAAUUCCUCUUUAAUUCUAAGCUGAUAAUAUCUCGAGCGCAAAUCAAGUUUAGAAAACACUUUUGCUCUCUAAAGUUGAUCAAACAAGUCAUCAAUAUGCGGAAGUGGAUAUUUAUUACGUACUGUAACUUUAUUCAACUGGCUAUAGUCAAUGCAAAGUCUAAGAGUACCAUUUUUUUUCUUAACAAACAAAACUAGAGCUGCCCAUAAGGACACACUAGGUCUAAUAAACCCUUUAUCUACCAAUUCUUGCAGUUGAAUCUUAAGUUCCUUUAGUUCAACUGGAGUUAUCCUAUACGGUGCUAUAGAUAUAGGAGCUAUCCUAGGGACUAAAUCAAUAGAAAACACAAUCUCUCUACUUGGUGGCAUCCUUGGAAGUUCAUCCGGAAAUACAUCUAGAAACUCUUGGACUACUGGAAUAUCCUCUAAUCUCAACUCCCAAACUUCAGUGUCUAUUACAUGUGCAAGAUAAGCCAUGCAACCUUUUCUUAGUAACAGUCUUGUACCAAUGGCUGAUAUGACAUAUGAGGGCAAAACUCUACGUUCACCACAAAAGUUCACCUCAGCUUCGCCUAACUUAUUCAACACAACUUCUUUUUUGAAACAAUCUACAGUAGCAUGGUGAGAUGCAAGCCAAUCCAUGCCCAAAAUGGCAUCGAAAUCUCGAAUGUCUAAAAUAAUUAAAUUUGCCACAAAUUCUUGCUCACCCAAUCUAAUCAUACAAUCUCGAUACACACUCUCGGCAAGCAGUGAUCCUCCGGUAGGUGUACUAACAACUAAACAAUAAUCCAUCAGUUUGGGCUCUCUCUCUAUAUACAUAAUAAAAGUACGAGAAACAAAAGAAUACGCGGAUCCAGGAUGAAUAACAAUAUGAGCAUCAUGGCCAAAGAUAGAUAAUGUACCUAUAAUAACUUCUAGUGUAGCAUGAAACUCUUGUUGUGUCAAGGCAAAGACUUGAGCCUGAGUACGAGGUCGACUAGAUUGACCACUCUGACCUGGAGCGGUGCCCUGACUCCCAAAUGUGGAACCCCCUAUUUGCAUACCCCUUUGACCUUGAGCUGGUCCAGAGUGAGACUGAUAUUGUGGGGCUGUCCCUUAAGUAGAACUAUCACCCUGAGAUAAAGUGGGGUAGAAUAUCAUAAUAUUUCCAGGUUAUCCACAUAAAUAACACAUUUUGUCUCCAAUACGGCAUUGGCCUUGAUGGUUCCUACCACAUGAAAGGCAAGAGGUCUGUUGUAUACUGCUACGAUGUCCUCAACUAUCAUAUUGCCCUUGAGCCCUAACAUUACUCCCUACUGAUGGCUAUACCGAACUGUGACUAACAGCCUGUCUUUGAUCUCCCCUUAAGCCCGUAUUCUGACUCUUUUGGAUGCUAGCAGAGUAAUUUAUAUGGGAGCCUCUCUUCGACGGCCUACUACUUGAGCCAACCUCUAUCCAACUUUGACUACAUUUUUGUUUCAGUGCUUGAACUCUUCAUCCCUCUGAAAUAUCAUGCUCUACUCUCCAAGCUGCCUCAACUACCUCUCUAAACUGAGUAUAACGUGAUGUAGUAACAUUAUUGUGAAUCUCAAAUCGGAGACUCUCCUUAAGCUGUCUGCAUAUUUCUUUCUCAUCACCAACUACAGAUUUAGCAAAUCUAGAGAGGUCCAAGAAUUUCUUCUCAUACUCUUCAAUUGUCAUGGAUCCUUGAACCAACCAAAGGAAUUCACUCCACUUAAUAUUCUGAUACACAACUGAAAAAUAAUGAUCGUAGAAUUCCUUACGGGAAAUAGCCCAUGUAAGUACAAUAUGUCCUCAGUAUCUACGCUCCACUGUCUGCCACCAAUGAUAAGCCCUAUCCUCAAGUAGAAAAGUAGUAAAGGAAAGUCUAUCCUCAUUUUGAGCAUCUCAUCACAUCAAAAAUACGUUCUAAUGUGACAAGCCACGACUCUACUUCAGGUGGAUCUCCAGAACCAUUAAAACUUUUUGCCCUUAAACUUUGUACGCGCUCAAUAGUAUUUACAUGACUGGCAUGCAGAUGAGUCUGAUUUUAUACCACUGUAGUCACAUCUGAGCUAGUCUGUCAAUUGACUGCUCAAUGUUCGGAGCAUUUUCUGGUGCCUGUUGUACAACCUUGUACGUUGAAGACUAAACUAUUCCCUCGUUUAUGGGAUCAUUUUCCCCUGCGGGUACAUCUCUUGAAGUCAACCUAGGUACUAGCCUAGUACGGCCAUGGCCAUGCCCGUGGCCACGUCUACUACUACGGUGAAUCAUGAUGGCGCCUCCAAAAUAUUCAUUCCGACUUUAGUAACAAAAAAACUUAUUCUAUUUAUGACUGUAAAGUCUACAAAAUCUAAAACCAUGCUCAGAUACCUUCUUAAAUGACCCGCCCCGAACCCCUAGGAUGAGUUUAUCUAAUGUCAGCUAAACAAAUUAAUAAUAAUUUUAAUAUCUAAGAAUUUUACCAAAAAUUCAGCAAAAGUUUCAUUUAUAAUUAUGACAUCCCUAAACCUGUAAUUUAUAAAAUUAACACUCUAAAAAAUGAUACAAUAUUCAAUCAACCUCCACAACUAACUUCCUCAAUCAAAUACCAGUGUCCUUCAAACAUAUAAAUGUCAAGAAUACAAUAAUUUAUCCUUAAUCACAAGUAAGUAAUAAAUUUUACAAUUCAAAAUGUCCCAACAAAACAUUUAUGAUUCCUAACACCAUCAUGUGGCCAUAAUUUCAAAUCUAACUAUCAUUGCUGAGUCGACUGAUGUACCUGCAAAUCUCCUGUGGGAGGGAAAAAUAUAGUAAAAACGGGGUGAGUAUAAAACUCAGUGAGCUCAGUGAGUGGAUAGUAGUUGUUGGAAAAAUAAACUUAUUUAAAAUGAUUUAAUCUUUCCCUAAUCAAUUUCAUGAAAGUAUCAUAAGAACUUAUGUAAACUUAUUUAAUUUAAAUCAUGCACUGAAAUAACAAUAUAACAUAAAUCUGCAUAAAAUCAAUAAAAUUAUAAUACUUAUAAUAUCAAAUACUAAAUACAAAAAACUAUCACCAAACAAGUACCCAGAGGAAUAAUCUCAUCGUAUUCGAACCUCGACGGACGGGCAAUCAAGGAACCAUCAUGCCCUGGAGCUACAACGGAUAGACGGGGAAAUAUCAUCUCAUAUCUCAUAUAUCUCAUCAUAUCUGUGCAUGCAUAAUCUAGUCUCCAAAGGACAAGGCGCCUAAGCACAUGGCCCAAAGCCUCUGUGUGUACUCAGACGAGCCCUAGGGACCUAUAUCUCAUCUGUAUCAUCAUAUCUCAUAUGUAUCAUCUGUAUCAUACUAUGAAAAUAGGUUUUGUAUAUUCCACUCACAGUGAUGAUGUCCAGACUCGGUAUUAACAAUGUCCAUGGGUUGAUUCUCGUUCGCGGCUUCUCCUAAUUGCCCCCACUAGUCAACGGUGACCGUACUUCAGUCAACGAUGAUGGGAAACUAAAGUCUGAUAGUUCUGACCUCGGUGAGUCUAAUGGUGUCGGCAGUAACAUCCCACGCGUGACGAUGGUGGCAGAUCGUGCUCCCAAAGCCGUGAGCUUUCCGGCAGUCGUUCGCUGCCAAAACAGAGGUUUCAGGUAGUGAGUCAAUCAAAAGACGAUGAGGGUGAGUUGAGGAUCAAGAUCCAAGUGGUGAUGCAGACUAAUUCCGAUGAAAUCGACGGCAACUAAAACGGGUGAGCCGUAAUCGUUUCGAGCUAAAUCGCCAGUAAUUUGGCCAUUAUCCGACGACGAGGAUGGCAAGGAUACAUUGCUUUUUCAAGCUUCAAAUCAGUACCUGGAUCGGCCAGAGUGGUGGCUGGAAUCAAUGGCUAGAGCCGGGUCAAAGUCGCGGGUCGGGUCGAGUUAGACGGGUCUCUCUCUCUGUCUAUUUUUGGAAACCAACUCCUCAUCUGUUUUUUUUUUUUAAUAAAAAUGAAGCUAAUACCAGACCUGUGAUGAAAAUAAAAAUCCGACUACAGGACCCUUUUAUUACAUUCGAUUUGUCUCGAUUUUAUGUAGUGACUAAUUUAAAAUAAUCCAAACAUGAUUUAUUUAAUAAACGUGUAACAUCUAACAGUCACCACUCAUAAUGUUGGAUAAUCGCGUUGUAUCAACUUUACCGUAAUAGUUCAGAACAAAUCCGACAAAUUUAAAAUUAAUGUCGAAGGAGAAAAAUUAAAUAGUACACUUAAUUAAGAAAAAUUAAGGUGUAUAUAUUACAUAAAUUCAGGCUUUGCUGGGAAUAUAUAUUAUUAUGAAAAGGUGAAAAAAAAAAGGAAAAAAACAAACUAAUGAUCAUUUGUUACCACAUAGCUAACAUUGAAAUAUAAAGUUCCCAAUAAAAAUUUAACUUCUCCCGUUUCAUGUGACCCAUGCAAACAGUACUAUCAGCAGGAGUCAGCAAAGCUGCGGCAGCAAAUUCAAAUGUCACAGAAUUCGAACAGGUAUUUUCAAUUAUUUCAUCAACAAUCAUUUUCAUAUUAGGUGUAGUUAAUUAAUUAUUUCAAAAUAUACAAUAUCAAUUGAAUUUUCAAUUGGUUAUCUCACUCUUGACUCUUCAUAUAGGCAUUUGAUGGGUGAUUCUCUGAGUGCUUUAAUUGUAAAGGAGCUUAAGCAACUGAAGAACAAGCUUGAGCGAGGCAUAACUAGGAUCAGCUCCAAGAAGGUAACUAAUUAAUUGCACUAUGCAUGCAUGAAAUCGACGAAAAAAAAGUAAUUGAAUUUGAGCAAUACACCAUUGUUUUGCAAUAAUAAAUUGCAUAAACUUUAUCGAUAUACAUUCAGUAUAUGUAAUUUAAGUCAUUUUGAAAAUAAUUUGUUGCUUUGUCUGUUUCCUAUUCUGUGCAACGGCAUGAUGUUGGCGAAAAAUCAACUUUUUUAAUUUUUUAUAACAAUUUUUAAGAUCGCUCUCAUACAAUAUAUAAGAAUUUGUAAUCUAGAAAUCGUAUCUUGAAAAUCCAAUUUGGCUUUUUCCGCUGAGGUGAUUUAGGCUCCCAUAUCACGAUCCGUCACCACCACUCCUAUCAGAUCACGAUCCGUCACCACAACUCCUGUCAGAUCACGAUCUGUCACCACCACUCCUGUUAGAUCAUGAUCCGCCACCAAAUAAUCUUUCAGGUUAUGACUCAGGUUUGAUCUACACUUGACGUGUGGACGCCUUUAUCACCACUAUAAGCAACUAGCACGAGAAAUUUUUUCUCUCGAAAUUAGAGAAAAAAUAUUUUUCUCUGAUCUGUAUAAAGUGGUUGCUAUUUUCUUUUGAGAGAUAAUAAGCUCUUUUUUAUUUUUUUUCUAGUGAAAACCCUAGGCUCCAUUUUUUUAUCUUGUUAUAGGGGCCCACCUUGUAAAAUAACACAAGGCCCCUUGACACAAGUACAUUACAUGGAGCCUCCCACUAAAUAAUAUAUUUAGGCUUUUAACCCAAAUAGCUAGUUAUCUUACUUAUUAAUCCAGUAGCGGCACAAUCAAUUAAAUGAGCUAACCCGGGGAUCAUUUGGGAACAUACAAUAGUGGCUACAAUAAUUAGACGUGUAAUUAAACUAGCCCAAUUAUUUAAUUCCAAAUCUACUCCACUAAAAUAUUGGAACUGAUCUCCAUAAUUGUAUGCUCGAAUAAUAAUUCGUCCCAAGCCAUUGAUUUCUUUACUGCUCAAUCCUUUGUACCUCAUCGUUAAUUAAAUUGAUAUCUCAACUAUUCAAUCAAUUUAAUUACAGCUUGUUCCUUGAUAUUUACUGGUUUUCUCUAAUGAUCAUUUUCAACAUACUAAAUAUGUUGACACACUCUGACCAGAGGAUUCUAUGAUUAAGUGCCGAAAAUCCAUCAAGAGAUGUGUUGUACAAAUUCUAUAUUGUAAUCUAUAACUCCAAUAUUCAUAAUUGCUCCCACCAAGAUAUCGGGUAAUCUUGACUACAAGUAUGUGUCGUGCCCAUUAGUAACUCAAAUGGAAUAACAAUUAUAAUCAUGAAAUCAUAAUUAAUUCAAGAUUAAGAUUACAGUAAAAUCAAUGCCUAUGAUAGUUAAUAAGUGUGACAGUCAUUUCAAGGUUAAUUAAAUCUCAUAUGUGAUCCAGCUCAAUGUAGUCAAACUACAUCAGUAAAUUCAUACAUGAUUAAGACAAAUCAUUCAAUGAAUUCACUACAGUUUAACACAUAAAUAGAGCGCCAAACUCUAUUAUCAACUGCGAACUUAAUUUAUUUAAUCAUAAGAUAACUUGUAUUUAGGUAUUUUGUGAAUCCAUAUGAUGAUCACAUAAAUAAAUAUAAUAUGAUUAAACAGACCUUAUUCAAAAUAUAUGCAAUCGAAAAUAUCUCCAAUAUUUUAUUAAUUAGAAAAUAGAUUAAUAUGCUUUAAAAGAGCAUAUAAUCCCAACACAUGAAAUGUUGCUAGCUGAAAUUGAGUUCGUGCAGAAAGGGUAAUAAUUAAGUUUCAUUAAAUCAUGUUUAGCCUUUUUUUUUGUUUUCUUCUAAGCUUUUAUGGAACUCUUUAACAUUUUCAUUUUCAUAGGAGAUUGAGCUGGAAAAUGAAAGUGUGUCUGCGAUCAAAGGUAUGCAAAUUAGUUUGUUGUAUGCAUAAUGCAUUUGUUCUCGCCCUCUUCCAAAAUUUCAGCGCAUCAUUAAAAUUUCAUUGUUUCUGAAACUCAGAUAGCAGAAAUGGAGAGGUUUCAGCAAGCAAACAUGGUGACUAGGCAAGAGCUGAAUGCAAUCCAUGCAUUAGCUUCUCAGAAUUUCCUUAGUCCUGCUAUCAUCGAGGGUGGUGACAUUGCUUACUCUCACCCGGACAAGAAGAUACUCCAUCUCGGGUAAUUAAUUCUCCCAUCACAUUUCAUUUCUACGCGCUCGUUGUUGAGUGUUAGAAAAUGUAUAUUUAUAAAGGAGAAAAUCAUCAUUUUACAUUUCAAGUCUUACUAACAACCCUUACUUUUAUGCAUUUAAGCUUCUUGUAAUUUAAUUAUGUGUGUUUUAUUUUAAUUAAAUAUUUUAUGUAUUUUAGGGGCAUCAUGGUUAUUUCACAAUGAACGAGAGAUCAAAUGGCAAAACGGACAUCACUUUUGAACUCAGGACGACCGAAAACCUUAGAAGGAGCAUAAAAGGAAAAAUGGCACUGUUCACAUGUACGAUACUAUUCACAUAUACGGUACUGUCUACGUUACUGUUCACGACACUGUUCACAUAGACGGAUCAAUGACGUGGCAUUGACCGAUGAUGUGUCAUUGACUGAUGAGGUGUCAUGAUCCCGUUGGACUAAAAUUUUUAUGUACUGUUGAUGGUGACGUGGCAGCAUAUCAGUGGACCAAAAAUCUCGCGUACGGUACAUGCAUUACACAAGAUUAUUUUCAACCAAACCGCGUCACUGUUCAAGCCGGGUCAAACCAUGUUAUUGUUCAAACCACGUACUGUUGACUGAUGACGACGCACAAUCCUAAGCGUCCACACUGUUUUUAAUCCGAUGGCCAUGAUUUACUCAAUGUAUCUAUAGAAAGGGGACCUCCCCCCCUAAUUUGAUAUCUCUGAAUCCAUUUUUGGACUCCAUUUUCUGUAAUUCCUUCUCCAACUUGUAUUUCUAUGUAUUUUAAUAAAUUCCUACUUUGCACCUAGUUCAAUUAUGAGUAGCUAAUUUUCUUUCAAGCUUGGGUUGAAGGUGAAGUCUCAACAUGUGUCAUGGGCUUUAAUUGGUAAAUUUAUUUUCUCUUCCCCUCUAGUUUUUGUGGAUAUUUUGACUUCUCGUUGACAAAUAAUAAUAAUCUUAUCUAGAUACCGCCCUGGUUUCACUGGCUCCCUAGUACAAGGUUAUUAUUAUUUGGCACGAUAACCUUUUAGCACCAUAUUGAUUAGAGUAUGGUUCAUGAGGCGUGGAUCCGUGCACUUGCGAGUUCAAUAAAAUUUGCACAACAAGUUUUUGGCACCGUUGCCGGGGAAGUAAAUUAUUUUAAUUUGUAAAAUUAAUUUUUGUGAAAAAAUUCUUUUAUUUGUUUUCUUGUAUUUUUUUAUUAUUAAAAAAAAGAAAAAAAGUGAAUCUGCAUUUAGAGGUUAGUAUUUCUUUUCUUUUUCUCUUCUUUAAAAUUCUGUAAUUUAAUUUUCAAUUUACUUUUUGUUCGUAAUUUUUUUAUCUUCUUAAUUUAUUUUUAGUUAAUUUAUUUCACGUAUUUUUUGUGUAUUUUUAUAGUAAGGUCGUAAUAGCACAAUAAGGUUAGUAUCGUAAUUUCUCUUUUUUCUUUAUUUUUAUUUGUUUUGUUCCCAUUUAUUUUUUGUUCUUUGCAUGCAUGGUCGUAGGUCAUUAUUACCUAAUCUUGAACCUAUAGACCUGGAACUAGAAAAAAUAUUUCGCACACAAGCAUGUUAAAAAUAAAUUUGAAAUGGAUUUGCAACAACAACAAGCACCACAAGAGAGGCCAUUUAAGGACUAUUUUAGUCCCUUAGCUAAUUUGAGCACAUCAUGCAUAAGAUACCCAAAUGUAGCUGCUAGGAGUUUUGAACUAAAACCUAGUGUGCUAAAUUGUCUCCCAACAUUCUAUGGCCUAGAAAAUGAGAACCCAUAUAAUCAUUUGAAUGAUUUUCAUGCUGUGUGUCACACAUUUAAAUAUGAGAAUUUUUCAGAUGAUUAUGUUAAACUUUGAUUAUUCCCAUUUUCUUUAAAGGAUAGAGCUCGUUCAUGGCUUAAUACAUUGCCUGCUAAUAGCAUUACAUCAUGGGAACAAAUGGUAACUAAAUUUUUGAAUAAAUACUUCUCAGUGCAUAAAACCAAUGCUAUUCGCAGGGAAAUCUCAGAAUUUACCCAGAGAGAGGACGAGCAGUUUUUCGAAACAUGAGAGCGAUUCAAUGGGCUGCUCUUGAAGUAUCCACAUCAUGGGUACGAGAAAUGGCACCAAUGCCAAUACCUUUUGGAGGGAUUAUUGCCGAAUGUGCAAGAAUGGCUAAUGGCAACAAGUGGAGGAGAGUUAAUGUCAAAAAGUGCAUCAGAGAGUUGGGAAUUCUUCCAGCGACAAGUGGAUAAUUCCCAACAACGGAGUCGAACGCUCAGGAAUACUAGAAGAAUUAAGGGAGUAAAUGAGGUUCACAUUGGCGAGUCAACUUCGGGAAUCAAAGAAGUCAAGGAGAUGGUUGAAGGUCCCUCUUAACAAAUAGCAUCGUUAACGACUGCUACAUCAACAGAGCCACAUGAUCAUGACUCAUACUCAUAUCAAACCAAUGCCAUAGGUGUAAUGAGAAAACUAUCAAAUUACAAUCCAUACUCUAAUACAUAUAAUCCUGGAUGGAGGGACCACCCCAAUUUUUCAUGGUCUCAAGGAUUCCAACAGAAUGGACCAGCAGCUUCAGCUCCACCAAUGCAACAAAUUCCUCAAGUUCUUCAAGCCUCUUAGCCGCCAUUUAGACCAUACAAUCAAACCAGAACUACUCUCAACCCAGACCAUGGGAAGAUUCAUUCUAGAAUCUCAAGAAUCUUACUCACUCCAUGAUUGAGCAACAGAACCGCACCAUUGAUGGACUACGAAAUGAGUUGAGAGCAUACUUCAACUCACAAGCCCAAUCAGUUUCAAGCCUUGAGAAGAUGGUGGGACAACUUGCUUCUUCAGUUCAGACCUUGGUAAUGACUGUUGAGAAAGGCAAAUUUCUAAGUCAACCAGUGCCUAAUCCUAAAAGAGUACAUGAAGCAAGAACCAGUUCACCACAGCAGCAUGGAGAGGUUAAAGCCGUCAUGACCUUGUGAAAAGAAAAAGAAGUCGACAACAAAGUGGAGAUACCGGUGACAAAAGAAAAUCAAGUUGUACCUGUGAAUGUUGAGGACUUACCAUCGGAGGAGAAAGAAGAAACUAACCUACAAGAAUAUAUUCCCAAAGCUCCAUUUCCUCAAAGGUUAGCUAAAGGAAAGAAAGGAAAGUCCACAGGUGAGAUUCUUGAAAUCUUUAAACAUGUAAGUGUUAACAUCCCUUUGCUUGAUGCUAUUAAACAAGUUCCAUCUUAUGCCAAGUUUCUUAAAGACCUUUGUACUAAAAAGAGAAAUAUUCAUUUUCAAAAGAAGACAUUUUUAACAAAAACGUUAGUUCUAUACUCCAACACAAAAUUCCUUUAAAAUGCAAAGACCCAGGCUCCCCCACUAUCUCAUGUAGCAUAGGGAACCACACAAUUGAGAAUGCUUUGUUGGAUUUAGGAGCUAGUGUAAAUCUGUUGCCUUAUUCAGUAUUUGUGAAACUUGGACUGAGAGAAUUACACCCAACUCCAAUGGUGUUACAGCUUGCAGAUCGGUCCAUGAAAAUACCUCGUGGUAUUGUGGAGGACGUGCUUAUCCAGGUAGACAAGUUUUAUUUUCUUAUUGAUUUCAUUGUAAUUGACAUUCAACCAAUACAGGACUCAAGGAAGCACAUCCCUAUUAUUCUAGGCCGACCUUUCUUGGCAACUGCGGAUGCUCACAUUCAAUGCAAGACUGGAAAUAUACAAUUGUCCUUCAGCAACAUGACUAUGGAGCUGAACAUCUUCAACAUUGCCAAACAACCUCAUAAUGCAGAUGAUGGAAUUGUUGAUGUGGAUUUAAUUGAAGCAUUAGUUGAUGACACUUUUGUUUCAAACCUUAGUGAUAAUCCUUUACAAACAUGUUUAACUCACUUUGGUUUUGAUUUUGAUAUUGAUAGAUCAGUCGAUGAGGUCAACGCCCUACUUGACUCAGCACCAUCCAUGGACACUAAUAAAUGGAUGUCAAGAGUUGAACAACUAGCACCAUCGGAGAAGAAACUCAUCCCAUCAUCAGAAUCACCACCGAAACUCGAGCUCAAACCAUUACCCAACACAUUGGAAUAUGCAUUUUUGGGAGAAGAAAGCACUCUACUAGUAAUCAUCUCAUCAUCCCUAAACGACGAACAAAAAGGUAAGUUGUUGGAUGUUUUAAAAAAGCACAAAGGAGCAUUAGGAUGGACCAUAGCAGACAUAAAAGGUAUAAACACAGUAGACUGCAUGCAUUGCAUUCAUCUUGAUGAAAAUGCUAAAUGUACUAGGGAAAUGCAAUGUCGGUUAAAUCUUAACAUGAAAGAAGUUAUUAGAACUGAAGUCCUUAAGCUUUUAGAUCCAGGUAUUAUUUACCCAAUUUCUGAUAGUUCAUGGGUCAGUCUUGUACAAGUUGUCCCUAAAAAGUCAGGAGUCACAGUAGUUACGAAUGUCGAUAAUGAAUUGAUACCCACUAGAGUGACUACAGGAUGGCGUGUAUGCAUUGAUUAUAGAAAGUUGAAUUCUGUCACACGUAAAGACCAUUUUUCUUUACCAUUUAUCGAUUAAAUGCUUGAUAGAUUAGCAGGCCAUGAAUUUUAUUACUUUCUAGAUUGCUACUCAGGAUAUAAUCAGAUUCCCAUUGCACCAAAAGAUCAAGAGAAAACUACUUUCACUUGCCAUUUUGGCACUUUUGCAUAUAGGAGGAUGCCAUUUGGAUUAUGUAACGCACCUGCUACAUUUCAACGAUGCAUGUUAAACACUUUUUCUGAUAUGGCUGAAUGAUUCCUUGAAGUCUUUAUGGAUGACUUUUCUGUCUUUGGUGAUUCAUUUGAUCAAUGUUUACAUCAUCUAACACUACUUCUACAGAGAUGUAUCGAGAAUAACUUAGUCUUAAAUUAAGAUAAAUGCCAUUUUAUGGUAAAAUAAAGUAUUGUUAUCGGUCACAUCAUUUCGAGCAAAGGUAUUGAGGUUGACAAAGCCAAGGUGGAUCUCAUUUCUAAUCUUCCUCUACCCAAAACAGUCAGAGAAGUAAAAUCUUUCCUUGGGCAUGCUGGUUUUUAUAGACGUUUCAUUAAAGAUUUUAGCAAAAUUUCUAGACCCUUAUGCAAUCUACUUGCUAAGGAUGUACCUUUUGUCUUUAAUGAUUAUUGUCUUGUGGCAUUUGAAAAAUUAAAGCAGUUGUUGACAUCAUCACCCAUCAUUCAGUCCCCAAACUGGAGCUUACCAUUUGAGCUCAUGUGUGAUGCAUCUGAUUAUGCAGUAGGAGCAGUAUUAGGACAAAGAACUGAUCAAAUUUCCCAUGUUAUUUACUAUGCUAGUAUGACAUUAAAUGAUGCACAGUUGAACUAUUCAACUAUUGAAAAAGAAAUGCUAGCAGUAGUGUUUGCAUUAGAGAAAUUUCGAUCUUAUCUCAUUGGUUGUAAAAUAAUUGUAUUCACAAAUCAUGCUGCUCUUAAAUAUCUUCUCACAAAGAAAGAUGCAAAAGCUAGACUAAUUCAUUGGGUGUUAAUUUUGCAAGAAUUCGACUUGAAAUUGAAAGAUAAGAAAGGCACAGAAAAUGUUGUGGUAGGCCAUCUCUCUCGUCUCCAUUUUGACACAAUUACAGAACCAUUAACAUUGAAUGAGUCAUUCCCAGAUGAACAAUUAAUGAGUGUGGAAGUAUUACCUUGGUAUGCUGAUAUCGUUAAUUAUCUUGUUACAGGUCAACUUCCAGAGCAUUGGACCAAGCAAGACAAAGCCAAUUUUUUUGCAGAAAUAAAGAAUUUUUUUGGGAUGACCCUUAUUUGGUCAAGUAUUAUGCAGAUCAAAUUGUUAGACGAUGUGUCCUAGAAAGUGAAAUUCAAAAUAUCCUUUCAUUCUGCCAUGAACAAGCUUGUGGAGGCCAUUUCAGUGCUAAGAAAACAAUGACUAAAGUUUUACAAUGUGGCUUCCAUUGGCCAACUAUAUUUCGAGACGCUUACAUUUUCUGUUCUUCAUGUGAUGGGUGUCAACGAAUGGAGAGCAUUACACGAAGGAACAUGAUUUCACUAAAUUCAAUUUUAGUGGUUGAGAUUUUUGAUGUAUGGGGUAUCGACUUCAUGGGACUCUUUCCCCCUUUUUUUGGCCAUCAAUACAUAUUGGUUGCUGUUGAUUAUGUAUCGAAAUGGGUAGAAGCAAUACCAUGUAGAACCAAUGAUCACAGAGUGGUGAUAGAAUUUUUGAAAAGCAACAUUGUUUCACGCUUUGGAUUCCCUCAAGCGAUAAUCAGUGAUGAUGGUUCCCACUUUUGUAACAAAGCAUUCAAGGCUCUUUUGACAAAGUAUUCAAUCACUCACAAAGUGGUGACCCCAUAUCAUCCGCAAACUAGUGGCCAAGUUGAGAUUUCCAAUCGAGAAAUAAAGCACAUAUUAGAAAAGACGGUGAGGCCAGACAGAAAAGAUUGGUCAUUAAGACUUGAUGAUGCAUUAUGGGCAUAUAGAACAGCUUUCAAGACCCCGAUUGGGAUGUCACCCUACAGGCUAGUGUAUGGAAAAGCUUGCCACCUACCUGUGGAACUCGAGCAUCGUGCAUAUUGGGCCAUCAAGAAAUUCAACUUUAACAUGCAGCAAGCUAGUUCAGAAAGAAGAUUACAACUGGCAGAACUUGAAGAAAUUCGCAAUGAUGCAUACGAAAAUGCCAAAAUUUACAAGCAUCAAAUGAAAGUCUUUCAUGACAAGCAAAUUAUGAGAAAAUCUUUCACUCCAGGUCAGAAAGUGCUUUUAUUCAAUUCUCGCUUGCACUUAUUUCCAGGUAAGUUACGCUCUCGAUGGUCUGGCCCCUUUAUUGUUCAUACUGUUUUUCCACAUGGGGCAAUUGAAAUUAAGGACCCAAAGAACGGUGUCACGUUUAAAGUUAAUGGUCAAAGACUUAAGCCAUAUCUAGAGUACCAACCACAUGGAGAGGACAACGAAAUAAAUUUGAGUGACCCACCAGAUUUGAAUUAAGUUUUUUUUUUCUUUUCGGUGAUUUGAAUUUUCUUUCUUUCUUUCUUUCUUUUUAUUAUUCUUUUGCUAAUUGAAAUUAUUUUUAUAUAAGUGUGUUUGUUUAACCAUUAAGUUUUCUCUUAUCAUUGUUAAUCAUGAGUGCCAUAUCUAAACAGUUCCUCCUGAACAUUCUUAAACCACUUCAACGUGUAAAAUCUCAUCUCAAAAAGCAGAUUCGAUUUUGUAAAACACAUCGUAUUUGGGCUAUGCAACCACCAGAGUUAGUAGCCCAUGUUGAGGAUUUAGAAAGCCAACUCAGAGACAUUGAGAGAAAUGUCUACAACAUCCAAUUGGAGCUUGAGGUAAAUUCAAUAAGAGGAUGAUUGUAAUUUUCUUUAUGUGUUUUAGUUUUUUUUUCUUUGUUUGUGUGCUUUAGUUUGUUACCCCGGUGAAGUGGCGGAUAACGGUACUCCGUGACAAUCAAGUCGGUUACUUCAGUUCUCCCAUAAUAACUGAUAUUCUGAGGCGAAUGUAUGGACAGAAACGAGGUUCUAGCAAAGCUUCACAAGCGAUUCCCUUCACUUUCUCAGAAUGCCCUCCUUACAAUCUAUAAAGCUCGGUCCGAACGCAUGCGAUUGCUCAUGAGGAAUAACAUACCUGCUGGCAUCCGUUGGUUAAUCGAGGCUAAAGUACGAUUGGCAGUUGAGUUACCUCCAAAAUUUAUUGCAUACAUGCCUGGUUGUGGUAAAGGAAAUUAUGCAAGAAAAUGAUGAGCUCGAAGAAUUUCUGUUGCUUGUCAUAAGUGUGCUAGAAUGAGUUGCGAUAAAAAACCAUGUUCUUUCGGAAUGGUGUCUGAUAACAGAGAAGAUAAGAUUCAAUUCAUUAGGGAUGGUUUGAAUAAUGAGUCAUUGGAUGAUAUCCUUUUGUCUCUUGAAACACAUCCCAGUAGAUAUGUGCAAGGAGCGAUUCUCCAGUUAUGACCAUUAUUCCAGAAAGAGCAUGCACGAUAUAGUCUCGGGAAUCUGACUAUAAACGAUCUUGUUUGCCAGUUUAUAAGAAAACUGGAUGGGAAGCCUAUCCUCGACCCAUAGAGGGUGUUCAAGCCGUUUCUGGACGUAAAACCAGAGGACGAUGUGAGACACAGUCGCAACUACUUGUAAAUAUCCUUUUGCUUCACUGUUAUUUUAUUUUACUGUCGUUUUAUCAUUUGCAUUAUUAUCUUCAAUAAUUUUAUUUUAUCGUUGUUUCUUUUUCUUUUUACUGUUUUCAUUUUGACUCGCGAGCCAUGUGCUUUACACGUUAUUUGACACUGACAUGUUACCUUUUACACAACUGUGACCCACUGUCACCAAAAUUCUUGAAUAUGAUUUUUUAUCAAGCACUCACAAAUUGUUUUUGAGAAGUAUCCCAAUGGCAGCUACUCCCAAUAGACAAUUCAAGAACAUUUGUGUGCUUUCUAGAUUUAACUAUGGAAAACAUAAAGAGUUCGUUGAGGCAGCCAUAGAUCUUGGUCGAAGCAUAGCAGAGAGAAAAUUAUACUUGGUGUAUGGAGGAGGUAACCGAGGGUUAUCAAAAUUGGUCUUAGAAGCUGCUUUUGUCAGAGGAAGUCAAGUGUUAGGCAUCAUCCCAAGAGCCUUAAAACCAUUGGGCAGUUUGUCUAACUCACCGACUGGAGAAGAGUUAGUUGUAUCAGGUAUGCAAGAAAGAAUAACUGAAAUGCUUAAUCAUGUUGAUGCUUUUAUUUUCCUUCCAGGACAUCUUGCAACACUAGAGGCACUUAUCACACUAGCAUCUUGUGCCCAUCUGCACAUUUACCAUAAACCCAUCGAUUUGUUAAAUGUCAAUAAUUUUUAUGAUGGCUUUAUCACAUUUCUUAACCAUGCAAUAAAAAACUAUUUCAUUCCUUCCAAUGCGCAAAAACUUUUUAUUUAUGCUCACACUGCUAAUGAGCUACUUGAUAUAUUACAAGCUUAUAAACCGGAGCCAGACCCCUAGACCUUUGUGUUGGAGCGUCCAAAUAAUGAUGGUAACAGUAGCCGCAGUAAGAAAUACAAAUUAGAUUUAACUCUCUGCCUGUAAAUAUUUUCUUCUGUGUUGCACUACCCAGGUGAUGUCUUCUAAACUCUACUUCUUUCCUUUAAAACAUUGAGGACAAUGUUUCGUUCUGGUUGGGGGGAAGGAAUAGUUAACAAUUGUGGAAUCUUGGUUAAGUUUUUACUUAUUUUUUGUUGUAGAAACUAAUUGUUGCUAACUUUUUGUGUUGAAGAUGGCUGAAUAUGGAGUGUAGUGACUCUAGAAACGCAUCUUCAUCGUUUGAAAAAAAAAAAAACAAAAACAAAAAACAAAUUCAGACAUUUUCUUUUUCUUUAUUAAGUUUUAAUGUUCAUUUUUCUUCUUCCUUUUAAUUUCUCCUUUAUAAAUAUACAUUUUCAAUAUUUUUUUGAGUCGAAGAUGGCUGAAUAUGGAGUGUAGUGCCUCUAGAAACGCAUCUUCUUAGUUAAAAAAAAAUCAUUUUGUUUUUCUAUCAUUUUAAGUGUAACUUUUCUAAUUAGUUUUUCUGCAUCAUUUUCAUAUUUCUGCAUGCAUAUUUUCCUUUUAUGUUUAGAAUAGGUUGGGGGUAGAAUGUUGUUUAAAAAAAAUAAAAAAUAAAUUGUGUGAUUUGUUUUAACAUUGGAUGACAUGAUGAAUUUUAAAUUUUAGCAUUUAUAUUAUCUUUGGUCUUAAGUGAUGUUACGCUAUUUUUGCUACUCUACAUGCUUAUGUCGGAGACAAAUAUGAGUUGCUUGAAGGAAUGAAUAUGUCAUAAUAAGUAUCAAGUGAGUUUUUGAGCCUAUUAUUUUUCUUGGAGAGUAACAUUUUUGCCCAUUCUUUAUAUAGCUUAGCAGUUUAUUAUUUUACACACGAUCUCUAGAUUUCUUUUGAGUUAACCCUUAAAAAAAAUUGUAAAAUUAAAAAAAAAAAGAGAAAAAAAUGUGUGUUGCUACAUUUGGAGGCCCAUCUAACUAGUAGAUAUGGAAGAUUAUUUAGAGCUCUAAAAGACGAUGGAAAUGCCAUUUUUUAUCCGUUUGAGCCUUUCUAGCCAUCCCUUUUAUGAAAUAUCCAUAGUUAACCCUUUUGAGCCUUUAAACAAAAAAAAAAAGUCAUUUUCUUUGUCAAACUUAUCAUCUUGACCCACUCCGAUUUGGAGUAUUACCUAAUAUCUUACACAUUCCAUCACCUAUUUAUGUUUGAGAAAAAUAUAAAUAAUUAUUUUGUUUAGUGAAAUUAUGCCAAAAAAAAUUGUUGUUUAAAAAAAAAGAGAAAAAAAAGAAAAAAAUAACAAUAAUAGAUGAAAUCCACCUUGCAACUUCUAAAAAAAAUAAUUAAAAUAUCUCUGCAUUUUUCUCAAACAUACACUUUGUUUUCCUUAUUUCCUCUCCUUUGUUAGCCAUGUCCCUAGCCUACGUUACGUCCUAAUAAAAAUGCUUCUUGAUUUUAGGGAACUAUAGUCUGAAGUAGAAGCUAGUUAUAUGGGCUAAAAAGAUGUAGUGGUGCAUAAUAAAAAAAUAAAAAAUAAAAAGAUGAAUAAAGUAGGUUGACUAGCAUUUUUGUUUGACUUGAGAUCGUGUUAUUUCUAAGCUGAGGGCAUAUUUCUUUCAUCUUGGAGAGAGCAUGUGAUAUCACUUCUUUAUUAUUUUCUCUCAAUUACCAUUCAUUGGAGUGACUAUUUUUAUUGGGUUUAAUUUCUUUGUGAGAGUGUCACUAUUUCCAGUGAGAUUUUGGGGUUUAACAUGUCAUUCUUGAAAGUACCUGUGACAAAGUCUACUGGGCUGAUUCAUGUGGAUGGUUGACGUGGGUGUGAUGUUUCUUUAGACUGCAGAUAAUACUUAUACUUUUAUUUGAUUGUUAUCAUUAGUCUGAUUGAAUAAACAAGAUUUUUUUAAAAAAAAUAUUUUGGAUUUGAAUUUUGUUUUCGCUUUAUUUGCUAGGGACUAGCAAUAAGCUGGUUGGGGGUGUGUUGAGUGUUAGAAAAUGUAUAUUUAUAAAAGAGAAAAUCGUCAUUUUACAUUUCAAGUCUUACUAGCAACCCUUACUCUUAUGUAUUUAAGUUUCUUGUAAUUUAAUUAUGUGUUUUAUUUUAGUUAAAUAUUUUAUGUAUUUUAGGGGCAUCAUGGUCAUUUCACAAUGAACGAGAGAUCAAACAGCAAAACAGACAUCACUUUUGAACUCAGGACGGUCGAAAACCUUUGGAGGAGCAUAAAAGGAAAAUAGCAUUGUUCACACGUACGGUACUAUUCACAUAUACGGUACUGUCUACGUUACUGUUGACGACACUGUUCACAUAGACGGAUCGAUGAUGUGGCAUUGACCGAUGAUGUGGCAUUGACUAAUGAGGUGUCAUGAUCCUGUUGGACUAAAAUUCUUAUGUACUGUUGAUGGUGACGGGGGAGCAUAUCAGUGGACCAAAAAUCUCGCGUACGAUACAUGCAUUACACAGGAUUAUUUUCAACCAAACCGCGUCACUGUUCAAGCCAGGUCAAACCGUGUUACUAUUCAAACCGCGUGGUCAAAUCGCGUACUGUUGACUGAUGACGUGGCGCAAUCCUGAGCGUCCAAACUGUUUUUAAUCCGAUGGCCAUGAUUUACUCAAUGUAUCUAUAAAAAAGGGACCUUCCCCCCCUAAUUUGAUAUCUCUGAAUCCAUUUUUGAACUCCAUUUUCUGUAAUUCCUUCUCCAUCUUGUAUUUUCUACGUAUUUUAAUAAAUUUCCAUUUUGCUCCUAGUUUAAUUAUGAGUAGCUAAUUUUCUUUUAAGCUUGGGUUGAAGAUGAAGUCUCAACAUGUGUCAUGGGCUUUAAUUGGUAAAUUUAUUUUCUCUUCCCCUCUAGUUUUUGUGGAUGUUUUGACUUUUCAUCGACAAAUAAUAAUAAUCUUGUCUAGAUACCGCCCUGGUUUCACCAGCUCCCUAGUACAAGGUUAUUAUUAUUUGGCACGAUAAGCCCUUAGCACCAUAUUGAUUAGAGUGUGGUUCAUGAGGUGUGGAUUCCCCCCUCAUGAUUUAAUUGGCACUAAUAAGGAAUAUUUAGCCCAUGGUGCAGGUUGAUACGGAUCCAGAUACCCAAGUGUUUCAUUUCAAUAGAUUUCUCUUCAAUUUAUUCUCGCCAUUUCAAUUCCAAUUUUAAGAUAAUCUAAGUCACUUUCACCACAAAUCCAAAUAACCACUCUUAUACAAAAUUAAUUCUACAUAUAAUUAAAAUCCACCUCCUCGUGGGAUCGACACUUGUCACCAUUAAUCUAUUCUACAAUAGAUUCGAGCACUUGUGAGUUCAAUAAAAUUUGCACAACACACGUGUUUUCUUCCGUUUGCAGGUAAACUAGAUGCUAAAGAUCAAGCUUGCGGCAUCUCAGUGUGAGAUCUACGAUCAGACUAUCAUUAUCUACUGAAUGUGUGUGCUACUUGAUACCUAUUUUUGAAACCAGUAAUAUAUCAAAUUGGAUGAGUUUAUGCGUAACCUUAUUACUUUUGCUGACUUAUCAUUGGCUUUUCCUCCUCGGGUGACCAGUUAUUAUGCUGAAACUUAAUAUCUAUAAAACUGAUGUUGUAUCGUGUCGAAGGAUUUGCAUUAUGUAAAGUUAAAUAAAGAUAGUGUCAUACAUGCAUAAAUAAAUAUUGUACUUGAUAAACCUAGACUAUGAGCUAGUUGAAGUUUGGUAUGAGUCAAAGAAGGAUCAUAGGCUUGAUGGUUUUAUUGCAAGACUCUUGAAUAUUAGGAUUACUCUAUUAUACGAAAGGAGUAAAUAAUAUACAAACAAACUAUUAAUACAAACUGGUAUGACAUUAGAAUAGUGAAAACAAAAAAGUGAAGGUACAAGUAAACUCGAGUGUAUGUUCGAGUUUUUAGGAAAGUCAUUGAUUGUUUAAAGCGCAUAUUUUGGUUGUAUCUAUUACAAAUAUGGAAACAAGAUAGUGUGAGGAGAAAAAGGAAUCAAAACUCUUUGGAUUCACCGUGUAAGAAAAGAUUCUAAAUGGCUCCAUAAAAGAAACUUCAUUUGAUGUCAAUACAAUGUUUCCAUAUAAUACUAUCGUAAGACCGCACUCCAGAUUGGAUUGGGAACAUUUACAUAAUAGAGAAUACAAGCUUCUUGACUGUAGUAAAACACUAAUAAUAAAUGUAGUAUUAACUUCAAAUAUUAUCUGAAAAGGUAGGGGAGACAGAAAAAAAUAUAUUUAGGUGAUUUUCAUGCCAAUGGAAUAUAGUGCCUGCAGAUGAUUAGGUCAAAGAAUGGCACACCCUUCUUUUUCAGCUCGCUUACGGAGCUCCUCAGCCUCCCACUGAACUCUUUCAAGAUUCUCUCUAAGCUUACAAAUUUCUUCAUUUGACUUCAUUUGAGCUAAUUGUGCAGCCUCAUCUGCCUUUAAUCGUGCAGCAUGCUCCUCUGCUAAUUGUUGUUCGAGUCUAAUUGUUGUCUCUUUGAGCUUAGACUCAACCUAUCAAAAAAGCAUCAAAAUCAGUCAUAAAACAUAUCACUAAGCCUUACAGUAGCAGCAUAAUACAAAUAAAGAUUGGGUAUUGGAAAUAUAAAACUCCAACUUAAGAGAAGAAAAUUCUUAAGUAUUAAUUUAGUUUAAUCCAAUUCCAAAGGGAGUUGCUAAGUUCACCAUACUCGGCACAACUUUCUUACUUCAAUCAAUUCGACUCUCUCAAUAUCCACAUUAUCACAAGAAAUGUUCUUGCGAUUGAUUACUACACAAGUGUAGAAUCCAUUCCUAAGUGUAAGUCAUGAUGAGCAAACCACCUAUAAUAUACGUAAUUUCAUCAAAAGAAGAAACAAAACAAAACAAAAGAGUCCAACAAUCUUCAAGGUAAGAACAACAUGUUACAGGCUUCAAAACACAAUCAGUGAACAUAUAACUUAAUAACAAAUUUGUCCCCAUCAACUAACGAGAUAAGCAUCUUUUUAGAUGGAAAUCUACAAAAAUUUAGGGGUAAGGACAGAGUGGCAGUCUUUACCACUUCCAAGUCUUAUAAUUUAGAAUAUUUUUACAUAUACUUGCACACUUUAUCAGCAUUUUUUAAUUCCACAGUUUUAGAAAUGAUUACCUAAUCUUAGAGAUGAACACAUAUGCAUGUCAUAUUUUGAUGUCAAAGCAAGGAGUAUAAAAAAUACCAUCUCAGUAAUUCGUUUGAUUUGAUCUUCAUAUGAUUCAUGCAUCUUGUCUUCAGUCUCCUUCUGAGCUCUUUCAAGAUUCUCCUUAAGCUUAUGAAUUUCCUCAUUUGACUUUAUUUGAGCUAAUUGUGCAACCUCUUCUCCCUUUAACCGAGCAGUUUGCUCCUUCGUCAAUUGUUGUUCGAGCCAAGUUAUUGUCUCUUUGAGCUUAGACUCAACCUAUCAAAAAAGCAUCAAUAUCAGUCAUAAAACAUACCACUAAGCACUAGAGUAGCAGCAUAAUGCAAAUAAAGAUUGGGUAUUGGUAACAUAAAACUCCAACUUAAGAAAAGAAAAAUCUGAAGUAUUAAUUUAGUUUAAUCCAAUUGCAAAGGGAGUUGUUAAGUUCACUAUACUCCGCACAACUUUCUUACUUCAAUCAAUUGCACUCUAUUAAUCAUUGAUAAAUAAUAGCAACAAAAGCUUAAAAAUAAACAGAUAAUAAAAUAUUUACAGUUUAAGAAGAAACAAAACAGAACAAAAUAGUCAUACAAUCUUUAAGGUAAGAACAACAUGCUACAACUUUGAAAACACAAUCAAUGAACAUAUAACUUAAUAACAGAUUUGUGCCCAUCAACUAGCGAGGUUAAGCGUCUUCUUUAGAUGGCAAAUCCCCAACAAUUUAGGGGAAAGGACAGAGUGGCGAUCUUUACCACCUCCAAGUCUUAUAAUUUAGAAUUUUUUUACAUGUACCUGCACACUUUAUAAGCAUGUUUUAAUUCCACAGUUUUAGAAAUGAUUACCUGAUCUUAGAGAUAAACACAUAUACAUGUCAUAUUUUGAUGUCAAAAUAAGGAGCAUAAAAAGUACCACCUCAGUAAUUCGUUUGAUUUGAUCUUCAUAUGAUUCAUGCAUCUUGUCUUCAGUCUCCUUCUGAGCUCUUUCAAGAUUCUCCUUAAGCUUAUGAAUUUCCUCAUUUGACUUUAUUUGAGCUAAUUGUGCAACCUCUUCUCCCUUUAACCGAUCAGUUUGCUCCUCUGCCAAUUGUUGUUCGAGUUGAGUUGUUAUCUCUUUGAGCUUGGACUCAACCUAUCAAAAAAAAUAUCAAUAUCAGUCAUAAAACAUGUCACUAAGCGCUAGAAUAACAACAUAAUACAAAUAAAGAUUCGAUAUUGGUAACAUAAAACUCCAACUUAAGAAAAGAAAAAUCUUAAGUAUUAACUUAGUUUAAUCCAAUUGCAAAGAAAGUUUCCAAGUUCACCAUACUCGGCACAACUUUCUUACUUGAAUCAAAUCCACUCUAUCAAUCAUUGAUAAAUGAUAGAAACAAAAGCUUAAAAAUAAACAGAUGAUACAGUAUCCACAGUAUAAGAAGAAAUGUUCUUAUUCUUGAUGACUAAACAAGUGCAGAAUCCAUUCCUAACUGUAAUUUAUAAUGAGGAAACCACCUAUAGCUACUUCCAUAGAGUAAUCUACUUAAUGUAAUCGAGAUAAGAAACAAAAAAGAACAAGAUAGUCAAACAAUUUUCAAGGUAAGAACAACAUGCUACAACUUUAAAACACAAUCAAUGAACAUAUAACUUAAUAACAGAUUUUUGCCCAUCGACUAGAGAGGUUAAGCGUCUUCUUCAUAUGGAAAUCCCCAACAAUUUAGGGAAAGGACAGAGUGGCAAUCUUUACUACCUCCAAGUCUUACAAUUUAGAAUAUCAUUACAGGUGGCUGCACACUUUAUAGGUAUUUUUUUAUUACACAUUUCUAGAAAUUAUUACCCGAUCUGAGAAAUGAAAACAUGUGCAUAUCAUAUUUUGAUGUCAAAAUAAGGGGCAUAAAAAGUACCACCUCAGUAAUUCGUUUGAUUUGAUCUUCAUAUGAUUCAUGCAUCUUGUCCUCAGUCUCCUUCUGAGUUCUUUCAAGAUUCUCCUUAAGCUUAUGAAUUUCCUCAUUUGACUUUCUUUGAGCUAAUUGUGCAACCUCUUCUCCCUUUAACCGAUCAGUUUGCUCCUCUACCAAUUGUUGUUCGAGUUGAGUUGUUAUCUCUUUGAGCUUGGACUCAACCUAUAAAAAAAACAUCAAUAUCAGUCAUAAAACAUGUCACUAAGCGCUAGAAUAACAACAUAAUACAAAUAAAGAUUCGGUAUUGGUAACAUAAAACUCCAACUUAAGAAAAGAAAAAUCUUGAGUAUUAAUUUAGUUUAAUCCAAUUGCAAAGAAAGUUUCCAAGUUCACCAUACUCGGCACAACUUUCUUACUUGAAUCAAAUCCACUCUAUCAAUCAUUGAUAAAUGAUAGAAACAAAAGCUUAAAAAUAAACAGAUGAUACAGUGUCCACAGUAUAAGAAGAAAUGUUCUUAUUAUUGAUGACUAAACAAGUGCAGAAUCCAUUCCUAACUGUAAUUUAUAAUGAGGAAACCACCUAUAGCUACUACCAUAGAGUAAUCUCCUGAAUGUAAUCGAGAUAAGAAACAAAACAGAACAAGAUAGUCAAACAAUUUUCAAGGUAAGAACAACAUGCUACAACUUUAAAACACAAUCAAUGAACAUAUAACUUAAUAAUAGAUUUGUGCCCAUCAACUAGUGAGGCUAAGCGUGUUCUUCAUAUGGCAAUCCCCAACAAUUUAGGGGAAAGGACAGAGUGGCAAUCUUUACCACCUCCAAGUCUUAUAAUUUAGAAUAUUUUUACAUGUACGUGCACACUUUAUAGGCCUUUUUUUAAUUCCACAGCUUUAGAAAUGAUUACCUGAUCUUAGAGAUAAACACAUAUACAUGUCAUAUUUUGAUGUCAAAAUAAAAAGCAUAAAAAGUACCACCUCAGUAAUUCGUUUGAUUUGAUCUUCAUAUGAUUCAUGCAUCUUGUCCUCAGUCUCCUUCUGAGUUUUUUCAAGAUUCUCCUUAAGCUUAUGAAUUUCCUCAUUUGACUUUCUUUGAGCUAAUUGUGCAACCUCUUCUCCCUUUAACCGAUUAGUUUGCUCCUCUGCCAAUUGUUGUUCGAGUUGAGUUGUUAUCUCUUUGAGCUUGGACUCAACCUAUAAAAAAAACAUCAAUAUCAGUCAUAAAACAUGUCACUAAGCGCUAGAAUAACAACAUAAUACAAAUAAAGAUUCGGUAUUGGUAACAUAAAACUCCAACUUAAGAAAAGAAAAAUCUUGAGUAUUAAUUUAGUUUAAUCCAAUUCCAAAGAAAGUUUCCAAGUUCACCAUACUCGGCACAACUUUCUUACUUGAAUCAAAUCCACUUUAUCAAUCAUUGAUAAAUGAUAGAAACAAAAGCUUAAAAAUAAACAGAUGAUACAAUAUCUACAGUAUAAGAGGAAAUGUUCUUAUUAUUGAUGACUAAACAAGUGCAGAAUCCAUUCCUAAGUGUAAUUUAUAAUGAGCAAACCACCUAUAGCUACUACCAUAGCGUAAUCUACUUAAUGUAAUCGAGAUAAGAAACAAAACGAAACAAGAUAGUCAAACAAUUUUCAAGGUAAGAACAACAUGCUACAACUUUGAAAACACAAUCAAUGAACAUAUAAGUUAAUGAUAGGUUUGUGCCCAUCAACUAGCGAGGUUAAGCAUCUUCUAAAUAUGGCAAUCCCCAACAAUUUAGGGGAAAUGAUAGAGUGGCAAUCUUUACCACCUCCAAGUCUUACAAUUUAGAAUAUCAUUACAGGUGGCUGCACACUUUAUAGGCAUUUUUUUAUUACACAGUUCUAUAAAUUAAUCCCCGAUCUGAGAAAUGAAAACAUGCGUAUAUCAUAUUUUGAUGUCAAAAUAAGGAGCAUAAAAAGUACCACCUCAGUAAUUCGUUUGAUUUGAUCUUCAUAUGAUUCAUGCAUCUUGUCCUCAGUCUCCUUCUGAGCUCUUUCAAGAUUCUCCCUAAGCUUAUGAAUUUCGUCAUUUGUCUUUCUUUGAGCUAAUUGUGCAACCUCUUCUCCUUUUAACCGAUCAGUUUGCUCAUCUACCAAUUGUUGUUCGAGUUGAGUAGUUAUCUCUUUGAGCUUGGACUCAACCUAUAAAUAACACAUCAAUAUCAGUCAUAAAACAUGUCACUAAGCGCUAGAGUAGCACCAAAAUACAAAUAAAGAUUGGGUAUUGGUAACUUAAAACUCCAACUUAAGAAAAGAAAAAUCUUAAGUAUUAAUUUAGUGUAAUCCAAUUGCAAAGAAAGUUUCCAAGUUCACUAUACGUGGCACAACUUUCUUACUGGAAUCAAAUCCACUCUAUCAAUCAUUGAUAAAUGAUAGAAACAAAAGCUUAAAAAUUAACAGAUGAUACAAUAUCCACAGUAUAAGAAGAAAUGUUCUUAUUAUUGAUGACUAAACAAGUGCAGAAUCCAUUCCUAACUGUAAUUUAUAAUUAGCAAACCAUCUAAAGCUACUACCAUAAAGUAAUCUACUUAAUGUAAUCGAGAUAAGAAACAAAACAGAAGAAGAUAGUCAAAUAAUUUUCAAGGUAAGAACAACAUGCUACAACUUUGAAAACACAAUCAAUGAACUUAUAACUUAAUAACAAAUUUGUGCCCAUCAACUAGAGAGGUUAAGCGUGUUCUUCAUAUGGCAAUCCCCAAAAAUUUAGGGGAAAGGAUAGAGUGGCAAUCUUUACCACCUCCAAGUCUUAUAAUUUAGAAUAUUUUUUACAUGUACCAGCAUACUUUAUAGACCUUUUUUAAUUCCACAGUUUUAGAAAUGAUUACCUGAUCUUAGAGAUAAACACAUAUACACGUAAUAUUUUGAUGUAAAAAUAAGGAGCAUAAAAAGUACCACCUCAGUAAUUCGUUUGAUUUGAUCUUCAUAUGAUUCAUGCAUCUUGUCCUCAGUCUCCUUCUGAGUUCUUUCAAGAUUCUCCUUAAGCUUAUGAAUUUCCUCAUUUGACUUUUUUUGAGCUAAUUGUGCAACCUCUUCUCCCUUUAACCGAUCAGUUUGCUCCUCUUCCAAUUGUUGUUCGAGUUGAGUUGUUAUCUCUUUGAGCUUCGACUCAACCUAUAAAAAAAACAUCAAUAUCAGUCAUAAAACAUGUCACUAAGCGCUAGAAUAACAACAUAAUACAAAUAAAGAUUUGGUAUUGGUAACAUAAAACUCCAACUUAAGAAAAGAAAAAUCUUAAGUAUUAAUUUAGUUUAAUCCAAUUGCAAAGAAAGUUUCCAAGUUCACCAUACUCGGCAAAACAUUCUUACUUAAAUCAAAUCCACUCUAUCAAUCAUUGAUAAAUGAUAGAAACAAAAGCUUAAAAAUAAACAGAUGAUACAGUAUCUACGGUAUAAGAAGAAAUGUUCUUAUUAUUGAUGACUAAACAAGUGCAGAAGCCAUUCCUAAGUGUAAUUUAUAAUGAGCAAACCACAUAUAGCUGCUACCAUAGAGUAAUCUACUUAAUGUAAUCGAGAUAAGAAACAAAAUAGAACAAGAUAGUCAAACAAUUUUCAAGGUAAGAACAACAUGCUACAACUUUGAAAACACAUUCAAUGAACAUAUAACUUAACAAUAGAUUUGUGCCCAUCAAUUAGCGAGGAUAAACGUCUUCUUCAUAUGGCAAUCCCUAACAAUUUAGGGGAAAGGACAGAGUGGCAAUCUUCACCACCUCCAAGUCUUACAAUUUAGAAUAUUAUUACAGGUACCUGCACACUUUAUAGGCAUUUUUUUAUUACACAGUUUUAGAAUUUAUUACCCGAUCUGAGAAAUGAACACAUGUGCAUGUCAUAUUUUGAUGUCAAAAUAAGGAGCAUAAAAACUACCACCUCAGUAAUUCGUUUGAUUUGAUCUUCAUAUGAUUUAUCCAUCUUGUCCUCAGUCUCCUUCUGAGCACUUUCAAGAUUCUCCCUAAGCUUAUGAAUUUCCUCAUUUGACUUUCUUUGAGCUAAUUGUGCAACCUCGUCUCCCUUUAACCGAUCAGUUUGCUCCUCUGCCAAUUGUUGUUCGAGUUGAGUAGUUAUCUCUUUGAGCUUGGAGUCAACCUAUAAAAAAAAACAUCAAUAUAAGUCAUAAAACAUGUCACUAAGCACUAGAAUAGCACCAAAAUACAAAUAACGAUUGGGUUUUGGUAACAUAAAACUCCAACUUAAGAAAAGAAAAAUAUUAAGUAUUAAUUUAGUUUAAUCCAAUUGCAAAGAAAGUUUCCAAGUUCACCAUACUUGGCAAAACUUUCUUACCUGAAUCAAAUCCACUCUAUCAAUCAUUGAUAAAUGAUAGAAACAAAAGCUUAAAAAUAAACAGAUGAUACAGUAUCUACAGUAUAAGAGGAAAUGUUCUUAUUAUUGAUGACUAAACAAGUGCAGAAUCCAUUCCUAAGUGUAAUUUAUAAUGAGCAAACCACCUAUAGCUACUACCAUAGCGUAAUCUACUUAAUGUAAUCGAGAUAAGAAACAAAACGAAACAAGAUAGUCAAACAAUUUUCAAGGUAAGAACAACAUGCUACAACUUUGAAAACACAAUCAAUGAACAUAUAAGUUAAUGAUAGGUUUGUGCCCAUCAACUAGCGAGGUUAAGCAUCUUCUAAAUAUGGCAAUCCCCAACAAUUUAGGGGAAAUGAUAGAGUGGCAAUCUUUACCACCUCCAAGUCUUACAAUUUAGAAUAUCAUUACAGGUGGCUGCACACUUUAUAGGCAUUUUUUUAUUACACAGUUUUAGAAUUUAUUACCCGAUCCGAGAAAUGAACACAUGUGCAUGUUAUAUUUUGAUGUCAAAAUAAGGAGCAUAAAAAGUACCACCUCAGUAAUUCGUUUGAUUUGAUCUUCAUAUGAUUUAUGCAUCUUGUCCUCAGUCUCCUUCUGAGCACUUUCAAGAUUCUCCCUAAGCUUAUGAAUUUCCUCAUUUGACUUUCUUUGAGCUAAUUGUGCAACCUCGUCUCCCUUUAACCGAUCAGUUUGCUCCUCUGCCAAUUGUUGUUCGAGUUGAGUAGUUAUCUCUUUGAGCUUGGAGUCAACCUAUAAAAAAAACAUCAAUAUAAGUCAUAAAACAUGUCACUAAGCACUAGAAUAGCACCAAAAUACAAAUAAAGAUUGGGUUUUGGUAACAUAAAACUCCAACUUAAGAAAAGAAAAAUAUUAAGUAUUAAUUUAGUUUAAUCCAAUUGCAAAGAAAGUUUCCAAGUUCACCAUACUUGGCAAAACUUUCUUACUUGAAUCAAAUCCACUCUAUCAAUCAUUGAUAAAUGAUAGAAACAAAAGCUUAAAAAUAAACAGAUGAUACAGUAUCUACAGUAUAAGAGGAAAUGUUCUUAUUAUUGAUGACUAAACAAGUGCAUAAUCCAUUCCUAAGUGUAAUUUAUAAUGAGCAAACCACCUAUAGCUUAGUCCAUAGAGUAAUCUACUUAAUGUAAUCGAGAUAAGAAACAAAACGAAACAAGAUAGUCAAACAAUUUUCAAGGUAAGAACAACAUGCUACAACUUUGAAAACACAAUCAAUGAACAUAUAAGUUAAUGAUAGGUUUGUGCCCAUCAACUAGCGAGGUUAAGCAUCUUCUAAUUAUGGCAAUCCCCAACAAUUUAGGGGAAAGGAUAGAGUGGCAAUCUUUACCACCUCAAAGUCUUACAAUUUAGAAUAUCAUUACAGGUGGCUGCACACUUUAUAGGCAUUUUUUUUAAUACACAGUUCUAGAAAUUAAUCCCCGAUCUGAGAAAUGAAAACAUGCGCAUAUCAUAUUUUGAUGUCAAAAUAAGGAGCAUAAAAAGUACCACCUCAAUAAUUUGUUUGAUUUGAUCUUCAUAUAAUUCAUGCAUCUUGUCCUCAGUCUCCUUCUGAGCUCUUUCAAGAUUCUCCCUAAGCUUAUGAAUUUCGUCAUUUGACUUUCUUUGAGAUAAUUGUGCAAUCUCUUCUCCCUUUAACCGAUUAGUUUGCUCAUCUGCCAAUUGUUGUUCGAGCCUAGUUAUUGUCUCUUUGUGUUUAGACUCAACCUAUCAAAAAAACAUCAAUAUCAGUCAUAAAACAUGCCACUAAGCCCUAGAGUUGCAGCAUAAUACAAAUACAGAUUGGGUAUUGGUAAUAUAAAACUCUAAUUUAAGAAAAGAAAAAUCUUAAGUAUUAAUUUAGUUUAAUCUUAUUGCAAAGCGAGUUGCUAAGUUCACUAUACUCAGCACAACUUUCUUACUUCAAUCAAUUUCACUCUUUCAAUCAUUGAUAAAUGAUAGAAACAAAAGCUUAAAAAAUAAACAUACAACAUUAUAUCCACAAUAUUACAAGAAAUGUCUUAUGAUUGAUGACUAAACAAGUGCAGAAUCCAUUCCUAAGUGUAGGUCAUGAUGAGCAAACCACCUAUAGCUUUAGUUUAAUCCAAUUGCAAAGAAAGUUUCCAAGUUCACCAUACUUGGCAAAACUUUCUUACCUGAAUCAAAUCCACUCUAUCAAUCAUUGAUAAAUGAUAGAAACAAAAGCUUAAAAAUAAACAGAUGAUACAGUAUCUACAGUAUAAGAGGAAAUGUUCUUAUUAUUGAUGACUAAACAAGUGCAUAAUCCAUUCCUAAGUGUAAUUUAUAAUGAGCAAACCACCUAUAGCUUAGUCCAUAGAGUAAUCUACUUAAUGUAAUCGAGAUAAGAAACAAAACGAAACAAGAUAGUCAAACAAUUUUCAAGGUAAGAACAACAUGCUACAACUUUGAAAACACAAUCAAUGAACAUAUAAGUUAAUGAUAGGUUUGUGCCCAUCAACUAGCGAGGUUAAGCAUCUUCUAAUUAUGGCAAUCCCCAACAAUUUAGGGGAAAGGAUAGAGUGGCAAUCUCUACCACUUCCAAGUCUUACAAUUUAGAAUAUCAUUCCAGGUACCUGCACACUUUAUAGGCAUUUUUUUAAUUACACAGUUUUAGAAAUGAUUGCCCGAACUUAGAAAUGGACAAUAUGCAUGUCAUAUUUUGAUGUUAAAAGCAAGAGCAUAAAAAAUACCACCUCAGUAAUUCGUUUAAUUUGAUCUUCAUAUGAUUCAUGCAUCUGGUCUUCAGUCUCCUUCUGAGCUCUUUCAAGAUUAUCUCUAAGCUUAUGAAUUUUGUCAUUUGACUUCCUUUGCGCUACUUGUGCAACCUCUUCUCCCUUUAAGCGAGCAACUUGCUCCUUUGCCAAUUGUUGUUCGAGCCUAGUUGUUGUCUCUUUGAGGUUAGACUCAACCUAUAAAAAAAAACAUCAAUAUAAGUCAUAAAGCAUGCCAAUGAGCCCUAGAGUAGCAGCAUAAUAUAAAUAAAGAUUGGGUAUUGGUAAUAUAAAACUCCAACUUAAGAAAAGAAAAAUCUUAAGUAUUAAUUUAGUUUAAUCCAAUUGUAAAGGGAGUUGUUAAGUUCACCAUACUCUACACAACUUUCUUACUUCAAUAAAUUCCACUCUCUCAAUCAUUAAUAAAUGAUAGAAACAAAAGCUUAAAAAAGUAAACAGAUAAUACAAUAUCCACAGUAUAAGAAUAAAUGUUCUUAUCAUUGAUGACUAAACAAGUGUAGAAUCCAUUCUUAAGUGUAAGUCAUGAUGAGCAAUCCGCCUAUAGCUACUACCAUAAAGUAAUCUACUUAAUUUCAUCAAGAGAAGAAACAAAACAGAACAAGAUAGUCAAACAAUCAGCAAGGUAAGAACAACAUGUUACAGCCUUCAAAACAGAACCAGUGAACAAAUUAAAAACAGAUUUUUCCCCAUCAACUAGCGAGAUGAUGUGUCUUUUCAGAUGGCAAUAUCCAACAAGUUAUGGGUAAGGACAAAGUGGUAGUCUCUACCACUUCCAGGUCUUACAAUUUAGAAUAACAUUCCAGGUACCUGCACACUUUAUAGGCAUUUUUUUAAUUAUAUAAUUUUAGAAAUGAUUACCCGAUCUUAGAGAUGGACAAUAUGCAUGUCAUAUUUUGAUGUUAAAACAAGGAGCAUAAAAAAUACCAUUUCAGUAAUUCGUUUGAUUUGAUAUUCAUUUGAUUCAUGCAUCUGGUCCUCAAUCUCCCUCUGAGCUCUUUUAAGAUUCUCUUUAAGCUUACGAAUUUCGUCAUUUGACUUCCUUUGAGCUAAUUGUGCAACCUCUUCUCCCUUCAACCGAGCAGCUUGCUCCUCUGCCAAUUGUUGUUCGAGCUUAGUUGUUGUCUCUUUGAGCUUAGACUCAACCUAUCAAAAUGCAUCAAUAUUAGUCAUUAAACAUGCCACUAAGCCCUAGAGUAGCAGCAUUAUACAAAAAAGAAAAAAGUGACAUUGUUAUGACAUAUUUAGAAAGAAGUAGCACAUAAGUCUAUCACGAUAGUAAUGAAGUCACCUUCAACUCAGCAAAGAACUCGUUCGUGUAUGGCUGCCCAUCAUUCUUAACAUUCACAGCGUUAACUAAAGAAAGAAGCUGCUGAACCUGUUCAGUUCUCUUGACCUUAUAAUUGGUCUUGUUAUCAAAAAGCAUGCAUCUAUGAUCACAUAGUUGAAGGAUUUCCUAUAAUGAUGGAAAAAUGGUCAGGAAUAAAGCAAAUGUUAGCUCUUUUCGUAUGCACUGAUGAACUAAUCAAACACUUGUAGUUUCUAAAAGUUUGAGGAUAUUCAGCUGACAAAAUUUGUUUUUACUGUGAUCAUUGGUACUUAAUAUCAUGCAUCUGCGCAAAAACUAUGUGAGGGCAAGCAAUAACAAAAAAAAUAAUAAUAACAAUCAUCAUCAUCAUCUGCAUAUAUUCCAAUGAGAAGCAUUGACCCAAUCAAAAUUAGUGGCUACAAAUCAAUACAUGUCUCUUCACUAGGCAAAAGACAGUACUAUUGUCAUAAACAAACUCAAGUGACCAAACCUCAAAGCUGCCAAAAGACAUGAUCAUGUUUUCUGUGGCAUCUACAUAAUUGACCUAAUUUUGCAGUAUUAUAAUUAAAAAAAUUUGAUUCCUUCAAACUAUGAAAAUUAGUGCAAGAAAAAAAAUAAAGUUCACUUUAACUAUAAAAUAACCCGAUUUUUUUAAUUGCAGAGCUGCAACUUGAAUGGGUCUUUAUCUUCAUUUUUGUUAUUUUUCUUCCUACUUCUCAUAGGUUAAAUCAAGUAUGCAGUAAAAUAGAGGAACUUGAUAUAAAUCUUUCUCAACUUAAAAAGUUUUAGGAACCAAAUUCAUCAAGUAAGUUAUGAGAAUAAGAGAUUUGCAUGUUGAAACUGAGAAAAGAUCUUACAUUGAAAUUUUAGGCACUAAUUUUGAGGCUUAGACUUGAUAUUUUAUUCUAACAACGCCUAAUAAAAUGGAAUUGUAUAGGAAGUCAUAUCCUCCUUGGCACACUCUUGAAAUCUUAAAAGUAGGUUAAUUUUAAGUGUAUAAAUCAAAGAGAUAUAUAUUUUAAGAAACAAACAAAUGAACAAAAAUGAAUCAAAUAAGAACCAAGAUUAAAUAGCGGAUGAAAUGUGCAUUUGGGAUUGAGGUACUGUAACUUUUAAGCUACAACUACUGUGAGGAAAAAACUUUAAUUAUGAAAAAAAAGUCAAUAAUAUAUAGUAAAUAUAAAUUAUAAAUAAUAAUUUUAACAAAAUUAUUAAAAAUAUAAUAGAUUCUCCAUUAUACAAGUGAAAAAUCAUAUUAAUACAACUUUUAUGCUACAACAGCUAGUUUUUAACAAACACUUUACUGCUAUACCUUUUAAGCUACAACUAUCCAACUUCAAUUCCAACCACACUCGAAAUCAAAGAAUACAAAUAAAAAAAGCAUAAAUGUUUAGCAAAUGAAUGAAUGAAUGACAUCUCAUUCCAAGACAUUAACAUAUAACUAAAAUUAAGUAAUGCCAGCAGAAAAUUACCAACCACCUCUUCGGCCAAUCCCACAUGGCAGAAGAAAACCAUUUAGGAAAUGAAGCACUAUUGAAAAUGAAACUUUAAGACAGCUGGCCUACUAUAAACGUAUCUAGUAUUUUUCAGCUUGCAUAUAUUCAUAUUAAAAUUCCCAUAGCCCAACAGUAAAGGAGUCUAAAACAUCACAAAAGAACCAAAGAAAGACAACUUGAUCAAAAUGACUAAUGAAAUUAUCGAAAACUAUUGUUGUUCAGAAAAAAAAAACCUUUAAAGGCUUUGGACACUCAAGACCCAAGUAAUCUUCUAAUGUUUUCUCAUUAUCUUCAAGAUCAUCCCCUCCAGUGAAGACAACAAUCAUAUAGUCAAAAAUUUUUUUCCCAAACAAUGUCUGCAAAUGGUGUACUGCAGCUUCUUCCUCUUGAGAAAAACGGCUUCUAACAGAGAAAACUAGAAGGAAUGCAUGGAUCCCAUCCUUGGCCAUACCAUAACAUUUGACAAUUUCCUUGCUGACAUACUCAAAUUCAGUGGAAGAAUCAAAAAGUCCUGCAAUCGCUCAUAACAUCAAUCUACUUACUAGCACAACAUCAAAAAGCAUGGAAUGGAAUAUCUAGGCACCAACAUUAGUAAAUUACCGGGGGUAUCAAUGACAUUAACAACUUGGCCAUCCUUGAGCACAGUUGUCUUCAUUUCACAAGUUUUAGUAACAGCAGACGAGCUAGCACUCGCCUUAAAAGCUCUUCUUCCGAGAAUACUAUUGCCCGUCGCACUUUUGCCAUUGCCAGUACGGCCAAGUAAAACCACAGUGCGCUCCCCAUUAGAUGGAGAAGUAGGCUUCCAAUCGCCAUCAAUCACUCUUUCUCCCAUCCUUAAAAAAAUUUCAAUUUACCUGCAAUGCAUUUACAAUAUCAAACCACUUCACAUUGAAUUCACUUUUUAUCGUUAAACAAUUAGAAAGAAAAUUUAGUUACCAUACGCUUACAAUUUCACUCUAUUAAAACUUAUAUUUUUUAUUACUUUAAAUAUUAUCCAAUCGAACAUAAAUAAAUUCAUAAAAAAUAUUAAAAAUAAAAAUCAUUCAGACCCCGACAAUAUAGUGUAAAUUUAUAAUCUUAAUUAAAAUAUGAUGAAUCGAUAUAUAAUCAGGCACAGAAUCUAAACAACAUCAGUUAAUUAAUAAAUUGUCCUGAUAUAUAUUUUAAUUUAAUUUUGCUUGUUUUAUGAAAUUAUUGAAAAAAAUUGACGACAAUCAAUUAUGCACAGUAACGAACCUAGACAAUUCAAUUAGGGGGGCUUAGUUAAAUUUUUUUUAUUUAAUUUGGCUUUUUUUAAUGUUCACACGAAUAUAUUUUAAGUCUCAUAAACUCAAAUUUCAUUAAUUUCUUUUAAAUUCUAAAUAAUAAUAGUAAAAAACUAUUUAUUUCAAAUGCAUGAAAGUAUCAUUUUUCUAAAUAGUUUCCUCAAAAAAAAUAAUAAUGUGGCUAUUGGGAUUGAAUCAGGACUUUAAAACCAUCAAAUAAACUCUUACCAUUGAAUCAAAAGUCUUUUGUUACAUGAAAAAUGUGUCGAAAUUUUUUUUUUAAACGGUUUAGAAAUAGUUUUAAGCACAUUUAAAAGAAUAAUUAAUGGCCCAGAAGGGGUUGAACGCCCUCCUAGCUCUUAAUUGGGUCACCCAUGAUUAUGCAUUACAUCCAAUAAAAUUUACAAAUCGAGGUAAAGAAAAUCGAGUCUAUAAUAAAAAAAAACAGAAAUUGAGAUUGAAAGGAAAAGGCGAGGGCAAUUUGGUGAAAGCAAAGUAUGAAUACAAACCGUGAGAUGAUGCGAUGAACUGAGAUUUUACUUACUUGCGAAGAGAGGAGAGCUAAAAAGAUUGCGUUGCGUAUGAAGAGAUGAUAAAUGGGAAGAGACUUGACUUAAACUUUAGGAUUUAAGGUAUGAAAAUUAUAAAUUAAAUAAUGAAUGUAAUAGAAAGUUGAGAAGUAAAGAAUUUAAAAGAGUUUGAAGAAAAGAAUUUAAAAGAGUUCAAAUAGAAAGUUGAGAAGCAAAGAAUGUAAGAAAUUUUAAGUAGAAAGUUGAGAAGAAAAGAAUUUCAAAGGGUUUAAAUAGAAAUUUGAGAAAAAAAGAAUCUCAAAGAUGAAUGAACAUGAAAUUUCUCACUUCUGCCUUUCAUUAUGUCGUCACUUCUAUUACUAAGGAGGUUUUUAAUUUUUUUUUUCUAUUUGAACUAAUACAUAUCACUUAUUUUGUACUGAUUUUAUAAUAUAUAAAAACUCUCUUGUCCCCAAAAAAAUUAAAAUAGAAAAGGGCAAAUGAGUAAUUUUUUUAAUAACUUAUCUUGGAGUCAUAAUAUAUGUAUUCAUUAUAAGAAAAAUAUUUAAAAAUAAAAAAAAGUACAAGAAAAUAUUUUAUAAUUAAUUUUUAUUUAUAUUGAAGCAUAUAUUUUUAUUUUUAGUAUUUAUUUUUUCUUCUAAUUUGUAUUUGCAUUAUUCAUUUAAUUUAUAAUAAAUAUGAAGAAAAAUUCAUUUAAAGAUAGAAAUAAUACUCUAAAAUCAUACUAUUAAAAAAUUAUUAAAUAUUUUAUAAAGAAUACUAAAGUAAUUAGUAUAUAUUGAUUUGAAUAGAGGAAUACCCACGAUCUCCCAUUAUUAUUAUUAUUGUGGAUGCCCCUUUAUUAAACUAGCGUAUUCAUACUUUAUAGAGUUUUUUUGGUCAUUUACACGUCAAGACCCCCAGAUUCCUCAGAAGUAAUACGAAGGGAAGUAGGGAAGAAUAAUAAUCGUUUCCCCAGGCAAUGAAAUAUGAAUCUUGUUAACUUAUCGACACGUGUUACCCGUAAAGGGAACGCCCACAUUGAAAAUUAGGGUACGAAAUGUUGUGCAAAUUUUAUUGAACUCGCAAGUGCACGAAUCUAUUGUAGUAUAGAUCAAUGGUGACGAGUGUCGAUCCCACGAGGAGGUGGAUUUUAAUUGUGUGUAGAAUUAAUUUUCUAAAUGUGUGGUUGGAUUUGUGGUGAAAAGGAUUUGGAUUAUCCUAAAAUUCGAAUUAAGAUGGCAAGAAUAAAUUGAAGUGAAAAUCUAUUAAAUUGACGUACUUGGGUAUCUGGAUCCGUAUCAACAUGCAUUAUGGGGUAAAUAUUCCUUAUUAAUACCAAUUAAAUCAUGAGGGGGGAAUCCACACCUCAUGAACCACACUCUAAUCAAUAUGGUGCUAAGGGCUUAUCAUACCAAAUAAUAAUAACCUUGUACUAGAGAGCCGGUAAAACUAAGGCGGUAUCUAGACAAGAUUAUUAUUAUUUGUCGACGAAAAGUCAAAUCAUCCACAAAAAUUAGAGGGGAAGAGAAAAUAAAUUUACCAAAUAAAGCCCAUGACACAUGUUGAGACUUCACCUUCAACCCAAGCUUGAAAGAAAAUUAGCUACUCAUAAUUGAACUAGGGGAAAAUGAAAAUUUAUUAAAAUACAUAGAAAAUACAAGAUAGAGAAGGAAUUACAGAAAAUGGAGUCCAAAAAUGGAUUCAGAGAUAUCAAAUUAGGGGGGGAGGCCCCCUUGUUAUAGAUACAUUGAGUAAAUCGUGGCCAUCGGAUUAAAAACAGUUUGACGCUUAAGAUUGCGCUACGUCAUCAGUCAACAGUACGCGGUUUGACCACACGGGUGAACAGUAACACGGUUUGACCCGGGUUGAACAGUGACGCGGUUUGGUUGAAAAUAAUCAUGUGUAAUGCAUGUACCGUACGCGAGAUUUUUGGUCCACUAAUAUGCUGCCACGUCAUCGAUCAACAGUGCAUAAGAAUUUUAGUCCAACAGGAUCGUGACACCUUAUCAGUCGAUGCCACAUCAUCGAUCCGUCUAUGUGAACAGUGUCGUGAACAGUAACGUAGACAGUACCGUUCAUGUGAACAGUGCCAUUUUUCCUUUUAUGCUCCUCCUAAGGUUUUCGACCAUCCCGAGUUCAAAAGUAAUGUCCGUUUUGCCAUCUGAUCUCUCGUUCAUUGUGAAAUGACUAUGAUGCCCCUAAAAUACAUAAAAUACUUAAUUAAAAUAAAACACAUAUAAUUAAAUGACAAGAAGUUUAAAUACAUAAAAGUAAGGGUGUUAGUAAAAUUUGAAGUGUAAAAUGACGAUUUUCUCCUUUAUAAAUAUACAUUUUAUAACACUCAACACACCCCCCAACCAGCUUAUUGCUAGUCCCUAGCAAAUAAAGUGAAAACAAAAUUCAAAUCCAAAGUGAUGAUUUUUUUUUCUUUUUUAAACAAUCAUGUUUAUUCAAUCAGACUAAUGAUAGUAAUCAAAUAAAAGUAUAAGUAUUAUCUCCAGUCUAAAGAAACAUCGCACCCACAUCAACCAUCCACAUGAAUAAGCCCAGUAGACUUUGUCAUAGCUACUUUCAAGAAUGACAUAUCAAACCCCAAAAUCUCACUGAAAGUAGUGACACUCUCACAAAGAAAUUAAACCCAAUAAAAAUAGUCACUCCAAUGAAUGGUAAUUGAGAGAAAAUAAUCAAGUGAUAUCACAUGCUCUCACCAAGAUUAAAGAAAUAUGCCCUCAGCUUAAAAAUAAUACGAUCUCAAAAUAAAAAUGCUAGUCAACCCAAUUUAUUUAUUUAUUUUUAUUUAUUAUUUUUUUAAUGCACCACUACAUCGUUUUAGCCCAUAUAACUAGCUUCUACUUCAGAUUAUAGUUCCCUAAAAUCAAGAAGGAUUUUAUUAGGACGUAACGUAGGUUAGGGACAUGGCUAAUAAAGGAAAGGAAAUAAGGAAAACAAAGUGUAUGUUUGAGAAAUAUGUAGAGAUUUUUUUUUUGAAGUUGCAAGGUGGAUUUCACCUAUUAUUAUUUUUUUUGAAACAACAAAUUUUUUUCUCUUUUUUUUUUUUGUUUUUGUUUGGCACAACUUCACUGAACAAAAUAAUUAUUUACAUUUUUCUCAAACAUAAAUAGGUGAUGAAACAUGUAAGAUAUUGGGUAAUACUCCAAAUCAGAGUGGGUCAAGAUGAUAAGUUUGACAAAGAAAAUGUUUUUUUUUUUAAAAGGCUCAAAAAGGUUAACUAUGGAUAUUUCAUAAAAGGGAUGGCUAGAAAGGCUCAAACGGAUCAAAUAUGGCCUUUCCAUCAUCUUUUAGGGCUCUAAAUAAUCUUCCAUAUCUACUAGUUAGAUGGGCCUCCAAAUGUAGCAACACACUUUUUUUUCUCUUUUUUUUUUUAAUUUUAUAAUUUUUUUUUAGGGUUAACUCAAAAGAAAUCUAAAGAUCGUGUAUAAAAUAAUAAACUGCUAAGAUGUAUAAAGAAUGGGCAAAAGAGUUACUCUCCAAGAAAAAUAAUAGGCUAAAAAACUCACUUGGUGCUUAUUAUGACAUGUUCAUUCCUCCAAGCAACUCAUAUUUGUCUCCGACAUCAACAUGUAAAGUAGUAAACAUAGUGUAACAUCACUUAAGACCAAAGAUAAUACAAAUACUAAAAUUUGAAAUUAAUCAUGUCAUCCAAUGUUAAAACAAAUCACACAAUUUUUUUUUUUAAACAACAUCCUACCCCCCAACCUAUUCUAAACAUGAAAGGAAAAUAUGCAUGCAGAAAUGUGAAAAUGAUGCAGAAAAACUAAUUAGAAAAUGAUAGAAAACGAAAAUGGUUUUUUUUUUUAAUUUAAGAAGAUGCGUUUCUAGAGGCACUACACUCCAUAUUCAGCCAUCUUCGACUCAAAAAAAAAUUGAAAAUGUAUAUUUAUAAAGGAGAAAUUAAAAAGAAGAAGAAAAAUGAACAUCAAAACAUAAUAAAGAAAAAGAAAAUGUCUGAAAUUUUUUUUAUUUUUUUUUAAUAAUUUUUUUUUCAAAUGAUGAAGAUGCGUUUCUUGAGUCACUACACUCCAUAUUCAGCCAUCUUCAAUACAAAAAGUUAGCAACAAUUAGUUUUUACAACAAAAAAUCAGAAAAAACUUAACCAAGAUUCCACAAUUGUCGACUAUUCCCUCCCCCCAACCAGAAAGAAACAUUGUCCUCAAUGUUGUAAAGGAAAGAAGUAGAGUUUAGAAGACAUCACCUAGGCGGUGCAACACAGAAGAAAAUAUUUACAGGUGGAGAGUUAAAUCUAAUUUGUACUUCUUACUGCGGCUACUGUUACCGUCAUUAUUUGGACUCUCCAACACAAAGGCCUAGGGGUCUGGCUCCGGUUUAUAAGCUUGUAACAUAUCAAGUAGCUCAUUAGCAGUGUGAGCACAAAUAAAAAGUUUUUUCGCACUAGAAGGAAUGAAGUAGUUUUUUAUUGCAUGGUUUAAGAAAUGCAAUGAAGCCAUCAUAAAAGUUAUUGACACUUAACAAACCGAUGGGUUUCUGGUGAAUGUGCAGAUGGGCUCAAGAUGCUAGUGUGAUAAGCACCUCUAGUGUUGCAAGAUCUCCUGGAAGGAAAAUAAAAGCAUUAGCAUGAUUAAGCAUUUCAGUUAUUCUUUCUUGCAUACCUGAGACGACUAACUCUUCUCCAGUCGAUGAGUCAGAUAAACUGCCCAAAGGUUUUAGAGCUCUUGGGAUGAUGCCUAACACUUGGCUUCCUCUGACAAACGUAGCUUCUGAGACCAAUUUUGAUAACCCUCGGUUACCUCCUCCAUACACCAAGUGUAAUUUUCUCUCUGCCAUGCUUCGACCAAGACCUAUGGCUGCAUCAACGAACUCUUUGUCUAUUGGGAGUAGCUGCCAUUGGAAUAUUUCUCAAAAAUAAUUUGUGAGUGCUUAACAAAAAGUCAUAUUUAAGAAUCUUGGUGACAGUGGAUCACAACUGUGUAUGAGGUGGCAUGUCAGUGUCAAAUAAUGCGUAAAGCACAUGGAUCGCGAGUCAAAAAGGAAACAGUAAAAAGAAAAAGAAAUAAUGAUAAAAUAAAAUUAUUAAAGACAAUAAUGCAAAUGAUAAAACAAUAGUGAAAUAAAAUAACAGUGAAGUAAAAUGAUAUUUACAGAUAGUUGCGACUGUGGCUCAUAUCUUCCUCUGGUUUUACGUCCAGAAACGGCUUGAACGCCCUCUAUGGGUCGAGGAUAGGCUUCCUAUCCAGUUUUCUUAUAAACUGGCAAACAGGGUCGUUUAUAGUCAGAUUCUCGAGACUAUAUCGUGCAUGCUCUUUCUGGAAUAAUAGCCAUAACUGGAGAAUCGCUCCUUGCACAUAUCCACUGGGAUGCGUUUCAAGAGACAAAAGGAUAUCAUCCAAUGACUCCUUAUUCAAGCCAUCCCUAAUGAAUUGAAUCUUAUCUUCCCUGUUAUCAGACAUCAUUCCUAAAGAACAUGAUUUUUUAUCGCAACUCAUUCUGGCACACUUAUGACAAGCAACAGAAAUUCUUUGAGCUCUCGUUUUCUUGCAUAAUUUCCUUUACCACAACCAGGCAUGUAUGUAAUAAGUUUUGGAGGUAACUCACCUGUCAAUUGUACUUUAGCCUCGAUUAACCACUGGAUGUCAGCAGGUAUGUUAUUCCUCAUGAGCAAUCGCAUGCGUUCGGAUCGGGCUUUAUAGAUUGUAAGGAGGGCAUUCUGAGGAAGUGAAGGGAAUUGCUUGUGAAGCUUCGCUAGAAUCUCGUUUCUGUCCAUACCUUCGCCUCAGAAUAUCAGUUAUUAUGGGAAACUGAAGUAACCGACUUGAUUGUCACGGAGUACCGUUAUCCGCCACUUCACUGGGGUAACAAACUAAAGCACACAAACAGAAAAACAAAUUAAAACACACAAAGAAAAUUAAAAUCGUCCUCUUAUUGAAUUUACCUCAAGCUCCAACUGGAUGUCGUAAACACUUCUCUCAAUGUCUCUGAGUUGGCUUUCUAAACCCUCAACAUAGGAUACUAACUCUGGUGGUUGCAGAGCCCAAAUACGAUGUGUUUUACAAAAUUGAAUCUGUCUUUUGAGAUGAGAUUUUACACGUUGAAGUGGUUUAAGAAUGUUCAAGAGGAACGGUUUAAGGAUGGUACUCAUGAUUAACAAUGAUAAGAAAAAACAAACUUAAUGGUUAAACAAACACACUUAUGCAAAAAUAAUUUCAAUUAACAAAAAUAAUAAAAAGAAAGAAAGAAAGAAAGAAAGAACAAGAAAAAAAAAUCAAAUCAUCGAAAAGAAAGAAAGAAAAACUUGAUUCAAAUCUGGUGGCCCACUCAAAUUUAUUUCGAUGCCCUCUCCAUGUGGUUGGUACUCUAGAUAUGGCUUUAAUCUUUGACCAUUAACUUUAAAUGUGACACCGUUCUUUGGGUCCUUAAUUUCAAUUGCCCCGUGUGGAAAAAUAGUAUGAACAAUAAAAGGGCCAGACCAUCGAGAGCAUAAUUUACCUGGGAAUAGAUGCAAGCGAGAAUUGAAUAAAAGCAUUUUUCUAACCUGGAGUGAAAGCUUUUCUCAUAAUUUGCUUAUCAUGGAAGACUUUCAUACGUUGCUUGUAAAUCUUGGCAUUUUCGUAUGCAUCAUUGCGAAUUUAUUCAAGUUCUGCCAGUUGUAAUCUUCUUUCUGAGCUGGCUUGCUGAAUGUCAAAAUUGAAUUUCUUGAUGGCCCAAUAUGCAUGAUGCUCAAGUUCCACAGGUAGGUGGCAAGCUUUUCCAUACACUAGCCUGUAGGGUGACAUCCCAAUCGGGGUUUUAAAAGCCGUUCUAUAUGCCCAUAAUGCAUCAUCAAGUCUUAAUGACCAAUCUUUUCUGUCUGGCCUCACCGUCUUUUCAAAUAUGUGCUUUAUUCCUCGAUUGGAGAUCUCAACUUAGCCACUGGUUUGUGGAUGAUAUGGGGUCGCCACUUUGUGAGUGAUUGAAUACUUUGUCAAAAGAGCUUUGAAUGCUUUGUUACAAAAGUGGGCACCACCAUCACUGAUUAUCGCUCGAGGGAAUCCAAAGGGUGAAACAAUGUUGCUUUUCAAAAAUCCUAUCACCACCUUAUGAUCAUUGGUUCUACAUGGAAUUGCUUCUACCUAUUUCGAUACGUAGUCAACAGCAACCAAUAUGUAUUGAUGGCCAAAAGAAGAGGGAAAGGGUCCCAUUAAGUCGAUACCCCAUACGUCAAAAAUCUCAACCACUAAAAUUGGAUUUAGUGGCAUCAUGUUUCUUCGUGUAAUGCUCCCCAUUCGUUGAUACCUAUCACAUGAAGAACAGAAAAUGUAAGCGUCUCAAAAUAUAGUUGGCCAAUAGAAACCACAUUGUAAAACUUUAGUUGCUAUUUUUUUAGCGCUGAAAUGGCCUCCACAAGCUUGUUCAUGGCAGAAUGAAAGGAUAUUUUGAAUUUCACUUUCUGGGACACAUCAUCUAACAAUUUGAUCUGCACAAUACUUGAACAAAUACGGGUCAUCCCAAAAGAAAUUCUUUAUUUCUACAAAGAAUUUAGCCUUGCCUUGCUUGGUCCAAUGCUUUGGAAGUUGACCUGUAACAAGAUAAUUCACGAUGUCAGCAUACCAUGGUAAUACUUCCACACUCAUCAAUUGUUCAUCUAGAAAUGACUCAUUCAAUGUUAAUGGCUCUGUAAUUGUGUCAAAAUAGAGACGAGAGAGAUGGUAUGCCACAAUAUUUUAUGUGCCUUUCUUAUCUUUAAAUUCCAAGUCGAAUUCCUGUAAAAGUAACACCCAACGAAUUAGUAUAGCUUUUGCAUAUUUCUUUGUGAGAAGAUAUUUAAGAGCAGCAUGAUCUGUGAAUAUAAUUAUUUUACAACCAAUGAGAUAAGAUCGAAAUUUCUCUAAUGUAAACACUACUGCUAGCAUUUCUUUUUUAGUAGUUGAAUAGUUCAACUGUGCAUCAUUCAAUGUCAUACUAGCAUAGUAAAUAACAUGGGGAAUUCGAUCAACACUUUGUCCUAAUACUGCUCCUACUGCAUAAUCAGAUGCAUCACACAUGAGUUCAAAUGGUAAGCUCCAGUUUGGGGGCUGAAUGAUGGGUGAUGAUGUCAACAAUUGCUUUAAUUUUUCAAAAGCCACAAAACAUGAAUCAUCAAAGAUAAAAGGUACAUCCUUAGCAAGUAGAUUGCAUAAGGGUCUAGAAAUUUUGCUAAAAUUUUUAAUGAAACGUCUAUAAAACAUGUUUGUAAAAGAUCAUCACUAAGGUUUGAACGAAAAGUAUUAUCAACUAUUGUUUCUAUUAAAUCCACAUCAACCUAUUAAAUCCACAUCAACAACUCCAUCAUUUGCAUUAUGAGGCUGUUUGGCAAUGUUGAAGAUGUUCAUCUCCAUAGUCAUGUUGUCGAAGGACAACUGCAUAUUUCCAGUCCUGCAUUGAAUGUGACCAUCCGCAGUUGCCAAGAAAGGUUGGCCUAGAAUAAUGGGGAUGUGCUUCCUUGAAUCAUGUAUUGGUUGAGUGUCAAUUACAAUGAAAUCAGCAGGAAAAUAAAACUUGUCUACCUGGAUAAGCACGUCCUCCACAAUACCACGAGGUAUUUUCGUGGACUGAUCUGCAAGCUGUAACACCACUGGAGUUGGGUGUAAUUCUCCAAGUCCAAGUUUCAAAAAUACUGAGUAAGGCAACAAAUUUACACUAGCUCUUAAAUCCAACAAAGCAUUCUCAAUUGUUUGGGUGGUUGGAUUUGUGGUGAAAAGGAUUUGGAUUAUCCUAAAAUUCGAAUUAAGAUGGCAAGAAUAAAUUGAAGUGAAAAUCUAUUAAAUUGACGUACUUGGGUAUUUGGAUCCGUAUCAACAUGCAUCAUGGGCUAAAUAUUCCUUAUUAAUACCAAUUAAAUCAUGAGGGGGGAAUCCACACCUCAUGAACCACACUCUAAUCAAUAUGGUGCUAAGGGCUUAUCGUGCCAAAUAAUAAUAACCUUGUACUAGAAAGCCGGUGAAACCAAUGCGGUAUCUAGACAAGAUUAUUAUUAUUUGUUGACGAAAAGUCAAAUCAUCCACAAAAAUUAAAGGGGAAGAGAAAGUAAAUUUACCAAAUAAAGCCCAUGACACAUGUUGAGACUUCACUUUCAACCCAAGCUUGAAAGACAAUUAUCUACUCAUAAUUGAACUAGGGGCAAAAUAGAAAUUUAUUAAAAUACGUAGAAAAUACAAGAUAGAGAAGGAAUUACAGAAAAUGGAGUCCAAAAAUGGAUUCAGAGAUAUCAAAUUAGGGGGAGGAGGCCCCCUUUUUAUUGAUACAUUGAGUAAAUCGUGGCCAUCGGAUUAAAAACAGUUUGGACGCUCAGGAUUGCGUCACGUCAUCAGUCAACAGUACGCGGUUUGACCACGCGGGUGAACAGUAACACGAUUUGACCCGGGUUGAACAGUAACGCGGUUUGGUUGAAAAUAAUCCUGUGUAAUGCAUGUACCGUACGCGAGAUUUUUGGUCUACUGAUAUGCUGCCACGCCAUCAAUCAACAGUGGAUAAGAAUUUUAGUCCAACAGGAUCGCGACACCUCAUCAGUCAAUGCCACAUCAUCGGUCAAUGCCACGUCAUCGAUCCGUCUAUGUGAACAGUGUUGUGAACAGUAACAUAGAUAGUACCGUACAUGUGAACAGUGUCAUUUUUCCUUUUAUGCUCCUCCUAAGGUUUUCAACCAUCCUAAGUUCAGAAGUGAUGUCCGUUUUGCCAUCGGAUCUCUCGUUCAUUGUGAGAUGACUAUGAUGCCCCUAAAAUACAUAAAAUACUUAAUUAAAAUAAAACACACAUAAUCAAAUGACAAGAAGUUUAAAUACAUAAAAGUAAGGGUGUUAGUAAAACUUGAAGUGUAAAAUGACGAUUUUCUCCUUUAUAAAUAUACAUUUUCUAACACUCAACACGAAAUAAUCAAAGCUCUUUUUCGAUUUUCGAUUUCAAUACAAUCGGGACAAAUUGAAUGCGAUGAAAUGAACCAAAGUAGUGAUUUGUCAUUUGCCUCAUUCCCUCUCUCAAACUGACCUUUUAGCCCUUUUCCACGAUCACUUCAACAACCGUUACAAUUGGUUCUGCUUUCGGCCUAGAAAAUCUAGGUAUUAUUUUAUAAUUGAUUAAUUUUUGAGCUUUUUUUUAAAUUAUAUUUUAACUUGGAUUUUAGUUUUUUAAUAGUUAUAAGCAUCAGACAUAUUCACGAGCAUAUGAAGAAUUGAAGAAGCUUGUAGAUGUGUUUGAGUUUUGCAGAGUUGUUGAAUGGACAUGUGUUUGUUAAUGAAAAGGGUAAUUUUGCUUUCCCUUUUGCUUUUACUUAUCAAUCUCAAUUUGGUAUAAAUGAAUUUAUGUUGUUUUAAAUGAAAAUGGCACUUUCUGUUUGGUUAAUUAUAUGUGUUAUUGGGUUCUCGAUUAAGUGCUUGCUUUAGGGCUAUUGUUGAAUAUACUUCAUCUCAACAUGUUCCCAAGCUUUGUUCUAGAGAGGAUAGUCGUGAAGGCACCAUUUUUAAAGGUAAUUUUUUAUUUAAAAAAACUUAAGGUACUUUUGGGGUGGAAGUGUUGUGGCUUUUACCAAUACACUUUAGGUGCUAAAUUUCAAAGUUAAGAAAAAGCAUGACAAUUACAAAUUUGGGUAUAUUAAACCAUCUAGUAUCCGAAAACUACAUUAGUCCUCGACUAAUCCAGAUUCGAGCCGGGUAGGAUCACUAGGGCAUCAAAGCUCUCCCAACAAGUAUUUAACACAACUAUAUUCCCAAGUCUCGAACCGAGGACCUUGGUUAAGAUAGAACAACCCCUUACCAACUGAUCUAUGUGCUUGUCGGUCAUACCUUUAUUUUCUUUAUCUUCUUAUUGUUUUUAAAAGUAUUGUAGCAAUAAGUUGUUUUUGGUUUUGAUGUAGACAAUAAAGACUCGGAUUAUCUGGAGUUCCUGAAGGUUAUCGCUAAACUUGCUGAGAAUCUACCAAGUGCAGAAAUUCAGUUGGAAAGAAAAGAAGUUGAGCUAUCUGGUUAGUUAGUUAUUUUCAGAUCAAUUUGAUGAAUAUAACCUGCUAUUCCUAGAGAGAGAGAGAGUGUGUGUGUGUGUGUAAAUGUAUGUAAUUUAAGCUAUAAAAUAAAUAUAUUAUGGCACUGUUACUGAUAUCAAUGCUCAGGUACGUAAUUCAUUAUUUAAGCUAUAAAUUCAAGCGUUGCUAGGAAUAUAUAUUAUUAUGAAAAAGUUAAAAAAAAAAAACAACUUAUUAUCAAUUAUUACCACAUAGCUAGCAUUGAAAUAUAAAGUUCCCAACAAAAAUUUAACUUUUCCCAUUACAUGUGACCCAUGCAAACAGUACUUUCAGUAGAAGUCAGCAAAGCUGCGGUAGCAAAUUCAAAUGUCACAGAAUUCUAACAGGUAUUUUCAAUUAUUUCAUCAAUAAUCAUUUUCAUAUUAAGCGUAGUUAGUUAAUUAUGCCAAAAUAUACAAUUUCAAUUGAAUUUUCAAUUUGUUAUCUCACUCUUGACUCUUCAUAUAGGCAUUUGAUGGGUGAUUCUUUGAGUUCUUUAAUUGUAAAGGAGCUUAAGCAACUGGAGAAUAGGCUUGAGCGAGGCAUCACUAGGAUCAGCUCCAAGAAGGUAACUAAUUAAUUGCACUAUGCAUGCAUGAAAUCGACGAAAAAAAUAAUUGAAUUUGAGCAAUACACCAUUGUUUUGCAAUAAUACAUUGUAUAAACUUUAUCGAUAUACGUUCAGUAUAUGUAAAUUAUGUCAUUUUGAAAAUAAUUUGUUGCUUUGUUUGUUUCCUGUUUUGUGCAACAACAUGAAAUGCUGCUGGCUGAAAUUGAGUUCUUGCAGAAAAAGGUAAUAAUUAAAAUUCAUUAAAUUCUUAUUAGCCUUUUUUUGUUUUCUUCCAAGCUUUGAUAGAACUCUUUAACAUUUUCAUUUUCAUAGGAGAUUGAACUAGAAAAUGAAAGUGUGUGUCUCCGAUGAUAGGUAUGCAAAUCAAUCCUUCGUAUGUAUAAUGCAUUUGUCUCUCCCUCUCCCAAAAUUUCUGAACGUUAUUAAAAUUUUAUGGCUUCUGAAAUUCAGAUAGUAGAAAUGGAGGGGUUUCAGCAAGCAAACAUGGUGACUGGGCAAGAGCUGAAUGCAAUCCAUGCAUUGGCUUCUCGAAUUUUCUUCAGUCCUGUUAUCAUCGAGGGUGGUAGCACCGCUUACUCUCACACAGACAAGAAGAUACUACAUCUCGUGUAAAUAAUUCUUCUAUCGCAUUUCAUCUCGGUUAAAUAAUUCAUCAAUCGCAUUUCAUUUCUACAUGCUCGCAUUGCAUGUGCAUCAACGUUUCUAUAUGGCUUUAAUCUUUGACCAUUAACUUUAAAAGUGACACUGUUCUUUGGGUCCUUAAUUUCAAUUGCUCCAUGUGGAAAAACAGUGUGAACAAUCAAGAGGCCAGACCAUCGAGAGCGUAACUUACCUGGGAAUAGGUGCAAGCGAGAAUUGAAUAAAAGUAUUUUCUGACCUGGGGUAAAAGAUUUUCUCAAAAUUUAUUUGUCAUGAAAGACUUUCAUUCGCUGCUUGUAAAUCUUGGCAUUUUCGUAUGCAUCAUUGCGAAUUUCUUCAAGUUUUGCCAACUGUAAUGUUCUUUCUGAGCUAGCUUGCUACAUGUCAAAGUUGAAUUUCUUGAUGGCCUAGUAUGCACGAUGCUCGAGUUCCACAGGUAGGUGGCAAGCUUUUCCAUACACUAGCCUGUAGAGUGACAUCUCAAUCAGGGUCUUGAAAGUCGUUCUAUAUGCCCAUAAUGCAUCAUCGAGUCUUAAUGACCAAUCUUUUCUAUCUGGCCCCACCGUCUUUUCUAAUAUGUGCUUUAUUUCUCGAUUGGAGAUCUCAACUUGGCCACUAGUUUACGGAUGAUAUGUGAUCGCCACUUUGUGAGUGAUGAAAUACUUUGUCAAAAGAGUUUUGAAUGCUUUGUUACAAAAGUGGGUAUCACCAUCACUGAUUAUUGCUUGAGGGAAUCCAAAGUGUGAAACAAUGUUGCUUUUCAAAAAUCCUAUCACCACCUUGUGAUCAUUAGUUCUACAUGGAAUUUCUUCUACCCAUUUCGAUACGUAGUCAACAGUAAGCAAUAUGUACUGAUGGCCAAAAGAUGGGGGAAAAGGUCCCAUGAAGUCAAUACCCCACACAUAAAAAAUCUGAAGCACUAAAAUUGAAUUCGGUGGCAUCAUAUUCCUUUGUGUAAUGCUCCUCAUUCGUUAACACCUAUCACAUGAAGAGCAAAAAGUGUAAGUUUCUCGAAAUAUAGUUGGCCAAUAGAAAUCACAUUGUAAAACUUUAAUGGCUAUUUUCUUAACGCUGAAAUGGCCUUCACAAGCUUGUUCACGGCAGAAUGAAAGGAUAUUUUGAAAUUCAUGUUAUAGGACACAUUGUCUAACAAUUUGAUCUGCAUAAUACUUAAACAGAUAAGGGUUAUCCCAAAAAUAAGAUAAUUAAUUAUAUCAGCAUACCAUAGUACUACUUCCACACUCAUCAAUUGUUCAUCUGGAAAUGACUCAUUUAAUGUUAAUGGUUCUGUAAUUGUGUGAAAAUGGAGACGAGAGAGAUGGUCAGCCACAACAUUUUCUAUGCCUUUCUUAUCUUUAAAUUCCAAGUAAAAUUCCUGCAAAGUAACACCCAACGAAUUAGUUUAGCUUUUGCAUCUUUCUUUGUGAGAAGAUAUUUAAGAGCAGCAUGAUCUGUGAACACAAUUAUUUUACAACCAAUCAAAUAAGAACGAAAUUUCUCUAAUGCAAACACUACUGCUAGCAUUUCUUUUUCAGUGGUUGAAUAGUUCAAUUGUGCAUCAUUCAAUGUCAUACUAGCAUAGUACAUAACAUGAGGAAUUCGAUCAACUCUUUGUCCUAAUACUGUUCCUAUUGCAUAAUCAAAUGCAUCACACAUGAACUCAAAUGGUAAGCUCCAGUUUGGGAGCUGAAUGAUGGGUGAUGAUGUCAACAACUGCUUUAGUUUUUCAAAUGCCACAAGACAUGAAUCAUCAAAGACAAAAGGUACAUCCUUAGCAAGUAAAUUGCAUAAAGGUCUAGAAACGUUGCUAAAAUCUUUAAUGAAACGUCUAUAAAAACCAGCAUGCCCAAGGAAAGAUCUUACUUCUCUGACUGUUUUAAGUGGAGGAAGAUUGGAAAUGAGAUCCACCUUGGCUUUAUCAACCUCAAUACCUUUGCUCGAAAUGAUGUGACUGAGAACAAUAACUUAUUUUACCAUAAAAUGUCACUUCUCCCAAUUUAAGACUAAGUUUUUGUCCAUACAUCUCUGCAGAACUAGUGUUAGAUGAUGUGACCAUUGAUCAAAUGAGUCACCAAAAAUAGAAAAGUCAUCCAUAAAGACUUCAAGGAAUCGUUCAACCUUACCAGAAAAAAUGCUUAACAUGCAUCGUUGAAAUGUAGCAGGAGCAUUACAUAAUCCAAAUGACAUCCUCCUAUAUGCAAAAUUGCCAAAAAGGCAAGUGAAAAUUGUAUUCUCUUGAUCUUUUGGUGCUAUAGGAAUCUGAUUAUAUCAUGAGUAGCCAUUUAGAAAGCAAUAAAAUUCAUGGCCUGCUAAUUUAUCAAGCAUUUGAUCGAUAAAUGGUAAAGGAAAAUGAUCUUUACGUGUGACAGAAUCCAACUUUCUAUAAUCAAUGCAUACACACCAUUCUGUAGUCACUCAAGUGGGUAUCAAUUCAUUAUCAGUAUUAGUAACUACUGUGACUCCUGACUUUUUGGGGACAACUUGCACAGGACUGACCCAUGAACUAUCAGAAAUAGGGUAAAUGAUACACGUGUCUAAUAGUUUAAGGACUUCAGUUCUAACAACUUAUUUCAUAUUAGGAUUUAACCGACGUUGCAUUUCCCUAGUAGGUUUAGCAUUUUCAUCAAGGUGAAAGUAAUGCAUGCAGUCUACUGGGUUUAUACCUUUUAUAUCGACUAUGGUCUAUCCUAAUGCUCAUUUGUGCUCUUUUAAAACAUCCAACAACUUACUUUUUUGUUCGUCAAUUAGGGAUGAUGAGAUAAUUACUGGCAGAGUGCUUUCUUCUCCCAAAAACGCAUAUUCCAAAGUGUUGGGUAAUGGUUUGAGCUCGAGUUUCGGUGGUGCUUCUGAUGAUGGGAUGAAUUUCUUCUCUGAUGGUGCUAGUUGUUCAACUCUUGACUUCUAUUUAUUAGUUUCUAUGGAUAGUACUGAGUCUAGUAGAGCAUUGACCUCAUCGACUGAUCUGUCAAUAUCAAAAUCCAAAUCAAAGUGAGUUAAAUAUGUUUGUAAAUGGUCAUCACUAAUGUUUGAAAGAAAAGUAUUAUCAACUAAUGUUUCUAUCAAAUCCACAUCAACAAUUCCAUCAUUUGCAUUGUGAGGUUGUUUGGCAAUGUUGAAGAUGUUUAGCUCCAUAGUCAUGUUGCCAAAGAACAACUGCAUAUUUCUAGUCUUGUAUUGAAUGUGAGCAUUUGGCAGUUGCUAAGAAAUGUUGGCCUAGGAUAAUGGGGAUGUGCUUCCUUGAACCCUGGAUUGGUUAGUGUCAAUUACAAUGAAAUCAACAGGGAAAUAAAACUUGUUUACAUGGAUUAGCACGUCCUCCACAAUACCACGAGGUAUUUUCGUGGACCGAUCUGCAAGCUGUAACACCAUUGGAGUUGGGUGUAAUUCUCUCAGUCCAAGUUUCUCAAAUACUAAGUAGAGUAACAGAUUUACACUAACUCCUAAAUCCAAUAAAGCAUUCUCAAUUGUGUGGUUCCUAUACUACAUGAGAUAAUGGGGGAGCCUGAGUCUUUGUAUUUUAGAGGAAUUUUAUGUUGGAGUAUAGAACUAACGUUUUCUGUUAAAAAGACCUUCUUUUGAACGAGAAUGUUUCUCUUUUUAGUACAAAGGUCUUUAAGAAACUUGACAUAAGAUGACACUUGUUUUAUAGCAUCAAACAAAGGGAUGUUAACACUUACCUGUUUGAAGAUAAGGAAAAUCUCACCUGUGGAUUUUCCUUUCUUUCCUUUAGCUAACCUCUGAGGAAAUGGAGCUUUAGGAACAUAUUCUCGUAGGUUGAUUUCUUCUUUCUCCUCUGAUGAUGAUUCCUCAGCAUUUACAGGUAUAAUUUAAUUUUUUUUUGUCAUUGGCAUCUCCACUUUGUUGUCGACUUCCUUCCCUUUUCGUAAGGUCAUGACGACUUUAACCUCUCCAUGCUGUUGUUGUGAACUGGUACUUGUUUUAUGCACUCAUUUAGGAUUUUAGGAUUACGCACGGGUUGACUUGGAAAUUUACCUGCACUGGUUGACUUGGAAAUUUACCUUUCUCAACAGUUAUUGCCAAAGUUUAAACUAAAGAAGCAAGUUGUCCCACCAUCUUCUCGAGGUUUGAAACUGAUUGGGCUUGUGAGUUGAAGCCUGCUCUCAUCCCAUUUCGUAGUUCAUCAAAGAUGCGGUUCUGUUGCUCGAUCGUGGAGUGAGUAAGAUUCUUGAGAUUCUAGAAUGCAUCCUCCUAUGGUCCGGGUUGAGAGUAGUUAUGGUUCUGAUUGUAUGGUCUAAAUGGAGGUUGAGACGCUUGAGGAACUUGAGGAAUUUGUUGCAUUGUUCAGACUUCACCUUCAACCCAAGCUUGAAAGAAAAUUAGCUACUCAUAAUUGAAUUAGGGGUAAAAUGAGAAUUUAUUAAAAUGCGUAGAAAAUACAAGAUAGAGAAUGAAUUACAGAAAAUGAAACUAAAAAAUGAAUUCAGGGAUGCCAAAUUAGGGGGAGUCCCCUUUUUGUAGAAACAUUAAGUAAAUCAUGUCCAUUGGAUUAAAAAUAAUUUGGACGCUCAGGAUUGCGCUACGUCAUCGACCAACAGUACGCAAUUUGAAUAGUGACGUGGUUUGAACAGUGACGCGGUUUGGUUGUAAGUUAUCCCGUGUAUAUGCAUGUACAGUACGCACGAUUUUUAGUGCACUAACACGCUGCCAUGUCAUCAAUUAACAGUAUAUAAGAAUUUUAGUCUCAUUAGUCAAUGCCACAUCAUCAUUCCAUAUAUGUGAACAGUGUCAUGAACAGUAACAUAGACAGUACCGUACAUGUGAACAGUGUCAUUUUUCCUUUUAUGCUCCUCCUAAGGUUUUCGACUGUCUUGAGUUCAAAAGUGAUGUCCAUUUUGUAGUCUAAUCUCUCAUUUAUUAUGAAAUGACCAUGAUGCCCAUUAAAUAUAUAAAAUACUUAAUUAUAAUACAACAUAUAUAAUUAAAUCACAAGAAACUUAAAUACAUAAAAAUAGGAAUGUUAGUGAAACUUGAAGUGUAAAAUGACAAUUUCCUCCUUUAUAAAUAUACACUUUCUAACACUCAACAUAAUAUGAUCUUAAGACCAGACUCGGGACUGGACUGUGAGGAUUUACAUAACCCAGGAUAUAAGCUUCUUAACUAUAGUAAAACACCGAGAAUAAAUGCGGCAUGAACUUCAAAUAUUAUCUGAAAAGGAAGAGGAGACAAAAAAAAUAUACUUUAGGUGAUUUUCACGCCAAUGGCAUAUAGUGCCUAUAGGUAACUAGGUCAAAUAAUGGCACAGUCUCAAAUUUUAGCUCCCUUAUGGAGCCCCUCAUUCUCCCUCUGAGCACUCUCAAUAUCCUCUCUAAGCUUACGAAUUUCGUCAUCUGACUUCAUUUGAGUUGAUUUUGUAGCCUCUUCUGCCUUUAAACGAGUAGCAUGCUCCAUUGCCAAUUGUUGUUCGAGCCUAGUUGUUGUCUCUUUGAGCUUAGACUCAAACUAUCAAAAAAGCAUAAAUAUCAGUCAAAAAACAUGCCACUAAGCCUUAGAGUAGCAUCAUAAUACAAAAAAAUUGGGUAUUGGUAAUACAAAACUCCAACUUAAGGGGAGAAAAUUGUUGAGUAUUAAUUUAGUUUAAUCCAACUGUAAAGGGAGUUGCUAAGUUCACCAUACUUGGUGAAACAUUCUUACUUCAAUUCCACUCUCUCAAUCAUUGAUAAAUGGUAGAAACAAAAGCUUAAGAAAAUAAAAAGAUAAAUCUAAAAUAUAAAGUAUUAAAGAAUCUACCAAUAUUUUCAUUUUGCCACACUUCAGGAAUGUGGAGAGUAAAACUUAUUAGCACCUCAGAGAUGUAGUCAUUACACAAAAUGUUAUAGCAAAUCUAGAUUAUUGUUGAAUCGGAUUUGGCUUAAUGCCGUAUCAUUCUACUGCCUUGCUAUAAAUUGAAAUUGUCGAAAUGAAAAUGAAAACUACGCAGCUAUUUGAUUAGGUUCCAUGUGCCUAACUAUAUUUUCAUAAAAAUUUAUAUUGAAUGUGGCUAUUCUGUUUUUAACAAAAUUAGAAUAUGACAUAACUUGCUUAUAACAUGUCAAUUGUUCCCACAAGAUCUACAGUAUUACAAGAAAUGUUCUUAUGAUUGAUGACUAAACAAGUGCAGAAUCCAUUCCCAAGCGCAAGUCAUGAUGAGCAAACCACCUAUAGCUACUACCAUAGAGUAUCUACUUAAUUUCAUGAAGAAACAAAACAGAACAAGACAGUCAAACAAUCGUCAAGAUAAGAACAACAUAUUACAACCUUCAAAACACAAUCAGUGAACAGAUAACUUAAUAACAGAUUUGUCCCCAUCAACUAGCAAGAUAAAGUCUCUUUUCAAAUGGCAAUCUCCAAAAAUAUAGGGGUAAGGACAGAGCGGCAAUCUUUACCACCUCCAAGUCUCACAAUUUAGAAUAUCAUUACAAGUACCUGCACACUUUAUAGGCAUUUUUUAAUUACACAGUUUUGGAAAUGAUUACCAAAUCCAAGAAAUGAACACAUAUGCAUGUCAUAUUUUGAUGCCAAAACAAGGAGCAUAAAAAAUACCAUCUCAGUAAUUCAUUUGAGUUUAUCUUCAUAUGAUUUUUGCAUUUGCUCCUAUUGAUCUUCAUAUGAUUUUUCCAUCUGCUCCUUCAGCUUUGAAAUUUCUCGUUCUUAAUAUUUCUUGAGAGAAAAAAAGAAAAAAAAACACAAUCAGUGAACAGAUAACUUAAUAACUUAUUGAUCAUGGAGUUUAGUAACCCCUGACUGAGUAGAAAAAAAAAAGAAAAAGAGACGUUAUCGUGACAUAUUCAAAAAGAUGCAGCACAUAAUUCUAUCACGAUUGUAAUGAAGUCACCUUCAACUUAGCAAAGAUUUCGUUUGUAUAUGGCUGUCCUGUUGGGGAAAAAACAGGUUUUUAAAUUUUUAUAAAACCUUUUAAGGACCACUCUCAUAUAAUAAAUAGGAAUUUGUAAUCUAGAAAUCGUACCUUGAAAAUCCGAGUUGGCUUUUUCCGCUGAAAUGAUUUAGGCUCCUAGAUCACGAUCCGCCACCACCACUCCUGUUAGAUCACGAUCCGUCACCACCACGCUUGUUAGAUCACGAACUGUCACCAAUGAUCUUCCAGGUUAUGACUCAGGUUCGAUCUGCACUUGACGUGUGGGCCCCUUUAUCACUACCAAAGCAACUAGCACAAGAACAUUUUUCGCUCAACAAUAGAGAGAAAAAUCUUAUUCUCCGAUCUGUAUAAAGUGGCUUCUCAUAUUUUCUUUAGAGAAAAUAAGCCUUUUAUUUCACCCUUUAGUGAAAACCCUAGGCUUCAAAUAAUCAAAAAACAAAACUCACGUUAUUUACUUUUUCUAUGAGGGACCCACCUUGUAAAAUAACAUAAGGCCCCUUACACAAAAGCUAAUUAAAUGGAGCCUCCCACUAAAUGAUAUAUUUAGGCUUUUCACCCAAAUAGCUAGUUAUCUUACUUAUUAGUCCAGUAGUGGUGUAGUCAAUUAAAUGAGCUAACCCGGGGAUCAUUUGGGAACAUACAAUAGUGGCUACAAUAAUUAGGCCUGUAAUUAAACUAACCCAAUUAUUUAAUUCCAAAUCUACUCCACUAAAAGAUUAGAACUGACUUCCAUAAUUGUAUGCUCGAAUAAUAAUUCGUCCCAAGCCACAUUGAUUUCUUUACUGCACAAUCCUUUGUACCACAUCGUUAAUUAAAUUGAUAUCUCAACUGUCCAAUCAAUUUAAUAACAUCUUAUUCCUUGAUCCUUACUGGUUUUCUCUAAUGAUCAUUUUCAACAUACUAAAUAUGUUGACACACCCUGGCCAGAGAAUUCUAUGAUCAAGUGCCGAAAACCCAUCAAGAGAUGUGUUGUAUAAAUUCUAUAUUGUUAAUCCAUAACUCCAAUACUCAUAAUUGUUCCCACCAAGAUACCGGGUAAUCUUGACCACAAGGAUGUGUCAUGCCCAUUGGUAACUCAAAUGGAAUAACAAUUACAAUCAUGAAAUCAUAAUUAACUCAAGAUUAAGAUUACAGUAAAAUCAAUGCCUAUGAGAUUUAAUAAGUCUGACAGUUAUUACAAAGUUAAUUAAAUCUCAUAUGUGAUCCUGUUCAAUGUAGUCGUACUACAUCAAUAAAUUCAUACAUGAUUAAGACAAAUCAUUCAAUGAAUUUAUUACAGUCUAUACCUAAAUAAAGUGUCCAACUUUAUUUAUCAACUGCGAACUAAAUUUAUUUAAUCAUAAGAUAACUUGUAUUUAUGUCUUCUGUGAAUCCACAUGUUGAUCACAUAAAUAUAUAUAAUAUGAUUAAAUGGACUUUAAUACAAAUAUUAAUGUAAUUAAGAUAUUUGAAUAAAAUACCUCAUUUAUUUUAUUAAUCAGAAAAAUUGUUUAUUACAAUUAAAUAAACACGAUCACAAAGUUAACCAGAGAAAAAAGCUUCCCAACCUGCUCAGUUCUCUUGGGCGCAUCCUUGGUCUUGUUAUCAAAAAGCACGCACCUAUUAUCACAUAGUCGAAGGAUCUCCUAAAAGAAUGGAAAAAUGAUCAAGAAUAAAGCAAAUGUUAGCCCCUUUCGUAAACAUUGAUAAACCAAUCAAACACUUGUAGUCUCCAAAAGUUUGAAGAUAUUCAAUUGACAAAAUUUGUUUUUAUUGUGAUCAUUGGUACUUCAUGUCAUGCAUCCCCUAAUUCCAUUCUCCUUAUGUUGGAAUUUUACGUCCAUCAAAUUUUAAGUAUUUCAACUUGAAGGGGUCUUAUUUUCAUUUUUGUUAUUUUUCUUCCUACUCCUAAACUUGAAAAGUAUUAGGAACCAAAUUCAUCAAGUAAAUUCUAAAAAUAAGAGAUUUCCAUGUUGAAACUGAAAAAAGAGAUUUGCAUGUUGAAACUAAAAAACGAUCUCACAUUGAAAUUUUAGACACCAAUUUUGAGGCUAGAAUCCACAGGGAUUUUUAAGAGAAUUUUAAAUCUUAUAAAGUUAGCCUUCAUAUUUUAUUCAAACAACGCCUAAUAAAAUGGAUCUGUAUAGCAAGUCAUAUCCUCCUUGGCGCACUUCUAAAAUCUUAAAAGUAGGUUAAUUUUAAGCAUAUAAAUCAAAGAGGUGCAUAUUUUAAGGAACAAACAAAUGAACACAUUAAUAGAAUAAGAAACAAAAAUAAAUAACAGAUGAAAUCAAAGAAUACAAAUAAGAAAAGCAUAAAUGCUUAGCAAAUGAAUGAAUGACAUCUCAUUCAAAGACAUUAAAAUAUAACUAAAAUUAAGUAAUGCCAGCAGAAUAUUACCAACCAAUCACCUCUCCGGCCAAUCCCGCAUGGUAGAAGAAAACCAUUCAGGAAAUGAAGCCCUAUUGAAAAUGGAAUUUUAAGACGGCUGGACUACUAUAAACCUAUCUAGUAUUUUCAGCAUGCAUAUAUUCAUAAUAAACUUCCAAUAUUCCAACCGUAUAGGAGACUAAAACUUCACAAAAGAACGAACCUAAGACAAAUUGAUCAAAAUGACUAAUGAAAUUAUCGAACACUAUUGCCUUUCAGAAACAAACCUUUAAAGGAUUUGGACACUCACGACCCAAGUAAUCUUCUAACGUUUCGUCAUUAUCUUCAAGUUCAUCCUCUUGUGAAAACAACAAUCAUAUAGUCAAAAAACAUUUUCCCGAACAAGGUCUGCAAGCUGUGUAGUGCAACUUCUUCCUCUUGAGAAAAACGGCUUCUAACAGAGAAAACUACAAGGACUGCAUGGAUCUCAUCCUUGGCCAUGCCGAUACAUUUGACAAUUUCCUCGCCAACAAACUCAGAGCCAGCAGAAAAAUCAAAUAGUCCUGCAAUUGCUCAUAACAUCAAUCUACUUUCUUUUUUUUUUUUUCACUACCAUAACAUCAAUCUACUUACCACCACAACAUCAACAGGCAUGGAAAUGGAAUAUCUAGGCAACGACAUUAGUAAGUUACCAGUGGUAUCAAUGACAUUAACAACUUGGCCAUCUUUGAGCACGAUUCUGUGCAUUUCACAAGUACUAGUAACACUAGACGAGCUCGCCCUCCACUUGAAGGCUCUUCUUCCAAGAAUACUAUUGCCCGUCGCACUUUUGCCAUUGCCAGUAUGGCCAACUAAAACCACAGUUCGCACCCCAUUAGAUGGAGAAGUAAGCUCCCAAUCAUCAUCAAUCGCACUUCCUCCCAUCGUAUAAAAAAUUUCAAUUUACCUGCAAUGCAUUUACAAUAUCAUACCACUUCAUAUUGAAUUCAGUCUUUAUCAUUAUACAAUAAGAAACAAGAGUUAGUUACCAUACCCUUACAAUUUCACUCCGUGAAAACCUAUGUUUGUUAUUACUUUAAAUAUUAUCGAACCGAACAUGAAAAAAUUCGUAAAAAUAUUAAAAAUAAAAAUCAUUCAGACCAUGACAAUAUAAUUUAAUUUAAAAUCUUGAUAAAACUAUGAUGAUAUUGAUAUACAAUCAAGCACAGAAUCUAAAUAGCAUCGGUUAAUUAAUUAAUUAUGGUGGUAUAUAAUUUUGUUUCAUUUCUGCUUGUUUUUCGAAAUUAUUGAACAAAACCACGACCGAUUAGUUACGCAUUGGAUUGAACCCUUGACUUCUUACUUCUGGGAAUUGAUAUGUUGGAGAUACUCUAAGUUAGAGCAUAACCUAUUGGGAAAAUAUGUUCUUUAAAAGCAUAUGUGUUUAUUUUAUUGUAAUAAAUAAAUUUUCUAAUUAAUUAAAUAAAUUAGGUAUUUUAUUCAAGUAUCUUAGUUGCAUUAAUAUUUUGAGUAAAGUCCAAUUAAUCAUAUUAUAUGUAUUUAUGUGAUCACCAUGUGGAUUCACAGAAGAUAUAAAAACAAGUUAUCUUAUGAUUAAAUAAAUUAUGUUCGCAACUGAUAAAUAAAGUUGCGCACUUUUUUAGGUAUAGAAUGUAAUAAAUUUAUUGAAUGAUUUGUCUUAAUCAUGUAUGAAUUUAUUGAUGUAGUACGACUACAUUGAACAGGACCACAUAUGAGAUUUAAUUAACUUUGUAAUAACUGUCAGACUUAUUAAAUCUCAUAGGCAUUGAUUUUACUGUAAUUUUAAUCUUGAGUUAGUUAUGAUUUCAUAAUUUUAAUUGUUAUUACAUUUGAGUUACCAAUAGGUGUUGUGCAAAUUUUAUUGAACUCGCAAGUGCACGAAUCUAUUGAAGAAUAGAUUAAUGGUGACGAGUGUCGAUCCCAUGAGGAGGUGGAUUAUAAUUAUAUGUAGAAUUAAUUUUGUAUGAGGGUGGUUGGAUUUGUGGUGAAAAUAAUUUGGAUUAUCCUAAAAUUCGAAUUAAAAUGGCAAGAAUAAAUUGAAGUGAAAAUCUAUUAAAUUGAUGUACUUGGUUAUCUGGAUCCGCAUCAACAUGCACCAUGGGCUAAAUAUUCCUUAUUAAUGUCAAUUAAAUCAUGAGAGGGGAAUCCACACCUCAUGAACCACACUCUAAUCAAUAUGGUGUUAAGGGCUUAUCGUGCAAAAUAAUAAUAACCUUGUACUAGGGAGCCGGUGAAACCAGGGCGGUAUCUAGACAAGAUUAUUAUUAUUUGUCGACGAAAAGUCAAAACAUCCACAAAAAUUAGAGGGGAAGAGAAAAUAAAUUUACCAAAUAAAGCCUAUGACACAUAUUAAGACUUCACCUUCAACCCAAGCUUGAAAGAAAAUUAGCUACUCAUAAUUGAACUAGGAGCAAAAUGAAAAUUUAUUAAAAUAAGUAGAAAAUACAAGAUGAAGAAGGAAUUACAGAAAAUGGAGUCCAAAAAUGGAUUCAGAGAUAUAAAAUUAGGGGGGGAGGCCCCAUUUUUAUAGAUACAUUGAGUAAAUCAUGGCCAUCGGAUUAAAAAUAGUUUGGACGCUCAGGAUUGCGCCACGUCAUCAGUCAACAGUACGCAGUUUGACCACGUGGUUUGAACAGUAACACGGUUUGACCUGGCUUGAACAGUGACGCGGUUUGGUUGAAAAUAAUCCUGUGUAAUGCAUGUACCGUACGCGAGAUUUUUUGUCCGCCGAUAUGCUGCCACGUCACCAAUCAACAGUGCAUAAGAAUUUUAGUCCAACAGGAUCAUGACACCUCAUCAUUCAAUGCCACAUCAUCGGUCAAUGCCACGUCCUUGAUCCGUCUAUGUGAACAGUGUCGUGAACAGUUACGUAGACAGUACCGUAUAUGUGAACAGUACUAUUUUUCCUUUUAUACUCCUCCUAAGGUUUUCGACCGUCCUGAGUUCAAAAGUGAUGUCCGUUUUGCCGUCUGAUCUCUCGUUCAUUGUGAAAUGACUAUGAUAUCCCUAAAAUACAUAAAAUACUUAAUUAAAAUAAAACACACAUAAUUAAAUUAUAAGAAGUUUAAAUACAUAAAAGUAAGGGUUGUUAGUAAGACUUGAAAUGUAAAAUGACGAUUUUCUCCUUUAUAAAUAUGCAUUUUCUAACACUCAACAUUAGGCACGACACAUACUUAUAGUCAAGAUUACCUGGUAUCCUGGUUGGAGCAAUUAUAAGUAUUGGAGUUAUAGAUUAACAAUAUAGAAUUUGUACAACACAUCUCUUGAUGGGUUUUCGAUACUUGAUCAUAGAAUUCUCUGGCCAGAGUAUGUCAACAUAUUUAGUAUACAAUUAUGGAUGUCAAUUCCAAUCUUUUAGUGGAGUAGAUUUGGAAUUAAAUAAUUGGGCUAGUUUAAUUGCAUGCCUAAUUAUUGUAGCCACUAUUGUAUGUGCUCAUAUGAUCCCCGGGUUAGCUCAUUUAAUUGACUGCGCCGCUACUAGAUUAAUAAGUAAGAUAACUAGUUAUUUGGGUUAGAAGCCUAAAUAUAUUAUUUAGUGGGAGGCUCCAUGUAAUAUGCUGGUGUGUAAGGGUGUAAGGGGCAUUGUGUUAUUUCACAAGGUGGGCCCCUAUAACAUAAGAACAAGUAACGUUGCCUUUGGUUUUAUUAUUUUUUAAUUUAAAUCAAAUUUGAUUUAAUAGAAUUAAAAAAUAGAAAAAUAUGGAGUUUAGGGUUUCCACCAGAUAGAGAAAUAAAAUAACUUAUUUUCUCUAAAAAAAAAUUAAGUCGCAAUAUACAUAUCAAAGAAAAAGAAUUUUUCUCUCAAAAAUUGAGAGGAAUUUUUUUCUCUUGCUGGUUGCUUUAGUGGUGAUGAAGGUAUCGACACGUCAAGUGCAAAUCAAACUUGAGUUAUAGCCUGGAAGAUUAUUUGGUAGCGGACCGUGAUCUAACAUGAGUGGUGGUGACAGAUCGUGAUCUGGGAGUCUAGAUUAACUCAGCGAAAAAGUCAAAUCGGAUUGUUAAGUUAUGAUUUUCUAGAUUAUAUGAGAUCGAUCCUAAAAUUUUUUUUAAAAAAAAAAACUGUUUUCUCACCAACAAUUGGUAUUAGAACCAUCUCAUACUAAUAUAUAAGAAUUUCUUAUGAAAUCAAUCUUGAUAUUUAUGUAUUAGAGUGACACAAUUUAUUCAGAUAUAUAUUAUUGGUUUAAUAUAUGAAUAAAGCAUGCUUAUGGUCUGUCUUAAUUCAUGGUUAGAUUCUUUUAUGUAUAUUUUAUUUGGAUCUGUAACAAGUGGGGUGGUUUUUUAUCACUACAUUUCCCUCUUGAUUUAUUUUACUGUAAUAGAAAUUUUGUAAGCCAAAAUUGGCCUAGGAAAUUUGUAAAUCACUAGAGAAUAAUCACGAAUGUCAAAUCAGAGAAAGCGAAGGCUGGAAAUUUCAGGGGCAACCCGCGGCGCAAAAGUUUUAUUUUCUUUCAAAAAUUAAAAUUGGACCAAUAAUAAAUUUAAAAGCCCAAUUUCCCCUAGUCCAUUAACAAAGAUAGCUAUGAAAGAUGGACAUUGAUAAGAAGCCCAAUGAAGAUUAGGCUUAGGGUUAAUGUAUUUUUUCAUUUUAGGAAAGCCAUGAAUUAAGAUUAUUUAAUUAUUUUUUCUAUAUGUUAUGUUUUGAAUGAUAACAUGCCAUAACAACAUGUCAUAUAGAAUAGGUAAUGCCACUCUAAGCAUAAUGACACAUGUUAUUCAUUAAUUAUGAAUCUCAUUACAUUGUUUGAAAAUUGAUGCUUAAUAAUAUUGGAUAUCAUUUAGAUAAUAUUAUAGGAAGCGUGCAAUUAACAAUAUAAUUAAUGUAUGUUUUAAAAAGGAAAAACUAAUUAUAAAAUAUUGAGUGGGAGAGGGAAAAUUCAAAAUAAUUUUUCCCACGAGCUCCAUUGUUAGUUCAAUAAUAAAAUUAUAUAUAUACCUCGACUUCAUGUAUGGCGAUGCUCUCUUCAAAGGGUAUAUAUAUUAGAUAUUUUAUUUGAUGAACUUCUUCAAAGACAAAAUUGAAAUAUUUUUCAAUCAAUUGUUCACCCCAACGAUGACUAUUGAUAUGAAAAAUACGUAGAAUGAAACAAUGGUUAUACACUCAACUAAAAUUUGUUAUUAACCUUCCCAACGAAACUCUGUUAACAAAUUUAGGUCCAAAAUGAUAACGAUAAUUAUAAAUUAGUCUCUAUAUGAAAGUAAAUAAUCCAAUGGAUAAUUGGGAGUAAAUAAUCCAAUGGAUAAUUGGGUCUUGUAAGUGCAGACAUGACUUCCCCAACAGAUAGCUUGUUAAAGCGGUACUAGAUUAUUGUUACAAUAAAUAAAAAUGCAUUUAUAGUUUUUUUGCAUUUUUGUCAUUUAUUGUGAAUAUUAUAUCAAAUUAUUUAUGCAUGGAUGUUUUAUUUUUCAGAAAAUGUCUUCCCUAAGCCCACUUACUAUUAUUUUGAGUCAAAACAAACUCACUAGAGAGAACUAUAUAUAUUGGAAAAGAAAUCUAUUAAUUGUCCUGACUAUUGAAAAUUAUAAAUGUCUUAACUCAGCCAUGCCCUCCAGUUCCAGCGGAUGAUGCUCAUAGAAAUUAGAGGAGGCUUUGUGAGAAAUGGCAAAAGGCCAAUGAAAUGGAAAAAUGCCACGUUUUAGCCUCGAUUUCUAAUAUUCUGCAGACCAAACAUCAGAACUUGGAGAUUGCCACUGAAAUAAUGGAUAGUCUCCAAGAGAUGUUCGGGCAGAGUACUCGUUCCGCGAGACAAGUAGCACUGAAAGGUAUUAUGAACUGCAAAAUGGGGAAGGGCACAAGAGAUUGUGAUCAUGUCCUCAAAAUGAUGGACUAUUUAAAUAAGGCUGAGAUUCAGGGAGCACAAAUCAAUGAUAACUCAAAGAUUGACAUGGUGCUAGAAUCUCUGUCAUAAACAUUUAAAGAGUUUAAUGUCAAUUAUAACAUGAACAAAAGAAACAUGACCUUAACUGAAUUGAUGAACGAACUCCAUUUUGCUGAAGAGAUCCAUCGUACUGAGAAAUCUCUGGGAAGUAUAAAUAUUGUUGAAAACGGUUCUUCUUCUAGGCCUAAGCCGAAAGGCAAUGGUAAGAACAAAGCUGGGAAAAAGAAACCGUCUACCAAGCAAGAUGGAAAGCCGAAAGGCAAAUGCUUCAAGUGUGGACAGAAAGGACAUUGGAAAAAAGAUUGCCCUGAGAUUGUGAAAUCAGGUACGGGAAAUAUUUUUGUAAUUGAGGCAUGUUUAGUUUAGAAUCCUAUUGACACUUGGGUGUUUGAUUUAGGAGCAACUAAUCAUAUUUGUAAUUCACUUUAUUAGUUUCAGGAAAUCAGGAAAAUAAGUGAAGGAGGCGUCAAGCUGCAGUUAGGGACAAGACAGUUCGUUUUAGUAGUGAAGACUGGAUCUGUUUUAUUAUCUUUUAAUAAUGAGACUUUAGUUUUGAAUAAUUAUCUUUAUGUUCCAAACAUUAAGAGGAAUUUAAUUUCAGUAGCUUGUUUGUCAAAGUAAGGGUACACUGUAAAUUUUAGAUCAUCCGUUUCUAUUUUUUAUAAUAAGAAACUUAUCUGUUUUGGUACAUUAGAAGAUAAUUUAUAUCAUUUAAGUCCUAUGAUCCAUUCUAUGCAUGACACAGUGAUCAAUAAUGAUAAACAUACACAUUUAGCUAAGAAAAGAAAUACUUCUUCCAACUAAUGUUACCUCUAGCAUUUGCGCUUGGGUCAUUUAAACCGAAAUAGGAUACAAAGAAUUAUCAAAGAUGGGCUCUUGGGUCCAUUGGAAAAUGAAUCAUUUCCACUCAGCGAAUCCUGUUUAGAAGGGACAAUGACCAAAAGGCCGUUCCCGGCCAAAGGAGUGCGUGAAACAGUACCACUUGAAUUGGUACAUACAGAUGUAUGUGGACCAAUCAAUGUACAAGCUCGAGGAGGUUAUAAGUAUUUCAUCACUUUCACUGCUGAUUACUCAAGAUACGGUUACGUUUAUCUGAUGCGUCACAAGUCUGAAGCUCUUGAGAAAUUCAAAGAGUAUAGGGUUGAGACAGAGAUGGAAGUCUUUUUUUUGCUUCUCGACGGUGAAGUAAGACUAAGCCCAUGAGCUUAUUAUCCUAGGUUGGAACAAGUUGAUAGGAUCAAGCAAUUAGAUAAGAACAUAAAAAAACUUAUACUUGAUCGAGGUGGUGAAUUUCUCUCUAAAAAUUUCAAAGAGUAUCUGGUUGAAAAUAGGAUUAUAUCCCAGUUAACUGCCCCAGGGACACCACAACAAAAUGGGGUAGCUGAAAUGAGAAAUAUAACUCUUUUAGAUAUGGUGAGAUCUAUGCUUAGUUAUUCGUUAUUACCAAUCUUUUUUGGGGACUAGCACUGAAAACUUCAAUUUAUCUCUUGAACGUAGUUCCAUCUAAGUCAGUGCCUAAAAUCCCAAUAGAAUUAUGGUCAGAUUGCAAACCAAGUUUACGACAUGUCCGUCUUUGGGGAUCAUCAGCACAUGUGUUGAAACCAAAGACAAACAAAAUGGAUUCACGUUUUGAAGUUUGUAUGUUUGUAGGGUAUCUCAAAGGAAUGAGGGGAGGUUUAUUUUAUAGUACUCAAGAUAGAAAAGUGAUCGUGAACACACAUUUCACUUCCCUCGAGGAAGAGUAUAUGAAUAGCUUCAAACCUAAGAGUAAGGUAAUACUUGAAGAACUAUCAGGUGAUCAGGUUGAUGCUCAGCUUUCAACGCCUGUUACAAAACAUGAAGAACAUCAAUAACCAGCUGAUCAACACAAGAUUAUCCCUGAACAACCAUCAUUUUUAGAACCUCGUCGUAGUGGAAGGGUAACUAGGUUACCUGCGAGAUACAUGUUAUUAGGAGAAACUUAUACGGUUUUCUCAUAUGAACAUGAACAAGAUCCUACUAGUUACAACGAAGCUCUAAUAGAUAGAGAUGUUGAAUUUUAGAAAAAUGCCAUGAAUCAAAAAAUGAAAUCUAUGUAUUUCAAUAAAGUCUAGAAACUUGUAGAGGCACCAAAUGGGGUAAAACCUAUAGGGUGCAAGUGGAUUUACAAGAGAAAAAGAGGAGUAGACGGAAGGGUGGAAACAUUUAAAGCAAGAUUAGUAGCUAAAGGGUUUACACAGAAAAAGGGAAUCGAUUAUGAGGAAACCUUUUCUCCGGUUACUAUGCUUAAAUCCAUUAGGAUUAUGCUCUCCAUUACUACAGUGCUAGAUUAUGAAAUUUGGCAAAUAGAUGUCAAGACUGCCUUUCUUAACAGGCAUCUUGAAGAAGACAUCUACUUACAACAACCAGAUGGUUUUAUACAAAAAGGCCAAGAACACAUGGUAUGUAAAAAGCAGAGAUCCAUUUAUGGAUUGAAGCAAGCAUCUCGAUCAUGGAACAUCAUAUUUGAUUAAGCGAUUAAAUCGUUUGGAUUCAUUCAAAACAUUGAUGAACCAUGUGUGUACAAGAAAAUUCAAGAAAAAUUUGUAGCGUUCCUAGUUCUUUCUGUAGACGAUAUUCUCCUAAUUGGAAACGAUAUAAGAGUAUUGACUACAACAAAGAGUUGGUUAGCAAAACAAUUUGAUAUGAAAGACUUGGGAGAGGCAAGUUAUAUUCUUGGUAUCAAGUUGCUACGAGACCGGAAGAAUAAAACUUUAGCCUUAUCUCAAGCAGUCUAUAUCGAUAAGAUAUUGGCUAGAUUUAACAUAGAAAAUUUUAAGAUUGGUUUAUUACUAUUCAGACAUGGAAUUACAUUCUUUAAGGAUCAAUAUGGGAAGUCUCAUGUAUGCCAUGCUUUGCACUAAGCCAGACAUCUAUUUUGCGGUAGGGAUGGUUAGCGUAUAUCAAUCUAAUCCUGGACUUGAACAUUGGAUUACAGUCAAGCAUAUAAUGAAGUAUUUGAAAAAACUAAAAACUAUAUGCUUGUGUAUUCUGGUGCUGAACUCAUUCUAGUGGGUUAUACUGAUUCUGACUUUAUGUUAGAUAAGGAUUCCAGAAAAUCAACUUCUGGCUAUGUGUUUACAUUAGGAAGUGGAGCUAUUAGUUGGAGGAGUGUGAAACAAUCUUGUAUCGCAGACUCCACAACUGAAGCUGAAUAUGUGGCUGCAUCCGAAGCUACAAAAGAAGUUGUAUGGCUCCGCAAGUUCCUACAAGAUCUUGAGGUGGUACCUGCUGUAACUGCACCGCUUAAACUAUUUUACGAUAAUAGUGGUGCAGUAGCUCAAUCUAAGGAACCAAGGAAUCACAAGAAACAAAAACAUAUUGAGAGGAAGUAUCAUCUCAUAAGGGAUAUAGUGCAGAGAGGUGAUGUGGAGGUUACUCAGAUUACGUUACAGCAAAACUUGGCAGAUCCUUUUACUAAGGUCAUACAUGGGAAACCUUUUAACUUGCACUUAGAAUCCAUGGGCAUACGUGAGAUGCCAAAUAUGCUUUGAGAGCUAGUGGGAGAUUGUUAGGAAAAUAUGCUCUUUAAAAGUAUAUGUGUUUAUUUAAUUGUAAUAAAUAAUUUUUCUUAUUAAUAAAAUAAAUGAGGUAUUUUAUUCAAGUAUCUUAGUUGCAAUAAAUUUUAAGUAAAGUCCAUUUAAUCAUGUUAUAUGUUGAAACGACCCGCCCCGAAUCUCCUCCGGGUGAGUCAAUUUAGUCUCAUCAAAACAGACUUGAUAAUAAUCUAAUUAGUAAGGAUUCUGUCGAAAAUUCGGCAGAGUCUCCUUUAUAUAUAUAACACUCAUAAUCUACAAAUAUGAAUACAACACUCCCAAUAUAAUUCAAUAUACAACAAACUCUAGUGAUCAACAUCCUCAACCAAAAUGCUGAGUUUUAUAUCUCCAGAGUCUCAAAAGAUAAUAUUAUAACUAAUAGUAAUAUCUCAAUUUAUUCUUAAUCCCAAAAGAAUAAUAUAACAAAAUUAUACAAUCCCAAAAGAACAAGAUAACCACCAAGAUGUCCUAACAAAUACAUCUAUAUCUUCUAACACCGUCACGUGGCCAAGAUUCAAAAUAUAUUUACAGUCGCUGGGUUGGUUUGGUGUACCUGCAACCUCCUAGUGGUGGGGGAAAAUAUAAUAAAAACAGAGUGAGUUUAAAACUCAGUGAGAUCAGUGAGUUGAUAGUAGUUUUUAAAAAUUAAUUCUUACUUUAAAAGAGAUAAUCAUAUCAUUUCCAAACACGAUUUCAUCAAAUCAUAUGCGAGAAACCCAUAAUAAAUCCUUUAACAUUUAAAUUAGAUUACUAACCAUGGAAAUUGUUGAGUGUUAGAAAAUGUAUAUUUACAAAGGAGAAAACCAUCAUUUUACAUUUCAAGUCUUACUAACAACUCUUACUUUUAUGUAUUUAACCUUCUUGUGAUGUAAUUACGUGUGUGUUAUUUUAAUUAAGUAUUUUAUGUAUUUUAGGGGCAUUAUAGUCAUUUCACAAUAAAGGAGAGAUCAGACGGCAAAACGGACAUCACUUUUGAACUCAGGACGAUCGAAAACCUUAGGAGGAGCAUAAAAGGAAAAAUGGUACUAUUCACAUGUACGGUACUAUUCACGUAUACGGUACUGUAUAUGUCACUGUUCACAUAGACGGAUCGAUGACGUGGCAUUGACCGAUGAUGUGGCAUUGACUGAUGAGGUGUCACGAUCCUAUUGGACUAAAAUUCUUAUGUACUGUUGAUGGUGACGUGGCAGCAUAUCAGUGGACCAAAAAUCUCGCGUACGGUGCAUGCAUCACACAGGAUUAUUUUCAACCAAACCGUGUUACUGUUCAUCCGCGUGGUCAAACCGUGGACUAUUGACUGAUGACGUGGCGCAAUCCUGAGCGUCCAAACUGUUUUUAAUCCGAUGGCUAUGAUUUACUCCAUGUAUCUAUAAAAAGGGGGCCUUUCCCCCCUAAUUUGAUAUCUCUGAAUCCAUUUUUGGGAUCCAUUUUCUGUAAUUCCUUCUCCAUCUUGUAUUUUCUUCAUAUUUUAAUAAAUUUCCAUUUUGCCCCUAGUUCAAUUAUGAGUAGCUAAUUUCCUUUCAAGCUUGGGUUGAAGGUGAAGUUUCAACAUGUGUCAUGGGCUUUAUUUGGUAAAUUUAUUUUCUUUUCCCCUCUAGUUUUUGUGGAUGAUUUGACUUAUCGUCGACAAAUAAUACUGAUCUUGUCUAGAUACCACAUUGGUUACACCGGCUCUCUAGUAUAAGGUUAUUAUUAUUUGGCACGAUAAGCCCUUAGCACCAUAUUGAUUAGAGUGUGGUUCAUGAGGUGUGGAUUCCCCCUCAUGAUUUAAUUGGCAUUAAUAAGAAAUAUUUAGCCCAUGAUGCAUGUUGAUACGGAUCCAGAUACCCAAGUACGUCAUUUCAAUAGAAUUCUUUUCAAUUUAUUCUCGCCAUUGCAAUUCCAAUUUUAGAAUUUAUUAUCGCAAUUUCAAUUCCAAUUUUAGGAUAAUUUAAAUCACUUCCACCACAAUUCCAGCCACCCAUUUUGCAAAAUUAAUUCUAUACACAAUUAAAAUCCUCCUCCUCGUGGGAUCGACACUCGUCACCAUUGAUCUACACUACAAUAGAUUCGUGCGCUUGCGAGUACAUUAAAAUUUGCACAACAGAAAUUACAUCACAAUAUCAUAUAUGAUGCACAAAUCUGAAAAUCAUCACCAAACAAGUACCCAGGGAAAUAAUCAAGUCAUAUUCGGACCUCAAUGGACAGGCAAUGACGUACUAUCUGGGUACCGUCACGCCCCGGAGCUACACGGAUAGAUAGGGAAAUACCAUCUCAUAUCUCAUCAUAUAUGUACAUAUAUAAUCUAGUCCCCAAAGGAUAAAAUCGCCCAACCACACGGCCCAAAGUCUCUGUCGUCUGACUCCUAAAGGUAGAUGUAGAACCUCAUGUCUGCACUCCUCUCUGACCCUGAGUCUGGCCAGAGUAAGGCCGAUACCGUGAGGCUGUCCCUCUUACAGAACUAUCACCCUGAGAUAAAGUAGGGCAGAAUCUCCUUAUAUGUCCAGGCUGACCACACAAAUAACAAACUUUGUCUCCAACACGACAUGGGCCCUGAUGAUUCCUGCCACAUGAAGGGCAAGAAGUCUGCUGGACACUCCUAAAACGAUCAUCACGAUAUCCCCCACCACUGCGAUCAUAUUGUCCCUGAGUCCUGGUAUUACUCCCUACUGAUGGUUGCACAGAGCUGUGACUGACAGCCUAUUUCGAGUCUCCCCUGAAGCCUGUACUCUGACUCUUUUGCGUACUAUCAGAAUAACUCAUAGGAAUACCCCCUCUCUUGGACGACCUACUACUAGAGCCACAUUCUGCCCAGCACUGGCUACACUUCUACUUUAGUGCAUGAACUCUACGUCCUUUUGAAAUAUUGUGCUCUACUCCCCUGGCUACCUUAACUACCUCUCCAAACUCAGUAUAUCGUGAUGCAGUCACGGUGGUGCGAAUCUCAAAUCGGAGGCUGUCCUCGAACCGUCUGCAUCUCUCUCUCUCUCAUCACGGACUACAGAUGUAAUAAAUCUAGAGAGGUCUAAAAAUUUAUUCUCAUACUCUUCAACUGUCAGAGAUCCCUGAACCAACCGAAAAAAUUCACUCCGUUUAAUAUCCUGAUAUAUAGUAGGAAAAUAAUGAUCAUAGAAUUCCUUGCGGAAAAUGGCCCAAGUAAUCGCAGCAUGCCCCUGAUAUCGUCUCUCCACCGUCUGCCACCAAUGAUAAGCUCUAUCCUCGAGUAGGAAAGUGGCGAAGGAUAGUCUGUCAUCCUCUGAACACUUCAUCACGUCAAAAAUACGCUCUAACUUAACAAACCAUGACUCAGCCUCAGGUGGUUCUCCGAAAUCAUUAAAGCUCCUCGCCCCUAAACUCCUCACUCGUUCAAUAAUGUUUGCGUUACCAACAUGCACUUGAGUCUGAUUUUGCACAACUGUAGUCAUGAUCUGAGCAGCCUAUCAAAUGACUGUUCAAUAUUUGGGGCAUUCCCCGGCGUCUGUUCUGCAAUUUCAUGUGUGGAGGAUUCAACUAUCCCCUCAUUCGCGAGUUCACUUCCCCUCGCAGGUACACUACCAGAAGUCAACCCAACUAUUGGCCUAGUACGGCCACGACCACGUCUACUACUACGACGAAGCAUGAUGGUGCCUACAAGAUAGAAAUUCUAACUUAAUAAAGAUAAAACUUAUUCUUAUUAAGACAGUAAAGGCUACAUAAUCUAAAACCAUGCUCUGAUACUAACUAAAAUGACCUACCCCGAAUCCCCCCGGGCGAGUCAAUCUAGUCUCAUCAAAACGGACUUGAUAAUACUCUAAUUAGUAAGGAGACUCUGCUGAAUUUUCGGCAGAAUCCAUACUAAUUAGAUUAUUAUCAAGUUCGUUUUUAUGAGAGUAAAUUGACUCGCCCCGGGGGCGGGGGAUUCAGGACGGGUCGUUUCAUAUGUGUUUAUGUGAUCACCAUGUGAAUUCACGGAAGACAUAAAUACAAGUUAUCUUAUGAUUAAAUAAAUUAUGUUUGCAAUUGAUAAAUAAAGUUGGGCACUUUAUUUGGGUAUAAACUGUAAUAAAUUCAUUAAAUGGUUUGUCUUAAUCAUGUAUAAAUUUAUUGAUGUAGUAUGACUACAUUGAAUAGGAUCACAUAUGAGAUUUAAUUAACUUUGUAAUAACUGUCUGACUUAUUAAAUCUCAUAAGCAUUGAUUUUACUGUAAUCUUAAUCUUGAGUUAGUUAUGAUUUCAUGAUUGUAAUUAUUAUUCCAUUUGAGUUACCAAUGGGCACGACACAUAUUUGUAGUCAAGAUUACCCGGUAUCUUAGUGGGAUCCAUUAUGAGUAUUGGAGUUAUAGAUUAACAAUAUAGAAUUUAUACAACACAUCUCUUGAUGAGUUUUCGGCACUUAAUCAUAGAAUUCUCUGGCCAGAGUGUGUACAUAUUUAAUAUGUUGAAAAUGAUCAUUAGAGAAAACCAAUAAGUAUCAAGGAACAAGAUGUAAUUAAAUUGAUUAGAUAAUUGAGAUAUUGAUUUAAUUAACAACGUGGUAUAAAAGAUUGUGCAGUAAAGAGAUCAAUGUGGCAUGGGUCAAAUUAUUAUUCGAGUACACUAUCCUAGAUAGUAUACAAUUAUGGAGGUCAAUUCCAAUCUUUUAGUGUAGUAGAUUUGGAAUUAAAUAAUUGGGCUAGUUUAAUUACAGGCCUAAUUAUUAUAGCCACUAUUGUAUGUGCCCAUAUGAUCCCCGAGUUAGCUCAUUUAAUUGACUGCGCUGCUACUGGAUUAAUAAGCAAGAUACAUGAUUAAGACAAAUCAUUCAAUGAAUUUAUUACAGUCUAUACCUAAAUAAAGUACCCAACUUUAUUUAUCAAUUGUGAACUAAAUUUAUUUAAUCAUAAGAUAAUUUGUAUUUAUGUCUUCUGUGAAUCCACAUGGUGAUCACAUAAAUACAUAUAAUAUGAUUAAAUGAACUUUAAUCAAAAUAUUAAUACAAUUAAGAUAUUUAAAUAAAAUACCUCAUUUGUUUUAUUAAUCAGAAAAAUUAUUUAUUACAAUUAAAUAAACAUAUAUGCUUUUAAAGAGCAUAUUUUCCCAACAGAUGCUAGAAAAAUAAUCGUCUAAAAUCCUAAUUACGGUAGUGUUACAAUAUUUUUAAUUACGAAAAGUAAUGAUGAUGUCAUCAUCUUGAUAACAUUUAAUGUUAAUGAAAUGACCUGCCCCAAACUCCAGGGUGAGUCUAUCUAACCUCAUCCAAACUAGAUUGAUAAUAAUCUAAUUAGUAAGGAUUUUACCGAAAAUUUGACAGAAUCUCUUUUAUAAAUAUAACACUCGCAAUCAGAAAAUAUGUAAAACAAGCACUUUCAAAAUAAUUCACUAUACAACAAACUCCAAUGUUCAACAUCCUCAACCAAAACACUGAGUUUUACUCAAGAUAACUCCAGAGUCUCAAAAGAUAAUAUUAUAACUAAUAUUAAUAUCUUAGUUUAUUCUUAAUCACAAAAGAAUAAUAUAAUAAAGCUAUACAAUCCAAAAAGAACGAGAUAACUAGGAUGUCCUAACAAAAUCAUCUAUAUCUUCUAACACCAUCACGUGGUCAAGACUCAAAAUAUAUUUACAGUCGCUGGGUCGGUCUAGUGUCCCUGCAACCUCCUGGUAGGGGGAAAAAUAUAAUAAAAACGGGUUGAAUAUAAAACUCAAUGAGAUCAGUGAGUGGAUAAUAAUUUUUGAAAACUAAUUCUUACUUUAAAAGAAAUAAUCAUAUCAUUUCCAAACAUAAUUUCAUCAAACCAUAAGCGAGAAACCAGUAAUAAAUCAUUUAACAUUUAAAUUAGAUUACUAACCAUGAAAAGCAUAUAUAAAAUCGUACCAAAUAACCAUAGAAAUCAUGUCACACAAUAUCAUAUAGAAUACACAAAUCUGAAAAUCAUCACCAAACAAGUACCCAGGAAAUAAUCUCGUUGUAUCCGGACCUCAACGGACAGACAAUGACGUACUAUCUGCGUACCAUCACACCCCGGAACUACACGGAUAGAUAGGGAAAUAUCAUCUCAUAUCUCAUCAUAUCUGUGCAUGCAUAAUCUAGUACCUAAAGGACAAAAGCGCCUAAGCACACGGCCCAAAGCCUCUGUAUGUACUCAGACAGGCCUGUUGAGUGUUAGAAAAUGUAUAUUUAUAAAGGAGAAAAUCAUCAUUUUACAUUUCAAGUCUUACUAACACUUUUACUUUUAUGUAUUUUAGACCCUUGUAAUUUAAUUAUGUGUGUUUUAUUUUAAUUAAGUAUUUUAUGUAUUUUAGAGGCAUCAUGGUCAUUUUCCAAUGAACGAGAGUUCAGACAGCAAAACGGACAUCACUUUUGAACUAAGGACAGUCGAAAACCUUAGGAGGAGCAUAAAAGAAAAAAUGGCAUUGUUCACAUGUACGAUAUUGUUCACAUGUACGGUACUGUCUACGUUACUGUUCAUGACACUGUUCACAUUGACGGAUCGAUGAUGUGGCAUUGACUGAUGAGGUGUCACGGUUCUAUUGGACAAAAUUCUUAUGCACUAUUGAUCGGUGACGUGGCAGCAUGUUAGUGGACCAAAAAUCGUGCGUACGGUACAUGCAUAUACACAGAAUUAUUUACAUCCAAACCGCGUCACUGUUCAAAGCGCGUCACUAUUCAAACCGCGUGGUCAACCCAUGUACUGUUCAAACCAUGUGGUUAAAUUACGUAUUGUUGACUGAUGACGUGGCAUAAUCCUGAGCUUUCGAAAUGUUUUUAAUCCAAUGACCAUGAUUUACUCAAUGUAUCUAUAAAAAGGGGGAUCUCCCCCCUAAUUUGGCAUCUCUGAAUUCAUUUUUGAGUUCAAUUUUCUGUAAUUCCUUCUCCAUAUUGUAUGUUCUACGUAUUUUAAUAAAUUCUCAUUUUGCCCCUAGUUCAAUUAUGAGUAGCUAAUUUUCUAUCAAGCUUGGGUUGAAGGUGAAGUCUCAACAUGUGCCAUUGGUUUUAUCUGGUAAAUUUACUUUUUCUUCCCCUCUAAUUAUUGUGGAUGUUUUGACUUUUCAUCGACAAAUAUUAAUAAUCUUGUCUAGAUACCGUUUUGGUUUCACCGGCUCCCUAGUACAAGGUUAUUAUUAUUUGGCACGAUAAGCCCUUAGCACCAUAUUGAUUAGAGUGUGGUUCAUGAGGAGUGGAAACCCCCCUCAUGAUUUAAUUGGCAAUAAUAAGGAAUAUUUAGCCCAUGGUGCAUGUUGAUGCAAAUCCAGAUACCCAAACGCUUCAAUUUUAAUAGAUUUUCACUUUAAUUUAUUCCCGCCAUUUUAAUUUGAAUUUUAGGAUAAUUUAAAUCACUUCCACCACAAAUCCAAUCAACCACUGUAGAAAAUUAAUUCUACACAUAAUUAAAAUCCACCUCCUCGUGGGAUCGACACUCGUCACCGUUAAUCUAUUCUACAAUAGAUUCAUGCGCUUGCGAGUUCAAUAAAAUUUGUACAACAAGGCCCCAAAGGCCUAUGUCUCAUUUGUAUCAUUGGUAUCUCAAUAUUAGUUUGUAUCUCAUAUAUGUAUCUCUGUAAUCAUCAUACUGCAUGCAUAUGCCCCCAAAAGGUAGAAGCGCCCAAACUCACAGCCCAAAUCCUCUAUGUGUGUUCAGAUGGGCCCCAAAGGCCUCUCAUCUCAUCUGUAUCAUUGUAUCUAGAGGGAAGGAUAUUGUCCAAUUCUUUUAAAAAACAAUCUCUAUACUCAUAUUCAUGUACAUUCUAAUUAUACAUUUCUUUUCAUUAUCAAAUCUAAAUUCACUUUUCUCAUCUUUAAAAAACUAUCAUAUUUUAUUCAAAGUCGAUACGGAAAUCGAUUAACCAAAUAUUUUAAUAUAAUAUCAAUACGUGUAUAAAAUACAUUGCUACAAUUCACCACUAGUCAAGGAUUGAAGAGGAAGUCAUAGGGAACAAAAUUGAGGUGGUGGCGUGGUCAAAUUCUAGUAGAAUCAACGGCGGUGGUGAUAGGUUUUGGCUGCGGUUUCCAAACUUGAAACAGUGGUCAUCCCGUCUGUUUUCAGCGGCAAUGACGGCUUGGGUAUGACCAGCGUCUCACGGGCUUCCGAUUGAUACCUUGCUUGGCUAGAUUGGUGGUCGGAAUCGUGAGAUAUGGCCGGGUCACGUUCGCAGGUUGGGUUGAGUUUUUGGGUCGGUUUUGAUAGCUUCUCUCUCACUCUCUCACUCUCUCACACGUCUAUAUGGUUCCCCUUUUUCCACCUUAUUCUUUUACUUGUAUUUUAACUUUUAACCGCCUCAUCAAUUUUUUUUUUUCCACAUAUGUUACAGUUAAUAAUUAAUUAACAUUCAAUAUCGCUAGCAUGGUAUCACACCUUAUAUGUACUACUAAAAGUACAAUUAUUUUUUUUCCUUUUAGUUUAUAGAAUUAAUAGUUAGAUAUUUAUUAGAAUGGCAUGGAUAGCCUAUUAUAUAAGGAUUAGCCAUUUAUAUAACUAGUAACAGUUCAAAAUCCCCCAUAGGAGCAGUAAUAAUGUUAUUGAGAUAAAACCACAUCAUGAAUUCAUUUUAUUUCAUUUUUUCAAGUUUUAUUAAAGGGGAAGGAGCAUAGUCCAAACAUUAUUUUUAAGUCCUAUCUUUUUUAGGAGUUCAACUCGAAUGACUGAUUAAACAAACAAACGGAAAGUCAUUCAACUGCACUUUUUAAGGUAAAUUAUAAAUAAUGUCAUCCUAAUGUUAAAAUAGGUAGUGAAACUUUAGAGGUCAAGAUUAUUGUUGGUCUUGAGUCACUGCUUUGGUGAAAAACAAAUUUCUUUUUAAACAAUUUUGUUUCAACAAUUUCAACUUUUUGAUAAUUAAACGAAUGUCAUAAAUGGAUAUUUGUUCGUGAUGAAAGUUAGACUCUUGCAAGUACAUCAUAUCAUGGUAGCUAAAAAUUUUUUAGAAAAAAAAUUAAAAAAUUUAUCCGAAGUUGUCCACUCCAAUUCCCCAGAAAAAGAAAAGGUUGUGGCGACUUUCCUAUCUGUAUCUAGGGUUUUAGAUCAUUUGACAAAAUACACAGCAGUUGCAAUCCAUUAAUAAUCAUAUUAAUAAUUACAGCAUGCUGCAUGUAGUGAUCUGAAAUCUGGCCUGAUGGAUUCUUUCCUUUUAUAAUCAUUUACAAAUUCUCAAUUUUCUUUGGCUUUUGUUUCUACUUUUAGCUUUAAAAAUUUUCCCAUAUCUUUUUCUUCAUUGAAGCAAUCUGAAUCAUAUCUUUCACUUCAGUUUUCUUCAGUACUUUUGACUCUAAAAGCACCGAAAAUUUUCAAUCGUGCAUUGGCUUCUUUCUCAGUUUGCAUUAACAUUUUCAUGCUAUUAAAGUGAUGGACUUGUUUGAAGAAAUUUAAAAUGCUAUUAGGUCUUGCUCUUUCUGCAUGCAUGGUGAAUAGAAACCUGAAACGUGAAAGAGAUUUUUACUCUUCAAUGUGAUGGGGAUAUAAAGUGCUAGCAUCUUCACUUCAAAGUUCAAAUUAUAGGGAUUGGGCACAUAUAAUUUCAUUUAUUAUUAGGGUUCAUGAUACUAGGAACCAUAGGGAGUGGCUGUCAUAUGAGGCUGUUGACAUAAGUAACUUGGAUAUUAUUAGAUUUGUAACUUAAUAUGUUAGAUUAAAGAAACCUUACACAUUAAACUUACAAUUGAAAUAUUAGGCGUAGAACCUGAAAUGUUAGCUUGAUAGGUAUAUCAAGAAGCACCUAUUAGUUUAGUAGUUCUCAUCUCAAUAUUCAAUUGGCUUGUGGGGAUAAAAUUCUCUCAAACUAGAGAGUAAAUAAAUGCCACUUUGAACUUGGAACUAAUGAACUAGCUAGAUGUAGAGGGUAGCUAGGUUUAGCAAACUUAUUCCAAUGUCCUCCUCGAGAAUAAAGAAUUGAAAAUAAAUUAAAACAUUUUUAUAUACGUCUUAUUUAGUAUGUCUUUCUUUUUAUGUCUAUUUUUGUUCAUGCAUGUAGCUGAAGGCUGAAGGAUCAUGAAAAAUAAUGGGACAGCAUAAAUGAUAUUUAAUAAAGAAACAAAUUUUUUUAUUAAAGUUCAGCUUCCUCUGUUCUUAUUCCUUUUUUUUUCCAAAAAAAAUUCAAACAAUUAUGCUAAAUAAUUAGAAAUUUAUGAGUUAUGCACGUAGCAGCAUAAGGUCAACCAUUGAUAGGUACAAGAAGGCGUGUUCAGAUAAUUCAAAUUCUGGCACUGUUACUGAGAUCAAUGCUCAGGUAAGCAAUUCAUUAAUUUAAGCUAUAAAUUCAGGCUUUGCUGGGAAUAUAUAUUAUUAUGAAAAGGUGAAAAAAAAUGAAAAAAAAAAACCAAUUAAUUACCAUUUGUUACCACAUAGCUAGCAUUGAAAUAUAAAGUUCCCAAUAAAAAUUUAACUUCUCCCAUUACAUGUGACCCAUGGAAACAAUACUAUCAGCAGGAAUCAGCGAAGCUGCGGCAGCAAAUUCAAAUGUUACAGAAUUCUAACAGGUAUUUUCAAUUAUUUCAUGAACAAUCAUUUUCAUAUUAAGCGUAGUUAUUAAUUAAUUAUGCCAAAAUAUACAAUUUCAAUUGACUUUUCAAUUGGUUAUCUCACUCUUGACUCUUCAUAUAGGCAUUUGAUGGGUGAUUCUCUGAGUUCUUUAUCUGUAAAAGAGCUUAGAAACUGGAGAACAGGCUUGAGCGAGGCAUCACUAGGAUCAGGUCCAAGAAGGUAAUUAAUUAAUUGCAUUAUGUAUGCAUGAAAUCAACAAAAAAUAAUAAUUGAAUUUGAGAAAUACACCGUUGUUUUGCAAUAAUACGUUGCAUAAACAUUAUCGGUAUAGAUUCAGUACAUGUAAUUUAUGUCAUUUUGUAAAUAAUUUGUUGCUUUGUGUGUUUCCUGUUUUGUGCAACAGCAUGAAAUGCUGCCAGCUGAAAAUGAUUUCUUGCAGAAAAGGAUAAUAAUUAAAAUUUAUUUAAAUCCUGUUUAGCCUUUUUCAUUUUCUUCCAAGCUUUUAUGAAACUAUUCAACAUUUUCAUUUCCAUAGGAGAUUGAGCUGGAAAAUGAAAGUGUGUGUCUCCGAUCAAAGGUAUGCUAAUCAGUCCUUCGUAUGUAUAAUGCAUUUGUCUCACCCUUUCCCAAAAUUUCUGAACGUUAUUAAAAUUUCAUGGUUUCUGAAACUCAGAUAGCACAAAUGGAGAGGUUUCAGCAAGCAAACAUGGUGACUGGGCAAGAGCUGAAUGCAAUCCAUGCAUUAGCUUCUCGGAAUUUCUUCAGUCCUGCUAUCAUCGAGGGUGGUGGCACCGCUUACUCUCAACCGGACAAGAAGAUACUCCAUCUCGGGUAAAUAAUACUUCUAUCACAUCUCAUUUCUACGUGCUCGCGUUGCACGUGCAUCAACAUUUUCUCCCAUUUGCAGGUAAGCUAGACACUGGAGAUCAAGCUUAUGGCAUCUCAGCACGAGAUCUAUGAUCAAACUAUGAUUAUCUAAUGAAUUUGUGUGCUACUUGAUACCUAUUUUUGAAACCAGCAAUAUAUGAAACUGGAUCAGUUUAUGUGUAACCUAAUUACUUACGCUGAAUUAAAACUGGCUGCUUCUCUUUGGGGGACCAGUUGCUACGCUAAACUUAAUAUCUAUAUAACUGAUGCUGGAUGAUGUUGAAGGAUUUGCAUUACCUAUAAAUUAAAUACAGAUUGUGUCAUAUAUGUAUAAAUAAAUACUGUACUUGAUAAGUCUAGGCUAUGGAGCUAGUUGAAGUUUGGUGUGAAUCAAAGAAGGGUCAUAAGUUUGGUGGUCUAUUGCAAGUCUCUUGGACAUUAGGAUUACUCUAUUAGUCUGUUUGAAAUUUUUGCGAAAGUCAUGAUUGUUAGAAGGGCAUAUCUUGGGUUGUGUCUGCUACAAAUGUGAAAACAAUAUAGCGUUCGUUAAGAACUCAAUGAGGAGAAAAGGAAUCACAUCUCUUUGGAUUCACCGUGUAAGAAAAGAUUCAAGACGGCUCCAUAAAAGAAACUUCAUUUGAUGUCAAUGCAGUUUUUCCAUAUAAUACUAUCUUAAGACCGUACUCGAGACUGGACAGUGAACAUUUACAUAAUACAGGCUAUAAGCUUCUUGACUGUAGUAAAACACCGAGAAUAAAUGCGGUAUGAAGUUCAAAUAUUAUCUGAAAAGGAAGAGGAGACAGAAAAAAUAUACUUUAGGUGAUUUUCACGCCAAUGGCACAGAGAACCUGCAGGUGACUAGGUCAAAGAAUGGGACACGGCGGUUGCGGAACUCGGUUACGGAGCUCCUGAGUCUCCCUCUGAGAUCUUUCAAGUUUCUCUCUAAGCUUAAAAAUUUCUUCAUUUGACUUCAUUUGAGCUAAUUGUGCAGCCCCUUCUGCCUUUAAUCGAGCAAGAUGCUCCUCUGCCAAUUGCUGUUCGAGCCUAGUUGUUGUCUCUUUGAGCUUAGACUCAACCUAUCAAAAAAGCAUCAAUAUCAGCCAGAAAACAUGCCACUAAGCCCUGGAGUCGCAGCAUAAUACAAAAAAAGAUUGGGUAGUGGUAAUAUAAAACUCCAACUUAAGAGAAUAAAAUUCUUAAGUGUUAAUUUAGUUUAAUCCAAUUGCAAAGGGAGUUGCUAAGUUCACCAUACUUGGCAAAACUUUCUUACUUCAAUCAACUCCACUCUCUCAAUCAUCGAUAAAUGGUAGAAACAAAAGGUUAAAAAUAUAAACAGAUUAACCCAAAAUAUAAAAUAUUAAACAAUCUACUAACUUUUUCAUUUUGCCACACUCCAGGAAUGUGGAGAGUAAAACUUCUUAGCACCCAAGAAAUAUAGUCAUUGCAACUCCAAAUUAGAAUGUGACAUAACUUGCUUAUAACAUUUCAAUUGUUCCCACAGACUCAGGAGUGCAGAAUUCCUAGCAACAAAACAGGAUCCAAAGUAUUACAAGAAAUGUUCUUAUUAUUGAUCACUAAACAAGUGCAGAAUCCAUUCUUAAGUGCAAGUCAUGAUGAGUAAACCACCUUCAGCUACCAACAUAGAGUAACACACUUAAUUUCAUCAAGAAACAAAACAGCACAGGGCGGUCAAACAAUAUUCAAGGUAAGAACAACAUGGUACAGCCUUCAAAACACAAUCAGUGAACAGAUAAUAACAGAUUUGUCCCCAUCAACCAGCAAGAUAAAGCCUCUUUUCAGAUGGCAAUCUCCAACAAUAUAGGGGUAAGGACAGAGCGGCAAUCUUUACCACCUCCAAGUCUCAUGAUUUAGAAUAUCAUUACAUAGUUUGAGAAAUGAUAAUAUCCAGGUAUCUGCACGCUUUAUAGGCAUUUUUUAAUUACACAGUUUUAAAAAUGAUUACCGAAUCUGAGAAAUGAACACAUAUGCAUGUCAUAUUUUGAUGUCAAAAUGAGGAGCAUAAAAAGUACCAUCUCAGUAGUUCGUUUGAGUUGGUCUUCAUUUGAUUUUUGCAUCUGCUCCUUCAGCUCUGAAAUUUCUCGUUUUGAAUAUCCCUUGAGAGAAUCAACCUCAACUUGGGUAUCACGGAGUUUAGUAGCCCCUUUCUGAGUAGAAAAAAAAAAAAGAAGAGACAUUGUCAUCACAUAUUCAGAAAGAAGCAGCAGAGAAGUCUAUUAUGAUAGUAAUGAAGUCACCUUCAACUCAGCAAAGAUUUCGUUUGUAUAUGGCUGCCCACCAUUCUGCACGAUGACAAAGUUAACCAGAGAAAGAAGCUUCCGAACCUGCUCAGUUCUCUUGGCCGCAUCCUUAGUCUUGUUAUCAAAAAGCACGCACCUAUUAUCACAUAGUUGAAGGAUUUCCUAAAAUAAUGGAAAAGUGAUCAGGAAUAAAGCAAAUGUUAGCCCCUUUCGUAAGCAUUGAUAAACUAAUCAAACACUUGUAGUCUCUAAAAGUUUGAAGAUAUUGAGCCGAUAAAAUUUGUUUUUGUUGUGAUCAUUAGUACUUAAUAUCAUGCAUCCUCAAAAACUAUUUAAGGGCAAGCCAUAAUCAAAUUUUAAUAAUCAAUUCCAUUCUCCUUAUGGUUUGACCACUUACAAUAACCUCUUAUGUCCAUCAAAUUUAAAGAUCUUAAAAGGUGAUCAGCAUUCCAUAUAACAGAAAUAAUAAUAAUAAUAAUAAUAAUAAUAAUAAUAAUAAUAAUAAUAAUAAUAAUAAUAAUAAUAAUAAUAAUAAUAAAGUGAUCAGGAAUAAAGCAAAUUGCAUGUUUUCGAGUGAAAAGCAUUGACCCAAUCAAAAUUAGUGGCUACAGAGCAGUAGCUGCCUCUUCACUAGAACAAAGCAUGAAAGACUGUUCUAUUCUCAUAAACAAACUCAAGUGACCAAAGCUCAAAACUGCCAAAAGACAUGAUCAUAUUUUCUGUGGCGUCUACAUAAUUGACCUAAUUUUGUAGCAUUAUAAUUAAAAAAAUUUGAUUCCUUAAAAAUAAUUAGUACAAUAAAAAAAAAUAAACAAAGUUCACUUUAUCUUCAUUUUUGUUAUUUUUCUUCCAAUACCUCAAAGGUUAAAUCAAAUACCUCAAAGGUUAAAUCAAGCAUGCAGUAAAACAGAGGAACUUGAUAUAAAUCUUUCUCAACUUAAAAAGUUUUAGGAACCAAAGUCAUCAAGUAAAUGCUGAAUAUAGGAGAUUUGCAUGUUGAAACUGAAAAAAUAUCUCACAUUGAAAUUUUAGACACCAAUUUUAAGGCUACGAUCCACAGGGAAUUUUUAACAGAAUUUUAAAUCUUGUAAAGUUAGACUUGAUAUUUAUUCAAACAAUGUAAUAAAAUGGACCUGUAUAGCAAGUCGUAUCCUCCUUGGCACACUUCUAAAAUCUUAAAAGUAGAAUAAUUUUAAGCAUAUAAAUUAAAGAGGUACAUAUUUUAAGAAACAAACAAAUGAAUCACACAUUAAUAGAAUAAGAACCAAGAUUAAAUAGCAGAUGAAAUCAGAGAAUACAAAUAAGAAAAGCAUAAAUGUUUAGCAAAUGAAUGAAUGACUCAUUCAAAGACAUUAACAAACAGCUAAAAUUAAGUAAUGCCAGCAGAAAAUUAACAACUAAUCACCUCUCCGGCACAUCCCACAUGGAAGAAGAAAACCAUUGAAAAUGGAACUUUAAAGAUGGCCGGACUACUAUAAACCUAACUAGUAUUUUCAGCAUGCAUGUAUUCAUAUUAAACUUCCAAUAGUCCAACCUUAAAGGAGUCUAAAACUUCACAAAAGAACCAACCAAAGACAACUUGAUCAAAAUGACUAAUGAAAUUAUCGAACACUAAUGCAGUUCAGAAACAAACCUUUAAAGGCUUUGGACACGCACGACCCAAAUAAUCUUCUAAUGUUUCGUCAUUAUCUUCAAGUUCAUCCCCUCCAGUGAAAACAACAAUCAUAUAGUCAAAAAAAAUUUUCCCGAACAAGGACUCCAAACUGUGUAUUGCAGCUCCUUCCUCUUCAGAAAAACGGUUUCUAACAGAGAAAACUACAAGGACUGCAUGGAUCCCAUCCUUGGCCAUACCAAUACAUUUGACAAUUUCCUUACUGACAAACUCAGAGCCAGCCGAAGAAUCAAAAAGCCCUGCAAUGUCUCAUAACAUCAAUCUACUUACCACCACAACAUCAACAAGCAUGGAAUGGAAUAUCUAGGCACCACCAUUAGUAAAUUACCAGGGGUAUCAAUGACAUUAACAACUUGGCCAUCUUUGAGCAUGGUUCUCUGAAUUUCACAAGUUUUAGUAACCCCAGACGAGCCAGCCCUCGACUUGAAGGCUCUUCUUCCGAGAAUACUAUUGGCCGUCGCACUUUUGCCAUUGCCAGUACGGCCAACUAAAACCAAAUUGCGCUCCCCAUUAGAUGGAGAAGUAGGCUUCCAAUCGACAUCAAUCACUGUUCCUCCCAUCAUAAAAAAGAUUUCAAUUUACCUGCAAUGCAUUUAAAAUAUCAAACCACUUCAUAUUGAAUUCAGUUUUUAUCAUUAAACAAUAAGAAACAAAAUUUAGUUACCAUACCCUUACAAUUUCACACCAUUAAAACCUAUAUUCGUUAUUACUUUAAAUAUUAUCCAACCGAACAUGAAUAAAUUCAUAAAAAAAUGUUUAAAAUAAAAAUCAUUCAGACCGCGACAAUAUAGUUAAAUUUGUAAUCUUAAUAAAAAUAUGAUGAAUUGAUAUAUAAUCAAGCAUAAAAUCUAAACAUCACAGUUAAUUAAGUAAUUGUGCGGAUAUACAUUUACAAGAAAAAUUAAUAACCCAAAAGGGGCUGAAGCCCUCCUGAGCCUUAAUUGGGCCCGCUCGUGAUUAUGCAUUACAUCUGAUAAAAUUUACAAAACGAGAAAAAGAAAAUCAAGUCUAUAAUCGAAAAAAAAAACUGAAACUGAGAUUAAGAGGAAAAGGCAAGGGAAAUUUAGAGAAAGCAAAGUAUUAAAAACAACCAUGAGAUGAUGUGAUGAACUAAGAUUUUACUUACUUGCGAAGAGAGGAGAGCUAAAAAGAUUGUGUUGCCUAUGAAGAGAUGAGAAAGGGGAAGAGGCUUGACCUAAAUUUUAGGAUUUAAGGUAUGAAAAUUAUAAAUUGAAUAAUGAAUGUAAUAGAAAAUUUAAAUAGAAAGUUGAGAAGUAAAGAAUGCAAGAGAGUUUAAAUAGAAAGUUGAGAAGAAAAGAAUGUAAAAGAGUUUCAAUAGAAAGUUGACAAGUAAAGAAUCUAAAAGAGUUUGAAGAAAAGAAUUUAAAAGAGUUUAAAUAGAAAGUUGAGAAGAAAAGAAUCUAAAAGGGAAAUAAACAUGCAAUUUAUCUCUUUUGCCUUUCAUUAUUUUGUCACUUUUAUUAUUAAGGAGGUUGUUAAUUUUUUUUCUAUUGCAACUAAUAUAUAUCACUUAUUUCUUAUUAAUUUUAUAAUAUCUAAAAACUCUCUCGUCGCCAAAAAAUUUAAAACAAAAGAGGGGUAAAUGAGUUAUUUUCUUUAAAACUUAUCUUGGGGCUACAAUAUGUGUAUUCAUUAUAAGAAAAAUAUUUAAAAAUAACAAAAAAUACAAGAAAAUAUUUUAUAAUUAAUUUUUUAUGUAUAUUGAAACAUAUAUGUUUAUUUUUAGUACUUCAAUUUUUUAUUUUAAUUUGUAUUUAUAUAAUUCAUUUAAUUUAUAAUAAAUAUGAAUAAAAAUUUAUUUAAAAAUAAGACUAAUACUAUAAAAUUAUACUAUUAAAAAAUUAUUGAAUAUUAUAAAAGCAAUACUAAAGUAAUUAGUUUAUAUUGAUUUGAAUAGAGGAAUACUGACGGUCUCACAUUAUUAUUAUUAUUAUUAUGGAUACUCCUUUAUUAAAUUAGUGUAUUCAUACUUUAUGGGGGCUUUUUGGUCAUUUUAUAUGUCAAGGCCCCAGACUCCCCAUAAGUAAUACGAAGGGAAAUAGGGAAUAUCAAUCGCCCUUUGCCCUGGGCAAUGAAAUAUGAAUCUUGUUAAGUUACCGACGCGUGUUACUCGCAUAGGGAACGCCCACAUGACGACAUUUCCCAAGUGUAAAUCUCCCAUUUGGGAGUGCUCGGAUGCCUCUAUAAAGAAAAACACAACAGUUACGUGCGUCUAAAACUUUGCAAUAAACAACAUUCCAAUUUCUUUUAUUCUUUAUAAUUGAUUGACUUUUGGGCUUUUUUUUAAAUUUUAUUUUAACUUAGAUUUUAGUUUUUUAACAGUUACAAGCAUCAGAGGGAUUCACGAGCAUAUGAAGAAUUGAAGAAGCCUGCAGAUGCGUUUGAGUUUGCUAAGUUGUUGAAUGGACAUCUGAUUGUUAAUGAAAAGAAUAAUUUUGCUUAGCCUUUUGCUUUUACUUAUCAAUCUUAAUUUGGUAUGAAUGAGUUUAUGUUGUUGUAAAUGAAAAGGGCACUUUCUGUUUGGUUAAUUAUAUGCGUUAUUGGCUUCUCGGUUAGGUGCUCAGUUUAAGGCUAUUGUUGAAUAUGCUCCAUCUCAACGUGUUCCCAAGCCUUGUUCUAGAAAGGAUAGCUGUGAAGGCACCAUUUUAAAAGGUAAUUUAUAAAAUUAAAAUAAAAAACAUAGGGUACUUUUGGAUUGAAGUGCUGUGACUUUUACUUUAUUGUACACUUAAGCUGACAAAUUUCAAAGUUAAUUAAAAGCACAACAAUUACAAGUAUACCUUUAUUUUUUUUAUCUUCUUGUUGUUUUUAGAAGUAUUGUAGUAAUAAGCUAUAUUUGGUUUUGAUGUGGACAAUAAAGACCUGGAUUAUCUGGAGUAGGGGUGGGCAUUUUACCCGAUCCGACCCGACCCGACCCGAUCCGACCCGAUAAAUUUCGGGUUCGGGUCGGAUCGGGCCGGGAUUGAAACCCGAUCGGAUUGAAAGUUACAAACCCGAUCGGGUUGUGAUCGGUUCGGGUCAAACCCGACCCGAUCCGAAUACCCGAUCAGGUUCCAAAAAAAAAAAAAAAAAAAAAAAAAACCUAAGCUAACACUGCAAACAGCACACAGCCACACACACAUACGCUGCUGCACACACAGUCACACAAACACAACACAAAUCACAGAUUCAUUCACAGCACAAACACACAAACACAAGGCUGCUGUUGCGCACAAAACACAUCCACGGACCGCACCCAAUGGCCAACAGCAAGUCGCCAACGGAGUCCACACCUCAAGAAGCGUCCGCCUGUGUGCUCACUGCUGCUCGGUGUUGCUACGAGUUCGCUGGUCCGCGAUUGCUGCUGCCUGCUGCGUACCCAAUCGAUUCCCGAUCUGCUGCUGCGCGAGUGUGCGUCAUCCCGUCUGCUGCUGCACGUCCGUGGCCACUGUCCACUGAUUUGCAUCCAAGUGCCAAGUGCCACCGCCCCAAUCUGAAUUUUGUUGCUCCAAGACCCGAAUCCGAUCUGCAUUUUGCUGCUCCAAGACCCGAUCUGCAUUUUGUUGCUGCUCCAAAACCCGAUCUGUAUUUUGCUACUCCAAAAUUCGACCCAAACUGCAUUCUACUGUUCUAAGACCCGAACUCAACCCGAUUUUUUGAACCGAUCCGAACCGAUCCGAACAUAUAUCAGAUCGGGUCGGGUCGGGUCGGGUUGGGUUGUAAGUUAGGGUUGUAUUCGGAUCAAUAUUUGCCCAACCCGAACAACCCGAAACCCGAUCGGGUUGACCCGAACCCGACCCGAACCCGAUUUUGCCCACCCCUAAUCUGGAGUUCCUGAAGCUUAUUGCUAAACCUUGUGAGAAUCUACAAAAUGCAGAAAUUCAGCUGGAAAGAAAAGAAGCUGGGCUAUCUGGUUAGUUAGUUAUUUUUAGAUGAAUUUGAUGAAUAUAACCUUCUGUUCUCAGUGUGUAUGUGUGUGAAUAAAUGUAUGUAAUUUAAGCUAUAAAAUAAAUAAAUUCUGGCACUGUUGCUGAGAUCAAUACUCAGGUAAGUAAUUCAUUAAUUUAAGCUAUAAAUUCAGGCUUUGCUAGGAAUAUAUAUUAUUAUGAAAAGGUAAAGAAAAAACCAACUAAUUAUCAUUUAUGCUAGCAUUGGAUUAUAAAGUUCCCAAUAAAAAUUUAACUUCUCCCAUUACAUGUGACCCAUGGAAACAGUACUAUUAGCAGGAAUUACAAGUAUACAUUGAAUAUGAGCAAUACACCGUUGUUUUGCAAUAAUACGUUGCAUAAACAUUAUCGGUGCAUGUUCAUUAUAUGUGAUUAAUAUUACUUUUGAAAAUAAUUUGUUGCUUUAACUGUUUCCUGUUUUGUGCAACAGCAUGAAAUGCUGCUAGCUGAAAUUGAGUUCUUGCAGAAAAGGGUAAUAAUUAAAAUUUAUUAAAUCCUAUUUAGCCUUUUGUCGUUUUCUUCCAAGCUUUUAUGGAACUCUUUAACAUUUUCAUUUUCAUAGGAGAUUGAGCUGGAAAAUGAAGCUGGAAAAUGAAAGCGUGUGUCUCCGAUCAAAGGUAUGCAAAUCAGUCCUUUGUAUGUAUAAUGCAUUCGUUCUCGCCCUCUUCCAAAAUUUCAGCACAUUAUUGAAAUUUCUUUGUUUCUAAAACUCAAAUGGCAGAAAUUGAGAGGUUUCAGCAAGCAAACAUGGUGACUGGACAAGAGCUGAAUGCAAUCCAUGCAUUAGCAUCUCCGAAUUUCUUCGGUCCUGCUAUUAUCGAGGGGCCUCUGCUUACUCUCACCCGGACAAGAAGAUACUCCAUCUAGGGUAAUUAAUUCUACCAUCACAUUUCAUUUCUACGAGCUCGUGUUGCGCGUGCAUCAAUGUUUUCUCCCGUUUACAGGUAUGAGAUCGACGAUCAGACUAUCAUUAUCUACUGAAUGUGUGUGCUACUUGAUACCUAUCUUUGAAACCAGCAAUAUAUGAAACUGGAUGAGUUUAUGUGUAACCUAAUUACUUAUGCUGACUUAUCAUUGGCUUCUUCACCUUGGGAGACCAGUUAUUAUGCUGAAACUUAAUAUUUAUAAAACUGAUGCCGCAUGAUGUCGAAGGAUUUGCAUUAUGAAUAAGGUAAAUAAAGAUUGUGUUAGAUAUGCAUAAAUAAAUAUUGUACUUGAUAAAUCUACGCUAUGAGCUAGUUGAAGUUUGGUGUGAAUCAAAGAAAGGUCAUAGGAUUAAUCUAUUAGUCCGUUUGAAUUUUUGGGAAAGUCAUGAUUGUUAGAAGGGCAUAUCUUGGGUUGUAUCUGCUACAAAUGUGAAAAUAAUAUAGCGUUCCUUAAGAGCUCAAUGAGGAGAAAAGGAAUCAGAUAAUCUUUGGAUUCACCAUGUAAGAAAAGAUUUUAGACGGCUCCAUAAAAGAUACUUCAUUUGAUGUCACUACAGUUUUUCCAUAUAGUACUAUCUUAAGACCGCACUUGAGACUGGACUGUGAACAUUUACAUAAUACAGGGUAUAAGCUUCUUAACUGUAGUAAAACACUGAGAAUAAAUGCAGUAUGAACUUCAAAUACUAUCUGAAAAGGAAUGGGAGACAGAAAAAAUAUACUUUAGGUGAUUUUCACGCCAAUGGCAUAUAAUGCCUGCAGGUUACUAGGUCAAAGAAUGGCACACCAUCCAUUUUUAGGUUGCUCACGGAUCUCCGCAGUCUCCUUCUUAAGCUUACCAAUUUCGUCAUUUGACUUCGUUUGAGCUGAUUGUGCAGCCUGUUCUGCCUUUAAUCGAGUAGCUUGCUCCUCUGCCAAUUGCUGUUCGAGCCUAGUUGUUGUCUCUUUGAGCUUAUACUCAAACUAUCAAAAAAGCAUCAAUAUCAGUCAGAAAACAUGCCACUAAGCCCUAGAGUAGCAGUAUAAUACAAAUAAAGAAUGGCUACUGGUAAUAUAAACCUCCAACUUAAGAGAAGAAAAUUCUUAAGUAUUAAUUUAGUUUAAUCCAAUUGCAAAGGGAGUUGCUAAGUUCACAAUACUCGGCACAACUUUCUUACUUCAAUCAAUUCCACUCUCUCAAUCCCUGAUAAAUGGUAGAAACAAAAGCUUAAAAAAAUAAACAGCUAAAUCUAAAAUAUAAAAUAUUAAAGAAUCUACUAAUUUUUUCAUUUUGUCACACUCCAGGAAUGUGGAGAGUAAAACUUAUUAGCACUUCAGACAUAUAAUCAUUACACAAAAUGUGAAGCAAAUCCAGAUCAUUGUUGAAUAGGAUUUGGCUUAAUGCUGGAUCAUUCUAUUGCCUUGCCAUAAAUUAAAACUGUUGAAAGGAAAAUCAAAAUUACGCAGCUAUUUGAUUAGGUUCCAUGUGCCUAACUAUAUUUUCAUAAAAACUUAUUUGGAAUGUGGCUAUUCUUUUUUUAAGAAAAUUAGAAUGUGACAUAACUUGCUUAUAACAUGUCAAAUUUUCCCACAGACUCAAGAGAGCAAAAUUCGUAGAAACAAAACAGGAUCUACAUUAUGACAAGAAAUGUUCUUAUGAUUGAUGACUAAACAAGGGCAGAAUCCAUUCCUAAGUGCAAGUUAUGAAGAGCAAACCACCUAUAGCUACUACCAUAGAGUAAUCUACUUAAUUUCAUCAAGAAACAAAACAAAACAAGACAGUCAAACAAUCUUCAAGGUAAGAACAACAUGUUACAGCCUUCAAAACACAAUCAGUGAACAGAUAACUUAAUAAUAGAUUUGUCCCCAUCAACUAGCAAGAUAAGACCUCUUUUUAGAUGGCAAUCUCCAACAAUCAUUACAGGUACCUGCACGCUUUAUAGGUAUUUUUUAAUUACACAGUUUUAGCAAUGAUUACCAGAUCUGAGAAAUGAACACAUUUGCAUGUGAUAUUUUAAUGUCAAAACAAGGAGCAUUAAAAAUACCAUCUCGGUAGUUCGUUUGAGUUGAUCAUCAUAUGAUUUUUUCAUCUGCUCCUUCAGCUCUGAAAUUUCUCGUCUUGAAUAUCCCUUGAGAGAAUCAACCUCAACUUGUUGAUCACGGAGUUUAGUAGCCCCUUUCUGAGUAGAAAAAAAGAAAAACAGACAUUGUCAUGGCAUAUUAAGAAAGAAGCAGCACAGAAGUCUAUCACGAUAGUAAUGAAGUCACCUUCAACUCAGCAAAUAUUUCGUCUGUAUAUGGUUGCCCACCAUUCUGCACGAUCACAGAGUUAACCAGAGAAAGAAGCUUCCCAACCUGCUCAGUUCUCUUGGCCGUAUCCUUAGUCUUGUUAUCAAAAAGCACGCACCUAUUAUCACAUAGUUGAAGGAUUUCCUAAAAUAAUGGAAAAAUGAUAAGGAAAAAAGCAAGUGUUAGCCCCUUUCGCAAGCAUUGAUAAACCAAUCAAACACUCGUAGUCCCUAAAAGUUCGAAGAUAUUUAGCUGACAAAAUUUGUUUUUAUUGUGAUCGUUAGUACUUAAUAUCAUGCAUCCUACAAAACUAUUUAAGGGCAAGCCAUAAUCAAAUUUUAAUAAUCAAUUCCAUUCUCCUUAUGGUUUGACAACUUACAAUAACCUUUUACGUCCAUCAAAUUUAAAGAUCUUAAAAGGUGAUAAGCAUUCCAUAUAACAAAAAAAGUAAUAAUAAUAACAAUAAUGGUCUGCAUAUAUUCCAGUGAAAAGUAUUGACCCAAUCAAAAUUAGUGGCUACCGAGCAGUAGCUGCCUCUUCAAUAAGCAAAUUCUUACGUUAUAGAACAAAGCAUGAAAGAAUGCACUAUUGUCCUAAACAAACUCAAGUGACCAAACUUCAAAACUGCCAAACGACAUGAUCCUAUUUUCUGUGGCAUCUACAUAAUUGACCUAAUUUUGCGGCAUUAUAAUUAAAAAAUUUUGAUUCCUUCAAACUACAAAACUUAGUACUAUGAAAAAAAACAAAGUUCACUUUAACUGUAAAAUAACCCCAUUUUGUUAAUUGCAGAGCUACAACUUGAUUUUUGUUAUUUUUCUUCCAACUCCUCAUAGGUUAAAUCAAGAAUGUAGUAAAACAGAGGAACUUGAUAUAAAUCUUUCUAAACUUAAAAAGUUCUAGGAACCAAAUUCAUCAAGUAAAUGCUGAAUUUAGGAGAUUUGCAUGCUGAAACUGAAAAAAGAUCUCACAUUAAAUUUUAGACACCAAUUUUGAGGCUAGGAUCCACAGGGAAUGUUUAAAAGAAUUUUAAUUCUUGUAAAGUUAGACUUGAUAGUUUAUUCAAACAAUGCCUAAUAAAAUGGACCUGUAUAGCAAGUCAUAUCCUCCUUGGCACACUUGUAAAAUCUUAAAAGUAAGAUCAUUUUAAGCAUAUAAAUCAAAGAGGUACAUAUUUUAAGAAAUAAACAAAUGAACAUAUUAAUAAAAUAAGAACCAAGAUUAAAUAAAAUUAAGACAUUAACCUAUAACUAAAAUUAAGUAACGCCAGCAGAAAAUUACCAACCAAUCACCUCUCCGGUCAAUCCCGCAUGGCAGAAGAAAACCAUUCAGAAAAUGAAGCACUAUUGAAAAUGGAACUUUAAGACGGCUGGCCUACUAUAAACCUAUCUAGUAUUUUCAGCAUGCAUAUAUUCAUAUUAAACUUCCAAUACUCCAACCGUAAAGGAGUCUAAAACUUCUCAAAAGAACCAAAGAAAGACAACUUGAUUAAAAUGACUAAUGAAAUUAUCGAAAACUAUUGCCGUUCAGAAACAAACCUUUAAAGGCUUUGGACACUCACGACCCAAAUAAUCUUCUAAUGUUUCGUCAUUAUCUUCAAGUUCAUCCCCUCCCGUGAAAACAACAAUCAUAUAGUCAGAAAUUUUUUUCCCGAACAAGGACUCCAAAAUGUGUAUUGCAGCUCCUUCCUCUUCAGAAAAACGGUUUCUAACAGAGAAAACUACAAGGACUGCAUGGAUCCCAUCCUUGGUCAUACCAAUACAUUUGACAAUUUCCUUGCUGACAAACUCAGAGUCAGCAGAAGAAUCAAAAAGUCCUGCAAUCACUCAUAACAUCAAUCUACUUACUAGCACAACAUCAACAAGCAUGGAAUGGAAUAUCUAGGCACCAACAUUAGUAAAUUACCAGGGGUAUCAAUGACAUUAACAACUUGGCCAUCUUUGAGCAUGGUUCUCUGCAUUUCACAAGUUUUGGUAACCCCAGACGAGCCAGCCUUCGACUUGAAGGCUCUUUUCCCGAGAAUACUAUUGGCCGUCGCACUUUUGCCAUUGCCAGUACGGCCAACUAAAACCAAAUUGCGCUCCCCAUUAGAUGGAGAAGUAGGCUUCGAAUCGGCAUCAAUCACUCUUCCUCCCAUCAUAACAAAGAUUUCAAUUUACCUGCAAUGCAUUUACAAUAUCAAACCGCUUCACAUUGAAUUCAGAUUUUACCAUUAAACAAUAAGAAACAAAAUUUAGUCACCAUACCCUUACAAUUUCACUCCAUUAAAACCUAUAUUUGUUAUUAUUUUAAAUAUUAUCCAACCGAACAUGAAUAAAUUCAUAAAAAUAUUAAAAAUAAAAAUCAUUCAAACCCCGACAUAUAGUUAAAUUUAUAAUCUUAAUAAAAAUAUGAUGAAUUGAUAUAUAAUCAAGCACAAAAUCUAAAGCGCAUCAAUUAAUUAAUUAAUUGUGCUGAUAUAUAUUUUAAUUUAAUUCUGCUUGUUUUAUGAAGUUAUUGAAAAAAGAAUGACGAUGAUCAAUUAUGCACAGUGGCGAACCUAGACACUUUAAUUAGGGGGCUUAGUUAAAAAAAAUCUAUUUAAUUUGGGUUUUUUUUUUAAAUGUUCACACGAAUACAUUUUAAGUCUCAUAAACUCAAAUUUCAUUACUUUCUUUUAAAUUCUAAAUAAUAAUAGUAAUAAACUAUUUAUUUCAAAUGCAUGAAAGUAUCAUUUUUCUAAGUAAUUUUCACAAAAUAGUAAAAAAAUAAUGUGGCUAUCGGGAUUUGAAUCAGGACUUUAAAACCAGCAAAUAAACUCUUACCAUUGAAUUAAAAGUUUUCUUUUACAUGAAAAAUGUGCCUAAAUUUUUCUAAUUUAAUUCUUUUAGAAAGGGCUUGGAGUACAUUUAAAAGAAAAAUUAAUGGCUCAGAAGGGGCAGCACCCCCUCCUAGGCCUUAAUUGGGUCGCCCAUGAUUAUGCAUUACAUCCGAUAAAAUUUACAAACCAAGGUAAGGAAAAUCGAGUCUAUAAUUAAAAAAACAAAAAUUAAGAUUGAGAGGAAAAGGCGAGGGCAAUUUGGAGAAAGCAAACUAUGAAAACAAACCGUGAGAUGAUGCGAUAAACUGAUAUUUUACUUACUUGCGAAGAGAAGAGAGCUAAAAAGAUUGUGUUGCGUAUGAAGAGAUGAGAAAGCCUUAAAUUUUAGGAUUUAAGGUAUGAAAAUUAUAAAUUGAAUAAUGAGUGUAAUAGAAAGUUGAGAAAUAAAGCCUGUAAUUAGAGAGUUUAAAUAGAAAGUUGAGAAGAAAAGAAUGUAAAAGAGUUUCAAUAGAAAGUUGAGAAGUAAAGAAUCUAAAAGAGUUUAAAGAAAAGAAUUUAAAAGAGUUUAAAUAGAAAGUUGAGAAGUAAAGAAUGUUAGAAAGUUUAAAUAUAAAGUUGAGAAGAAAAGAAUUUAAAAGGGUUUAAAUCGAAAGUUGAGAAGAAAAGAAUCUAAAAGAUGAAUGAACAUGCAAUUUCUCUCUUUUUCCUUUCAUUAUUUUGUCACUUUUAUUAUUAACGAGGUUGUUAAUUUUUUUUUCUAUUGGAACUAAUAUUUAUAACUCUCCCAUCCCCAAAAAAAUUAAAACAAAAAAGGGCAAAUGAGUAAUUUUUUUAAUAACUUAUCUUGGAGCCAUAAUAUAUGCAUUCAUUAUAAGAAAAAUAUUUAAAAAUAAAAAGUACAAGAAAAUAUUUUAUAAUUAAUUUUUAUUUAUAUUGAAGCAUAUAUUUUUAUUUUUAGUAUUUAAAUUUUUAUUUUUAUUUUAAUUUGUAUUAUUCAUUUAAUUUGUAAUAAUUAUGAAUAAAAAUUUAUUCAAAAAUAAAAAUUAUACUAUUCAAAAAUAUUAAAUAUUUUAUAAACAAUACUAAAGUAAUUAGUAUAUAUUGAUUUGAAUAGAGGAAUACCAACGAUCUCCCAUUAUUAUCAUUAUUAUGGAUGCUCCUUUAUUAUACUAGCUCAUUCAUACUUCAUAGGGGUUUUUUGGUCAUUUACACGUCAAGACCCCCAGAUUCCCCAGAAGUAAUACGAAGGGAAGUAGGGACUAUCAAUUGCCCUUGCCUCAGGCAAUGAAAUAUGAAUCUUGUUAACUUAUCGACACGUGUUACUCGCAAAGGGAACGCCACACGACAACGUUUCCCAAGGGUAAAUUGUUGAGUGUUAGAAAAUGUAUAUUUAUAAAGAAGAAAAUCGUAAUUUUAUACUACAAGUUUUACUAACACCCUUACUUUUAUGUAUUUAAGUUUAUUGUGAUUUAAUUAUGUGUGUUUUAUUUUAAUUAAGUAUUUUAUAUAUUUAGGGGCAUUAUGGUCAUUUCAAAAUGAACGAGAGAUCAGAUGGCAAAAUGGACAUCACUAUUGAACUUAGGAUGAUCGAAAACCUUAGGAGGAGCAUAAAAGGAAAAAUGACAUUGUUCACAUGUACGGUACUAUCUAUGUUACUGUUCAUGACACUGUUCAUAUAGACAGAUCGAUGACGUGGCAUUGACCGAUGAUGUGGAAUUGACUGAUGAGGUGUCACGAUCCUAUUGGACUAAAACUCUUAUGUACUGUUGAUCGGUGACGUGGCGGCAUGUUAGUGGACCAAAAAUCGCGCGUACGGUACAUGCAUAUACACAAUAUUAUUUUCAACCACACCGCAUCAUUGUUCAAACUGCGUGGUCAAACCGUGUCACUGUUCAAACCACGUGGUUAAACCGCGUACUGUUGAUUGAUGACGUGGCGCAAUCCUGAGCGUCCAAACUGUUUUUAAUCCGAUGGCCAUGAUUUACUCAAUGUAUCUAUAAAAAGGGGACCUCUCCCCUCUAAUUUGGCAUCUCUGAAUCCAUUUUUGGACUCCAUUUUCUGUAAUUCCUUCUCCAUCUUGUAUUUUUCACGUAUUUUAAUAAAUUUCCAUUUUGCCCCUAGUUCAAUUAUGAGUAGCUAAUUUUCUUUCAAGCUUGGGUUGAAGGUGAAGUCUCAACAUGUGUCAUGAGUUUUAUUUAGUAAAUUUAUUUUCUUUGCCCCUCUAAUUUUUGUGGAUGAUUUGACUUUUCAUCAACAAAUAAUAAUAAUCUUGUUUAGAUACCGCUCUGGUUUCACCGGCUCCCUAGUACAAGGUUAUUAUUAUUUGGCACGAUAAACCCUUAGCACAAUAUUGAUUAGAGUGUGGUUCAUGAGGUGUGGAUUUCCCCCUCAUGAUUUAAUUGACACUAAUAAGGAAUAUUUAGCCCAUGGUGCAUGUUGAUGCGGAUCCAGAUACCCAAGUACGUCAAUUUAAUAGAUUUUCACUUCAGUUUAUUCUUGCCAUUUUAAUUCGAAUUUUAGGAUAAUCCAAAUCAUUUUCAGCACAAAUCCAACCACCCAUUUAGAAAAUUAAUUCUACACACAAUUAAAAGCCACCUCCUUGUGGGAUUGACACUCCUCACCAUUGAUCUAUACUACAAUAGAUUCAUGCACUUGUGAGUUCAAUAAAAUUUGCACAACAUAAAUCUCCCCUUUGGGAGAGCUCAGAGGCCCCUCAGAGGAAAACACAAGAGUUAUGUGCAUCUAAAACUUUCCAAUAAAUGAUAUUCCAAUUUCAUUCUCGACCCAAAUUGAAAAUUAGGGUACAAAAUAAUCAAAACUCUUUUUCAAUUUUCAAUUUCAAUAUAAUCGGGACAAAUUGAAUGCGAUGAAAUGAAGAAGCCAUUGCAGAGAACCAAAGUAGUGAUUCGUCAUUUGCCUCCUUCCCUCUCUCAAAAUGACCUUUUAGCCCUUUUCCACGAUCACUUCAAUGACCGUUACAAUUGGUUCUGCUUUCGGCCCAGAAAAUCUAGGUAUUGUUUUACAAUUGAUUGAUUUUUGGGCUUUUUUUUUUGAAAUUUUAUUUUAACUUGGAUUUUAGUUUUUUAACAGUUACAAGCAUGAAACAUAGUCACGAACAUAUGAAGAAUUGAAGAAGGCUAUGGAUGUGUUUGAGUUUGCUGAGUUGUUGAAUGGACAUGUGUUUGUUAAUGAAAAGGGGAAUGAAGCAGUUGUCCAAAGUCAUGCUGCAUCUUUGAGAAACUUGAAAAAUCAAAUUGGACAGCUUGCUACAGCAGUAAGCAAUAGACCUCAGGGCAAUUUACUCAGCAAUACAGAAGACCCAAGAAGAGAAAGGAAAGAGCACUGUAAAAUGAUUAAUUUUAGAUCUGGAAAGGAUGUUGAUAGUUCAGUUGGUGUACCAAAAAUAAGAAUUGAGUCCACUUCAAUCCAGAGAGAAAUAUCUGAAAAAAAUUAUGAUCCCGCACCUAGUAGUGAAGAAGCUAUAACACCAAUAGCAACUGACCCAAGUAGAGCAAAAAAUAAGCAGUCUGCACAACCUACUGCAGCACAACAGUUUAGACAUUCACCACCCUUUCCUCAAAGAUUUCAGAGACAACAACAAGACAAGCAGUUCAGCAAAAUCCUGGGAGUGCUAAAACAACUACAUAUCAAUAUCUCUUUUGUAGAAGCUCUAAAGCAAAUGUCAAACUAUGCGAAAUUUUUGAAGGAUAUCUUGACAAGAAAAAGAAGACUUGGAGAAUUUGAGACAGUUGCUCUAACACAAGAGUGCAGCCGAAUGCUUCAGAGUUAGAUGCCGCAUAAGAUGAAGGAUCUAGGAAGCUUCAUAAUCUCAUGCUCCAUAGGCACUAAAUACAGGGGCAAAUCACUUUGUGAGCUGGUGGCUAGCAACAAUCUCAUGCCUUUAUCAGUGUUUAAGCAAUUGAGAGUUAGUGAAUGUAGACCAACAACAGUGACUUUACAACUUGCUGACAGAUCUCAUGUCUAUCCAGAAGGGAAGAUUGAAGAUGUGUUGGUGAAGGUGGAUAAAUUUAUUUUUCCAGUGGAUUUUAUUGUGCUAGACUUUGAGGCAAACAAAAAAGUGUCAAUCAUUCUAGGGAGACCUUUCUUAGCCACGGGAAAGACUUUAAUUGAUGUUCAAAAAGGAGAAUUAACCAUGAGGAUGAAUGACCAACAAGUUACAUUCAAUGUGCUGGAUGCCAUGAAGAGUCCUGAUGAGAUUGAAGAUUGAAAUUUUAUUAGUGUUGUGGACUUUGUUUUAGCAGAAAGAUUACACAGUUGCUGCAGUAGGAAGAAAUCAAUGCUGUAAUAUUUGAAAAACUUGAUGAUAAAGAUGGUGGAGCAGCUAACAUAACAUGGUCAUGGGAGAAACAACCCUUCAGAAUUGACAAGCAAAUCCAACAAAGGGAACUCACUCCAGACCAACAAGAAUUCAAGGUUAAUGGGCCGAAAGUGAAGCACCAUAUGGGAGCUAAUGUGAACAAUCUACAGAAGGAUCAAUUCUUGAAGGAUCCAGGUUAAGCAAACAAGAAAGGUCCGGCUGAAAGACCUAAAAUCAAGCGCUAAUUGGGAGGCAACCUAAUAAGGGAAGUUGUUUCAUGUUUUUAAGGCAUUGAAUUUAGCUUUUAAAUUAUUUAAUUUGUUUUUUAUUUUAUUUUAAGUGUGCAUCUAAUUUUUUAUGUCUGUGUUAAAUUUCAGCGAGUAAAAAAAAUGUGGGCAAAAAGAGCAUGAGGGAAUUACUGCAGGAUCACUUACAACAUGACAUAUAACAUAAGAUUCUCAAACAACAGAGGCAUUUCUUACUUUUGCAGCAACAAAUGGAUUGAUAAGAUUUUAUGAUGAGGCGCAUUUGAGAAGUGGAUCAAAGAAUAAGUGACCCUUUACAGUCUGUGCUGCAGCAGUGCUUCCAGCAACAGAGGAGUACCCCCUACCCGCUAGUUUAUUUUACUUCUUUUUGCCAAAUUUUUCUUUCAUUUAGUUUUAAUUUUAUGAUUCAUUCUGCAUGUCCUUUUAUUUAGUGUCUGCAUGUCUGGUUUGUGUCAUUUUGUUUUGUGUGUUUGUGAGGACACAACACUUCUCAAGUUUGGGGGGGUUGUGUUAUUGUGUAAAAUGUUUGUGAGUGCAUGUGCUUGUGUUGUGUGUUAUAUGAAGCUCUGUUAUGUUAUAUUUGUGUAUGGAUUUGAAAACCUAAUGAAGAUAAAUUGAAUGUUAUUUAUUAUUUAUGAGAAUGCCAAAUAGAGAUAGUUAGAGAGGGAGGUUGAAAUUAUGUCUCGACACUUAGACUUUGGUUGAGUUUUAUGAGAAUGCUGUAGCAGAGCCAAGAAAACCAAAAAGAGUAGAAAAUAUCUCAAGUUUGGGGGAAAAUUUUUGUGUACUGUGCUUGUUAUGAAAUAAAUUUUGCUCUAAUGGCUUAAGUUGCUGAGUAACCAGGGAAAAGUAUGCACCCCAUAUGCAGACUUUAGUCCAAAGGCAACAAGAGUUAUGAGCAUUUUUGUAGCAACUAUAAAAAAAAAAAAAAAAAAGGUCUUCUAUCUAGGAUAUUGAGUUGCUAGGUCUGUUCUUGAGCCCCAUGUUCAUCCUUGAGUUAAAAAUAUCUUUAGAUAAGACUAUGUUAUGAGCAUUACUGCAGCAACUCUGAUUUGUGCAUUGGUUGAGUAAUUGGAUGUCAUCAUUACAAGUGAUUGACAUUCACAUGAAAAAUCAAUGAUACAUUGAAAAGACUUUAAGUGAAAAAAAAAUUAUUUUUGUUGUAGCACAGUUUGAGUUUAUUUGUGAAUUCUGCUCACCCAUAUGUGAAUAUAUUUGUGUUCUACCUCUGAAUUAUAUGCAAUGUAUGUGUAAUGUUGUAGCACCUCUGGAACUUGAUAAAACUGGCACACACACACUUUGGACAGAAUGAAACCUAAGUCUAGAACUGAACUACUAUGACUAUUUUGCGUGAUUAAGAGUGUGAUCUGUAACAUAUGUGAAUUUCAAAAUGAAAAUGCGGCGGUUAAGGAGUUUAUAAGUAAAAGAAUAAGCUGGAAACAGGGUAAAAACAUGCACUUGUGAGAGAGAGUGAAGGGAAGCUGCCAAACCGACCCAACUACAGACCCGAAAACCCGACCCGAAACCCGCGACCUUGACCCGACCAUAUCUCCCAUUUCCGGUCACCGUUUCGGCCAAGCUUGGUACCAAUCUGAAGCUUAGAAGCCGACCGUUGUUCCCCUGCCAUCCUCACCGCCGAAAACCAACCGAAACGCCGGCGAUCGAAGCUUGGAACCCGCGACUGUUUCACUUUACUCCGCCGGGAUUUUGCCGGUUUUGGGUGACACCACUGGUUGGAUUUUGUUCCUCAUGACUCCCUCUUCCAUUUCCGACCAUCCAUAGGCACCAAGAGUCACUGUUUUGCCGCCGGUCGAUUGUUGGAAUUCACGACUGCUGAGCUCGAUUCCGGCGCUGUUGCCGCGCGUUGGAGCUCACCGCCGGUACUAUUGAACUCAGCGUGAUUGGAACUUUCAGAUUUGAGCUUCCUAGCCAGCGUUGACCAAAUUUCGGUGACCGUUGACCGGCAAGGGCAUUUUGGUAAUUUCACAUUAUGAGGGCAAUUUUAUAAUUUAUGAGCCUGUGGAUAUUUUAGUAAUUCCGAGAAUUGAGGAGUGGGUGUAAUUACGAUUCCGAGGGUAAUUCGGUGUUGUACGAUUUCAGAGUAUGUGUUAAUGAUUUAUGGACUCAAGGACAUUUUAGUAAUUUUAUGGACACGGGAGUUGUCAAUUAUGGAUAGAUGUUCGUUUCGAGUUUAUUGCAUAACUUUAGUCGUAAUUCCGAUUUACGGAAAAUAAUUAUGUCGUUUCCCUAAUUUAGGAGGAUCCGCGAGCGAGAACCGGUCUGCGGACGUGGACGAUAACCGACCGUGAACACCGUCACUGUGAGUGGAAUAUACAAAACCUAUUUUCAUAGUUAAUUAUGAUAGUAAUGCAUGUUUGUGAAAUAAUUAUUUUAAAUGUUCUGAUUUAAUGAUUUCCUCGAAAUGGAUUUUUAUUUACGCAUUGGUAUUUUAUUAAAAUGUUUGGUUAUUGAUUUUGUGUAUCGACUUUGAAUAAAGCAUGCACAUAUAUGAUGAGAUAUGAGAUGGUAUUUCCCUAUCUAUCCGUGUAGCUCCGAGGCGUGACGUUACCCAGAUAGUACGUCAUUGCCUGUCCGUGUAAGUCUGGAUAUGACGAGAUUAUUUCCCUGCGUACUUGUUUGGUGAUGAUUUUCAGAUUUGUGAAUUCUAUAUGAUAUUGUGAUAUGAUUUCCAUGGUUAGUAAUCUGAUUUAAAUGUUUAAUGAUUUAUUUCUGGUUUCUCGCUUAUGGUUUAAUGCAAUCGUGUUUGGAAAUGAUAUGAUUAUUUCUUUUAAAGUAAGAAUUAAUUUUCAAAACUACUAUCCACUCACUGAUCUCACUGAGUUUUAGACUCAUCCCGUUUUUAUUAUAUUUCCCCCCCUCACCAGGAGGUUGCAGUUACACCAAACCGACCCAGCGACUGCAAAUAUAUUUUGAGUCUUGACCACGUGAUGGUGUUAGAAGAUAUAGAUGUUUUUCUUAGGACAUCUUGGUCAUCUUGUUCUUUUGGGAUUGUAUACUUUUGUUAUAUUAUUCGUUUUGGGAUUAAGAAUAAAUUGAGAUAUUAAUAUUAGUUAUAAUAUUAUCUUUUGAGACUCUAGAGAUAUAAAACUCAGCAUUUUGGUUGAGGAUGUUGAGCACUGGAGUUUGUUGUAUAUUGAAUUGUAUUAGGAGUGUUAUAUUCAUAUUUGUAGAUUGGGAGUAUUAUAUAUAUAAAGGAGACUCUGCCGAAUUUUCGGCAGAAUCUUUACGAAUAGAAUUAUUAUCAAGUCCGUUUUGAUGAGACUAGAUAGACUCGCUUGGGGGGAUUCGGGGCGGGUCGUUUCAGUUGGUAUCAGAGCAUGGUUUUAGAUUCUGUAGACUUUACUGUCUUUAUAAGAAUAAGUUUUAUCUUUAUUAAAGUUAGAAUUUAUCUCUUGUAGGCACCAUCAUGCUUUGUCGUAGUAGUAGACGUGGCCGUGGCCGUACUAGGCCAAUAGCUGGGUUGACUUUUGGUAGUGCUCCUGCGGGGGAAAGUGAACCCGCGAAUGAGGGGAUAGUUGAAUCCUCCACGCAUGAAAUUGCACAACAGACACCGGGGAAUGCCCCGAAUAUUGAGCAGUGAUUUGAUAGGCUGGCUCAAAUCAUGACUACAGUUGUGCAAAAUCAGACUCAAGCGCAUGUCGGUAACGCAAACACUAUUGAGCGAGUGAGGAGUUUAGGGGCGAGGAGCUUUAAUGGUUCUGGAGAACCACCUGAGGCUGAGUCAUGGUUUGUUAAGUUAGAGCGUAUUUUUGAUGUGAUGAAGUGUUCAGAGGAUGAUAGAUUAUCCUUCGCCACUUUCCUGCUCGAGGAUAGAGCUUACCAUUGGUGGCAGACUGUGGAGAGACGAUAUCAGGGGGAUGCUGCGAUUACAUGGGCCAUUUUCCGCAAAGAAUUCUACGAUCAUUAUUUUCCUACUGUAUAUCAGGAUAUUAAACAGAGUGAAUUCUUUCGGUUGGUUCAGGGAUCUCUAACAGUUGAGGAGUAUGAGAAGAAAUUUUUAGACCUCUUUAGAUUUGCUACAUCUGUAGUCGGUGGUGAGAGAGAGAGAUGUAGACGGUUCGAGGAUGGCCUCUAAUUUGAGAUUCGCACCACCGUGACUGCAUAACGAUAUACUGAGUUUGGAGAGGUAGUUGAGGCAGCCAGGAGAGUAAAGCACAGUAUUUCAGAAGGACGUAGAUUUCAUGCACUGAAGCAGAAGCAUAGCCAGAGCUGGGCAGUGAGUGACUUUAGCAGUAGGCCGUCCAAGAGAGGGGGUAUUCCUACGAGUUAUUUUGGUAGUACGCAAAGGAGUCAGAGUACAGGCUUCAGGGGAGACUCGAGACAGGCUGUCAGUCACAGCUCUGUACAACCAUCGGUGGGGAGUAAUACCAGGAAUCAGAGACAGUACGACCGCAGUGGUGAGGGAUAUCGUGAUGAUUGUUCUAGGAGCUUCCAGCAGACUUCUUGCCCUUCAUGUGGCAGGAAUCAUCAGGGCCAAUGUCGCGUUGGAGACAGAGUUUGUUAUUUGUGUGGUCAGCUUGGACACAUCAGGAGAUUCUGCCCUACUUUAUCUAAGGGUGAUAGCUCUACAGGAGGGACAGCCUCACGGUAUCGGCCUUACUCUGGCCAGACUCAGGGUCAGAAAAGAGUGCAGACAGGAGGUUCUACAUCUACCUUUAGGAGUCAGACGACUGCUCCAGGUCAAAGAGGUCAGCCUAGUCGACCUCAUACUCAGGCUUGAGUUUUUGCUUUGACGCAGCAAGAGGCACGUGCUGCACCAGAAGUUAUUAUGGGUAUAUUAUCUAUCCUUGGCCGCGAGGCUCAUAUUCUUAUUGAUCCUGGAUCCACACACUCUUUUGUUUCUUGUACUUUUGCUAUGCACAUAGGGCGAGAGCCCGAACUGUUAGAUUGCGAUUUAGUUGUUCGUACACUACCGGAGAGUCAUUACUUACUCAGACUGUGUAUCGAGAUUGUAUGAUUGGAAUAGGUGAACAUGAAUUUGAGGCGAAUUUGAUUUCCUUAGAUAUUCAUGACUUUGAUGCUAUUUUGGGCAUGGAUUGGCUUGAAUCUCAUUAUGCUACGGUGGAUUGUUUCAAAAAGGACGUUGUAUUUAAAAAGCCAGGGAAAGUUGAGGUGAAAUUCUGUGGGGAGCGCAAAGUUCUACCUUCAUGUGUUAUAUCUGCUAUUAGUGCAUGAAGGUUGCUAAGAAAAGGAUACUCAGCUUAUUUAGCUCGUGUGAUAGAUACAGAAGCUCGAGAAUUGAGAUUGGAGGAUAUUACAGUAGUUAAAGAAUUUCCAGAUGUAUUUCCAAAUGAACUUCCUGGGAUGCCACCUAAUAGAGAAGUUGAGUUUUCUAUUGACUUAGUCCCUGGAACAUCUGUAAUAUCUAUGGCACCGUACAGAAUGGCUCCAGCAGAAUUGAAGGAACUGAAGGUUCAAUUGCAAGAGUUAGUGGAGAAAGGGUUUAUUAGACCUAGUGUCCCCGUGGGGAGCUCCAGUCUUGUUUGUUAAGAAAAAAGAUAGGACUUUUAGACUCUGCAUCGAUUACAGGCAGUUGAAUAAAGUUACGGUACACAAUAAGUAUCCACUUCCGUGUAUUGAUGACUUGUUUGAUCAACUCCAAGGGGCAAAAGUAUUUUCUAAGAUCAAUUUGCUGUCGGGUUACCAUCAGCUUAGAAUUAAAGAUGUCGACGUUCCUAAAACAGCAUUUAGAACCCGUUAUGGGCGCUAUGAGUUCUUAGUGAUGCCAUUUGGGUUGACAAAUGCCCCAGCUGCUUUUAUGGACCUGAUGAAUAGGGUAUUUCGCUCGUACUUGGAUCGGUUUGUGAUUGUAUUCAUUGAUGAUAUCUUGGUGUAUUCCUGAAGCGAGGAGGUGCAUGCAGAGCAUUUGCGGACUAUUUUACAGACUUUGAGACAUAAGCAAUUGUAUGCCAAGUUCAGCAAAUACGAGUUCUGGUUAGACAAGUAGUAUUUUUGGGCCAUGUGAUAUCAGCUGAAGGCAUUUAUGUUGAUCCUCAAAAGAUUGAAGCAGUUGUGAAAUGAGAACAGCCUACAAAUGUCACAGAGGUUCGGAGUUUUCUUGGAUUGGCUGGUUAUUAUCAUAGAUUUAUGGAAGGAUUCUCCAAGAUUGCUACUCCUCUGACAUGGUUAACCAGAAAGAAUGCUAAGUUCCAGUGGGAUGAUGACUAUGAGAAGAGUUUUCAAGAACUUAAGACACGUUUGACCUCAGCACCAGUUCUUACACUUCCAUCUGGUAAUGAAGGAUUUUUGGUUUACAGCGAUGCUUUUAGGCAGGGAUUGGGUUGUGUAUUGAUGCAGCAUGGAAAAGUAGUGGCUUAUGCUUCUAGAAAACUUAAGAAGCAUGAACAAAACUACCCAACACAUGACUUAGAGCUAGCAGCAAUGGUGUUUGCACUCAAGAUAUGGCGACAUUAUUUAUAUGGGGCAACGUGUCAGAUUUUCACUGAUCAUAAGAGCUUGAAGUAUUUGUUUACUCAGAAAGAGUUGAAUUUGAGACAGAGGAGAUAGAUCGAGCUGAUUAAGGACUACGAUUGCACUAUCGAUUGUCAUCCGGGUAAAGCAAAUGUGGAAGCUGAUGCACUAAGUAGAAAGUCUUCCAGCUCUAUAGCUCACUUGCGAGUGAAAUAUGUGCCUCUGUUGAUCGAGUUGAGAUCUUUGGGAGUCGAGUUGAAUGCUGACAAUCGUGGAGCUUUGAUAGCUAAUUUUUGAGUUAUGCCGACUUUGAUUGACCCACAAUUAAUAAAGUUGAAAGAUGAUGUGCAGAAAAGUUUAUGAACCGAUUUUAUGGUGAGAGAUGAUGGUGUCUUAGUCAUGGGUAAUAGACUCUGUGUACCCGGUAUGAAAGAUCUGAAAGAAGAGAUUAUGGAAGAAGCUCAUUAUUCAGCAUAUGCGAUGCAUCCUGGUAGUACAAAGAUGUAUCGCACCCUAAGGGAUCAUUACUGGUGGCAGGGCAUGAAGAGAGAGAGUAGAAUUUAUUUCUCGAUGUUUAGUCUGUCAGCAUAUUAAAGCUGAACACCAGAGGCCUACACGGUGUUCUCAGCCGCUUCAUAUUCCUGAGUGGAAGUGGGAGCAUAUCACCAUGGAUUUUGUAGCAGGACUUCCACGUACUCAGAAAGGACAUGAUGGUGUUUGGGUGGCUGUUGAUCGACUUACAAAAUCUACUCAUUUCUUACCUUUCAAGACCACUUACUCGAUGGACAAGUUAGGGAGUAUUUAUGCGGCUGAAAUAGUUUGACUUCACGGAGUACCUGUGUCCAUAGUCUCAGAUAGAGAUUCCUGGUUUACUUCUAAGUUCUGGACUAGCUUGCAAAAUGCUUUAGGCACCAAGUUGAACUUCAGUACAACUUUUCAUCCACAGACUGAUGGACAGUCAGAGCGUACUAUUCAAACUCUGGAGGAUAUGUUGUGAGCUUGUGUUAUAGAGUUUAAAGGUAAUUGGGAUAAUUAUUUACCUCUGAUGGAGUUUGCUUACAACAACAGUUAUCAAGCUAGUAUCGAGAUGGCACCAUAUGAGGCUUUGUAUGGUAGAAAAUGCAGGACUCCAGUAUGUUGGGAUGAAGUUGGUGAGCGGAGGUUAUUCGGUCCAGAACUAGUUCAGGAUACGAACUAGAAGAUACAAUUGAUUCAGGAUAGAUUAAAGGUGGCCCAAGAUAGACAUAAGAGCUAUGCAGACAAGCGUAGGCGGGAACUUGAAUUCGAAGUUGGUGAUAGAGUUUUUAUACGGAUAUCUCCUUAGAAAUGGGUGCUUUGAUUUGGGAAACGUGGGAAGUUAAGUCCACGUUACAUUGGGCCAUAUGAGAUCAUUGAGUGCAUCGGUCCGUUAGCUUAUCGAUUAGCUCUACCACCUAAGUUAUCUAGAAUCCACGAUGUGUUUCACGUCUCAAUGCUUCGGAAGUACAUAUAUGACCCGAGUCAUGUGAUAUCGAAGCAACCAAUUCAGUUGAAGGCAGAUCUGACUUACGAAGAGGAACCAGUGGAGAUAUUGGAAGAGAAACACCAAGUUCUGCGUUCUAAGACCAUUCCUCUAGUAAAAGUGCGGUGGAGGAAUCAUACAAAGGAAGACGCUACCUGGGAACGCGAGGACUUAAUGCGAGCUCAGUAUUCCUAUCUUUUCUUAUCAGGUACGUAAAUUUCGAGGACAAAAUUUUUAUAAGGGGGGAGGAUUGUAACAUAUGUGAAUUUCAAAAUGAAAAUAAGGCGGUUAAGGAGUUUAUAAGUAAAAGAAUAACCUGGAAACAGGGUAAAAACAUGCACGUGUGAGAGAGUGAAGGGAAGCUGCCAAACCGACCCAACUACAGACCCGAAAACCCAACCCAAAACCCGCGACCUUGAUCCGACCAUAUCUCCCAUUUUCGGCCACCGUUUCGGCCAAGCUUGGUACCAAUCUGAAGCUUAGAAGCCGAUCGUUGUUCCCCUGCCAUCCUCGCCGCCGAAAACCAACCGGAACGCCAACGAUCGAAGCUUGGAACCCGCGACUGUUUCACUUUACUCCGCCGGGAUUUUCGCCAGUUUUGGGUGACACCACCGGUUGGAUUUUGUUCCUCAUGACUCGCUCUUCCAUUUCCGACCAUCCAUAGGCACCGAGAGUUACUGUUUUGCCGCUGGUCGAUUGUUGGAAUUCACGGCUGCCGAGCUCGAUUCCGGCGCCGUUGCCGCACGUUGGAGCUCACCGCCAGUACCAUUGAACUCAGCGUGAUUGGAACUUUCAAAUUUGACCUUCCUAGCCAGCGUUGACCAAAUUUUGGUGACCGUUGAUCGGCAAGGGCAUUUUGGUAAUUUCACACUAUGAGGGCAAUUUUGUAAUUUCUGAGCCUGUGGAUAUUUUAGUAAUUCCAAGAAUUGAGGAGUAGGUGUAAUUAUGAAUCCGAGGGUAAUUCGGUGUUGUAUGAUUUCAGAGUAUGUGUUAAUGAUUUACGGACUCAAGGGCAUUUUAGUAAUUUUAUGGACACGAGAGUUGUCAAUUAUGGAUAGAUGUUCGUUUCGCGUUUAUUGCAUAAAUUUAUUCGUAAUUCCGAUUUACGAAAAAUAAUUAUGUCGUUUCCUUGAUUUAGGAGGAUCCGCGAGCGAGAACCGGUCUGCGGACGUGGAUGAUAACCGACCGUGAACACCGUCACUGUGAGUGGAAUAUACAAAGCCUAUUUUCAUAGUUAAUUAUGAUAGUAAUGCAUGUUUGUGAAAUAAUUAUUUUAAAUGUUCUGAUUUAAUGAUUUCCUCGAAAUGGAUUUUUAUUUAGGCAUUGGUAUUUUAUUAAAAUGUUUGGUUAUUGAUUUUGCGUAUCGACUUUGAAUAAAGCAUGAUAAUAUUUUAAAGAUAAGAAAAGUGGAUUCAAAUGUGGUAUGAUUUAAAGUAUGAUUAAAAGGUAUGUGAAUAUGAGUAUAAUGAUUGUUUUUGAAAUCAUUAGACAGUACCCUUCCCCUCCAGAUACAGUGAUACAGGUGAUAUGAGAUGAGAGGCCUUUGGGGCCCGUCUGAACACACAUAGAGGCUUUGGGCCGUGUGUUUGGGCGCUUUUGCCUUUUGGGGGCAUAUGCAUGCGGUAUGAUGAUUACAGAUAUACAGAUAUUGAGAUACAAAUGAUACAGAUGAGAUACAGGCCUUUAGGGCCCGUCUGAGUACACACAGAGGCUUUGGGCCGUGUGCUUGGGUGCUUUUGUCCCUUGGGGACUAGAUUAUGCAUGCAUAGAUAUGAUGAGAUAUGAGAUGGUAUUUCCCUGUCUAUCCGUGUAGCUCCGGGGCGUGACGUUACCCAGAUAGUACGUCAUUGCCCGUCCGUUGAGGUCCGGAUAUGACGAGAUUAUUUCCCUGGGUACUUGUUUGGUGAUGAUUUUCAGAUUUGUGAAUUCUAUAUGAUAUUGUGAUAUGAUUUCCAUGGUUAGUAAUCUGAUUUAAAUGUUUAAUGAUUUAUUUCUGGUUUCUCGCUUAUGGUUUAAUGCAAUCGUGUUUGGAAAUGAUAUGAUUAUUUCUUUUAAAGUAAGAAUUAAUUUUCAAAACUACUAUCCACUCACUGAUCUCACUGAGUUUUAGACUCAUCCCGUUUUUAUUAUAUUUCCCCCCCCUCACCCGGAGGUUGCAGGUACACCAGACCGACUCAGCGACUGUAAAUAUAUUUUGAGUCUUGGCCACGUGAUGGUGUUAGACGAUAUAGAUGUUUUUCUUAGGACAUCUUGGUCAUCUUGUUCUUUUGGGAUUGUAUACUUUUGUUAUAUUAUUCUUUUUGGGAUUAAGAAUAAAUUGAGAUAUUAAUAUUAGUUAUAAUAUUAUCUUUUGAGACUCUAGAGAUAUAAAACUCAGCAUUUUGGUUGAGGAUGUUGAGCACUGGAGUUUGUUGUAUAUUGAAUUGUAUUGGGAGUGUUAUAUUCAUAUUUGUAGAUUGGGAGUGUUAUAUAUAUAAAGGAGACUCUGUCGAAUUUUCGGCAGAACCUUUACGAAUAGAAUUAUUAUCAAGUCCGUUUUGAUGAGACUAGAUAGACUCACCUGGGGGGAUUCGAGGCGGGUCGUUUCAGAUCUGAGGGUGGAAGAAUCCUUACAAAUUUGAUGACAGAGUUAAAGUUAUUUGUUGCAUGAUUGUGUAGUGUUGUUGUCAUUACUUGAGGACAAGCAAUGGUUUAAGUUUGAGGGUGUGAUAAUUCUAUGAAAUGAGAGUUAUCAUGACACUUUUAUACUUAAAUUAAUAAUACUUAGAGAGUAAAUGAUGUGAUUUCAUUGCAUUUUUGUUAUAUUUUCCAUAAACAUUCAUCUUAGUUUAUUCUUAAUAAAUUUUGUUUGUUUUAGAAUAAUUUGUGUGCUUAAAUCAUAUGCAUAAUUGUAGGUGUCCGGAAGUUGAAAUUUCAAGGAAGGAGUGUUGAUGCAAUAGGCUUGCAAAAAUAAGGAAAGAAUAUGGCUACAAAAGAAUUGAAAUAAAUCUGGAACAAUCAGUUGCUGUAGCCGUUGCUGGAGCAACCAUUGCUGCAGCAAUCCUGAAACAACGACAGAGAAAAUUUCACACGGGAUACUUGCAGAAUUGCGAUCUGCAGUUUUCUAAUAUGACUUAUGUGCACCCUAGGCUUCCGUUUACUCUAAUUUUGAGCUAUAUAAGAAGCACACAUCAUAAGGAAUAAAAGGAGUCGUCCCCCAAAGAAAAAAAACCACAAAGAAACAAAGGAAAAACAUGAUUCAAGAGAGAGAUUAAGGGCUGCACAAAAGGAGAAUUUGCAGAAAUCAACUAGGAGCUCAGUCCUUCUUAUUCUUCUCUUGUUUUCUUGUUUACUAUUUAUUCAUGGGGAUGUGUUUCAUGGUCGAAACUUUGUUCUUUAUUUUUCUUUUGCAACUCAUGAACUAAAUUUAUUUGUAGUUGAGUGAAAAACAAUCUUGAUGGUUUAUUGACUGAAUUUAUAUGGUGUUGCAUGUUUGUUGUAACAUUUUGUUUUGAUAGCUUUUAUUUUUAUUCAUUAUUUUGGCUGAUCACUCAUUUAAUGAUACUAGCUAAGGAAGAGCCACAAAAGGGCCUAUCUUAGUGGAACAUAUCAAGCAAUACUUAGUCUUAAAUUGGGUUUCCCGGAUUGAGUUUUACUUGAGUCCAAAAGGGCCAUGCUUGAUCUAAGAUUAGUGAUGAACUAGAUAUAAGGAUUCACCUUGUAGGGUAAAUAGAACCUAAGCGUGUAAUGCUAUAUCUAAUGUUAGCAUAACAACUGAUCACUAUUAGGUUACUUAUAGAUAUAAGAUAUCCAACAUGCGACAGCUGAGCAUACAUAAGGAUUCUGCCCAGUAUUGUAGCAGAUGUUGUAGCAACCGAGCCAAACAUUAGAAAAAUAGUCAAAACCAUUAAGAAAGUUUAUUCACUCAACUACUCUAUAUUUCCAUUAGUUUUAUCUUUGAGUUUGAUGAGAUAAUUUACUUUGUUGCAUUUUAUUUAUUGCAUUUUUAUUUUAAUUAGUAUAUUAGUUUCAUUAAUUAUUUUAUUUUAAUUUAGAACAAAAUCUGCACUGUUAAAAUUGAUGUAGCAAAUCUGAUAACAUCAAUCCCUGGAGACGAUCUUGGAUACUCAUCAUUAUAUUACUUGUUAUGUACACUUGCACAUUGACAUCAAUAGCAUUUGAAUUAUACCAACAACAUGCAUUAGCUAUUUCUAAGUAUCGAGAAGCAUUGUCUAUAUAUGAUAUGUGUUCUCAUUAGUAUUCCAAUGAAGCAUAAGUUGCAGCAUGCACAGAAAAUAAUUUAUCUUGUUGGCACAGAAGAAGAAUGGGAGGUUUAAGAGAAAGUGCAUGGUAAUGAGGUUUUGCCCUCUACGGAAAAGCGGAAAAAGGGUCGGCCACAAGAAAUUAGGGUAGCAUCAGAAGGAGAAGAGAAGUUGCACCGUAAGUGUGGUAGGUGUGGUUCUCGAGGACAUAAUCGACUAAUUUGCAGUGCACCAAUCCCACUAUCUAAUAAUGAGCCCGUAGUUGGACCGAAUAAAACAGAAACAAGCGCACAUACUACUAUGACCCUUACAUAGUUGUCAUUUUUGUUGUUUUAAUUUUUUUUAAUAUCUAUAAUAGUUAGUUGAUAAAUUUCUACCAUUUUUUUUUUUUUUGCAAAGGGAUAAACAUGUUUGUGUGGCUUAUGUUGUUUUCAAAGGGAGGCAACCAAGAGCUUAUAAUACAUGGGCCGAGUGUUUGGGCUGAGCAUGCAAAUAAUUAUGAUGAUUGUGCACCAACUUCCAUUGUAUUAGGACUUAUUUACGAUUCAAACAUGUAUUGGAUCCAUGUUCUUUGAUGUACAACUACUUUUCUUAUUUGUUAAAUUGAAGUUUGCGAUGUUAAAGCAUAUGUUGAUUGUGUUGUCAUUAUGAUGAAUGAUUUAGCUGAUUUUUUGUUCUAUGUCCACGUACCCGACUAUAAUCGUGUAUUUUAGAUGUUACUCAACUAUUGUCGUGUAUAUCUAAUUAUACUCAACUAUAAGUGUGUAUUUAUUAAAUACUCGACCAUAAUCGUUUAUCUAUGAAAAUACCUGACUGAAGUCGUGUACCUAAGCAAAUACAAUCUAGUCAUGUAUGUAUGGAAAUACUCAACUACAGUCGAGUAUCUAUGAAAAUACUCGAUUGCAGUCGAGCAUCUAUGAAAAUACCAGUUGGUCAUGUAUGUUUGCAAAUACUUGACUACAAUUGAGUAUCUGUCAAAAUACCCGACUACAGUCGAGUAUCUGUGAAAAUACCCGACUACAGUCGAGUAUCUGUGAAAAUACCCGACUGCAGUUGAGUACUAAUACAAAUACCAACUGGUCAUAUAUGUUUGCAAAUACUCAGCUACAAUCGAGUAUCUGUGAAAAUACCCGACUACAGUCGAGUACUAAUGCAAAUACCAGCUAGUCAUGUAUGCUUGCAAAUACUCGACCGCAGUCAAGUAUCUUUGAAAAUACCUAGUUGCAAUCGUGUAUCAAUGCCAAUACCAGCUAAUCAUUUAUGUUUACAAAUACUCAACUGCAGUCGAGUAUCUGUGAAAAUACCCGAUUACAGCCGUGUCUUUGGGCUGAGCAUUCCUUAAGCAUAUAUGAUCAUCCUGUUAUAUCACAUAUAUUGUACAAAACUAUCUUCUCUUUCAUUAAUAUACUUAACAAAAAAAUAAAUUAUAUGUAUGAUGUCAAAUUAUCUUUAAUGAUAUCAAAUAUCAACAAUAUCUCUAUUGUAACCAUUACAUCUCAUGAUAAGUAACGCAAAAAAUGACACAUCAAUGAAGUUUUUAAAGGUGGGACACUAUGUAAUUUCUUUACACGAUUGAUAACUCUAUGAAAUAAGAGUUAUCAUGACACUUUUAGACUUAAAUCAAUAAUACUUAUAUAGUAAAUAAUGUGUUUUCAUUAUAUUUUUGUUAUAUUUUGCAUAAACAUUCAUCUUAGUUUAUUCGUAAUAAAUUUUGUUUGAUUUAGAAUAAUUUGUGUGUGCUAAAUCAUAUCCAUAAUUGUAGGUGUCCAGAAGCCCAAAUUUCAAGGAAGGAAUGCUGAUGCAAUAGGCUUGCAAAAGAUGGAAAAGAACUUGACUACAAAAGAAUUGAAACAAAUCUGGAACAGUGCAGUUGCUGUAGCAACCAUUGUUAUAGCAAUCUUGGAACAACGACAGAGAAAGUUUUGUGCGGGAUAAUUGCAGAAUUGCGAUCUGCAAUUUUCUAAUCUGACUUAUGUGUGACCUAGGCUUCCGUUUACUCUAAUUUUCAACUAUAAAAGUAGCACACAUCAUAAGGAAAAGGAAGAGUCAUUACCCAAAGAGAAAAACCACAAAGAAACAAAAGAAAAACAAGAUUUAAGAGAGAGAUUAAGGGCUGCACAAGAGAAAAAUUUGCAGAAAUCAAUUGGAAACUCAGUCUUUCUUAUUCUUCUCUUGUUUUCUUGUUUAAUUUUUAGUCAUGAGGAUAUGUUUGAUGGCUGAAACUUUGUUCUUUAUUUUUCUUUUACAAAUCAUGAAGUAAAUUUAUUUAUAGUUGAGUGAUAAACAAUCUUGAUGGUUUAUUAACUAAAAAUAUAUGUUGCUGCAUGUUUGUUGUAGCAUUAUGUUUUGGUAAUUUUUACUUUUAUUUAUUAUUUUUGUUGAUCACCCAUUUAAUGAUACUAGCUAAGGAAGAGCCACAAAAGGGCCUAUCUUAGUGGAACAUAUCAAAGCAAUAUUUGUUUUUAGAUUGAGUUUCCUGGAUUGAGUUUCACUUGAUCCCAAAAGGGUCAUGCUUGAUCUAAGAUUAGUGAUGAACUAAAUAUAGGAAUUCACCUUAUAGGGUAAUUAGAACCUAAGCGUGUAAUGUAAUAUCUAAUGUUAGCAUAACAACUGAUCACUGUUAGGUUGCAUAUAGAUAUAAGAUGUUCAACAUGCGACGGCUGAGGAUACAUUAGGAUUCUGUCAAGUGUUGUAGCAGAUGUUAUAGCAAUUGAGCAAAACAUUAGAAAAAUAGUCAAAACCAUUAAGAGAGUUUAUUCACUCAAUUACUCUAUAUUCCCAUUGGUUUGAUCUUUGAGUUUGACAUGGUAAUUUACUUUGUUGUAUUUUAUUUAUUGCGUUCUUAUUUUAAUUAGUAUAUUAAUUUCAUUAGUUGUUUUAUUUUAAUUUAUAACAAAUCUGCAAUGUUAAUAUUAUUGUAGCAAAUCUGAAAACAUCAAUCCCUAUGGAGACGAUCUUGAAUACUCAUCAUUAUAUUACUUGUUGUGUACACUUGCACAUUGACACCAAUAGCAUUUGAAUCUACACCAACAACGACCUAUGCCCAAAUAAUUUAAUAGCCAAUGUUUUUCGAAAUUGUGUAACAUCAUCUUGUUGGCAAUAUGAAUUGACAUCAAGUCCAUGGGCCAAGACCUCCAAGUACCGCAACAAAAAUGCUCUAAAAUCACCACUAAAGCAGUUCAUAUAAAUCAAUUGCUAGAAAUCACCAUUCUUAUUGUUUAGUCGAAAAAAUAAUAUAUAUAUAUAUAUACACACAUACAUACCUUGAUUUUUGUUGCAGGAUAUUAUGUACUCGCACGAUUGGGCUCAUAUAAUGGACUGCAAUUUAAUCAUGUUACCAACGCAAACAGCCAAUCCUAAACCACAUUUUCUUCUCAGCGGACUUCACUUCUACCAAUAGUAUGUUGUGGAGUAACUGAGCAAAAGCUUUAGCUCUUUCACAUCCAAAAAAUGAUCGAAGCAAGAAUGCCUGAAAAUACUUUUAUGCUCCUCAAAGAGUUUAAUUUUUAUGCCCUCCACUGCAUCUAGUGAUGAUCGGUUAGAAAUCUUGGCUUUGAAGUAUUCAUAUUCCUUGAUUUUUGGUUCCAUUUGCAUAAACAAAAAGAAAAUAUUUGAAUUAUAAUAUAAAUACAAAUAAAGUUGCAUAAUAAUAAAUUCUAAACCAAUCAGAAAAAUUACACGUCAUUCUGGUCGAGAAUAAUUUUCCUUACACGAUUAUAGUCGAUUAAAGUAUCCAGUACAUGACUACAGUUGAGUAAAAUAUGCAUUACCCAACUACAGUCGAGUAAAGUAUACAUUACACGACUACAGUCGAGUAAAAUAUACAUUACACGACUAAAUUCGAGUAACAUCAUUACACGACUAUAGUCGAGUAAAGUAUUCAUUACACCACUAUAGUCGAGUGUAAAAACCAUAAAUGAUUCUUUGCCUCUGUAGAAAAUAAAGUAAUGCAUAAAAAAAUUGUCAGCCUAAUAGAUUUAUUAGAUCAAACGGAAGGAUUAUAGUGAAGAUGAACGAGUAGCCAACAUUAAGGCAAAACAAAAUAGAAAAAAAUAAGUCCCUCGUAAGCAUCAUCAAGAACUCUCCUAUUCAUUUCUUUCCAAAUAAUCUAAAUAAAAAGUGCACAAUAUAACUUCACAAAGACUUGGCUUUCUACCGUCCAAGAAAAUGUAAUGAUUAUCCAUAAAAAAAGGAGGUACAAGAAGUUAGAAUGACUUAAAAAAACUUCACUAUCUUUUUGUUAAUACAACACCCUUAAACAUGAAGCAAAAGACAAAUGAUCAAUUUUCUCAGUCUUUCUAUAUACACAACACUCCAUUUAGGCGAAAAAUAAGCACUAGAUUUACUUCUUUGUAAUAUAUCACAAGUGAAUCCUUCCUUCAGCCACAAAUGAAAAACUUGGAAUCUCACAAGGAAAAAGUGUCCAGCUUCAGCUGCAUUUGUACUAGUAAUUAUAGCAAACAGUUCCUUAUCCUAAGGUUUGAGGCACAUCAGAUUUUGAUCUUCACAGGAACGGUUAAAUAUGCAUAGAGUUGUUGCUUAAGUAAAUAUUACAAUGUGAAGGAUUAAAAUUAGUAAAUUAAAAACCCCAAUCAGAAAGUUCCAUUGAUGAUUACCUCUUGAAGCAAAGCUAAAACCCACCAUGGGUUUUGCACAAGAUUGUCAAGUUGAAGUUUGAUUUUUUGACAAGAUAUUCAAAAUAGGGUAACAAAAAACAGUGCAAUAAAACCAGCAUAUGCUAAAAUCGAUUGUAGAUGUGGUGACUCACCUUUAAUUUGUCCAAUUUCCCUUUAAAAUAGCAAAUUUAGGUGCUAGAACAAGUAGCAAAAAGAGUACGAAAUAACAGCAGUAGAAGUAUCGUUGGUGUUCACCUCACCUCAAAGCCCACUUAAGCGACUUCACCAGAGUUCCUGGAGAACGCUAAUCGUGAAUGAUAGUGCUGGCUGGUCGUGAAUGAAAUUUGGGGGUUUUGUUGCGGCUUGGUUGUGAAUGCUUGAGAUGAUUUAGGUUUUUAUUUAGGGUAAUUUCAUAUUUGCACUUUAAAAAAGGCAUAUGUGAGGAAUUUUGGAGUAUGGGGGUAUUUUUAGCUAAAUACCCGAUUUUGGGGAUAUGGCCGGGACAAAUCCUUGGAAUAAGCUUAUGUUUUUUAAAUGAAAAGGGCACUUUCUGUUUGGUUAAUUAUAUGUGUUAUUGGGUUCUCGUUUAGGUGCUCAGUUUAAGGCUAUUGUUGAAUAUGCUCCAUCUCAACGUGUUCCCAAGCCUUAUUCUAGAGAGGAUAGUCGUGAAGGCAACAUUUUUAAAGGUAAUUUUUUUAUUAUGAAAAAAAAACUUAGGAUACUUUUGGGUGGAAGUGUUGUGGCUUUUAUCAAUACACUUAAGCUACUAAAUUUCAAAGGUAUGUAAAAGCUCAACAAUUACAAGCAUGCCUUUAUUUUCUUUAUCUUCUUAUUGUUUUUAGAAGAACUGUAGUAAUAAGCUGUAUUUGGUUUUGAUGUGGACACUAAGACCCAGAUUAUCUGGAGUUCCUGAAGGUUAUUGCUAAACCUGCUGAGAAUCUACCAAGUGCAAAAAUUCAUUAGGAAAGAAAAGAAGCUGAGCUAUCUGGUUAGUUAGUUAUUUUUAGAUUAAUUUGAUGAAUAUAACCUGCUGUUCCUAGUGUGCGUGCGUGUGUAUGUAAAUGUAUGUAAUUUAAGCUAUAAAAUAAAUAAAUUCUGGCAUUUUUACUGAGAUUAAUGCUCAAGUAAGUAAUUCAUUAAUUUAAGCUAUAAAUUCAUGCGUUGCUAGGAAUAUAUAUUAUUAUGAAAAGGCGAAAAAAAAACAAGUUAUUAUCAUUUAUUACCACAUAGCUAGCAUUGAAAUAUAAAGUUCCCAAUAAAAAUUUAACUUCUCCCAUUACAUGCGACCCAUGGAAACAGUACUAUCAGCAGGAGUCAGCAAAGCUGCGGCAGAAAAUUCAAAUGUCACAGAAUUCUAACAGGUAUUUUCAAUUAUUUCAUCAACAAUUAUUUUCAUAUUAAGCAUAGUUAAUUAAUUAUGCCAAAAUAUACAAUUUAAAUUGAAUUUUCGAUUGGUUAUCUCACUCUUGACUCUUCAUAUAGGCAUUUGAUGGGUGAUUCUCUUAGUUCUUUAAUUGUAAAGGAGCUUAAGCAACUGGAGAACAGGCUUGAGUGAGGCAUCACUAGGAUCAGGUCCCGGAAGAUAAUUAAUUAAUUGCAUUAUGCAUGGAUGAAAUCGACCGAGAAAAAAAAUUGAAUUUGAGCAAUACACAAUUGUUUUGCAAUAAUAAAUUGCAUAAACUUUAUUGUUAUACGCUCAGUAUAUGUAAUUUAUGUCAUUUUGAAAAUAAUUUGUUGCUUUGUUUGUUUCCUGUUCUGUGCAACAGCAUGAAAUGCUGCUAGCUGAAAUUGAGUUCUUGCAUAAAUGGCUAAUAAUUAAAAUUCAUUAAAUUCUGUUUAGCCAUUUUUUCAUUUUCUUCCAAGCUUUUAUGGAACUCUUUAACAUUUUCAUUUCAUAGGAGGUUGAGCUGGCAAAUGAAAGCGUGUGUCUCCGAUCAAAGGUAUGCAAAUCAGUCCGUUCUAUGUAUCAUGCAUUUUUUCUCGCCCUCUUCCAAAAUUUCAGCACGUUAUUAAAAUUACAUUGUUUCUGAAACUCAGAUAGCAGAAAUGGAGAGGUUUCAGCAAGCAAACAUGGUGACUGGGCAAGAGCUGAAUGCAAUCUAUGCAUUAGCUUCUCGGAUUUUCUUCAGUCCUUGUCAUGCACCGCUUGGGAAAAAAAAAGAGCCAAACGUGGCUGAUUUCAACAGCAAUAGCCAGCUGCCUGCUUCACCACUUCUCCACAUGCCAAGUUUACUCCUUGCUUGCCACAUGCAUAUUUGACAUGCUUGCUUCACUUGUGAGCCGGUGGCCAUGUAUAUAUAAUUGGAAAUAAUUGAAAGCAGCUCUCAUUUGUGCUUCCAUUUCCGAAGUGAAAUCAAAAUCAAGAGAAGAAAAGAAGAAAAACCGAGAGAAAAGAGAAGGAAAAAAGAAAAGAAAAGAAGAUAAGAAGUAGAAAGAAGCUGAGUGUGAGAAAUAAAGUGGAAUUAAGAGGAAAUAAUACGGAAAUUAGAACUGGAUAGUUAGAUUAAAUCCAGUUGAACCAAUGGGUAAUGGAUUUAUGAAAUUUGAGCAAUUAUAUUACAGUUUGCAUGAUACGUAUAAGUUAUUAUAUCAAUUCUAACGAUUAAUUUUCGAACCCUGUAUUUUAGGAGGAACUCGAGAAUCCAGGAACCUACAAGAGCCCCAACGAACCCCAGAGUAAAACAGGAUCUGUGAGUGGAUACUAUUAUUACUAUUAUGUAUUCCAUGAAGAAUUUAUGUUUGAUAUUAUGUUUUAAUAUCAUGUUAUGAUUAUAUGCACACAUUAUAUGUUUGAUUGAGUAAUGAGAUGUGAUUGCUAGUCACCAUAUAUGUACCCGUCCCCGUAGACUAUGCGUAUGUGUAUUGAGAGUUAGGUUACUCUAUCCGAGUGAUGCAGCUAAAUUCUGCCGGGUAUUGAGAGGUUUUUCCCCCGCUCUACUCAUGCGAUGAUGAUCCCGACGAGUAUUGAGAGUUAUUUCCCCUAGGUACUAUUUGGUGCAGUUUGUGAUGUAUGUAUGUAUGAAUUCCAUGUUUGUUGAUGUGUGGUAUUCAAUGUGGAGUUAUGUUACAUGAUUAUGUAUAAGCACUAGUACACAUACUUUAUUAUAAUUAUUAUUGUUAAUAUUUUUAAUAUAAUAUUACAUCCACUCACUGAGCCGCAAGCUCACUAUUUUCUUAUUUACCCGUUUCCUCCUAGGAUUCCGCAGGAUUUCAUGCAGAUCAAUUCUAGUUAAUUAAGGUUGGGCCACGAGACGCAUUGCUGCAUGUCUUGCAUUUUGAGCACGUUUUAUGUUGCUUAUAUUUUAUAUGUAAAUAUACAUGUAAUGUCAGUAUGUAUAAUGAGACAUAAGCUACGCAAGUUUUGAAUUCAUAUAUGAUUUCAGAAAAGGCACAGAGGUUGUUAUGUGUUUAUAGGAAAGACCAUAUUUUACAAAUAUUUUCAUGAAUUAAAUUUGUGCCAUAAGUUUUAGUUAUUAGUUCGCACGAUUCACCUCAAUUCUGACAUGUAGGUUGGGGCGGGUCGUGUCAGUCCUCCUAUCAUCGAGGGUGGUGGCACUGCUUACUCUGACCCGGACAAGAAGAUACUCCAUCUCAGGUAAUUAAUUCUCCUAUCGCAUUUCAUUUCUACACGCUCGUGUUGCGCGUGCAUUAAUGUUUUCUCCUGUUUGCAGAUAAGCUAGAUGCUGGAGAUCAAGCUUGUGGCAUCUCAGUACGAGAUCUACGAUCAGACUACAUUAUCUACUAAAUGUGUGUGCUACUUGAUACUUAUUUUUGAAACCUGAUACUUAUUUUUAAAACCACUAAUAUAUGAAACUGGAUGAGUUUAUGUGUAACUUAAUUACUUACGCUGACUUAUCAUUGGCUUCUUCUCCUUGGGAGACCAAUUAUUAUGCUGAAACUCAAUAUCUAUAAAACUGAUGUUGUAUGAUGUCGAAGGAUUUGCAGUAUUUAUAAGGUAAAUAAAGAUUGUGUCAUAUAUACAUAAAUAAAUAUUGUACUUGAUAAACCUAGACUAUGAGCUAGUUGAAGUUUGGUGUGAAUCAAAGAAGGGUCAUAGGUUUGGUGGUUUUAGGGUGCGUUUGAGAUUGAGGUCAGGCAGUUCUAGUUUAAAAUCUAGAGCACUAAAGUGUUUGGUAAACACUAGUUGCUGUAGCUUGAAAGCUAUUUUGUUAUGAUUUUUCACUUGUAUGAUGAAAAAUCUAUUAUAUAUUUAAUAAUUUUUUCAAAAUUAUUAUUAAAAAUUAUAUUUACUAUACACUAUUAACUUUUAUUUCAUAAUUAUAGUUUUUUUUCUACAGCAGUUGUAGUUUAAAAGUUACAGCAACUCAAUCUCAAACAAGUUUUUAUUGCAACUCUCUUAGAUGUUAGGAUUACCCUAUUAUAUGAAAUGAGUAAAUAAUAUACAAACAAACUAUUUAUACAAAGUGAUGUGACAUUAGAAGAGUGAAAACCAAAAAGUGAAGGUACAAAUGAACUCGAGUGUAUGUUUGAGUUUUUGGGAAAAUCAUUGAUUGCUAAAAGGGCAUAUUUUGGGUUGUAUCUAUUACAAAUGUGGAAACAAGAUAGCCGGAGGAGAAAAAAGGAAUCAAAUCUAUUUGGAUUCAUCGUGUAAGAAAAGAUUCUAAGCGGCUCCAUAAAAGAAACUUCAUUUGAUGUCAAUACAAUUUUUCCAUAUAAUACUAUCUUAAGACCGCACUCGAGAUUGGACUGGGAACAUUUACAUAAUAGAGGAUACAAGCCUCUUCACUGUAGUAAAAUACUGAGAAUAAAUGCAGUAUUAACUUCAAAUAUUAUCUGAAAAGGUACGGGAGACGGAAAAAAUACACUUUAAAUGAUUUUCAUGCCAAUGGCAUAUAAUGUCUGCAGGUGAUUAGGUCAAAGAAUGGCACACCCUCCUUUUUCAGCUCGCUUACGGAGCUCCUCAGUCUCCCUCUGAGCUCUUUCAAGAUUCUCUCUAAGCUUACGAAUUUCGUCAUUCGACUUCAUUUGAGCUAAUUGUGCAGCCUCUUCUACCUUUAAUGGAGCAGCUUGCUCCUCUGUCAAUUGCUGUUCGAGCCUACUUGUCUCUUUGAGCUUAGAUAUCAGUCAGAAAACAUGCCACUAAGCCCUAGAGUAGCAGUAUACUACAAAUAAAGAUUGGUUAAUGGUAAUAUAAAACUCCUACUUAAAAGAAGAAAAUUCUUAAGUAUUAAUUAUUUUAAUCCAAUUGCAAAGGGAGUUGCUAAGUUCACCAUAUUCGGCACAACUUUCUUCUCUAAAUCAUUGACAAAUGGUAGAAACAAAAGCUUAAAAAAAAAAAAACAGAUAAACCCAAAAUAUAAGGUAUUAAAGAAUAUGCUAACUUUUUCAUUUUGCCACACCCCAGGAUUGUGAAGAGCAAAACUUAUUAGCACCUCAGACACAUAGUACACAAACUGUUACAGUAAAUCCAGAUUAUUAUUGAAUAUGAUCUCGCUUUAUGCCAGUUCAUUCUACUGCCUUGCUAUAAAUUAAAACUAUGGAAAGGAAUAUUUAAACUACACAGCUAUUUGAUUAGGUUCCAUGUACCUAACUAUAUUUUCCAAAAAACUUAUUUUGAAUGUGGCUAUUCUAUUUUUAACAAAAUUAGAAUAUGACAUAACUUGCUUACAAUAUUUCAAAUGUUCCCAAAGAUUCAGGAGUGCAAAAUUCCUAGCAACAAAACAUGAUCUACAGUAUUACAAGAAAUGUUCUUAUGAUUGAUGACUAAAAAAGUGCAGAAUCCAUUCCUAAGUGCAAGUCAUGAUCAGCAAACCACCUAUAGCUACUACUAUAGAGUAAUCUACUUAAUUUCAUCAAGAAACAAAACAGAACAAGACAGUCAAACAAUCUUCAAGGUAAGAACAAUAUGUUACAGCCUUCGAAACACAAUCAGUGAACAGAUGACUUAAUAACAAAUUUGUCCCCAUCAACUAGCAAGAUAAAACCUCUUUUCAUAUGGCAAUCUCUAACAAUCUAGGGGUGAGGACACAGCGGCAGUCUUUACCUCCUCCAAGUCUCACAAUUUGCAGGUACUUGCACACUUUAUAGUAAUGAAGUCACCUUCAAUUCGACAAAGAUAUCGUCUGUAUAUGGCUGCCCAUCAUUCUGCACGGCCACAGAGUUAACCAGAGAAAGAAGCUUCCAAAUCUGCUCAGUUCUCUUGGCCUCAUCCUUGGUCUUGUUAUCAAAAAGCACACACCUAUUAUCACAUAGUUGAAGGAUCCUAAAAUAAUGGAAAAAUGAUCAGGAAUAAAGCAAAUGUUAGCCCCUUUUGUAAGCAUUGAUAAACCAAUCAAACACUUGUAGUCUCUAAACGUUUGAAGGUAUUCAGUUGACAAAAUUUGUUUUUAUUGUUAUCAUUGAUACUUAAUAUCAUGCAUCCUCAAAAACUAUUUGAGGGCAAGCCAUAAUCAAAUUUUAAUAAUUAAUUCCAUUCUCCUUAUGGGUUGACCACUUACAAUAAGGUGAUUAGCAUUCCAUACAACAGAAAAUAAUAAUAAUGAUAAUAAUAAUAAUAAUAAUAAUAAUAAUAAUAAUAAUAAUAAUAAUCUGCAUAUAUUCCAGUGAAAAGCAUUGACCCAAUCAAAAUUAGUGGCUGCAAAUCAGUAGCUGCCUCUUCACUAGGCAAAUUCUUACUUUAUAGAACGAAGCUUGAAAGAUUGUACUAUUGUCAUAAACAAACUCAAGUGACCAAAGCUCAAACCAAAAGACAUGAUCAUAUUUUCUGUGGCAUCUACAUAAUUGACCAAAUUUUGCGGCAUUAUAAUUAAAAAAUUUUGAUUCCUUCAAACUACAAAAAUUACUACAAUAAGAAAAACAAAGCUCACUUUAACUGUAAAAUAACCCGAUUUUGUUAAUUGCAAAGCUACAACUUGAAGGGUCUUUAUCUCCAUUUUUGUUAUUUUUCUUGCAACUCCUCAUAGGUUUAAUCAAGUAUGCAGUAAAGUAGAGGAACUCGAUAUAAAUCUUUCUCAACUUGAAAAGUUUUAGGAAACAUAUUCAUCAAGUAAAUGCUGAAUAUAGGAGAUUUGCAUGUUAAAACUGAAAAGCGAUCUCACAUUGAAAUUUUAGACACCAAUUCUGGGGGUAGAAUCCACAGGAAUUUUUAAGAGAAUUUUAAAUCUUGUAAAGUUAGACUUAAUAUUUUAUUCAAACAGCGCCUAAUAAAAUGGACCUGUAUAGCAAGUCAUGUCCUCCUUGGCGCACUUCUAAAAUCUUAAAAGUAGGUUAAUUUUAAGCAUAUAAAUCAAUGAUGUACAUAUUUGAAGGAAUAAACAAAUGAACACACAUUAAGAGAAUAAGAACCAAAGAUUAAAUAACAGAUGAAAUCAAAGAAUACAAAUAAGAAAAGCAUAAAUGCUUAGCAAAUGAAUGAAUGACAUCUCAUUCAAAGACAUUAAAAUAUAACUAAAAUUAAGUAAUGCCAGCAGAAAAUUACCAACCAAUCACCCCCUCCGGCCAAUACCCCAUGGCAGAAGAAAAUCAUUCAGGAAAUGAAGCAAUAUUGAAUAUGGAACUUUAAGACGGCUGGACUACUAUGAACUGUCUAGUAUUUUCAGCAUGCAUAUAUUCAUAUUAAACUUCCAAUAGUCCAACCGUAAAGGACUCUAAAACUUCAAAAAAGAACCAACCCAAGACAACUUGAUCAAAGUGACUAAUGAAAUUUUCAAAUAUUAUUGCCGUUCAGAAACAAACCUUUAAAGGCUUUGGACACUCACGACCCAAAUAAUCUUCUAACGUUUCGUCAUUAUGUUCAAGUUCAUCCCCUCCAGUGAAAACAACAAUCAUAUAGUCAAAAACUUUUUUCCCGAACAAGGUCUGCCAACUGUGUAGAGCAGCUUCUUCCUCUUGAGAAAAACGACUCCUAACAGAGAAAACUACAAGGACUGCAUGGAUCCCAUCCUUGGCCAUACCGAUACAUGUGACAAUUUCCUUGCCGACAAACUUAGAGCCAGCAGAAAAAUCAAAAAGUCUUGCAAUUGCUCUGAUAGGUCCCAGUCAGAUUACAAUGAAAACUCAAUAAAUUUGGCUUUCUUUGGGUGAAAGUCAACCAUAGCUUUGAGCAAAAUUCUUCACGUUCUUAUUUAGUUCCAAAUAAACUCCUUAAAUAGAGUUUCAAUACAUCAAACCGAUAGCAACACUAACUCCUAAAUUUCAGCAAGUUAAAACCAUGACGUAACUAUUAUUCUGGAGGUGACUAACCACCUUUGACUAUGACCACACAAUUUGAAAUAAAAACAACAACUAAACUGGAAAAGGACAAGUCAAUCUUAAGCUAAAAACUUGGGAUUUUUCCUGGGAAUUCUGAAGGAUCUUCUCGGUGUAUCAAUACUUCCCCCGACAAGCGGAACCUUGUCCUCAAGGUUGAACGCAGGAAAUUGCUGUUUGAGCAUCGGCGUUUCCUCCCAAGUAGCAUCUUCUGCAGGCAAAGUCUUCCACUACACCAAACUCUCUUCAAUAAACUUGGUACCAUGCCUGACCCAUCUUGUAUCGAUCACCUUCUCCAGCACAACUUGAAUCUAUCCUUUAUCAGACAUUGGUGGCAGGUCAAUAACGGCAAGAAGAGAAGUACCCACAUACUUCUUUAAGAGAGAAACAUGGAACACCGGGUGAAUCUGAGUUGCAGGUGGUAAACAAAGACGGUAAGCUACCUUGCCCAGCUUCUGCUCAACUGGAAAUGGGCCAUAGAACCGGCUGGCAAGUUUGUGAUGGGCACGUUUGAACACGGAUUGUUGGUGGUAGGGGUGCAGUUUUAGGAGCACCAAAUCUCCUACUUGAAACUCCACUUCUCUUCUCUUUUGAUCAGCAACAUGUUUCAUUCUAGCGGCAGACAACUCCAAAUUUGUCUUCAGUUGCUGCAGUACUUCAUCUCGAGUUAGGAGACUUUGAUCAACAUCAUUAACACGAGACAAACCCUCUGUAUAGUGAGGAAUGGAUGGAGGAAGGCGACCAUAUAAGGCUUGAAAUGGUGUCAUCCCCGUCGAGCAAAGAAAUGUGGUGUUAUACCAAUACUCUGCCACCUUACUGUCAUGAAACUCCUGGAGCAGCUGAUCUCGUAGUGCAGGCGGAACCACCACUCUUUGCUUGUAAAAACAUAGCCCAUUCUUCACUACAUAAUUGCUCGUAGGAUCAUUUGCUGCCUGCUGGAAUAUUUUUUUCAUGUACAAAUCCGUUUCUACUGCCUUUCGAAUGUCAUCCCAUAAUGAAACCUUUGAAAUAAAUAUUGGAUUAAGGAGAGGGCUAUUGGGGCGGUGAGAUAAAGCAUCCGCCGCUAAAUUUUUUUUUUUAGGCCGAUAUUUUAUCUCAUGGUCGUAUCCAAGAAGCUUAGCGACCCAUUUCUGCUGCUCAGGAGUGGCUACUCGCUGCUCUAAGAAGUAUUUGAGACUUCGUUGGUCGGUUUGAAUGAAAAACUUCUAACCCAAGAUGUAUGGUCUCCAUGUCCGAAUGGCCUCCACAAUUGCUAACAUCUCUUUGGCAUAGUAUUGUGCAAAUUUUAUUGAACUCGCAAGUGCACGAAUCUAUUGUAGAAUAGAUCAAUGGUGACGAGUGUCGAUCCCACGAGGAGGUGGAUUUUAAAUGUGUGUAGAAUUAAUUUUUCUAAAUGGGUGGUUGGAUUUGUGGUAAAAGUGACUUAGAUUAUCCUAAAAUUGGUAUUGAAAUGACGAUAAUAAAUUGAAGAGAAAUCUAUUGAAAUUACAUACUUGGGUAUCUGGAUCCGUAUCAACAUGCACCAUGGGCUAAAUAUUCCUUAUUAGUGCCAAUUAAAUCAUGAGGGGAGUAUCCACACCUCAUGAACCACGCUCUAAUUAAUAUGGUGCUAAACACUUAUCGUGCCAAAUAAUAAUAACCUUAUACUAGGAAGUUGGUGAAAUCAGGGCGGUAUCUAGACAAGAUUAGUAUUAUUUGUCAACAAAAAGUCAAAUCAUCCACAAAAAUUAGAGGGAAAGAGAAAGUAAAUUUACCAAAUAAAGCCCAUGACACAUGUUGAGACUUCACCUUCAACCCAAGCUUGAAAGAAAAUCAGCUACUCAUAAUUGAACAAGGGGUAAAAUGGGAAUUUAUUAAAAUACGUAGAAAAUACAAGAUAGAGAAGGAAUUACAGAAAAUGGAGUCCAAAAAUAGAUUCAGAGAUGCCAAAUUAGGAGGGAGAGGUCCUCUUUUUAUAGAUACAUUGAGUAAAUCAUGGUUAUCAUAUUAAAAACAGUUUAGACGCUUAGGAUUGCGCCACGUUAUCAGUCAACAAUACGUAAUUUGACCACGCGUUUUGAACAGUGACACGGUUUGACCACGCGGUUUGAACAGUGACGCGGUUUGGUUGAAAAUAAUCCUGUGUAUAUGCAUGUACCGUACGCGUAAUUUUUGGUCCAAUAACAUGCUGCCACGUCACCGAUCAACAAUGCAUAAGAAUUCUCUCCAAUAGAACCGUGACACCUCAUUAGUCAAUGCCACAUCAUCGGUCAAUGCCACGUCAUCGAUCCGUCUAUGUGACCAGUGUCGUGAACAGUAACGUAGAUAAUACCGUACAUGUGAACAGUGACAUUUUUCUUUUUAUGCUCCUCCUAAGGUUUUCGACAGUCCUGAGUUCAAAAGUGAUGUUCGUUUUGCCGUCUGAUUUCUCGUUCAUUGUGAAAUGACCAUGAUGCCCUUACAAUACAUAAAAUACUUAAUUAAAAUAAAGCACACAUAAUUAAAUUGCAAGAAGCUUAAAUACAUAAAAGUAAGGGUGUUAGUAAAACUUGAAGUGUAAAAUGACGAUUUUCUCCUUUAUAAAUAUAUAUUUUCUAACACUCACCACACCCCUAGUCAGCUUAUUGCUAGUCCCUAGCAAAUAAAGCAAAAACAAAAUUCAAAUCCAAAAUGAUUAUUUUUUUUUUAACAAUCAUGUUUAUUCAAUCAGACUAAUGAUAGUAAUCAAAUAAAAGUAUAAGCAUUACCUCCAGUCUAAAGAAACAUCACACCCACAUCAACCAUCCACAUAAAUCAGCCCAGUAGAAUUUGUCACAGCUACUUUUAAGAAUGACAUGUUAAACCCCAAAAUCUGACUGGAAAUAGUGACACUCUCACAAAGAAAUUAAACCCAAUAAAAAUAGUCACUCCAAUGAAUGGUAAUUGAGAGAAAUUAAUAAAGAAAUGAUAUCACAUACUCUCACCAAGAUGAAAGAAAUAUGCCCCCAGCUUAGAAAUAAUACGAUCUCAAGUCAAAUAAAAAUGCUAGUCAACCAAAUUUAUUAUUAUUUUUUUAUGCACCACUAUCUUUUUAGCCCAUAUAACUAGCUUCUACUUCAGACUAUAGUUCCCUAAAAUCAAGAAGGACUUUUAUUAGGACGUAACGUAGGCUAGGGACAUGGCUAACAAAGGAGGGGAAAUAAGGAAAACAAAGUUAUGUUUGAGAAAAAUGCAUAGAUUUUUUUUUUUGAAAGUUGCAAAGUGAAUUUCACCUAUUAUUGUUAUUUAUUUAUUUUUUAACAUUUUUUUUUUUGCUUUUAAUUGGCACAACUUCACUGAACAAAAUAAUUAUUUACAUUUUUCUCAAACAUAAAUAGGUGAUGGAACUUGUAAGAUAUCGGGUAAUACUCCAAAUUGGAGUGGGUCAAGAUGAUAAGUUUGACAAAGAAAAAUUUUUUUUUUUAAAGGCUCAAAAGGGUUAACUAUGGAUAUUUCACAAAAUGGAUGGUUAGAAAUGCUCAAACGGAUCAAAGAUGGCCUUUCCAUCGUCUUUUAGGGCUCUAAAUAAUCUUCCAUAUCUACAGUUAGAUGGGCCUCUAGAUGUAGCAACACACAUUUUUUAUUUCUCUUUUUUUUUUUUUUUAAUUUUACAACUUUUUUUUAACUAAGAAGAUGCAUUUCUAGAGGCACUACACUCCAUAUUCAGCCAUCUUCGACUCAAAAAUUUGAAAAUGUAUAUUUAUAAAGGAGAAAUUAAAAAGAAGAAGUAAAAAAAAAAUGAAUAUCAAAGCUUAAUAAAGAAAAAGAAAAUGUUUGGAAUUUUUUUUUAAUGAAGAAGAUGCGUUUCUAAAGUAACUACACUCCAUAUUCAGCCAUCUUCAACACAGAAAGUUAGCAACAAUUAGUUUCUAUAACAAAAAAUCAGUAAAAACUUAACCAAGAUUCCACAAUUGUUGACUAUUCUCUCCCCCUAACCAGAACGAAACAUUGUCCUCAAUGUUUUAAAGAAAAGAAGUAGAGUUUAGAAGACAUCACCUGGGUGGUGCAACACAAAAGAAAAUAUUUAUAGGCGGAGAGUUAAAUCUAAUUUAUACUUCUUAGUGCGGCUACUGUUACCGUCAUUAUUUGGACGCUCCAACACAAAGGUCCAUGGGUCUAGCUCCGGUCUAUAAGCUUGUAACAGAUCAAGUAGCUCAUUAGUAGUGUGAGCAUAAAUAAAAAGCUUUUUCGCUGUGGAAGAAAUGAAAUAGUUUUUUAUUGCAUGGUUAAGAUCUGUGAUGAAGCCAUCAUAAAAGUUAUUGACAUUUAACAAACCGAUGGGUUUCUGGUGAAUGUGCAGAUGGACCCAAGAUGUUAAUGUGAUAAGUGCCUCUAGUGUUGCAAGAUCUCCUGGGAGAAAAAUAAAAGCAUCAGCAUGAUUAAGCAUUUCAAUUAUUCUUUCUUGCAUACCUGAGACGACUACCUCUUCUCCAGUCGGUGAGUCAGACAAACUGCCCAAAGAUUUUAGGGCUCUUGGGAUGAUGCCUAACACUUGGUCCUCUUACAAAAGCAGCUUCUGAGACCAAUUUUGAUAACCCUCAGUUACCUCCUCCAUACACCAAGUGUAAUUUUCUCUCUACUAUGCUUCGACCAAGAUCUAUAGCUGCCUCAAUGAACUUUUUAUGUUUGCCAUAGUUAAAUUUAGAAAGCACACAAAUGUUCUUGAAUUGUCUAUUGGGAGUAGCUGCCAUUAGGAUACUUCGCAAAAACAAUUUAUGAGUGCUGACAAAAAAUCAUAUUUAAUAAUCUUGGUGACAGUGGGUCACAGUUGUGUAUGAGGUAGCAUAUCAGUGUCAAUUAACGUGUAAAGCACAUGGCUUGCAAGUAAAAAAGGAAACAGUAAAAAGAAAAAGAAACAAUGAUAAAAUAAAAUUAUUAAAGACAAUAAUACAAAUGAUAAAACAACAGUGAGAUAAAAUAACAGUGAAGUAAAAUGAUAUUUACAGGUAGUUGCGACUGUGGUCACAUCUUCCUCUGGUUUUAGGUCCAGAAACAGUUUGAACGCCCUCUAUGGGUCGAGGAUAGGCUUCCCAUCCAGUUUUCUUAUAAACUAGCAAACAAGGUCGUUUAUAGUCAGAUUCCCGAGACUGUAUCGUGCAUACUCUUUCUGGAAUAAUUGCCAUAAUUGGAGAAUCGCUCCUCGCACAUAUCCACUGAGAUGCGUUUCAAGAGACAAAAGAAUAUCAUCCAAUGACUCCUUAUUCAAGCCAUCCAUAAUGAAUUGAAUCUUAUAUUCCCUGUUAUCAGACAUCAUUCCUAAAGAACAUGGGUUUUUAUUGCAUCUCAUUCUGGCACAUUUAUGACAAGCAACAGAAAUUCUUCAAGCUCUUCAUUUUCUUGCAUAAUUUCCUUUACCACAACCAGGCAUCUAUGCAAUAAAUUUUGGAGGUAACUCACUUGCCAAUCGUAUUUUAGCCUCAAUUAACCAACGGAUGUCAGCAGGUAUGUUAUUCCUCAUGAGCAAUCGCAUGCGUUCGGACCGAGCUUUAUAGAUUGUAAGGAGGGCAUUCUGAGGAAGUGAAGAGAAUUGAUUGUGAAGCUUUGCUAAAAUCUCAUUUCUGUCCAUACCUUCGCCUCAAAAUACCAGUUAUUACAGGAAACUGAAGUAACCGACUUGAUUGUCACGGAGUAUCGUUAUCUACCAUUUCACCGGGGUAACAAACUAAAGCACACAAACAAAGAAAAACAAACUAAAAUACAUAAAGAAAAUUACAAUCGUCCUCAUAUUGAAUUUACCUCAAGCUCCAACUGGAUGUUGCAGACACUUCUCUCAAUGUCUCUGAGUUGGCUUUCUAAAUCUUCAACAUAGGAUACUAACUUUGGUGGUUGAGAGCCCAAAUACGAUGUGUUUUACAAAAUCAAAUCUGCCUUUUGAGAUGAGAUUCUACACGUUGAAGUGGUCUAAGAAUGUCCAGGAGGAACUGUUUAGUUAUGGCACUCAUGAUUAACAAUGAUAAGAGAAAACUUAAUGGUUAAACAAACACACUUAUGCAAAAAUAAUUUCAAUUAACAAAAGAAUAAUAAAAAGAAAAAAAAUCAAAUCACCGAAAAGAAAAAAAAAACUCAAUUCAAAUAUGGUGGGUCACUCAAAUUUAUUUCGGUGUCCUCUCCAUGUGGUUGGUACUCUAGAUAUGACUUUAAUCUUUGACCUUUAACUUUAAACGUGACACUGUUCUUUGGGUACUUGAUUUUAAUUGCCCCAUGUGGAAAAAUAAUAUGAACAAUAAAGGGGCCAGACCAUCGAGAGCGUAACUUACUUGGGAAUAGAUGCAAACGAGAAUUGAAUAAAAGCACCUUCUGACCUUGAGUGAAAGAUUUUCUCAUAACUUGCUUGUCAUAGAAGACUUUCAUUCACUGCUUGUAAAUUUUGGCAUUUUUAUAUGCAUUAUUGUGAAUUUCUUCAAGUUCUGCCAAUUGUAAUCUUCUUUCUGAGCUAGCUUACUGCAUGUAAAAGUUGAAUUUCUUGAUGACCCAAUAUGCACAAUGCUCGAGUUCCACAGGUAGGUGGUUAGCUUUUCCAUACACUAACUUGUAGGGUGACAUCCCAAUCGGGGUCUUGAAAGUCGUUCUGUAUGCCUAUAAUGCAUCAUCAAGUAUUAAUGACCAAUCUUUUCUGUCUGACCUCACCAUCUUUUCUAAUAUGUGUUUCAUUUCUUAAUUGGAGAUCUCAACUUGGCCACUUGUUUGCGGAUGAUACGGGGUCGCCACUUUGUGAGUGAUUGAAUACUUUAUCAAAAAAGCUUUGAAUACUUUGUUACAAAAAUGGGCACCACCAUCACUGAUUAUCGCUCGAGGGAAUCAAAAGCGUGAAACAAUGUUGCUUUUCAAAAAUCCUAUCACCACCUUGUGAUCAUUGGUUCUACAUGGAAUUGCUUCUACCCAUUUUGAUAUGUAGUCAACAGCAACCAAUAUGUAUUGAUGGCCAAAAGAAGGGGGAAAGGGUCCCAUGAAGUCGAUACCCCAUACAUAAAAAAUCUCAACCACUAAAAUUAGAUUUAGUGGCAUCAUAUUCCUUCAUGUAAUCCUCCCCAUUCGUUGACAUCCAUCACAUGAAGAACAGAAAGUGUAAGCAUCUCGAAACCACAUUGUAAAACUUUAGUAGCUGUUUUCUUAGCACUGAAAUAGCCUCCACAAGCUUGUUCAUGGCAGAAUAAAAGGAUAUUAUGAAUUUCACUUUCUGGGACACAUCGUCUAACAAUUUGAUAUGCACAAUACUUGAACAAAUACGGGUCAUCCCAAAAGAAAUUCUUUAUUACUGUAAAAAAUUUGGCAUUGUCUUACUUGGUCCAAUGCUCUGGAAGUUGACCUGUAACAAGAUAAUUCACGAUGUCAGCAUACCAUGAUAAUACUUCCACACUCAUUGAUUGUUCAUCUGGAAAUGACUCAUUCAAUGUUAAUGGUUUUGUAAUUGUGUCAAAAUGGAGACGAGAGAGAUGGUCAGCCACAACAUUUUCUGUGCCUUUCUUAUCUUUAAAUUCCUAGUCGAAUUCCUGCAAAAGUAACACCCAACGAAUUAGUCUAGCUUUUGCAUCUUUCUUUGUGAGAAGAUAUUUAAGAGUAGUAUGAUCUAUGAAUACAAUUAUUUUAUAAUCAUUGAGAUAAGAUCAAAAUUUUUCCAAUGCAAAUACUACUGCUAGCAUUUCUUUUUUAGUAGUUGAAUAAUUCAACUGUGCAUCAUUCAAUGUCAUACUAUCAUAGUAAAUAACAUAAUGAAUUCGAUCAACUCUUUAUCCUAAUACUGCUCCUACUGCAUAAUCAGAUGCAUCACACAUGAGUUCAAAUUGUAAGCUCUAGUUUGGGGGCUGAAUAAUGGGUGAUGAUAUCAGCAACUGCUUUAAUUUUUCAAAUGCCACAAGACAUGAAUCAUCAAAGACAAAAGAUACAUCCUUAGCAAGUAGAUUACAUAAGGGUCUAGAAACUUUGCUAAAAUCUUUAACGAAACGUCUAUAAAAACCAGUAUGCCCAAGGAAAUAUCUUACUUCUCUGACUGUUUUGGGCGGAGGAAGAUUAGAAAUGAGAUCCACCUUGGCUUUGUCAACUUCAAUACCUUUACUCGAAAUGAUGUGACCAAGAACAAUACCUUGUCUUACCAUAAAAUGACAUUUCUCCCAAUUUAAGACUAAGUUCUUCUCGAUACAUCUCUGCAGAACUAGUGUUAGAUGAUGUAAACAUUGAUCAAAUGAAUCACCAAAGACAGAAAAGUCAUCCAUAAAGACUUCAAGGAAUCAUUCAACCAUAUCAGAAAAAAUAGUUAAUAUGAAUCGUUGAAAUGUAGCAGGUGCAUUACAUAAUCCAAAUGGCAUCCUCCUAUAUGCAAAACUGCCAAAAGGGCAAGUGAAAGUGGUCUUCUCUUGAUCUUUUGGUGCUAUGGGAAUCUGAUUAUAUCCUGAGUAGUCAUCUAGAAAGUAAUAAAAUUCAUGGUCUGCUAAUCUAUCAAGCAUUUGAUCGAUAAAUAGUAAAGGAAAAUGGUCUUUACGCGUGAUAGAAUUCAACUUUCUAUAAUCAAUGCAUACACGCUAUCUUGUAGUCACUCUAGUGGGUAUCAAUUCAUUAUUGGCAUUCGUAACUAUUGUGACUCCUGACUUUUUGGGGACAACUUGUACAGUACUGACCCAUGAACUAUCAGAAAUGGGGUAAAUGAUAACUGUAUCUAAUAGCUUAAGGACUUCAGUUCUAACAACUUCUUUCAUGUUAGGAUUUAACCGACGUUGCAUUUCCCUAGUAGGUUUAGCAUUUUCAUCAAGGUGAAUGUAAUGCAUGCAGUCUACUUGGUUUAUAUCUUUUAUGUCUGCUAUGGUCCAUCUUAAUGCUCCUUUGUGCUCUUUUAAAACAUCCAACAACUUACUUUUUUGUUCGUCAUUGAGAGAUGAUGAGAUGAUUACUGGCAUAGUACUUUCUUCUCCCAAAAACGCAUAUUCCAAUGUGUUGGGUAAUGGUUUGAGCUCGAUUUUCGGUGGUGGUUCUGAUGAUGGGAUGAGUUUCUUCUCUGAUGGUGCUAGUUGUUAAACUCUUGGCUUCCAUUUAUUAGUGUCCAUGGAUGGUGCUGAGUCAAGUAGGACGUUGACCUCAGCGACCGAUCUGUCAAUAUCAAAAACCAAACCAAAGUGAGUUAAACAUGUUUGUAAAGGAUCAUCACUAAGGUUUGAAACAAAAGUAUUAUCAACUAAUACUUCUAUUAAAUCCACAUCAAUAAUUCCAUCAUCUGCAUUGUGAGGUUGUUUGGCAAUGUUGAAGAUGUUUAGCUCCAUAGUCAUGUUGCCAAAGGACAACUGCAUAUUUCCAGUUCUGCAUUGAAUGUGAGCAUCGACAGUUGCCAAGAAAGGUCGGCCUAGGAUAAUGAGGAUGUUCUUCUUUGAAUCCUGGAUUGGUUGAGUGUCAAUUACAAUGAAAUCAACGGGAAAAUAAAACUUGUCUACCUGGAUAAGUACGUCCUCCACAAUACCACGAGGUAUUUUCGUGGACCGAUCUGCAAGCUGUAACACCACUGGAGUUAGGUGUAAUUCUCCCAGUCUAAGUUUCACGAAUACAGAGUAAGGCAAAAAAUUUACACUAGCUCCUAAAUCCAACAAAGCAUUCUCAAUUGUGUGGUUCCCUAUACUACAUGAGAUAGUGGGGGAGCCUGGGUCUUUGCAUUUUAGAGGAAUUUUGUGUUGGAGUAUAGAACUAACAUUUUCUGUUAAAAAAGCAUUCUUUUGAACGUGAAUGUUUCUCUUUUUAGUACAAAGGUAUUUAAGAAACUUGGCAUAAGAUGGAACUUGUUUUAUAGUAUCAAGUAAAGUGAUGUUAACACUUACCUAUUUGAAGAUUUCAAGAAUCUCACCUGUGGAUUUUCCCUUCUUUCCUUUAGUUAACCUCUGAGGAAAUAGAGCUUUGGGAACAUAUUCUCGUGGGUUGGUUUCUUCUUUCUCUUCGGAUGGUGAAUUCUCAUUAUUCACAGGUACAAUUUGAUUUUCUUUUGUCACCGGCAUCUCCACUUUGUUGUCGACUUCUUUUUCUUUUCGUAAGGUCAUGACAGUUUUGACAUCUCCAUGCUGUUGUGGUGAACUGGUACUUGUUUCAUAUACUCCUUUAGGAUUAGGCACUAGUUGACUUGGAAAUUUACCUUUCUCAACAGUCAAUGCCAAGGUCUGAACUGAAGAAGCAAGUUGUCCCACCAUCUUCUCGAGGCUUGAAACUGAUUGGGCUUGUGAGUUAAGCCUGCUCUCAUCUCAUUUUGUAGUCCAUCAAUUGUGCGGUUUUGUUGUUUAAUCGUAGAGUGAGUAACAUUCUUGAAAUUCUGGAAUGCAUCAUCCCAUGGUCUGGGUUGAGAGUAGUUCUGGUUCUGAUUGUAAGGUCUAAAUGGUGGCUGCGAGCCUUGAGGAAUUUGAGGAAUUGGUUGCAUUGGUGGAGCUGGAGCUGCUGGUCCAUUCUGUUGGAAUCCUUGAGACCAUGAAAAAUUAGGGUGGUCUCUCCAUCCAAGGUUAUAUGUGUUGGAGUAUGGGUUGUAAUUUGAUGGUUUUCUCAUUACACCUAUGACAUUGGCUUGAUCUGACUAUGAGUCAUGGUCAUGUGGUUCUGUUGAUUUAGCAGUCGUUAACGAUGCUAUUUGUCGAGAAAGACCUUCAAUUAUCGCUUUGACUUCUUUAAUUUCUGAACUUGACUCGCCAAUGUGAACCUCAUUUACUCCCUUAAUUCUUUUAGUGUUCCUGAGCAAUCGACUCCGUUGUUGGGAAUUAUCCGCUUGUCACUUGAAGAAUUCCCAAAUCUCUGAUACACUUUUUGACAUUAGCUCUCCUCCAUUUAUUGCCAUUAGCCAUUCUUGCACAUUUGGCAAUAAUCCCUCCAAAAAGUAUUGGCAUUGGUGUCAUUUCUCGUACCCAUGAUGUGGACACUUCAAGAGUAGCCCAUUGAAUCGCUCCCAUGUUUCGAAAAACUGCUCGUCUUCUCUCUAGGUAAACUCUGAAAUUUCCCUGCGAAUAGCAUUGGUUUUAUGCACUGGGAAAUAUUUAUUCAAAAAUUUUGUUACCAUUUGUUCCCAUGAUGUGAUGCUAUUGGUAGUCAAUGUAUUUAACCAUGAACGAGCUCUAUCCUUUAAAGAAAAUGGGAAUAAUCUAAGUUUAACGUCAUCGUUUGAAAAAUUCUCAUAUUUAAAAGUUUGGCAAAUAGCAUGAAAAUCAUUCAGAUAAUUAAAUGGGUCCUCAUUUUCUAAGCCAUAGAAUGUUGGGAGACAAUUUAGCACACUAGGUUUUAGUUCAAAACUCCUAGGAGCUACAUUUGGGUAUUUUAUGCAUGAUGUGCUCAAAUUAACUACGGGACUGAAAUAGUCCUUAAAUGGCCUCUCCUGUGGUGCUUGUUGUUGUUGCAAAUCCAUUUCAAUUUUAUUUUUAAUGUGUUUGUGUGUGCGAAGUGUUUUUCAAGUUCAAGGUCUAUAGGCUCAAGAUUAUGUAAUAAUGACCUUCGACCAUGCAUGCAAUGAAUACAAAAAAAUGAGAACAAAAUUAAUAAAAAUAAACAAGAAAGAGAAAUUACGGUACUAACCUUAUCUCGCUGUUACAACCUUUCAAUGAAAAACACACUUAAAAAAAAUACAUGAAAUAAAUUAACUAAAAAUAAAUUAAUAAGAUAAACAAAAAAUUACAAAGAAAAAUAAAUUGAAAAUUAAAUUACAGAAUUUUAAAGAAGAGAAAAAGAAAAGAAAUUCUUACCUCUAAAUGUGGAUUCACUUUUUUUUUCUCUUUUUUUAAUAAAACAAAUUACAAGAAAACAAUUAAAAGAAAUUAUUCACAAAAAUUAAUUUUACGAAUUAAAAUAACUUACCUCCCCGGCAUCGGCGCCAAAAACUUGUUGUGCAAAUUUUAUUGAACUCGCAAGUGCACGAAUCUAUUGUAGAAUAGAUCAAUGGUGACGAGUGUCGAUCUCACGAGGAGGUGGAUUUUAAUUGUGUGUAGAAUUAAUUUUUCUAAAUGGGUGGUUAGAUUUGUGGUGAAAGUGACUUAGAUUAUCCUAAAAUUGGAAUUGAAAUGGCGAGAAUAAAUUGAAGAGAAAUCUAUUGAAAUGACGUACUUGGGUAUCUGGAUCCGUAUCAACAUGCACUAUGGGCUAAAUAUUCCUUAUUAGUUCCAAUUAAAUCAUGAGGGGGGUAUCCACACCUCAUGAACCACACUCUAACUAAUAUGGUGCUAAGGGCUUAUCGUGCCAAAUAAUAAUAACCUUAUACUAGGAAGCCAGUGAAACUAGGGCGGUAUCCAGACAAGAUUAGUAUUAUUUGUCGACGAAAAGUCAAAUCAACCACAAAAAUUAGAGGGGAAGAGAAAGUAAAUUUACCAAAUAAAGCCCAUGACACAUGUUGAGACUUCACCUUCAACACAAACUUGAAAAGAAAAUCAGCUACACAUAAUUGAACAAGGGGCAAAAUGAAAAUGUAUUAAAAUACAUAGAAAAUACAAGAUAGAGAGGGAAUUACAGAAAAUGGAGUCCGAAAAUGGAUUCAGAGAUGCCAAAUUAGGGGGGAGAUGUCCCUUUUUAUAGAUACAUUGAGUAAAUCAUGGCCAUCAUAUUAAAAAUAGUUUAGACGCUCAGGAUUGCGCCACGUCAUCAGUCAACAGUACGCGGUUUGACCACGCGUUUUGAACAAAGACACAGUUUGACCACGCGGUUUGAACAGUCAAUCGGUUUGAACAGUAACGCGGUUUGGUUGAAAAUAAUCCUGUGUAUAUACAUGUACCGUACACGUAAUUUUUUAUCCACUAACAUGCUGCCACGUCACUGAUCAACAAUGCAUAAGAAUUCUCUCCAAUGGAAUCGUGACACCUCAUUAGUCAAUGCCACAUCAUCGAUCAAUGCCACGCCAUCGAUCUGUCUAUGUGAACAGUGUCGUGAACAGUAACGUAGACAAUACCGUACAUGUGAAGAAUGACAUUUUUCCUUUUAUGCUCCCCUAAGGUUUUCGACUGUCUUGAGUUCAAAAGUGAUGUCCGUUUUGCUGUCUGAUUUCUCGUUCAUUUUGAAAUGACCAUGAUGCCCUUAAAAUACAUAAAAUACUUAAUUAAAAUAAAGCACACAUAAUUAAAUCACAAGAAGCUUAAAUACAUAAAAGUAAGGGUGUUAGUAAAACUUGAAGUGUAAAAUGACGAUUUUCUCCUUUAUAAAUAUACAUUUUCUAACACUCAACACAUAAAUUGACCAGGUACGUUUAGCAAUCCCCAAAGCUCUACUCAUGUAUGCAAUUGUUCUCCCUUAGAGUGAGAACAGCUUCAAUUCCAUCCCCGGAAGCAUCAGUCUCGAUAGUGAAUAGCUCAUUGAAAUUAGGCAUGGCGAGAGUGGGUGUAGUUGUCAUAGCUUGUUUGAGUAUUGUGAACGCACUAGCAGCAUCCUCAUCCCGUUUGAAAUUCCCCUUCUUGAGCAAGUUGGUAAAGGGACGAGCUAGUACCCUAUAAUUGCGGAAAAACUUCAUGUAAUAGCCUGUCAAGCCUAAAAACCCAUGCAAUUAAGGAGUAUUAGUGGGUUGUGGCCACGCAACCAUAGCCUCAAUCUUCUUACCAUCUACCUUGACACCUUGAUUUUUCACGAUAUGGCCUAAAUACUCCAAUUCAAGCUUACUAAAGUCACAUUUGUUUGCUUUGACAAAGAAGCUGUAUUUCUUCAAAUUUUCUAAUGUCUUCCUUACAUGAGUUAAAUGCAAUUCCCAUGUAGGACUAUAGACUAAUAUAUCAUCAAAGAAAACUAAUAUGAAUUUUCAAAGGUAAGGCUGAAAAAUAGAAUUCAUUAUGGCUUGAAAAGUAGAUGGAUCGUUACAUAACCUAAAAGGCAUAACAAGAUACUCAAAAUGUCCAUUACACAUCUUAAAUGCAGUUUGCAGAAUGUCGAAAGCAUGUACUCGUACCUGAUGAUAACCAGCUCGAAGAUCCAACUUAAUAAAAUAGGUAGCGCCGUACAAUUCAUCCAACAUGUCGUCCACUGUUGGAAUGGGAAAUCAAUCUUUGAUCGUGGCGGCGUUUAAUGCUCUGUAAUCCGUGCAAAACCUCCAAGUAUCAUCUUUUUUUUUUACUAAAAGGACAGGAGACAAAAAUGGACUAGUGCUUGGUCUGAUGAUUCCUACAUUCAGCAUUGCUUGCACUUGUUUUCAAUUUCUGCCUUCUGAAAACACGCAUACCGAUAUGGUCGAACAUUGAUGGGCUGGGUUCCUUCCUUAAGGGGUAUAUCGUGGUUGAUUUCUCAUAGUGGUGGCAGCUUAGAGGGUUCUUGAAAGACAUCCUCGAAUUCGCUUAAAAGUUGCUGCAUAUCUGGUUGAAUGCCAUCCCAAGAAGAGUCUUCAAAGUUUUGAACAUAAACAGCAAAGACCAUCUGACCCUAUCGAUGCUCUUUUGCAACGGUCUCUAGUGAAGUCACUUGAAUGAGCCUUUGUAUCCCUUGCAGCCUUCGUGCUUGAUUGUCCCAAUUGAAAUCCAUGGUUAAAUGCUUCCAGUUACAAACUACCGACCCCAGCAUCUCCAACCAUUGUAUUUCUAAUACCAUGUCCAGUCCUGCUAAUAGCAAAGAGUGGAAAGUAAGAGAGAAUUGAAUGCCUUGUAAAUCGAUCAGUACCUUCCCAUAUCGCCCUUGACACAUGAGUCGUUCUCCGUUAGCGACACGGACUGUGAAAGACUUCGUAGAAACCAUUAGGAGCCGCAGUGUGCUAGCUACUUUUUCGUUCAAAAAAUUGUGUGUAGAUCCACUAUCGAUUAACACCACUAUUGGUUGCGGCUUGAUGGAAGCAGUUACUCGCAUGGUCUGUAGAGAUGACCAUCCGAUCAAUGCAUGUAUAGAAACUUCCAAUUCCUCUUCUUUGUUACCUUUUCUCUCUAUCUCUUCUUCAUUUUCCUGAUAAUUAUCAUGGCCUUGGAUGAGUAGCAGUCGAGGCCCUUGGCACUUAUGGCCUGGUGUGAAUCAUUCGUUGCAGCUGAAACAAAGCCCUUGAGCUCGUCGUUUUUGCAUCUCUUCCCAGCCCAAGCGUUUAGGAGUUAUCGCUGCUCUUUGAUUGACCGGGGUGAUGGCAGACAGCGGCCGAUUUUUUGGGAUUGGCUUAGAAAACCUCUUUUGUCGUGUAAACUGUUCGUCUCUCGUCCUAGAUAAACUGAUGGCCUCUUUUAGUGUUUUUGAUACAGUGAGAAGAUCCUUAAGAAUUUCCAGGAAAAAUCCCAAGUUUUGAGCUUAAGAUUGACUUGUCCUUUUUCAGUUUAGUUGUUGUUUUUAUUUCAAAUUGCGUGAUCAUAGUCAAAUGUGGUUAGUCACCUCCAGAAUAAUAGUUACGUCAUGGUUUUAACUUGCUGAAGUUUAGGAGUUAGUGUUGCUAUCGGUUUGAUGUAUUGAAAUUCUAUUUAAGGAGUUUAUUUGGAACUGAAUAAGAACGUGAAGAAUUUUGCUCAAAGUUGUGGUUGACUUUCACCCAAAGAAAGCCAAAUUUAUUGAGUUUUCAUUGUAAUCUGACUAGGACCUAUCAGUGGUAUCAGAGCUACAAUGACAACCAACAAAGAGUGCUUUGAAAUAUUGGGCUCGGAAUGAACGAUCGUAUGCAACGCUUAGAGGAGUCUUUGAAGGCUUUAUUCGAUGCGGUUCUCUCCUCAAAGGCAUCUUAGUCGUCACACUCAGUGAAGCAAGGACACAUGCAUCAGUACCAACAAGACGAAACAAAAAGUUCUCGUUGGAACAUACCUCCUCUUCGAGCCAAAAUUGAGUUUCCGCGGUUUGCAGGAGAUGAUCCAACAGAGUGGUUCAAUAGAGUGGCACAGUUCUUUGAAUUUCAAAGAACUCCUGAAGAUCAAAAGGUGAGCUUGGCAUCUUUCCACCUGGAAUGUGAAGCGAACCAAUGGUGGCAAUGGUUGAAUCAGACAUACAAGGAAGAAAAUCGAACAGUGACGUGGACUAUGUUUGCUGAAGAACUAUGGGCACGAUUUGGACCAACAGAUGGAGAAGACUUUAACGAGGCUCUCUCACAUAUAACACAAAGUGGAUCUCUUUGGGAUUAUCAACGUGAAUUCGAGAAAUUGGGCAAUCGGGUACAGGGGUGGACUCAAAAGGCUCUCGUGGGAACUUUCAUGGCCGGGUUAAAACCGGAGGUAACUGAUGGGAUACGAAUGUUCAAGCCAAAAACUUGGGAUUUUUCCUGGGAAUUUUGAAGGAUCUUCUCAAUGUAUCAUGCUCAUAACAUCAAUCUACUUUUUUAUUUUAUUUUAUUUUAUUACCAUAACAUCAAUCUACUUACCACUACAACAUCAACAUGCAUGGAAAUUGAAUAUCUACGCAAUGACAUUAACAACUUGGCCAUCUCUGAGCACGGUUCUCUGCAUUUCACAAGUACUAGUAACACCAGACGAGCUAGCCCUCGACUUGAAGGCUCUUCUUCCAAGAUUACUGUUGCCCGUCGCACUUUUGCCAUUGCCAGCACGGGCAACAAAAACCACAGUGCGCACCCCAUUAGAUGGAGAAGUAAGCUCCCAAUCAUCAUCAACCGCACUUCCUCCCAUCGUAUAAAAAAUUUCAAUUUACUUGCAAUGCAUUUACAAUAUCAAACCACUUCAUAUUGAAUUCAGUCUUGAUCAUUAAACAAUAAGAAACAAGAUUUAGUUACCAUACCCUUACAACUUCACUCCAUUAAAACCUAUGUUUGUUACUACUUUAAAUAUUAUCCAACCGAACAUGAAUAAAUUCAUAAAAAAUAUGUUUAAAAUAAAAAUCAUUCAGACCCCGACAAUAUAGUUAAAUUUGUAAUCUUAAUAAAAAUAUGAUGAAUUGAUAUAUAAUCAAGCACAGAAUCUAAACAUCAUCAGUUAAUAAAUUAAUUAUGGUGGUAUAUAAUUUUAUUUCAUUUAUGCUUGUUUUGCGAAAUUAUUAAACAAAACCACGACCGAUUAGUUACGCAUUAGAUUGAACCCUUGACUUCUUACUUCUGGAAAUUGAUAUGUUGGAGAUGCUCUCAGUUAGAGCAUAACCAACAUAGCAGGAUCCCUUACUUCUACAAUAAAAAAUAAAAAAAUCUAUUUAUUGGCUAAUGAAACUUUUUAUAAAGUUAAAACUGUAAGUUACGUCUUUCUUUCUUUCUUUCUUUUUCUUUUUUUGGUUUAAAAUUAAUAAUUUUGGGCAUUGGCUUAAUACUUUAAGCUUGUAAUUCAGUGAAACAAUAAUUACACAGUAUUAGAGAUAGUGUUUAGUGGUGUUCAAUUUUUUACUCAGUCAAUUUCUAUAAGUUAAGACUUUCCGCUAGUUUUGCUCCUUAUUACAAAAUUUUAAUAGUUUCGCAGAUACAGUAUCAAAAAAAAUAAAGUUUCACAUUCAAAUUCUUACAGAUUUAAUUACCGUGUCAAUUUCAAUUAUUUUUCGAACCCAUUACCUUAUUAAUCUCUUUAAAUCUACAUGACUUAUAACACCGAUUCCGCUUGAUGUGAAUUGGCAUUCAACACUAUCAUGGUCUAUAAUAACUUAAAUUUUGUAUCCAAUGGGUUAAAUUGAUUAAUGUUGUAUCACUAUAGUUCAAUUCCUACACACGUUUCAUGCAUGUACCAUACAUCUCAAAUUAAGAUGACUCCCUAGACGUUCAUCAAAAGUCUUAUAACACUGAAACAUAUUUAUCAAUGAAUGCUCUUAUCAAGGUACAAAAUUUCAAUAACAAUCGUAUAAGAUUUGCAGGAAGCAGCAUAAUGAUAUUCACAAGGCUGUCGUCUCUCUCUCUCUCUAUGUAUGUGCUAUACACCCCACUAAUAAAACAUACAAUUAAUUCAACGUAUAGACAAACUUGAAAAUCGGUACUCACUCACCAUUGACAAGACCAAAAUCCAAAACAUAAAAUCUUUCUUGGACAAAUACGUCGAAAACAAAAAACCCUAAUUUUUUCAAAGAUAUUUAUUAUCGACUAAGAAUCCAAAUAGUGGUACUGUAGUUAGAUUCUAUUCGAGGGUAUGUUAGUCAAUCUCAUUUGUGACAAAGGAAAAAUUAUUUAAAAAAAAGAAAAAAAUUGCAGUUUAAUAUUUUCAAUGUGGCAUCCAAAAUUUGACAAGUUUUUCAAGAUCCUUAAGUUUGCUUCUUCUUUUUUUUUUUUUUGCAUAUAUUUUUUAAUAUUUUCCCAAUUGUUUUGAGAUGCUGGCUUUUUAGUUUUGCAGUCUGCAGAUGCUUCAAAAUGUACAAAAUGGUCAUUUAUUAGCAGUAAUUUGUUGUCAUAAACUUUUAACAGAAAUAUUCAUUCUCUCAUAAAUGGCUUUUGGAAGAAAAUUUUGGUUGUUUGACUUUAAGAUUUAAGGAGAAAUAAGUGUUAAGAUUUGAAAUCCCUAGAUCUAAAAUCUCUUCACUGGUAACAGCUGUGAUCUUCUAAACAAUUUAGAAAAUUAUGCUUUGGUAAUUUGUUUGGAUGCUAUCAAGUUCACAUGAGUUUGAGAUUAAUGAAGGCAGUGAAGUACUCAUACAUAUAUAAUCGAAAUUAGACUUCAAUGAUGGUAUAGCCAGGUUAAUUACUAAUUAGUAUCUUGAUUUAAAACCCACAUCCGUAACUUUCCUUGGAAGAUCUAAAAACCUUUUUUCUUGCAAUCUGAAAUUUUAAGAUAAAUUCAUCUAUAAUUGAAAUUGGACUCCAAUUAGCUAGCUUCGUUAAGGGUGACUUAGGUGUCGAAAAGCACCCCAAGUAUCUUGAUUUAAACCAUGUCCCAUGGUUUUCUUUAGAAAAAUGUAAUUACAACUUGUUUCUUUGCACUGUAUUGAUAUUGCCCAUUUUAGGAUUUAGGGGAGGCCUAAUACUUCGUAAGAAGUGAUUAUAUAUAUACACAGAGUCAUUCUCUCAUACAAGUGCCAGUCAUUCUCUCAUACAAGUGCCCCUUUUUUUUAUGCAAACACGUUAAACCAUGUGGUUUAAUAAAGUUAAAAAAAAUGAAGACACGCGUGCACCUGAGAAUAAUUUUAUAGAUACACAUACACACACACACACACACACACACACACACACACACACACAUAUAUAUAUAUAUGUGUGUGUGUGUGUGUGUGUGUGUCUGUAGAGAGAGAGAUAAGUCUAGUAACCUAAUUUCAUUUAUGAUAAUAUUUUUAAAAACUCGCUCUCAUCGUGUGAUUAAAUAGAUUCGAUAAGUGCAUAUUUUUUAUAUAUUUUGUUAUUAAUUUCUCCAUCUUUUUCUUGUUUUUAUCUUAAAUAUUCUAGUUAUUUUAGUUAAUUUUUAAUUAAUUGUAUUAUUUUAUUGAAUAGGGAAUUAAUUGGAGAUUGUGGAUAAAAAGGGCAUGAAGAAAUUCAAAUUGAGAAGGAAUAAAGAUUAAAUUGGAAGACAAAAAUACAGUCAAGAAUUGAUAGAACCGAGUGGAAGAAAUCAAAGUAAUUAAUCCAAUUGAGAAAUGUUGAAUAAUUAAAAGAUUUAAUUUUUCCAAUUGGCAAUUGGAGUGCACGUGCAUGGCAUUGCAAAAGUGGAAAGCAAUUCAAACGGGCCCGCAAUUGACUUUCAAAAGUUGGAAUUAAUGGCUUUUGGUGGCGUUAAAUUGGAAAAGAAUUUCAAUUAGAAUUGAAAAAGGAUUUCUUUAGACUUGUUGGAGAAGAAUUCGGUCAACUAGCAUUAUAAAAGGAGAGCUACCAGAGAGCGAGAGAGAGGUGUGCAGACAUAAUUCAGGCAGAGGAAAAUCAGCAGCUGCAAGGAGAAGAAAAAAAUCAGCAGCUGAAAUUAAGUUAGAGCAAAGGUAGCCGCUUGAAUUAAUCUCCAUGAUUGGUUUUGUCAAUUCUCUUAUUCACAAUUCAAUUAUGUUAGGCUAAAUUUUUAUUUGGUUGAGGGUGAAUUCAAAACCCUAAACAUGCUAUGCAAUUAAAUUUAAAUUCUAUCAUUCAAUUUAUUUAAUUGAGAUUGUUUAUGUUCUUCUAUAAAUUGUGUUCAUGGUUUAUUCUUGUUUUAUUUGAGUGGCCAAUUAGAUAGGACUUGAAUAAAUUUUAUUGCUAGAUUAAAAUUCUUGAUCCGUAAUUGUCUUGAUAUUUUAAUCAUUAGUAGCAGGUUGGAAUUAGUGAUUUCAAUUGAAGAACAUAACAUAGGUUAAAUAAUCCGAGCUUGUGUGUUUAUUGCCUAGAUCAACCUAAUAUCUUUCUCUGUUUAAUGCUUCCAUUAUCUUAAAUUUAAAGAGCUUGUUUUAAAUUAUUUAAUGGUUAGAGAUUAGGUGAAGAGCUUAUUUUGCCUAAUGACACACUAAAGAAAGAUUGAGACUAACAGAGCUUAUUGUUGUCUACGGUUGAUAGUUUCAAUAUAAAUUGAUGAUAGAAUUGAUAUAUUAUGUGCAUGUUUGGUGGUGACGAAUGAUCCUUUAACCAAAGUUUUCAUCAUUAUUAUUUCUUUCUCCUUUAAUUAGAGUUUUUAUUAAAUUCUUGUUCGGAGUUUUAAUUUCUUUAUUUCUUACUAUUUAGUUAAAAAUUCAUAAACCCCCCCCCUUUUUUUUAUGAUUGGCAUUUUCUUUAGUUAGAUUAAUUUAUAUUAUUACUACUCUUAUUUUAUUUUAAAUCUUGCUUUAGAGUUGAUAAUAAAUAUAACUAGCAUAGUCUCUGUGGGAUCGAUCCUUACUCGCUCUGUACUAAUUAUUUUAUAUUAGUGGUAAGGUUUUAAAUUUGGUGCACCUUAAUGACACUACCAAAUUUUUGGCGCCGUUGCCGGGGACUAGCGUCUAGUUUGUUUAUUAUCACUCGUUUUAUUUUAUUAUUUUUUUAAUUUUAUCUCUUUUUCUCAUUUGAUUUAUUUAUUUUAUUUUAAUUAGUUAUUUUUUGUUCUAUAUUUAGAUUUUCAUGAGCAUAGAGGACAUUCGAUUGAAACUCGAACAACUUAGAGCAACCUCAUCAUAUUCAGAACUCGAUUUUUCCAUCCACAUCCCACUCCCGAAGACAGAGCCAAGUAGCCCAGAACCCAAACCAAUGGCUCAGAAUAACAACCGAACACUUAAAGAGUUGGCAGCUCCUAACUUUGACCAGCAACCCUUAUGCAUUGAGAAUCCAAACCCUCAGGUAAACUUUGAACUCAAAUAUGGGAUGAUUCAUCUUCUUCCUACUUUUCAUGGUCUUGCAGGAGAGGAUCCAAAUAAACACUUGAAGGAGUUCCAUGUGGUCUACUCCACAAUGAAACCAGCCGGAGUUUCUGAAGAGCAAGUUAAGCUAAUGGCCUUCCCAUUCUCUUUGGCGGAUUCAGCCAAGGAAUGGUUGUGCUAUCUCCCCUCUGGUACUGUCACUACAUGGAAUGAGAUGCGUCAGGUAUUUUUGGAGAAAUAUUUCCCAGCAUCAAAAGCUGGCAGCAUUCGGAAAGAAAUUUAUGGAAUCCGACAAUAUAAUGGAGAGCCGCUCUACGACUAUUGGGAACGAUUCAAAAAGCUAUGUGCUAGUUGCCCUCACCAUCAGAUAAGUGAUCAACUUCUUAUUCAAUAGUUUUAUGAGGGUCUACUACCUAUGGAUAGUAAUAAACUUUUUAUUUUAAAUGCAUGAAAGUACCAUUUUUCUAAGUAAUUUUCAAAAACUAUUUAUAAAAAAAAAAACAAAAUAAUUUGGCUAUUGGGAUUUAAACCAGGACUUUAAAACCAUCAAAUAACACUCUUAUCAUUGAACUAUAAGUCUUUUGUUACAUAAAAAAUAUGUCCAAAUUUUUUUAAUUAUUUCUUUUAGAAGGGACGUGGGGUACAAUUAAAAGAAAAAUUAAUGGCCCAAAAGGGGCUUUAGGCCUUAAUUGGGUCACUCAUGAUUAUGCAUUACAUCCGAUAAAAUUUACAAACCGAGGUAAAGAAAAUUGAGUCUACAACCAAAAAAAAAAAACCAAAAAUUGAGAUUGAGAGGAAAAUGCGAGGGCAAUUUGGAGAAAGCAAAGUAUGAAAAUAAACUGUGAGAUGAUUCGAUGAACUAAGAUUUUACUUAAUUGCAAAGAGAGGAGAGCUAAAAAUAUUGCAUUGCGUAUGAAGUGAUGAGAAAGGGGAAGAGACUUGAUUUAAAUUUUAGGAUUUAAGGUAUGAAAAUUAUAAAUUGAGUAAUGAAUGUAAUAGAAAGUUGAGAAGUAAAUGAUGUAAGAGAGUUUCAAUAGAAAGUUGAGAUGUAGAAAAGAAUCUAAAAGAGUUUGAAGAAAAGAAUAUAAGAGAGUUUAAAUAGAAAGUUGAGAAGUAAAGAAUGUAAGAGAUUUUAAAUAGAAAGUUGAGAAGUAAAGAAUAUAAAAGAGUUUAAAUAGAAAGUUGAGAAGAAAAGAAUCUAAAAGAGGAAUGAACAUGCAAUUUCCCUCUUUUGCCUUUUAUUAUUUUGUCACUUUUAUUAUUAAGGAAGUUGUUAAUUUUUUUUUCUAUUAAAACUAAUAUAUAUCACUUAUUUAUUACUAGUUUUAUAAUAUAAAAAUUCAUUUAAUUUAUAAUAAUUAUGAAUAAAAAUUUAUUUAAAAAUAAAAAUUAUACUAUUAAAAAAUUAUUGUCUAUUAUAAAAGCAAUACUAAAGUAAUUAGUAUAUAAUGAUUUGAAUAGAGGAGCACUAACAGUCUCCCAUUAUUAAUAUUAUUGAUAAUCCGUCUUUAUUAAAUCAGCGUAUUCAUACUCCAUAGGGGCUUUUUGGUCAUUUUAUACGUCAAGGCCCCUAAGGACAUCUCCAAUGCUUUAACACCAUUUUGGUGUAACACCAACACAAAAAAAUAUACAUUUUUCACACCAAAUUAUUAUUUUAUCUCCAACCCAUUUACACCAAAUUUUACACCAAAAAGAAUAUUCUUCUUUUUAUUCUUUUAAUUCUCAAGAAUUAAUUCAAUUAACACAAUAAAUAUUACUAUUAAUAUAGAUAAUUAAGUAAUAAGUAAUUUUAUAUUGAUUAACAAAAAAAUAUAGAAAAUUAUUAAAUUUACAUUUAAUUAACUAAAUUAGUACAUUAUGAAAAUUAAACAUUACAUUAAUAUAGAAAAAAUAAAAUAACAAUAAUAAUACUCUAGUUAUUCGAAUUACUAAAUUCAUCCCAUAAAUGAUCAAUUAGUACAUUUCGGAGUGCAAUGUGAGCCUCUUUAUCCUUGAUUUUUUUUUUUUUUGUCGAGCAAGAAAUUCUUGAAAUCUAGUAUUCUCAUCUACUCUCAUAUCAACGGUUGGUAUUGGUGCUUGCAUCCAAUCAUUAAUUGUUGCAUUAACAUCAUGUUCAUCUUCGAUUAUCAUAUUGUGCAUAAUAAUGCAAGCAAUCAUUAUAUUAUGUAACACAUGUUUGUUCCAAAAGCGUGAUGGUCCAGCAACAAUUGCAAAACGUGAUUGAAGGACUCCAAAUGCACAUUCUACAUCUUUCCAACAUGCUUCUUGUUUCAUGGCAAAUAACUUCUUUUUAGGACUACGUGGAUCAUGGAUAGUUUGUACAAGAGUAGACCAUUUUGGGUAGAUACCAUCUGCUAAAUAAUAACCCAUAUUAUAUUUGUUCCCUUUAAUAACAUAAUGAGUAGGAGGAGCAAUACCUGAAGCGAGGUUGAAGAAAAGAUAGGAUGUCUCCAACAUAUUAAUGUCUUUAUUUGAACCAGGCAAACCAAAAUGUGCAAGCCAUAUCUAAAGAUCAUAAUCAGCUACAGCCUCUAAAAUAAUAGUUGUGUUCCACUACGACUAGCAUAUUGUCCGGCCCAAGCUGUUGGACAAUUUUUCCACUUCUAGUGCAUGCAAUCUAGGCUGCCUAACAUUCCUGGAAAACCACACUCUUUACCAACAUGGAGUAGCUUGGCGACUUCAUUAGCAAUGGGUGAUCUAAGAUAUUGCUUUGCAAAAACUUCCACAAUUGCACAACAGAAUCUCUUCAAACUUUCAAUUGUUGUAGACUCUCCAAUUUUAAUAUACUUCUUAGUAGCAUCUGCUGGCAUGCAAUAUGUCAACAUCCUAUAUACGACAGUGAUUUUUUGAAGACCAGAUAACCUAAGUCUGCCGACGUCAUCCCUCGCUGCAUAAAAUAGUUGUCAUGACCUUGUACGACAUUAGUAAUACGACUGAGUAAACUUCGAGACAUUCUGAAGGCAAAAGGAAAAAGGAAAGUUGAAGAUCAAAAUUCACUAGUUAUUGAUAGUAUUAAAGAAGACAAUCGACGACUUUAUGAAAUUCUCAAAAAAGGCAGUAAAGAUAGGCAACAAAACUAUCAAAUUCAAAUGAUACGAGCCCAAAAUAAGAAAAAAGAUUAGAGAUGGUCACAUAUCGUGAAGAAAAAAAAAUUUUACUUAAAGAUUUAAAUUCGAUAAGUGAUCCGAGUUUAAGUCAAUAUUUUCAAAAUGAACAAAUUAAGAUUUUGUAGAAAAGAUCUCAAUAAGGGCAAGCAUCUCAAAAUACUUCCAAUAAUAUUGGCCAAUAUUUUGAUGAUAUUGGAGGAUCUAAUAAUGAUCUCCCAGAUUAUUAAAUAAUUAUUCUAAUUUAUGCUAGUAGUAGUAGCUUUUUUAAUUUGUUAAUUUAAUUUUGUAAUAUGUAAUCUAGUAAUUAAUGUUAUUAGCAUUUUAUUUUUAUUAUUAAUUUUUGUGUUCAAUAGUUUUUAUUUAAAAUAUAGUAUAAUAUUCAAAAAUUAAAAAUGAAAUAAAAAUAAUAACAAAAAUAAUAAUAAUAACUUAAAAUAUUAUAUAAAAUAGGACAUAUAUGUAAAUAAAAAAAAGUAAUAAGGAUAUUUGAGACUUUUUCUCCCUAGCACCAAAUGAAUAGUGUUGCACCAUAUUUGGUGCAAUACUAUUCAAAACACCAUUUUGGUGUUGGUUUUGGUGUUACAUUGGAGAAGCAUUUUACACCAAAAAUGAUGUAAAAGGUGAUUUGGUGUUAGUUUUGGUGUCACAUUGGAGAUGGCCUAAACUCCCCAUAAGUAAAUACGAAGGGAAAUGAGGAAUGCCAAUUGCCCUUUGCCUCGGGCAACGAAAAAUGAAUCUUGUUAGUGCUCAGAGGCCUCUCCAGAGGAAAACACAACGGUUAUGUGCGUCUAAAACUUUCCAAUAAACAAUAUUCCAAUUUCAUUCUCAACCCAAAUUGAAAAUUAGUGUACCAAGUAAUCAAAGCUCUUUUUCGAUUUUUCGAAUUCAAUACAUUCGGAACAAAUUGAAUGCGAUGAAAUGAAGGAGCCAUUACAGAGAACCAAAGUAGUGAUUCAUCAUUUGCCUCCUUCCCUCUCUCAAAAUGACCUUUUAGCCCUUUUCCACGAUCACCUCGACAACGGUUACAAUUGGUUCCGCGUUCAACCAGAGAAUUAGGAUGUGUUUGAGUUUGCUGAGUUGUUGAAUGGACAUGUGUUUGUUAAUGAAAAGGGUAAUUUUGCUAACCCUUUUUCUUUUACUUAUCAAUCUUAAUUUGGUAUGAAUGGGUUUAUGUUGUUUUAAAUGAAAAGGGCACUUUCUAUUUGGUUAAUUUUAUGUGUUAUUGGGUUCUCGAUUAGGGGCUCAAUAGGCUAUUGUUGAAUAUGCUCCAUCUCAACGUGUUCCCAAGCCUUGUUCUAGAAAGGGUAGCCGUGAAGGCACCAUUUUAAAGGUAAUUCUUUUUAUUUAAAAAAAAAUUAGGGUACUUUUGGGGUUGAAGUGUUGUGUCUUUUACCGUACACUUAAGCUGCUAAAUUUCAAAGUUAAGUAAAAGCACAGCAAUUACAAGAAUAUUGUUUUCUUUAUCUUCUUAUUGUUUUUAUAAGUACUAUAGUAAUAAGCCAUAUUUGGUUUUCAUGUGGAUAAUAAAGACCCGGAUUAUCUGGAGUUCCUGAAGGUUAUUGCUAAACCUGCUGAGAAUCUACCAAGUGCAGAAAUUCAGUUGGAAAGAAAAGAAGCUCAGCUAUCUAGGUAGUUAGUUAUUUUGAGAUGAAUUUGAUGAAUAUAACCUGUUGUUCUUAGUGUGUGUGUGUGUGUAUAAAUGUAUGCAACUUAAGAUACAGAAUUAAUAAAUUAUGGUACUGUUACUGAGAUCAAUGCUCAGGUAAGUAAUUCGUUAAUUUAAACUAUAAAUUCAGGAGUUGCUAUGAAUAUAUAUCAUUAUGAAAAGGUGAAAAAAAAAAAAAGAAAAAAAAAACCAACUAAUUACCAUUUGUUACCACAUAGCUAGCAUUGAAAUAUAAAGUUCCCAAUAAAAAAUUAACUUCUCCCAUUACAUGUGACCCAUGAAAACGGUACUAUCAGCAGGAAUCAGUGAAGUUGCGGUAGCAAAUUCAAAUGUUACAGAAUUCUAACAGGUAUUUUCAAUUAUUUCAUCAACAAUCAUUUUCAUAUUAAGCAUAGUUAAUUAAUUAUGCCAAAAUAUACAAUUUCAAUUGAAUUUUCAAUUGGUUAUCUCACCUUGACUCUUCAUAUUGGCAUUUGAUGCGUGAUUCUCUGAGUUCUUUAACUGUAAAGGAGCUUAAGCAACUGGAGAACAGGCUUGAGUGAGGCAUCACGAGGAUCAGGUCCAAGAAGGUAACUAAUUAAUUGCAUUAUGCAUGCAUGAAAUCGACGAAAAAAAAUAAUAAUUGAAUUUGAACAAUACACCAUUGUUUUGCAACAAUACAUUGCAUAAACUUUAUCGAUAUACGUUCAGUAUAUGUAAUUUAUGUUUGAAAAAAAUUUGUUGCUUUGUCUGUUUCCUGUUUUGUGCAAUAACAUGAAAUGCUGCUAGCUGAAAUUGAGUUCUUGCAGAAAAGGGUAAUAAUUAAUGUUCAUUAAAUCCUGUUUAGCCUUUUUUUCGUUUUCUUCCAUGCUUUUAUGGAACUCUUUGACAUUUUGAUUUUCGUAGGAGGUUGAGCUGGCAAAUGAAAGCGUGUGUCUUCGAUCAAAGGUAUGCAAAUAAGUCCGUUGUAUGUAUAAUGCAUUUGUUCUCGCCCUCUUCCAAAAUUUCAGCACGUUAUUAAAAUUUCGUUGUUUCUGAAACUCAGAUAGCAUAAAUGGAGAGGUUUCAGCAAGCAAACACGGCGACUGGACAAGAGCUGAAUGCAAUGCAUGAAUUAGCUUCUCGGAAUUUCUUCGGUCCUGCUAUUAUCGAGGGUGGUGGCUCUGCUUACUCUCACCCGGACAAGAAGAUACUCCAUCUUAGGUAAUUAAUUCUUCCAUCACAUUUCAUUUCUAUGAGCUCGUGUUGCGCGUGCAUCAAUGUUUUCUCCCGUACGUUUGCAGGUAAGCUAGAUGCUGGAGAUCAAGCUUGUGGCAUCUCAGUACGAGAUCUACGAUCAUACUAUCAUUAUUGUACUGAAUGUGUGUGCUACUUGAUACCUAUUUUUGAAACCAGCAAUAUAUGAAACCGGAUGAGUUUAUGUGUAACCUAAUUACUUAC
rnacentral:lncRNA from 1 species